ACGCAAUGACAGACCUCGAAAUUAUGACAGAUCAAGGAACUUUGAUAGGAGGAGGGAAAAUAUGCAGAACCGAGAUUUUCAGAACAGGGGUCAGCCUCCUAUGCCUAAUCAAGCUGGGCAAAAUCCUGGGCCUAACAUGCCUGGACCUGCCAACAACAUGAGGACUCCCAACAAUAUGGGCCCCCCGCCCCCCAACACGGGUCCAAUGCCUCCCCACAACAUGGGUCCAAACUACAGUAAUGUGCAGCAGCCAAACAACUGGAGUGGUGGCCAGCCCAACAACAAUAGCAAUCAGAUGCCUCAUAAUUAUAAUCAGAUGCCGCCGCCACCGCCUAACUACAAUCAGAUGCCCCCCAACAACAUGGGAGGUGUGCCACCAAACAACAUGAGAGGGAUGCCACCAAACAACAUGGGAGGAGUGCCCCCACCACCAAAUAACAUGGGAGGUCCACCGCCUAAUGCAGGAUGGGGGAGUCCUGGGCAAUACCAAGAUAACUACACACCAGGCAGGGACGAUGGAGGCAUCCCCGGUACAAACCGUUACUGAGCUUGAGGCUACGUCACCAUGAGUCUUGUAGGCAUGCUGUAGAUAAGCAAGGAGGCUGCUCGAGAUGGGCUGUAGGUUUUUCAUGUCACCGGUCUGGAAUGAUAUUUUGUUUGACUUAUUGCUGGGUGCGAACCUGGUUGCCUUUUUAUCUGAAUAUGAUUACACUUUCAGGGUCGAAUCUGAUUGGAUUAAUCGUAUCUUUGCUUUGCUACUUGGUACUGGUCAGGUCAUGUCAUGUCAUGUCAUGUAGUGCACAUAUUUGCAGAAAGCAGAAGACUGUUUAAUGAAACCACUAUGAUAGGGCAAUGCGCUCUUAUUUUUCAUCGAUUAGUCAUCCUCCUAAUCAAUUGAAAAAUCUAAACAAAACCCAAAAAUCAAUUAUAUGUAUAAUUUUUUUCUGUCAGUGCCUGAGCUUGUGCUUGGCUUAGUAACUUAAAUACAGGAAGAAUGGUGAAUACAAUCCAAUUCACUUCAUCGUCAGUUCAUUCAUCCCAUUCAACAAUACAAACAAAACCCACAAAGCAAUUAUACGAAGAAAUUAUUCUCUCUCUCUGUCUCCGUACUUCUGCUUGCAGCUUGCUUUAGUAACUUAAGAACAAGUGAUCACAGCCCAUUUAGGUUAACCCAGGGUAUGACAGCUGGAAGUUCUCCCGAAAAUGGUGUAUCCAAUUCUAACUUUUAAAGACUUUUUUUUGAGUAAAUGACUUUUCUAGAGUUGACAAAUUCUUAAUGACUUUUACAUACUUUAUAAAGUUAAGUGACAAACUUUCAUAUACUUUUGUCAUAGAGUUUUAUAGACUUUUAAAUACUUAUUUUUAUAUUUAUUUUACAAAUAGCAUUUAUCUUUUAUGUUGAUUGAAUUAGUCGGCAUACAUUGAACAAAAAAUUAGGGAAAAAAACAAUUGGAUACAAUUACAUAAAAGCAAAGAAUAGUUCUCCUUAACAUUAGAAAAUGAUAAAAAUGACAAAGUACAUUUGAAAAUGUACCAUAAGGAAAUAAUUGGCGCUCAACUAGCCAUGAUUCAGUUUACAAAAAAGCUUAGCCGUGAUUCAUUUCAAUGACAGUGAAUAAACCAUAAUACAAAUUCCUUUUGAAAAUUCCAAUGCUCAUUACCGUUGAGUUCCGUUAUUAUCUUGCAUGGCAUUUCUCCACAUGUCAGAAGCUAUACCAACUCUCCAUUCAUUAGCAUUCUCUCGUUGUUGUUCUUGAGUUUCAAAAACUUGUUCCACAUUAUCUCCUUCAUUCCCUGGUAAUGGUGAAGAUGAUGAAGACUCAUUCUCUAGUUCAAUAGGAAAUUCAUCAGAACGACAUUCCCUACGAAGAAAAUUAUGUAGUCCUGCACAAGCUAACACAAGCUCUGCUUGAGUCCUAUAUGGGAAGGGAGGUGCUGACUUGAAAAUUGUGAAUCUUGAUUUAAAUAUCCCAAAUAUCCUCUCAAUUACAUUCCUCAAGGAAGCAUGACGAAGAUUGAACAACUCAGUUGCGUUUUCGGGGUCACGACCUUGACCAGCAAAAUCUUGUAGAUGAUAUCGUACACCUCGAAAUGGAGCUAAAAAUUGACGUCGAUUUGGAAAUCCACAAUCCACAAAGAAAUAUUUACCUAAUCAUAAAAUAUAUAUAAAAUUUGUAUGCAAAGCAUGGUAUAAUGAAUGAUAAUAAUAAAACGAAGAGAUAAGAGUGUACCUUGUGGUACCUUGAGUCCAUUCCUCCUUGAUAAAGCAUCAUUUAAUACUUUUGAAUCAUGAGCUGAACCUUCCCAUCCACUGAGCACGUAUAUGAACUCCAAAUCAAAGUUACAUGCUGCUAAUACAUUUUGUGAUAUCUUUCCAUGACGAUUGCAGUAGUUGCUUACAUCACGUCCCUUCACCAUGGCUGGAAUAUGUGUACCAUCAAUAGCUCCAAUGCAAUCCUGAAAUGAAUUAAUAAGAAAUUAUAAGUAAAACAUAGUUUUUGUUGGAAUAAUAACAAUAAUACUUAUAAUAAUAAAUUCCAUUACCUUAAAGGAGGGGUAAAAUCGUGUACUUUCUCUUAUCUUAGCUGGCACUGCAGAUCGAGGUUUAGCCAACAUUUCUGGUGCUAGCGUGUUCAAUGCCUUCAAGACUUUGUUGAAGUUUUUGCUAGUAGCAAAAUGUGAUCGAUCAAAUGUCUUUCGGGUAAGACAAUAUCGAGAAUUUUGACCUACAGUGAGUAAAAAUGUAGCAAGCAUUUCUUCAACACAAAUAAAUCUUGUAUUUUGUAGGAGUGUUUUGUCUCUGAUGAUAGUGCAUAAUUUCCGAAACACAUCUGGAUACAUUCUAUAGACUUGUCGAAAUUCUUCAGGAUCUUCAUGUAAUAUUUUAUGUAUAUAAUCAUACCCACUUGUAGUAAUUGGUCGUCGAAUUAAUGGAUGCUCAAUAUGCUCACUACGCAUGAUAACCAUAAGCUCAUGUAACAUUUGGACCACUGCUUCCAUUGCCAUUAGUAAAUGCUUGAUGGUUUCGUAAAAUUCUUCAUCCAUUUCUUCUCCCUCCAUUUCCUCUUCCUCUACUCUAUUAUCUCCAUGCAUGAUCGAUUGAGACAUCAUAUGUGAACCACCUAAAAUAAAAAUUGGAAGCAAUUACAUUAUGUAAUAUAUAAUGUGGUUGCCUCUGUUUAGUAAAGAAUGCACUUGAAAUUGCAUGGGAAACAACAUUUCUAAAAUGGAAUUAAUAUGUAAGGUAUCAUGCAUGCAAUUUAUGACACGAGAAAACCAUUAACUUUAUAGUCAGAUAUUUUUUCUAAAUAUUAUAAUUGGAAUUGAAAAGCACCAACUGCUCAAAGAUAUCAUAUUUGAUGCAUAUGAAACAAACUUUAAAACUUUAAAUAUGUUCCUAAUAGAAAAUUUGACAAAAUUCCACAAAUAUGAAGCCAUAAACAAACUCCAAAAAUUCAGACAAGUUGUGCUUAAGCAUACUCCAAAAUAACCAAAGUCUAUCGUCUCCCACAUAACCUCAUUCAUUCUGACAACUUAUACAUUAUCCAAUCUUUGCGCUCCUGAGGUGACAUUUUCCAGAACAUAUCUUUUUUUGCUUUAGUAUUAAGCAACUCAACAACUUUGUAACGAACCUGACUAUCUAAGUUUGGGAUUUCCAUGAUAGCAUCCCAACAACCACUCUCUUUUUCCUUUUUUUCCAUAAGGCUAUGGAUUCCCCGAAAAUCUGUGGCAAUUGAAUCAAUGCUAAGAGAAACUCUUUCUAGAACAUCGGCUCGAGUGUUGGUCUCAAAAGAGCUAGUGUUCCCCUCAUACUCAGUUCUAUUUCUUUUUGUCUGACCAUUGCUUUCCAAGGGAAGCUCCACAUUCGUGCCUUGAGUGGGAACAUAUGAAUUAGGUUGUUUGGGUGAUAGAUCUUGGAAUGUUGCAGCUUCAACUUCAUUUGGUAUGAAUGCAUGAUUAUCAUCGUCAUAACUCAAGUCAUCUAUUCCCAGACGUCUACUUUCUUCCACUCCUAAUGUUCUUGCAUCCGUAUCAUCUCCCAAUGCAAUUGAGUUUCUUCCAAUGGCAGUUCCAUUCCCAAUUGCAAUUCUCAGAAGUUCAUAGUCAGCAAAAGUGUCUGUCUGAAAGUUGACAUGGGCCGGGUGGGACUAACAAAGGGAAAAAAAAACAAUUAAUGCAUACACAUACAAAAUAAUAAAUUAUCAUAUAAUAUAUUUUCGAAAAUAGAAGCUCACCUUAAUAUAAUCUUUCCACACUUCAUCACUAGCAGUGAACUUCUUUGUGAUUGGAUCCCACCCAAACCCAGAGCUAUGACGCAUAAGCUCAGAAAAAAUAUUAUAUCGUUGCUUAAACCAUUUCAAUCGGCUUAAGUAUUGUGAAUGAUUCCUUUCACAUCCAAGUUUUGCAUUAAGAGCAGGGAGUAUCUUUUUCUCAACUGUUUGCUUACUUAGCAUUCCAUUACUAUCACGCCAUCCACGAUUGGCGGCAUCAACCAUGAGCUGUAGCAACUCAUUGCUCUCUUCCAAUGUCCACAAUUUAUAACCUCCACUAACUUUGCUCUUUCCUUUGUCAUUUCCUCGUUGUGAUUCUUCCAUUGAUAAUUACUAUAUCACACGUACAACUCCUUAUUAAUUGUGUAUAUUUUCAUAAUAGCUUAUUGGUAAACUGCAUCCAAUGCACCUUUUAAAUUUUUAUUUAUCAAAUCUAAUCACAUAGACAAGUAACAUAUUCUUAUCAAAAUAAAUAAAUAUUACUCAGUCAUCAAUAAUAUUUCAUAAACACUCACAAAUCAACAUAAAUGGUUAGAUUACAAAAGAGUCUAUAUUCCAGCAAUUCUCCUAACCUAAUAUGUGGGAUGUAAAUAUUAUAUGAAAAAAUUAUCCACCUAACGAAUUAUGGGUAAAAAAACAGUACCUAAAGAAUAAAUUAAUGGGUUUAGGGGCAACAAAUUAUAUAAUAAAAUAUUGUAUGCAAACAUAGCAUAUGAGACAAUCAAUAUAAUAAAAUAUUUAUAUGCAAACACAGCUUUUUUUACUAAUAGAAGAAAUAUUCAUCAAUAGAGGGAAAGUAAACGUGUGGAUGAGAAGAGAAGAAAAAUAUUCAAUAUUUUUUUACUAACCUGAAGGAAGUGGAUGACAAUGGGAUACCAAAGUGGAGCCCUAACCAUGAAGAAAAAAGAUCUAUCUGCUUGAUGCUUGAUAUAACAAGGGAAGAAAGAAUUGGAGACGUUUGGAGAUGUUUUGGUUCUAUCUUCUCAACUUCCCAAUAUUUUCAUAAAGUCUGGUGUAAAUUAGCAAGACUUUUGGUAGUAAGAAUUACCUUUAAAAGUAUUGAAAAGUCAUUUAUUUAACAAAGUUUUUAAAAGUCAUUAAUAUUUUGGAUACCUCAAAACUUUUAAAUACUCUUUAAAACUCACAAUUGAAUACAACUAAACUUUUAAAGACUAUUUAAAAGUCACAAUUGAAUACCUAGACUUUUAAAGUCAUUAAAAGUCAUUAAAAGUUAUAAUUGGAUACACCCCCCCUCCUUCUGCUUGCAGCUUGCUUUAGUAACUUAAGAACAAGUGAUCACAGCCCAUUUAGGUUAACCCAGGGUAUGGCAGCUGGAAGUUCUCCCGAAAAUAAGUUUCCAGAAAUGUCCAGGAGUACCAGAGUUUCCUUGCUUAUGUUCCACAUCCAGUUUGGUACUUCGCCAUGUAUUUGGUUUCUUGCCAUAUCCAACCGCUCCAACUUUGUCUGAUUUCUUAGGAAAUAUGGGAACUCUUUUAAAUUGCAUGAACUCAAACCCAGAAUAGUGAACUGUCGAACAGUUGCAUUCAUCAUAUUGGAUUCAGUAACAAAUUCAAAAUUGUUCCAACUCAAUUGGAGUUGGUACAGAUUUUAUUGCUUCUCAAACAUUUGAAAUUCCACUACACCACUCAGGUUAUUUGAAUGUAGAUAAAGGAUCUCAAGAUUGAUGAGAUUGGAAAAUGAGGCUGGAAUUGAACCACUCAAAUGAUUAAAAGAAAAAUCUAGGUAAACUAGUUCGCUAAAGUUACCUAGCUAAGAUGGAAUUGGACUUCCAAAUCUGUUUGUUGAGACGUCUAGAUAAGUGAGCUGUCUAAGAUUACCAAGUGCAGAUGGACCCAAAAGAUUCUGAAAAAUUGCAAUUAGCCACAUCCAACUCUUGCAAUGAAUUAAGCUUUUCAAUUGAUGAAGGUAUUGUUCCCAAAAAACCUAGUAGAAGCAACUCUCAGAGAUAUGAGGGGACUACUUUGAUUAAAUUCAGGAAAAUAUCCAGUGAGAUCUUGAUUGUAUCUCACACCAAGAACUUUAUAGGUAAACAUGUAUUUCUUGUUGGUGAUUCAGGGAUUUUAAGCAUUUUUUGGGUUGUGCGUAUUCUCUCCAAAUCAAUUCAACUUCUUGUCGCGUUUGGUCACUGGAGAAGUUGUAUUCAUAUUUGGCACCUUAGUUGCUUUGUAUUUGUUUUUUUUUUUUAAUAUCUUAUUAAUAAAAUACUAUCGCUCUUUUGUCAAAAAAAUUCAAGAUGUAAUUAAUACUAAGGUUUAAUGAAAUUUUACAUCAUCUGUUAAAUUGGUAAUGUGGCAAGCAAAAAAGCGGUCUCCGCUCUGUAUAGCUUCAACUUGGAUUCAACAUAGAUGAUGCAGCACCACCCAGCCCCUUGCAUUUGGAGCGGUCGUUAUUAAACCAGUGCAAGAUUUUAAUACUCAGUUUAUAUACAGUUCUUACUUGAGCAUUGCCCUUGUAUUUCCAAUGUUCUAAAAUAUUCUUUCUUUGCCCUCUUAAGCUAAAUAACCUUCUAUGAAAGUGAAAGAGCUUUCUGUAUCCAACAUUACAUUGGCGUCCUUAUUGAUGUUAAACUGCAGGAGAAGCAGAACCUUUGUAGCAAAUCUUCUCUCUCUUCAUUCACAAGUCACUAGCAUCUGUUAACUACACAGGACCAAAAGACGAAAGGCAUAAAACAUAACUAAUCUAGAAAUCCCUUCACCAAUAGCCACACACUCAGAAAAUUGAUGGAUAUAUUAAACCCAACAAAUUAAUAUAUCAGUCUCUGAGUUGAUUCAAUUGAACAACUUAUGCUGCAAGGUCAUGCAGUCUUCAGUCUUCUUUCCUCCAAGCAACGUCAACAAGGUAUUGAUAUGUUCAAAUGCUGACCAACUUUUUUUGUAGAGAAUGAAUCUGUCACAUGCCGUCGCGCUUCUAUGCCCAUUCUCUGCGCAAUCUGCUGGUCUUGGAUAAGUUUAGCCAUACCCAAUCACAAAGAAAUCAUGUUUCACCGUUCUUAACUGUCUCUAGAGCCCCCACUGUUGCACAAAAUGACAGGUUUAUAAGCUGCCAUAACCACACAACACAAAUUAUCCAAACCCCUCUGUACGUCGAAGAGAGAUUUCCACAAAUGAAACCAAAGCAAUGACCUUGUGUAUUUUAAAGUCUGCAUUGACCUUCGUCCUCAAGCGAAGAUCUUCUUAUACUGAAUUUUCUUUUUUGAUUUUUAAGGCAGCUGAUAUGCGAUACCAGCGCAUCUUCCAUGUCAAUCAAAGUCCAAGUUCCAAGUUGUUUUCUUGUUUUAAACUUUUCUAAGGAAAUUGGAAGAUAGUCAUUCUUUCCAAGUUGUUUGCCCCACAUGAAGGCAACUACAUAAAAAAAAAAAAAAUCACGUAUCAUUGACAAGCAGCAAUCGUUCACAAAGAAGUCCUUUCUACACAAAUGGCACAAUAUAAAAUUUAAAGGGAUUAAUUAUUGAUAUGGCCCUUGAAAUUCAAUUUGAAUCUCACUUUGCCAUCUAAAACUCAAUUUGUCACACUCUACCCUCUGAAACUCAAUUCUCCGUCUCACUUUGUCCAUAUUCAUUAACUCCAUAAAAAAUAACAUAGCAUUGAGUUGUGAAGAGCAAAAUGUUGAAAUUGAUAACAGUCAAGCCAUGCGUUGAUGCCCUAUUCAUGUUAUAAAAAUCUUUUCUAUUAAUUCAUAUUAGACUAGAUAAAAUAACUUUCAUGUAUUAAGAAAUCAAGGGUCACAAAUUUCAAAUUCCCAAAAAUAAUCAGUGAGAAAUCAUAGCAAAAAACACCAAAAAGAUGCACAAGGCGCAUUGGAUGAAUAUGUUAAAGCCAAGAUAUGGAAUCAGAGUCUCCAAUUCUCUGCAAAUUCUAAUUCAAAGUCUCAAAAGAGAAGUUUUUUCUGCCAUCUUGGGCCAAAACUGGACCCAACAUUUGGAAUAUGAAAGUAAACACCCGAGUUCGAUAUGAUCCAACCCAUUUCAGUUUCGGACUAAAACGGGUCGUCGUCGUCUUUCUCCAGUUCUCUACUUCUCACACAGAAGAGUCUGUAAAAGGAAGAAGAGAAGAGCAAUGAGUGGAGAAGAAUUAGCGGGCACCCCAGCGGCCAAAGCUCCUCCGUCUGCUUUAUUUUGUCGGCGCUGGCUGUAAGUCAUGAAUUUUCAUUUCAAUUUUAAGUCUUCUUCUUCUCCCUUUUUAAAUGGUUGGCUGAUUUUAAAUUCUGGGUAGUUAUUUGCACUGUUGGAAUCAACAAAUGGCGUGAGCUUCAGCGCAAGUCAAUUUUACAACAGCUGCAGCAGCAACAACAGCUCCCUGAAAAUGCCGCAAAUGCCCUUGAGUGAUCUCCAGGUUUAAGGCAAAUUUUCAAAUUUUGUCAUAGAAUUUGGCAAGUAAGCUUGAUCUUUGGCUUCAUUUUGAGUUUGUAAGUGCUGCUCCAGCUGAACUCGUGUUAGACUGAGCUUUGGUAGUUUGGUUGUUAAAUGAUGUGGAAAAUGGUGCAAAAAUUCAUGCCUUUCAAUCUGUUUGAAUAUUCGAAAUACCUAUGUGUGCAAAUUUCUUUGGCUUCAUUUUGAGUUUGAUCAAAUUGCUAAUCUGAGUAUUCCGCGUACAAAUUUGAAUGGUAAUGGGGAUUGUCUAGAUUUCCAUUUUGUAUACAUUUGUGCUUCUUUUGUGACAUUUUCUCUCUAGUUUAUAGUUUGAUUCGGGCAGUAUACAACAUUCUUGAGGAUGACUCAAAUAGCGAGAUUAUUGAUAUUGAGUAAGAAGGUGAGAUUGUUGAUAUUGAGUAAGAAGGUGAGAUUAUUGGUGUGUGUGUGUAUGUGCGCGCACGCAGUGGGGGUUUCUAUUGUGAGUACCGAAGAGCUUUCUCAUCUUAGAAUAUGUAUGUCUAUUGAAGCUGUGGAUUCUAAUCCAAAUCGAGGCGAAUUUGUCAUAUGUGAAUAAUGCUAGGUAAGAGUUCAGGCAGUCUUUAUUUAAGAUGCUUUGGCAUAAGAUGGCUUGGGGUUCCCCAUAGAAAUACAAUAGAAUGCAUGCUUCUAUUUGUUCACUUUGGAUAGUCAUGCAUUGCACUAUUUUAUUUGUUGGUUAUCAGAACAACCUACACUUGAAGAUUGUAAUUAUAUGUUAAUGGACCUUGUAUUUGUGCAGAUGCUACAUUAAACCAUCUUCAAGUAUAUAAACAAGCAUGUUUUUUAAGUUAUUAAUGAAAUUGGAACUUAGUGCCAGUAUGACAAUAGGCGAUAUGUAUGUGAUUUGUAGGGCGGUGAGAGUCAGUAGUUUUCUACUGUUAUGUCAUGGAUUUUGCAGCAUGCUCGCUUUCAACUAUCCUCGGAUGCUUAUGCAUAAUCAAUUGGAGGUUCUAACUUCUAACUUCACAUAAUGUAGCCAAAACCAUGAGGCAAUCACUUCACUGAGUUCUGCAACCCUCACAUAAUGCAGGUGAUAUGUAAUGCUAGUUUUCUUCAAAGUUUUCACUCAGUUUCUAAAUAAACAUGUCAAAAUGAGUUUCAUGAUAACGGAGUUUGUAAAAAUUAGGGGAAUGUCUAUAACUGCUUUGAGAUAGUUCUGUCAAUAGUGAUUGUUUGAGUCUGACAGUCUGUUGGGUACAUAUAGUUCUCUGUUGCGGCUAGAUGGCUGGAUGCAGUUUUUCAUUUGAAAGCCUUGAUGGACUUUUGGAGCUGAAGCUUUCAUGUUUGUUUUUGCCUAGGUACAUUCUUUUGUCGACCUAUAUCAAUAAAGGUCAUUGAUUGAGCAUAAUCAUAUCUGAAAAGAAUAGCAGUACAAAAAUAGGUAUGUGAAAAGAAAAAAGAAAAAUUAGUGUUUAGUAAUUAGCAUGUGCUACAUUACCUAUUUUUGUUUUAGAUAAGGUGGAUGAGUUUUAAAUUUUAUUUUGUUAAAGACCAAUUUGUAAGCCCAUGUGCUAAAAGCAUGAUUAAUAUAAGAGUUACAUUUACAUUUUUGCCAUUUUCUGAUAUUUUGUUUCCACUGUGAUACUAAAAUUAGCGAUCGGCAAGGACUAGAUGAGCAUCGGCAUUGCAACCAUAGCGAUCAACCUAGCGCCGAACCUUCAGGUGGCGCUCUUCAAAGCGACGUUGCAUGGUGAGCGAGAAGCACAUAUAGGAGAUCAUCAUUGUCGCGAGCCGAGUAUUGGCGCCUGUUUCAAAGGAGGUUUUUGUAUUGAAUCUGGGCUCCUUUUGGACUCUUCUCGAUUGCAGUCCUGGUUUUGUUAGCCUUUCACCAUAAUCAGCAUGAAGAUCGGGUGGAACAGCCUAUACUAGUAUGAUUGCUUAGCUCCCCUGUGCUGCUAUUAUGUGUUAAUUGAUUUAGUUUGUCCUUGAAUUGGUGACCUGUGUGUUUCUUCAACAUUUUAAUUUGAUAUUGGUUGAUAGGAAUUUGAUGUGUUUGCAGUCUGUUGUUUGGAUUAUUUGAGGUUUUCGUCAGUGAAAUUUCUGAUCAAGUAUGGAAAUACACAAUUGGGUUUUUAUUGUUUUGUUUAGACAUUUGUAUGAGUGGUUUUAGAUAUUUCCGAUGAAUCUCUAGUUAGUUAUUUAUAGGGAUAUGCGUGUUCCUUCAUUACUAUAUAACCUUGUCGAAAGACCAUAUGAUAUAAAUAGACUAUCAAUAACCAAGCAGAAGCAUGCAGUAAUCACGUGGUUGUGAUAUUAAACAUUAGCCUGUAGAUGUUAUAUCUAGAAUUUAGGUGUCACUAUUGGAUUGCUUCAGAUUAUCUAGCGUGCUUGUGAAGGCCUACACUCCCAGUCAAGCCUGGAGUUGUUAUUUGGGGAAGAAAAUGAAGCUUAUGUAGAACGAAUAGCAGUAAACUAUUAUGCUGUUAUCUGAUUUAGUAUCAGAUGACUCUUUUAAAGCAAACUUGUCUGACACACGUGUGAAUCAAAACCCUGGAUGGAUGUUCAAAUUUCCUUUAUUAUUACAAAAUAUUAGUGCUUAGUUAGUUGUGUGUGACAUAUGUCAAGAUAUUAUAGAGAUGUCAAAAUGAAGUAACAAGAUUGUCCAUGAUGACCUAUAGCUUGUAGACUGAGAAACAUCAGGUCCAAAGAAAUUGGGUGAUCACUGUGUAAAACUUUGUGUUUAACCUGGUAUCUCGAGAGCUGAAAGGAAUUUAGUUUAACUGGAGGAUAAUACAAUCUUCUUAUCUCUGGUUUUUAUUUCUAAUUCCGUGUAGUUGCUUCUGGCGUGCAUUGCCCACCCCACCCCAGUUAACAAAAGAAAAAUAGACAGUUUUGGUCUCUAGAAUUUGAUGAUGAAAAUUUUCCUCUUAGGCAGUCAAUGUUAGCCUUGGAAGUUCGCAUAACUGCUUUUUGAAUGCUGGGUAUUAUAGUAUUUGCCUUUUUAAUACUGAUAUUAUAGUAAUCUUAAUCUGCCAUUCUGUUGUACAUUGUCUACCUGUCUAUUCGUUUGUUUUCAAUUAGUUUUUCGGCAAUCAAGUAUCCAUUUAUACAUGAUUGUCUGCUUUCUUGUUAUUUUUUUGUUUUGGCAGGAGAACCUUUUAUUAAUGGUGAAGCAGUACCAUAUGAUCCCAAGUACCAUGAGGAAUGGAUAAGAAACAAUAGCCGAGCAAACAAGAGAAACAGACGCAAUGACAGACCUCGAAAUUAUGACAGAUCAAGGAACUUUGAUAGGAGGAGGGAAAAUAUGCAGAACCGAGAUUUUCAGAAUAGGGGUCAGCCUCCUAUGCCUAAUCAAGCUGGGCAAAAUCCUGGGCCUAACAUGCCUGGACCUGCCAACAACAUGAGGACUCCCAACAAUAUGGGGCCCCCGCCCCCCAACGCGGGUCCAAUGCCUCCCCACAACAACAUGGGUCCAAACUACAGUAAUGUGCAGCAGCCAAACAACUGGAGUGGUGGGCAGCCCAACAACAAUAGCAAUCAGAUACCUCAUAAUUAUAAUCAGAUGCCGCCACCACCACCUAACUACAAUCAGAUGCCCCCUAACAACAUGGGAGGUGUACCGCCAAACAACAUGAGAGGGGUGCCACCAAAUAACAUGGGAGGAGUGUCCCUACCGCCUAAUGCAGGAUGGGGGGGUCCUGGGCAAUUCCAAGAUAACUAAAUGCCAGGCAGGGAUGAUGGAGGCAUCCCCGGUGCAAACUGUUACUGAGCUUGAGGCUACGUCACGAUGAGUCUUGUAGGCAUGCUGUAGAUAAGCAAGGAGGCUGCUCUAGAUGUGCUGUAGGUUUUUUAUGUCACCGUUCUGGAAUGAUAUUUUGUUUGGCUUAUUGCUGGGUGCGAACCUGGUUGCCUUUUUAUCUGAAUAUGAUUACACUUUCAGGGUCGUCUCUGAUUGGAUUAAUCGUAUCUUUGCUUUGCUACUUGGUACUAGUUAUGUCAUGUCAUGUCAUGUAGUGCACAUAUUUGCAGAAAGCAGAAGACUGUUUAAUGAAACCACCAUGAUAGAGCAAUGCUAUCUUAUUUUUCAUCGAUUCCUAAUCAAUUGAACAAUCUAAACAAAACCCAAAAAGCAAUUAUGUGUAUAAUUUUUUCUCUCGGUGCUUGUGCUUGGCUUAGUAACUUAAAUACAGGAACAAUGGUGAAUACAACCCAAUUCACUUCAUCAUUAGUUCAUUCAUCCCAUUCAACAAUACAAACAAAACCCACAAAGCAAUUAUACAAGGAAAUUAUUCCGUCUGAGUCUGAACGCUUCUGCUUGCAGCUUGCUUUAGUAACUUAAAGACAAGAACGAGUGAUCAGAACCCAUUUCAGUUCAUCACCAACUCAUCAAAUUUCACAUCCCAAUCAAACCCAAAUUAAGAGCGAUUAUUUAGAAGCAAGAUUAGUGGCAGACAUGCCCAUAUAUCUCAGGCCAUGUCACUCUCAAGCAAGGUUAGUGAAAAAUAUUCAUCCGAUGGGCAUCUUUUUAGUGUUUUUUGCUGUGAUUUCUCACUGAUUAUUUUUGGGAAGCUCUCCAAGUUGAAAUUUGUGACCCUUGAUUUCAACAAUUUACAAGGUUCUUUGCCCUCAUCUUUGAUGAAUUUCACAAACCUUGUAGAACUACACUUGGGAUCCAAUCCAACAACUUGGAAGGUGAUAUCUGCAUGCUUGAUUUUUCCAGACUUAGUCAAUAACUUUACUGGUACGUUUCCAAUAAGCAUUUACUCAUGUAGGUCCCUGAAAGCAAUUCAAUUGACUUCAAGUCAUCUAGGGGGGCAAAUACAACCUCAGAUUCUUUCAUUGAAAUACUUGUCCUCCCUCUCAAUUGGUGGCAAUAGAUUAACCAAUGUCAGAGGAGCAAUGAAAAUACUAAUGCGUUGCUUUCAGAAUCCUUUAUAACUGCAUCGCUUUCAAGCUACCUAUAAGAAAAUCAAAAAAUUAGAUGCAGCUUUCUCAGAACUGCCUUUUAGCUUGCGGCUUGCUCGAAAUUACAGAAUUGCUAUCUUCCACUACAAAUGCAACAUCCGCAUGCCAACAUCCAAACACCCACCUCCCAGAAUCAUUCUUCACAACUCAACACAAUUCACUAGUUCCUGGUUGGGGCUCAUUUGAUUGCUAUCAAUAUAUUCAGCAAGUAGUUGUUAACUUGUGCCCACUCAGAGGGUUGAACAUUAUUGCUCUACCAAGAUAUUAUAGUAGUUGCCUUCUUGUGGGGCAAACAACUUGGAAAGAAUGACUAUCCACCAAUUUUGAAUUUUCUUAGAAGAAUCAUCAACAAGAAAACAACUUUGAACAUGAAUAGGACGUCAAUGUAUAAUGUUGGAUCAGGCUUGACUGACACUGUCACUCUCAGGCCAUAUCUAUCAGGCAAGAAAAAUCGCACCAUGUAUCUUCCAAAUUCCACGAAAAAUUGUCAUCAUAUUGAAAGAAAACACCAAUGAGGGAAAACACGUCAAACAACGUUUGCAUCCACAUCUGAAAACGCAUUAACUACAUCCAUGAGAUUUUUUAUUACUGUUAAAAAAAUCAUGACACAUCCUAUACAGCUUAUAACUCGACCAGCAUGGAAAUCUCUCUUCAACGUAUAGAAGGGGUUUCAAGAAUUUGUAUUGUAUGGUUAUGGUUGUUUGCUAAUUUCCUACUUUGAGUACUUGGCCUUGUGGACUUUAAAUUAAGUAGGUCAAGUCCACUCCUAGUGGCAUUAGUGGGAAUAUCUUUUAGGGUAAACUGCCGAAAUGCCUCCUGAACUUGUACUUAAUUAUCAAUUUACCUUAUGACCUUUUUUUUAAGCGAAUUAAAGGCUCAAAUUAAAAUUUAUUAUCAAUUCUUCCCCUAUCGUCUAAAUAAAUAACGUUUCAUCCAAUAAUCCGUCAAAUCAUUAAAAAAAAAAAUAUUAAUGAUGUCGGGAAUUCUAUAGGAUUUGUCUCGGGUUUCGAGGAAUUUGGGACGGGUCCUGUCAUAACCAGUCGACAACUCUUGCGCUUAUCUCUCAUAGCUCUACCAUAUCCAUGGUAUGAAUUUUCUUUUAAAACGUCUUCUUAUUUCAAUUCUUGUAAUCGUUUGGGUUGGAUUGAGAAAUCUCCAAUACCUCUUCCUUUACUCUGUAAUUCGAAUUUGAGGAUAGUUGGUGGAUUAAUUAAAGAAUCUUUUGUUAUUUAGUUUAAAAUCCAAAGUAAACAUAAAUUGCAGAAGAAUAUAUAUAUAGAUGAGAUUCACUUGAUUAUCUGAGGAACGAAUCAUGGAUUAUUAUAAUACAUAAAAUCAGACUCCCGCUCUUUUUACCCUUCAAACAAUCCAGGAAGAUUAGCAUUCGAGCCCGAAAGGGUAUGGGGACCCGAAAGGAAUAGUAAAAGAAAAGGAUACCAAGUUUAGUUGGGCCCGAAACUGCACCAGUGGGCCUGAACUGACUAUUGAUCUAGUUAAAAACAAGAAAGUAUUGAAGUAGGUUAAUAAAACCCAGGUAGGGUUUUUUGUUGACCACGAACUUAAUCUUGCUCUGUUGCCCGUUCAGGUGCUGCUCACACUUGUCAAGGUGAUAUUCACGAAGAAAAGAAUAUUGAAGUCCUCUUAAUUGAGACAUAUAAAAGAAUCUAUCCAGGCCAGUACCCCCAUGGAGCACAAUGGCUUGAUGAGAAGUCUAGAAAUGAGGUGCAAACUCCAUCAGCAUCAGUCAUUCAUAUCCACACCAGAUCUAUUGAGCUGGUUAUAUCCUCAAUAGUGGCACGCCUGCGCAACAAAAGGGAUCAACACUACGAAGAAGUUGACAAACAGGGCCUCGAUCAGGCCUGACUUCUCUUAGCAAGCUGAUUCAACUUUCAGUUUUGUCCAAAAAUUAAAGAAGUCCCUUUUGCAAGCGAAGAUACACCAUUUGAUCGGGGCAUUGGUGUUGAUAUAAUAAUUCCUCUUUGUUCAUCAGAGCAAAGUUGGCCCUCGUGGUUGCUAAAAGGAACGAAGGAUGGGAAAAAGCGCCAACAAUUUUCAUUUCCUUUCUGUCGAUAUACUGUUUUGAGAGGAAAAAGAAAAUAGACUUGGAAAAUUUCAGCUUUUGCUAUGCUUCGUACCUUGAAUCCUAGCUAUUUUUUGAUCCAACUCCGUUUGUAUUCCUUUGCUUUUGUUCUGUUUUGCUCCUUCCCGUUUGGAUUGUUCAAUGGCAUCAGAUUUCGACCCAAAAAAAAGAAAGAGAUGUGCUUCGAGGUCCUAAUGCAAGAAGCCAUAACCGCCCCUCUUGCACUCAAACCCUCGUCGUCGGCCUCCAUGUGGAGUUCUCAUGAUUUGAACAAACGACUCCGUUUUGGACCUCUCCGCCACCACACUCAUGCUCCUCCUCGAGGACGUCUAGCGAUUAGCGCAGCAGAGUGAGAUGAAGACCCAGCAGGCGAUAAAUGACUUUUGGAUGGCCCUAGGCAAUGAACUAAAUAAGGCCCCUUCCCUUGGUAUACAAUUGCGAAAAAAAACAAAUAAAAUGAUUUUAUGUAGCGCGUAGAGCAUGUGAAUAAUGAUUUUAAGAUAAAUAAUUAUAGAGCAUAAUCCUACAUGGUCAAUUCUAAAGCUGAGUCUUACAUGGUCAAUUCUAAAGCUGAGUCUAAGUCUCUUAACAGCAAAGUCAUUGUCUGUGUAUAAUCUGGAAAAUUAAAAAAUAGUUUGAUGGAUAGGAACAAAUAUAUAUAAAUCUGAUUACUUUUUCAAUUUCUCAUGUUCCUCCCCUCUUGGUCACCAUCAAUCUCAAAGACAAUUUGUGAGCUUUUUAGUGUGAGAUUGAUUCUUAGGGUUAAAAUAUGAUAAGAUAAAAAAAAAGGAUGAGAGAAAUUGAAAAUAAUGGAUGGAUUGAAGAGAGAUGGGGAAAAAUAUGGUGGUGGAUUAUUAAGAGAUGAGUGGAUCAAAUAGAAUUCUUCCAUGGAGAAACUAACUAGGAGAGGAAUCGCCUUCCUCAAGCACAUGUUGUUUCUGUCUCUGCGUGGGAAACGAAGAAACAUUCUGGGAAGAGGAAACAAAGAAACCUAAUUUAAUCGCGUGUUGUUUCUGUUUUUUUAAUAUAUAAAAUUGGACAAUAGUGUAUAUUUAUUUUUACCAUAAAAUUAUCAACACGAAAACAUCUUAGAAGCUCAUCGUAGCCCUCUUUAGACCUAAUAUGGUCUACAAUAGUUGAUAGUAACAGCUAGAAGGUCUGGUCCUCUCAUCGUGGCCCUCUUUAGACCUAAUGUGGUUUUCAAUUUUGGCUACAUUAGUUGAAGUCUCUGUUCGACGUAUAGAAGGGGUUUGAAGAAUUUGUAUUGUAUGGUUAUGGUUGCUUGCCAAUUUCUCACGUUGAGUACUUUGAAGGCGUUGUGGACUUAAAGUAAGUCAAGUCCUCUCCUGGUGGCAUUAGUGGGAAUAUCUCUUAAUACCCAAUGAGGCCUUCUCUCUGGUUUCAUUAGUGGGAAUAUCUCUUGGACGAAUUGAGGGGUUUCAAUAUCAAUAAUUUGCAUUGUGUGGUUGUUGUUUGCCGAUCGACUUCUCAAUUUGCAGUGAUGUAUGCAUCCUUUUCAAGCAUCGUUGCUCUUAUAUAUAUAUAAGUGAUUUCAUUUAGGUAUCCAUCAAAUGAGCUUACUUGAAUCCGAUAUCAUUUGACUACUUAAUUAAAUUAUUGAAAUUUAAGUACUUUCUUGAAGCACAGUGUUCAUUGAUUUUGUUGAUCUCAAUUAGAUGCCUAUUGAUUUUCAAUAUGCAUGAAUUUUUGGAAAGAUGAUCUAUGAAUGAAGUUGUGAAAAAUAGAUGUUUUUGAUUGUUCAAAAAUUUUUUGUAAGGGACUCUAAGGGGUCUCCCUCAAAUAAAUUAUUUUGAGGAAUCCCUCAAUAGAAGGGUACUGAUACAUACUUAUAUAUAUAGACCAGCUUGUAACCUAAUGGCUCAUGGCUUCGUUCUCUUCCUCUUAUUCUCUUGCAUUAUACCUACAAAUAUUCAUGCCUGCAAACAAACUGAACAGCGCUCCCUUCUGUCCUUUGCCUCCAUUCUAUCUUCUCCUCCUUUAAAUUGGACAUACACUAUGAAGCUGUUGUUGCUGACGUUGAAACUAGUUAAGUUGCUUGCUUGUUGGAAGAAUGAAGAUGGAAUUGCACCAAAGAAGUGAGUAAGUCUGGAAAAAUCAACAAUAGUUUGAGUUUCAAUGUCAGCAACAAUAGCUUCACAGGGUAUGUCCCAUCCUCUAUUUGUCUCCAACAUUCUUCAACCUUCCUUAGGCUAUUGGAUUUUUCUUCCAAUCUAUUUAAUGACGACCUUGCUCCUGGGUUAUGGAAGUGUUCUGAACUGCAGGUUUUUCGCACCAAUCACAAUAACCUCUCAGGAUUACUUCCAAAAGAUAUCUAUAAUGCUACCAAACUUUAAGAAAUUGCAUUACCCUCUCAAUUCACUACAUGGAGCCAUUAGUGAUACAAUUGUCAAUCUCACCAACCUUGCCAUCCUUGACCUCUCCUUUAAUCAUUUUGGCGGCAAGCUUACUCCCAAUUUGGGGAAGCUCUCCAAGUUGAAAUUUGUGACCCUUGAUUUCAACAAUUUAGAAGGUUCUUUGCCCCAGUCUUUGAUGAAUUGCACAAACCUUGUAGAAUUGCGUUUGGGAUCCAACAACUUGGAAGGAGAUAUCUCUAUGCUUGAUUUUUCCAGACUUACUCAACUUACUAAACUUGACCUAAGGAUGGAUAACUUCACUGGUAUGAUUCCAGUAAGCCUUUAUGCAUGUCGGUCCUUAAAAGCCAUUCGAUUGUCUAGAAAUCAUCUAGAGGGAAAAAUAGAAGCCGAGAUUCUUUCAUUGAAAUCCUUGUCCUUCCUCUCGAUUGCUGUAACAUCUCACAUCGACCAAUGGAGAGGGAGUGAUGUGCUUUAUAUGUACAUGUCCACCUCUAUCUAGUUCAAAGCCUUUUGGGAGCUCACUAACUUCGGAGUCAUGGGAACUCCGAAGGUAACCGAGUUUGGGUUAGAGCAAUCCCAGGAUAAGUGACCUACUGGGCAGUGCUCGUGAGUUCCCAGAAACAAAACCGUGAGGGCAUGGGGGGGCCUAAGGCAAACAAUAUUGUGUUACGGCGGAGUCGAUCCAAGGUGUGACAGAAUGGUAUCAGAGCCACUCUGCCGUGUGGUGUGAGUGUGCUGACGAGGAUGUCGGGCUCCUAAGAAGGGUGGAUUGUAACAUCCCACAUUGACCAACGGAGAGGGGGUAAUGUGCCUUAUAUGUACAUGCCCACCUCCAUCUAGCACGAGGCCUUUUGGGAGCUCACUGGCUUUGGAGUUUGGAAACUCCGAAGUUAAGCAUGUUGGGGCUAGAGCAAUCCCAGGAUGGGUGACCCAUUGGGAAGUUGCUCAUGAGUUCCCAAAAAUAAAACUGUGAGGGCAAGGGGCCCAAAGUGGACAGUAUCGUGCUACUGCGAAGUCGAUCUGGGAUGUCAUAUAAUGGUAUCAGAGCCACUUUGCCAUGUGAUGCGAGUGUGCCGAUGAGGACGUUGGUGUCCCAGCAAGGUACCUCUUUUGUACCAAGCCAUGUCCUUAAGUUUGUCCCAUGCCUUGGGCAAGUCAGGCAGUGCCACAAUGUUCAUAUUUAUAUGGAAAUUUGAAACUCAUUCGUUGAGGAGUACAUGUGUUUCUUGUAUUGUAAGUGCCACUACUACAAAAAAGCAAAAAGACGACGGUAAAUCACCGUCGUGUAUUUGGUUUUUCAAUGGUCGUGGAAUCCACCGUCAUCUUUUCCCUCAUAAACCACGACGCUAAAUAACCGUCGUUGUUAAACAAUACAACGUCAUCAAAAAAUACAAAACGACGUCUUUGUACUGCAAAAAGAUCUAAAAAAAGCAAUCGAUGAUGAUAAUAGACGACCAAUUCUCUAAAAAGACCGUCGUUAAAAAGGGAAAAUAUGACACAUAUUAAGAGAACAAGGCCGCAAGAUAGACAUACAACGACGACAAUAAAAAUACGCCGACGUUAAAUAUAAUUUUCACGACAAUAAAAAAUAUGACGUCUUUAAAUACAUUAGAAGACGACGUUAUUGAUACCUACUACGUCGCACAUAUAAACACAACCGUCGUACAAUUAAUUUUCCACUUCGAUUUUUUGAUAAAAGAUGACGUGGAAAUAGUUGUCAGUGUCAUUAUUUACGACGUAUGUGUUUCUAUAGUAGACGUUGAAAAACUAAACAACGUCAGUUACAAAUAUAUGAGAGUCGUAUUAAAAAAUUUAUACGUCCUAUUUUCAGAAACAAACAACGACCAUAAAUAUUAGACGUUGUUAAAUACAACAACGUCGGAAAACAAUAAAAACAGACGUGUUUAGUCUGCUAAAGUUCUACAACGUCUCUUAUUUACAAAAAACCGUCGUGAAAUAAAUUUUCCACUUCGAUUUUAUCUAAAAAAGAUGACGUGGAAAUAGUUGUCAGUGUCAUUAUUUACGACGUAUACAUUUAUAUAGUCGACGUUGUAUUUAUAUGUAUUCAUUACUCACGACGCACUUAAUAAUAUAGACGACGUUGAAGGUCUAAACAACGUCGGUUCCAAAUAAAUGAGAGCCGUAUUACAGAACAUAUAGACGGCGUAGAUUAUGAUGGGAGCCGUAUUACAAAUAACGUCGUUUAAUUGUUAUUAGACGGCGGUUAUAAUGAAUUUCCGUCGGAAUUAAUUUCGUUCCUCUUCGUUUAUAAAAGAACUUGCGACGUGGAAAAUGUAUGAUGACGUCGUAUUUUUUAACGUUCAGAUUACAUAUCUCGUUUUUUAGACGUCGGUAUUAUGGGAUUGGAGUCGUGUUAUUUUGAAUUACAUGGCGGUUCUUUAUCCUUCACCGACGUGAUAUCCUGAAUAAUUGCUUCACAAUAGCGUCGUGGUUCUUCAUUGUUACGUUGCUUUAAGACGUCGGUAAAUAUGCUGAAUAACUGAUUCACAAUAACGUCGUGUUUUAUUUGAACGUAGAAAGUGAAGAAAUCACAUUACAAUAUAUUACAAAAUUAAUGUCAUACACUGCCAAUUACAUAAGCAUCAUUCAAUCCAUAUAUCUUCACACCCAUCUCGAAUAUUUUGACCGCCUAACUCACCUACCAGUUCAUCAAAUGUGUCAACAUUUGGCAUCCCUCUAGUAAAUGGCUCACACUCAAUUAUCACAUCACCUAAUACUUCAUCACCAAUAACAUCAUUAUAUUCUCUACUAGGCAUUGAUAACACUACCGACCAACCACGAUGCAUCGGGUCGUCAACAAAAAAUAUUUGUUUGACUUGAGAAGCCAAAACAAAUUGGUCAUUCCUAUGUCCAAUUUUACUCAAAUCUACAAGGGUAAAUCCAAGUUCGUCGACUACAAGACCAGAACUAUCUAUCCAAUCACACCUAAAGACUGGGAUUGUAAACUUUUGGUAGUCAAGGUCCCAAAUUUCUUGAAUGACACCAUAGAAACCCAUAUUUGAGAGAAUUGGGUUUUUAUCCUUGGCACUAGCAACUUGCAUGGUAUGUGCAAGUAAAUAAACUCCACUAUUUUGAGUUGUCCGCACAUCAUCUUGUGCCUUGAUAUUGAAUUUAAUACCUUUAAUAAGAUAGCUCCUAUAUAAUGGCACUGACAUGUUUGGACCAGCUGCUAGCCACCUUAAAUUUUCUGAUACGCCAUGAUUGUCUUCCUCAACUUCACUUUGAACCUGCAAAUUAAUCAUAUCUUAAUUCAUCCUAACAUAUAAAUAAGAAGAAAAUUAAAAGAGAAAUACGUUAUUCAACAACAUAUACCUUGAAGCGUAGCCAUUGAAUGAAAGUGCUAUUGUGCUUAUCCUGCAGCCACUUUGUUCUCUUUCUAAAUUUUGGAUAAGCAGUCUUGAUGUGGAUCAUAUGUUGCCUACAUGACACGAAAAAUUCAAGCAUUACGGUCCCAAAUAUAUAAGAUAAACAUAAGAAAUAAUUUUAAAUGGAAACUUAAAGAAUAAAACUCAUACGUACUCGAUAUAAGGUAGGACUUCCUCCGUAUUCUCCAAGACAUAUAGAUGUGCUUGAUUCAACAGGUCCUGAUCAACUACGCUCACUGUGCAACCUGAUAAUGGCUUUGAAACUCCCAUCUUUUGGCUUGAAGGCACUCCAACUGUACUAACAUCAGAUAAAUGCUGAGUACAAAACUCUACCGCUUCUUCAGCUAUAUACCGCUCAGCAAUGCAACCUUCGGGACGAGUACGAUUCUGAACAUACCCCUUCAGCACUUUCAUAUAUCUUUCAAACGGAUACAUCCACCUAAAAUAUACUGGCCCACAUAGACGAACUUCUCUGACAAGAUGUACUACUAGAUGAACCAUGAUAUCAAAGAAUGAAGGGGGAAAGUACUUCUCAAGCAAACACAGAGUAACUACUACAUCUUCUUCCAACUUAUCUAGCUUGGAAACAUCAACAGUCUUUGCACAUAUAGCAUUGAAGAAGAAGCACAAACGAGUUAUUGCAUACCUUGCAGGCUUCUCCAAAACAGAACGAAUUGCCACAGGGAGCAAUUGUUGCAUUAAGGUAUGACAAUCAUGUGAUUUAAGGCCAAGAAGUCUUGAAUCUUGUACAUAUACAAGAUUUUUAAUAUUUGAAGAAUAACCUUCAGGGACCUUCAUACCAUAGAAAGAAUUGCAAACCUCUCUCUUCUCUGCUCUUGACAAAUUCCAAGGCCCAGGAGGCAAACGAGUACGUCUUUCUCCAUACUCGGGUUGCAAAUCAGUUUUGACCCCCAUGUUCAAUAAAUCUAAUCGAGCAGCAAUCCCAUCUUUAUUUUUUCCAGGGAUCUCCAGCAAUGUACCAAUGAUACUAUCGCAAACAUUCUUCUCAAUGUGCAUAACAUCUAGGGCAUGCCUCACAGGAAGGUAUUUCCAAUACUCGAGAUCAAAGAAUAUUGAUUUCUUCUUCCAACAAACUCUGUCACCAUUUUCAACCAUAUGCAGCACUUCUUCUCCGGUUAAUGGCUCUGGAGGUAUGCCAUAUUCAGGUUUCCCAUUAAAAGCUGCACGUUGCCUCCUAUAUGGAUGAUUGAUUGGUAACCAUUUUCUAUGCCCAAUGUAACAAAUUUUGUGGCCAUUUUUCAACCUGUGACUAGGUGUAUCAUCGCCGCAUAUUGGACAAGCUUUAUAUCCUUUAACAACACAACCAGAUAAGUUUCCAUAGGCGGGGAAAUCAUUAAUUGUCCACAUUAAUGCAGCUCUGAGUGUAAAGUAUUCUCCAUUAUGUGCAUCAUACACUCCUCUAAUCCCAACCCACAAGGAUUUUAAAUCAUCAAUCAAAGGCUCCAAGUAGACGUCUAUAUCAUUUCCGGGUUGUUUAGGACCGGAAAUCAAUAAGGUUAACAUCAUGAACUUUCGUUUCAUGCACAGCCAUGGAGGGAGAUUAUAUGUAACUAAGAUAACCGGCCAACAACUAUAUCUGCUACUUAGAGAACUGUGGGGAUUGAAUCCAUCAGAUGAAAGAGCCAAUCUCAAGUUUCUCGGCUCAUUACCAAACUCAGGCCAUUUAUCAUCAAGAAGUUUCCAAGACGGGGAAUCCGCCGGAUGAGACAUCUGACCGUCAAUUGAUUUUCUAGCAACAUGCCACCAAGUCAAACUCUUAGCUGUCUCAUGUGAUUGAAACAUCCUUUUAAACCUUGGAAUUGGGGGAAAAUACCACACCACCUUCGCUGGCACACCCUCUUUCAAGAUUGCAUCUUUGCCUUCCUUCCACCUUGAGAUACCACAAGUAGGACAAUUAGUUGAAUCCUCAUACUCCUUCCUAUACAAGAUGCAAUCAUUGGGGCAUGCGUGCAUUUUCUCAUAACUCAGCCCCAAUGCACACAAAGUCUUUUUAGCCUCAUACAUGGAGGUUGGUAUUGUAUUUCCUUCUGGAAGCAAAUCGCCUUGAAGUAUCAAUAAUUCUGUAAAACAGACAUCACUCAUCCCAUGUUUUGCCUUCAAAUUAUACAACUUCACUAAUGCCGAUAACUUCGUGUACUUUCUACAACCAGGGUACACUGGUUGAUCUCCAUCCCCAAUCACAUUGGCAAACUCAUACGGAUCCGAACCAAAAUCACCAAAAUCAUUAUCAUCCAUAUCAAUUUCUUCAGACACAAAACUGUACCUACUAUGGCCAUCAUCUUCUUCAACAUUUCUGCUAGCAUUAGUAGUUGCUUCCCAAGGUUCUCCGUGAAAUGUCCAAUUCUUAUAGCUUUGGUCAAUUCCAUUAAAGUAUAAGUGAUCCCUUAUAAUUCCAACCCCAAACAACUUCAAAUUAACACAUUUAACACAUGGACAACGGAUAUGUGUUGUAGUUAGAAGAUUUUCUACAGCAAAGUUCAAAAAUGCUUCCACCCCAAACUCAUAUGCCUUCGAUCUUCUAUCCGAGUGCAUCCAUGACUUAUCCAUCUCCGACACUAUAACCUAUUAUCUAUAAUAAAGUGAAAAUACAGGCAAUGACCAUCACUAUAGCAGAUUAUACAAUGAUCUAAUCGCAAGUAAUAAAUAACAGAGACGACGGGUUUUAAUCAAAAACAGACGUAUUUGGCAUAUAUAGACGACGGAUUUUCAACAGACGUCGUCUAUUAUACGUAAUACAAACGACGGUUUAUGAAAAAACCGUCGUGUAUAAGUAAUACAACGACGGUAGUUUAAAAACACCGUCGUGUAAUCGUCGUCGUACGCCUUAAAAUUCGUCGUGUCUCAGUUUAUUUUCAAGAACACAAAACCCAUUAAGAACACAACAUAUAUAUGAAACCAAGCAAGAAACCAACAUAUACAUGAAACCAAGCAUGAAAACAAUAAAUCCAUUCCCAAUUCAACAUAACAUAGGGUGAUUAAAAGAUACGACAAAAUUAAAUCCAUUCCCAAUUCAACAUAACAGAUAAUGUAAUCCAUGAACCCAUUAAACAGAAAAUCCAUGAACCCAUACCUAUAAGCAUUGGUGCACUUUGCACCUUCUCCAGAGCGGAAAAUGACAAGAUCAAAUAAAGGUGUCCUUUUGCUGAAAAUCAUUUGGAAGUUGGUGAUGUGUCUUUUUGUGUUGAUUUCCAGCAAAAGUACACCUUUAUUUGAUCUUGUCAUGAACCCAUUAAACAGAAAAUCCAUGAACCCAUACCUAUAAGCACAUUAUUAACAGAUCGCAAAGCAUAUACCUAAAACCCUUUAACAAAACAACCUAAUAUCAUUCAAUGAAUUUACAAGGGGAAGAUAGGGUUUGUACUUACAGGUUGGACGAGCUCACAGAUUCGACGAGCCUGGAGAGUGCAACUUUUAAUUAGAGCAGAAGUGAGAGAGCGAAAUGUUAUGUCGCGUGAAAUCUGAAAUUUUAGGUUUCAGGGAUCAAAGUAUAAGACUAAGAGCCAAAUCUAAAAAAAUUUAGGUCGCGCGAAAAUUUUUAGAGCGCGCGCGUUAUAAAACGUCGAAAGAAAAACCAAGGCGAAAGUUCUACAAGUACCGACGUAAAUUUAAUAUUCCACGACGGAAACUUCAUUUUUCGGAUUAAGAACGUAAGGCCGUUCAUUUUUCGGAUUAAUUUUAAAUUUAUUUUGAAUUUUUUAUAUAACGACGACUGAAAAACCACGUCGGUGUUAAGAAAUUAAAGACGUUGUAAAUUAUAUAAACCGACUUACAUAUUAAAAUAACGUCGUUUAAAGCGUAAACCAUGUCGUAUGUUUUACUGUACGACGUAAAAUAUGUAUUCCACGACCCAACCACCGUCGUUAAAAAUUAAUACACUAAACCCAUAAAAUUAAAUUAUACAAUUUAAAAAAUUAAGUUUAUAAAAGGUUUUAUGGUUUUAAAGCCUAACAUAUAACAUAGACUACCCAAAAAUUAUACUUUAAAAAUAAACCCCAAUAAAUAACAACACUAAUCUCUAAACCCUAGACUCUAAACCCUAAACCAUUAAACUAGAAGUGAUUUUAUGACUCAUCAAAACAAUUUUGUUUUGGAUGGUCAUUUUAAAUUUUUGUUAUUCAAAAUGAAUUUUUUCAAGGUUUAUGUGGAAGAAAAUAUAUCAAUGACUUCAUAGGAGUUGACUUUUCAAUUUUCUGAUUUAUUUUAUAUUUAUUUUGAAUAUUUUGAUAUAAAAAUAAUAAAAUAUUCUUACCAUACAACAAACCACGUCGGUGUUAAAUAAAUUGUAGACGUUGUAAAUUGUAAUAGACUACUAAGUCGUUAAAAUGACGUCGUUAAAAUGAGAAACCACGUCGGUGUUAAGAAAUUAAAAACGUUGUAAAUUAUAUAAACCGACUUACAUAUUAAAAUGACGUCGUUUAAAGCGUAAACCAUGUCGUAUGUUUUACUGUACGACGUAAAAUAUGUAUUCCACGACCCAACCACCGUCGUUAAAAAUUAAUACCCUAAACCCAUAAAAUUAAAUUAUACAAUUUAAAAAAUUAAGUUUAUAAAAGGUUUUAUGGUUUUAAAGCCUAACAUAUACCCUAGACUACCCAAAAAUUAUACUUUAAAAAUAAACCCCAAUAAAUAACAACCCUAAUCUCUAAACCCUAGACUCUAAACCCUAAACCAUAAAACUAGAAGUGAUUUUAUGACUCAUCAAAACAAUUUUGUUUUGGAUGGUCAUUUUAAAUUUUUGUUAUUCAAAAUGAAUUUUUUCAAGGUUUAUGUGGAAGAAAAUAUAUCAAUGACUCUCAUAGAGAGUUAGACUUUUCAUUUCUCUGAUUUAUUUUAAAUUUAUUUUGAAUAUAUUGAUGUAAAAUAAUAAAAUAUUCUUACCCAUACAACAAACCACGUCGGUGUUAAAUAAAUUGUAGACGUUGUAAAUUGUAAUAGACUACUAAGUCGUUAAAAUGACGUCGUUAAAAUGAGAAACCACGUCGGUGUUAAGAAAUUAAAAACGUUGUAAAUUAUAUAAACCGACUUACAUAUUAAAAUGACGUCGUUUAAAGCGUAAACCAUGUCGUAUGUUUUACUGUACAACGUAAAAUAUGUAUUCCACGACCCAACCACCGUCGUUAAAAAUUAAUACACUAAACCCAUAAAAUUAAAUUAUACAAUUUAAAAAAUUAAGUUUAUAAAAGGUUUUAUGGUUUUAAAGCCUAACAUAUACCCUAGACUACCCAAAAAUUAUACUUUAAAAAUAAACCCCAAUAAAUAACAACCCUAAUCUCUAAACCCUAGACUCUAAACCCUAAACCAUAAAACUAGAAGUGAUUUUAUGACUCAUCAAAACAAUUUUGUUUUGGAUGGUCAUUUUAAAUUUUUGUUAUUCAAAAUGAAUUUUUUCAAGGUUUAUGUGGAAGAAAAUAUAUCAAUGACUUCAUAGGAGUUGACUUUUCAAUUUUCUGAUUUAUUUUAUAUUUAUUUUGAAUAUUUUGAUAUAAAAAUAAUAAAAUAUUCUUACCAUACAACAAACCACGUCGGUGUUAAAUAAAUUGUAGACGUUGUAAAUUGUAAUAGACUACUAAGUCGUUAAAAUGACGUCGUUAAAAUGAGAAACCACGUCGGUGUUAAGAAAUUAAAAACGUUGUAAAUUAUAUAAACCGACUUACAUAUUAAAAUGACGUCGUUUAAAGCGUAAACCAUGUCGUAUGUUUUACUGUACGACGUAGAAUAUGUAUUCCACGACCCAACCACCGUCGUUAAAAAUUAAUACACUAAACCCAUAAAAUUAAAUUAUACAAUUUAAAAAAUUAAGUUUAUAAAAGGUUUUAUGGUUUUAAAGCCUAACAUAUACCCUAGACUACCCAAAAAUUAUACUUUAAAAAUAAACCCCAAUAAAUAACAACCCUAAUCUCUAAACCCUAGACUCUAAACCCUAAACCAUAAAACUAGAAGUGAUUUUAUGACUCAUCAAAACAAUUUUUGUUUUGGAUGGUCAUUUUAAAUUUUUGUNNNNNNNNNNNNNNNNNNNNNNNNNNNNNNNNNNNNNNNNNNNNNNNNNNNNNNNNNNNNNNNNNNNNNNNNNNNNNNNNNNNNNNNNNNNNNNNNNNNNNNNNNNNNNNNNNNNNNNNNNNNNNNNNNNNNNNNNNNNNNNNNNNNNNNNNNNNNNNNNNNNNNNNNNNNNNNNNNNNNNNNNNNNNNNNNNNNNNNNNGUCGUUAAAAUGACGUCGUUAAAAUGAGAAACCAUGGCGGCUAUUUAACUAUACGACGUAAAUAUAUAUAUCAACGACUUAACCGCUGUCGUUACAUAAACGUCGUCGAUGAUACCCUGAACCCUUAAGAAAUUGAAGAUGUUGUAAACCAUAAACGACUCAAUUGUUCAAAGAACGUCGUCUAACUAUAUUUUUACGUCGUAAUUGUUUAAAACACGAAACAACAAAAUACGACGGUUUGUGACUUUAUUAGGUCGUUGGAAAAGUAUUACACGUCGGUUAAGCAAUUUGUAUGUUUGUUUUUUUUUUAAUUUAAGAAAACCUCAACAAAUUUUUACAUUACAUAUUAUAGAGAAAAUUUGUACAUUAUACAUAAAUAUCAAGUGUUCAAUAAUUGCCCUGUUUAAUAAUUUGGAAAACAAACUCUGCCCAUUCAUUCCGGACUUCAUCAAUGGCUUCUUGGGGGUAUGAAGCUUCCUGGUUUCCCUUGGCAUACUGCAUAAACAAUGACUAUUAGGGUUUAUAAAUAAAAAGAAAUUCAAUCACAGACGACGAUAUUUUUCAUAACCGACGUAGUAUAUCCAUUCAACGACGUUAAUUUUACAUGACCGUCGUUGAUAAUACAAAAAACGACGUGAAAUGUAUGAAGGUAAUUUCUUCUUACCUUAUUCUCAAACCCCAAGGAAGGAUCCAUGAUGAUGUCCCUCAUGAAGCGCAUCACAUAAUACCCGCAUUCGACAUUGCUGGGUUGCUUUGGUGUGCCUGAGAGAGUUUUCCAAAUUACAUUUUUACGUCCUGCUCGGCCUAUGUGGGUAUUAUAUAUUUUUAAAGCACUGUUCACGAUGUUUUUCGCCUCUUCGUCGACCACACGAUGACCUGGCAGAGGAUCCAGAAAAUAGACGGUCUCCUUCUUUGCUCUUACAAUCAGCAGGAUCCAAUGACGGCUGCACAAAAUUAAUAUAAAAACGACGGUUAUUUACAAAAACGACGUAUUAUAGUAUUUCACACGACGAAAUAAAGUAGAUAACGACGACAUUAUAUAUUUAUCACGACGACAAAUAAAUACCGACGUGGUUAGUAGUUUCAAACGACUAAAUAAAAUAAAACACCGACGUGGUUAGUUUAUAAGCUGUCAUUUAUUGAAAAUCAUAAAAACAAAAUCCUAAGGAGACUAACCCUGGAUUGUAAGGCAUCAUGAAAAGCUGUUCACCGUCUGUCUUCUGAAGUCGAGCUGCUACCAGUCGUGAUCUUUCAGUUAUUGUGCCAGAGUUGGCACUAACUGUAGCAGGGUCAAUAAAGCCAACCAUGCUGCACAUAUUGGCUUGUUUCAAAACAUCGUGUAAGUACCUAAAUACAUAAAAUAAUAUAAACAAGUCAGCACAAACAAACACGACGGUUAUGUAUAAAAAAACGACGUAUUAUAAUAUUUCACACGACGUACUGAAAUAGAUGAGGACGUUAUAAUAUAUUUAUCACGACGGUAGUUAGUUAAGACGACGUGGUUAGUUAGUUAAGACGACGCAAUAUAUAAACCAACGAGGUAUUAUUUUAGAAGUACAAACCUCAUAUAUACAGCCAAUACAGUAGCUCCAAUUUCUUCCAUGCCUGCAAAUUGUGUAAUAUCUUCAGGCAGGAGGAAGGUAUCGCGCUCACCACCAAACACCUCCUUAUCAAUUGUAAAUUGGAGUGUCUUAUCCUCAGGCAGGAGUGUCGUUUCCACAAAACGACAAAGGGUUUUUAAAGAAGAUGGCGCCUCCAUAUUUGAAUAAGCACCAACUUCAAUAACCUGUUUAAAGAAAUAAAAAAAAUGACGUGGUAAUUCAAUAAAGACGACGGUUUAAGUAAUAAAACGUCGUCUUAAAAGUAUUUAAACGACGGUGAAAAAACUGUCGUGGUAAUUCAAUAAAGACGACGGUUUUAUGAAUAAAGCGUCGUCUGAAACCAUUUAAACGACGGUGCAAAAACCGUCGUUUAAAUAUUUUAUUACGUCUUAAAAAAAUUCCGCCGUCUAAGUUUUAAACAAACGACGGAUUAAAUAAAAAUAUCGACGUCUGAAAUUUUGAAAAACAAAUAAAAAAGGCAAAGUUAUGUGAACAUACCUUGUCGUCAUGCUUUUCUUCAUCUUCUUUCUCCUUUUCUUCUUCCUUCUCUUCAUCUCUUUUUUCUUCUUCCUUCUCUUCAUCUGGCUGAUGUUUCCCCAUUUUGGCAGUAUCAUCCUCCAAAUGUAGGGAUCUCACAUCACCUCCAGAGCAGCUAGCUUUGUCAGACAUUGGAUUUUUGGGGCUUUGGCUAAUUCUUGGUUUAAGCAUGCUUGGAUCAAAAUUGGGAAUUAAUUGGGAAAGCUGACUCAGGAAAUGCUCCCUCUCAGCCUCUACCAAUUGUUUUGUCCUAGCCUCCAUCCUUAAGGCCUCUUCCCUUGCCUUAGCCUCCAUCUUUUUAGUCUCUUCUUGAAGGAGAACUCUUAAACUGUCCUUCAAACGGUCGUCAAAGCUCACCCUCUGUGGUUUGGGCAAAUUGAAAUAUUGCCUUGGGGAAACACCAGCACCAACUCCCCUCAGUCUGCCUGGAUGCUCGGGGCCCAAAGCCAUGGUCAGCACAUCAUUGCUGCCAUCUACUCUGACUUUGCCUUCCGAGACUUGUUUCUGCAAUUCAUCCUAAAAAAAGAUAAACAAAAAAACACACGACGGUUAUUUAUGUACAAACGACGUAUUAUAUAAUUUCACACGACGCAAUAACGUAUAAACCGACGUUAUUAUAACUUAUCACGACGGUAGUUAUACCGACGUGGUUAUUUAUUUAAAACGACGAAAUGAAUAAACAACCGACGUCUUAUGCUAUAAUUAAAGAUAACAGAGUAGUGAUUCCUAUUUAGACCGUUAAUGACGUUUUUAAAAAAUUUUCGACGUGGUAAUAUCAUUCACACGACGCGAAAAUGAACCACCGACGUCUUAUGCUGUAAUUACAGAAAACAUAGUAGUGAUUCCUAUUUAGACCUUUAACGACGUUUUUAAAAACUUUUCGACGUGGUAAUAUCAUUCACACGACGAAAAAUAUAACAUACGACGUAAUAAGAAUAAUUCACAGUUUAAUAAAAAUUUAAAACAGAGUGAUAGUAGGCUUACAAUUAAUUUUGCUUUCUCUGCCACCUUUGGAUCAGGGAUGUUACCAUGUUUGUCCUGUCUAGCUCUCUUCCAUAAGGUAGAUCGAUCAAUUUCUACCCCAGGCAUGGUUUCCUCCAAUUGAUCCUCCAAUCCAGCAUAUCCUUUUCGAGACAAUCGAUGAUUGUACUCGAGUUUCUCCCUAAUCUGUGCAUGUUGAGAAUGCACAGACUCAAAAUCUUUGGAUAGCCUUGAAGCUACAAAGGCAUCCCAUUGUGCUUUCUCUAUGAAUUUAUAUGUUUCAGGGGGUUGGCUUAAUUUCUCCCUGUCAUUGGUGUAUGGAAGGAUAUAAUGCCUCGUUAGUGUAGACUUGAAAUCCUUCCAUUUCUUGGAAGCAGAAGCUAAAACAGAGGUCUUGCCCCCUUGGCCUACGACAAAAGCCAUGUCAACUGCUUCCCAAAUCUGCUCCUUUAUAUCCUUGGGGAUUUGGGACCAUUUCUUGUCCACAAGUGGGAUCCUGGAGCGUGCCAACACACCAAUAUACGACUGCAUCUCAAUAUGUGCUUGGCCAACACCUUUCCCCCUUUUAUUGUACUCAACAAUUGGCCUCAGUUUCUGAAGCUUUCUCUUCACAACACGAGGCAUUGUGCUCAUACCUCGACCAGUCUUUGAAUCAUCUGAGAUUGUUGUCUGGCUGGUUUGUUCUGUCUCAGCAGAUGAUGAAGCAAACUUCAUCUUCUUCGAAGACUUCAUCUCCUUCGAAGACUUAUCUUGAGGAGCUACCAUUCCAAGCUUCUUGGAGCCAGAAUCCUUAGUUUGUUGUUGAGAAACCAUUUUAACAGACAAAACUGCAAGUGAAAAUAUUUCAGGAAAACAUUAAGAACACAAACGACGGUAUUAAAAAAAUACGACGUAUGAUAUGAUUUUAGACGACGCAAUGAAAUAAUCUCAGACGUAAUAAAUGUUUAAAACCAUUAUUUAUAUAACGUCGUGGUAUAUAUGUUCACACGACGUCAAUAGUAAUACACCGUCGUGGUAAACUAUUAUUUAUAUUUUAUCGUCUAUAUUAGAUACCAACCCUAGUUUCUUUUUCUUUAUAUUUAUCAAAUAAGGGAAAAACAAAAACCAUUGUUCAGCGAAAUCAAACCUGCAAUUAAACAAGCAUAUAAAAAAAGACUAUUAUUUUAAAAACAACUUUGUCAAUUUUCAGACGACGCUAGAACAACUGACGAACCGUCGUGGUCUACCGUCGUCUUAUUUAGUUGAUGUAGUUGUCUUCAAAGUUGGAAACUUUCUCUCUUUGUCUGUAUAUUUUAUCAAACUUGGAAAGAAGUAAAAUGAUUUUGGCCAGAAAAAAGGUAAAAAGAUUUUUCAAACAAAAAACGUAUGAGCAUGCAAAACAGUAACCAAAAUAGUGAAAAUGAAAGCUUACCUUUUGCGUGCAAUGAAAGCAAGAGGAAGAUGAUCGAUGUUUAAGUUCAGAGACGACGAAGAAGACGAGAGGAAGACGAUGAGAAACUCUGACAAUGCUCUGACAAGGAAAAAAGACGAAAAGGUUUCUCUGGGAGAUUGAAAUUUUUAAUCGGGUUUGGAAACAGUGCAUGUGUAAGUCGAAAAGUUGCUUACAUAUAAAACCAUUUCAAAAAAAUAAUACGGCGGUUACAUUUAACUACGUCGUUUUUAACUAAAACGACGCAAUAUUUUUCAUUCGACGUGGAAUCAUUUCAUUUAACGUCGUUAGGUUUAAUAUAACCGACGUGGAUUUUAAUUUUUAAAUUAUGAAUAGAAUUUUUUUUCCCGUGACCUUUCAGUUUAUUUUUCAAUUACAGUGCGUUAUAAAUAGAGGUUUUUUUCCGGAGGAAAUUUAAAACGAAGGAAAUUAAUAUUCUGCAAUAUGUAAAGUUUCUUUUUUGGAUGACAGAUUUAAAUAAAAUAAGAAUAUAAAAACAACAAAUGUGUAAGUCAAGUAGACGAAAAGUUGCUUACAUAUAAAACCAUUUCAAAAAAAUAAUAUGGCGGUUACAUAUAACUACGACGUAUAAAUUACAAAAUACGACGGUACAUUUAACUUCGGACGUGGUAAAUAAAUACGACAGUAGUUUGUAGGUACCGUCGUAGUAAACUCAAAAAUUAAAGUACAUAAGUAAUAACUCGCGUCAUGGUAUAUUAUUUAACACGUCGUUUUUAUUAAUUUACCGACGUGGAUUUCUGUAAUAUACGUCGAUCAUACCGACGUUGAUUUUACAAUUUAAACGGCGGUUUGUUUGUAAGGACCGCCGUUGGUUUUAAAAAUUUAUUCUAUAAAUUUGUCGCUUUCAUUCAUUUUCGGUUUACAUUUAAGGUUCCAAGUUCUUCCUCUCUCAGUCUCUCAUGUCUCAAAGAUAAUAAUUUGGAUGUUUUCUCAAAGAGAAAUUGAGCUUACUCGCAUCAAAUAUAUGUCCACAAGAAGAAGCUUGUCAACUAGCCUUCUCACUUCCUUGAUCAAGCCUGAUAGGACACUUAGUGCUUCUGAAUACUCCUUGCUUUCCAUCAAAAGAGAUGCAAGCCUGGCCUCCACUCGCUGUCGAAGGAAAGUUCGCUUCUCAGGGAAAUCUGAAGAUCAGAUGUGCCUGAUCCUCUGCUUGAUUUUCUUGCCUAAGAAGAUCCGUCGGAUUUAUUGUGAUAGCCUCUUCCUUUAUCCGUAGAGCUUCAGAAGAAGAAGAUGGGUUUCAAGAAUGCGAUAAAGAAUAGAAAUGGCUUCAGAUGGCCUCUAAAGCAUGAGCAAUUGAAUCAGUAGUUUCUGGGAGAUAUGAUGAAGACAUUGUCAAUGCUUUGAACUACACAAGUCCUGCAGAAAGAUAUGUUAAAGAAACUGAAACAACGGCGGUUUUCUGUUCUACCGUCGUCUUUUCUCGUCGUCUAUAUUAAGUUACGAUGGCGGUAGAUUUAUAAUUACCGACGUAGAUUAUUUUGUUAAACGUCGUUAAGUGUACUACAACCGACGUGGAUUUUAAUUUUAAAUUAUAAAUGGAGUUUUUUUUCCCGUAUUCUUUCAGUUUUAGUUUUCAAUUCCAAAGCGUGAUAAAUAGAUUUUUCUUUCCCGAGGAAAUUUAAAAUGAGGGAAAUUAAUGUUCUAGAAUUUGUAAACUAACACGACGCAAUAUUUGCAAAUCUGUGUCAUCUGUUAAGAUUAUGAUGUGGAACAGAGUUCCAUCUGGUAAGAUUUCGUAACCCUUGGGAUCUCAGACAAAACUGAUUAUGUCGGCGGUGUUCUAUAUAAACCGUCGUGGUUAUUUCAAUUCUUGUCAUUAAGUAGAUCUACCGACGUAGGAUAAGAAAAUCAAAGAAAAAAAUUGUUAACAAAAAUUCUUAUUAAGACGACCGUUAAAAUUAAAGGUACGACGUAUAAAAUGAAUAAAUACGACGAUAAAUUUUAUUGUACGAUUUAAAGAUAACGUAGUAGAACUAUACGAGAAUGACGUCGAUAUAUUUAUAUUUUCCGUCGUUGUAAAUUAAUUUAAUACGGCGAUAUUUUGUAUUUUAAAGCCGUGGAUUUGUUUGUAAUUAUACGGCGUCUUAUACGAAAACCUCGUCGUGUUAUUUUAUGAGUAAAAACGGCAGUUUUUAUUGAAAUCGUCGUCUUUACUUUCUACGUCGGUCGAUUCAUAACUUCUGCCGUUCUUUGUUGGCAUUGAUUUUACACUGAGGAAAUCUGUUUCAAAUAGACGUCGGUUGUUUAAUUAUGUACGUCGUUGUUUUUGAACAGCCAUUUGAAACUCCAUUUUUUAGUUGUCUAAGGUUGUAUUACACGACGGUGUUUUUAGAACCGUCGUCUUUUUAUAAACCACGACGGUUUUCACUUAGACCGUCGUUGUUUUCUGGUCGUCUUUUUCACUUUUUGUAGUAGUGUGCGGACCAAGUAAGUGCAUUGAUGCGGAUAACAAGAACAAUAAAGAUGUGGACAAUGGGCUUCAUCAACUUCCGUGGUUUCAUAUUUUCACUAUGUUGGGGUUCAUAGUGGGAUUUUGGGGAGUCUGGUUCUGUAAUUAUUAACAAAACAUGGAGAUACGCAUAUUUUCGAUUCAUAGACAAUCUACAAUAUAUGCUCCUCUAUGUGAUGAUAAUAGUCCCCCAUGAACAGGAUGAAAAGAAGGCUUAAAGGCUAGAUAUAUAUUAUUAUUAUUGUACUUUUUAUUUUGCAUACUCAGUCCAAAGAUAUGAAAAUUGAUGCAUAUGCAUAUAAUACGGUUGUCAAUUGUGAAGGAUUGAUGUCUAUGCCUCAGUAACGAAGAUUAAUGUCUAUUGCUAAUAUAGAAGGCAUAUUUGUGUAUGGGAGCAUGAGUUAUAUCCCGCACAAAAAUGAUAAGAACUACUCUCUCUCACUUGUCUGUUAAUAUUAGUAUCUUUAUUAUAACAUAUGUUACCAAUAUGAAGUAUCUGUAAAACUAAUCACUUAGCCCAAAGGGAAGGGAAAUUGCUCCAGUUGUGAAUGAUCGGAUGAAGCAGCCAUUGCACCACUCAAGAUAAGAAAGAAAAUUCAAGAGAUAUUAAUGGCCUUUCUGUCUUUCGCAAUUUAUGAAGAUGUUGUACAAUAGAUGUAUUUGAAUAACUCUAGGGGCAUGGCAGUACCAAAAUCGUGCUCAACGACAAAACAUAUGGCCGAAGGUCAAAUUCAUGUUGAAGACAGAACUUGUGGCUGAAUGCAAAAUUCAAAAUCAUGGAGGAAGACCGUACGAUCGACCCAAGGCUAAACUCAGACUAUACUCAUGGCUGAAGGCCGAAUUCAUACUGAAGAAACUCCACAUGCUUGUGGCUGAAUGCAAGUCACGCAGUCACACAUAAAUUAGCACAAGCUGCGGUGAUUCACAUGUUGGCUGAAUGUGCCGGGCUUCAGUGGUUUGUUGUACUAGAAAGUUGAUUUUUAUUCGAGCAAUUUUUUUAGCCGCGAAGUAUGGGAUUACAAAUCUUGGUGAUUGGCAAUAUGGUUGGUAGUUCUCCAGAAAAGAAAAACUCCCAACUCCCAACUCCUUCCGAGGCCUUUAGUCUUUAAAAUGGGACCUGUAAUAACUGGAGUUAUGAUUAGGCCUCUGUUAUUUUGGGGAUCUCUUAGUUGGAUCAGGUCUCUAAAGCCUGUUUGAUUUUUAUUUCUAAUUCUGCGUAGUUGCUUCUGCGGGGUGCAUUGCCCUCCCCACCCCAGUUCACAAAGAAAAAAAAGACAGUGUUGGUCUCUAGAAUUCGACGAUGAAAAUUUUCCUCUUUGGCAGUCAAUGUUAGCAUUGGAAGUUCGCAUAAUUGCUUUUUGAAUGCUGGGUAUGAGAGUAAUUGCGUUUUUAAUACUGAUAUUAUAGUAAUCUUAAACUACCAUUCUGUUGUACAUUGUCUACCUGUUUAUUUGUUUGUUUUCAAUUAGUUUUUCGGCAAUCAAGUAUUCAUUUAUACAUGAUUGUCUACUUUCUUGUUAUUUUUUGUUUUGGCAGGAGAACCUUUUAUUAAUGGUGAAGCAGUACCAUACGAUCCCAAGUACCAUGAGGAAUGGAUAAGAAAGAAUAGCCGAGCAAACGAGAGAAACAGACGCAAUGACAGACCUUGAAAUUAUUACAGAUCAAGGAACUUUGAUAGGAGGAGGGAAAAUAUGCAGAACCGAGAUUUUCAGAACAGGGGUCAGCCUCCUAUGCCUAAUCAAGCUCGGCAAAAUCCUGGGCCUAACAUGCCUGGACCUGCCAACAACAUGAGGACUCCCAACAAUAUGGGCCCCUUGCCCCCCAACACGGGUCCAAUGCCUCCCCACAACAACAUGGGUCCAAACUACAGUAAUGUGCAGCAGCCAAACAACUGGAGUGGUGGGCAGCCCAACAACAAUAGCAAUCAAAGUUGGCCUCUUACAUGCUUGCCCAACAACAAUAGUAGUUGUACAUCUUUUUCUCGGUGAGAAUGUGAAGUGAAAUACGUUUCAUAUUUGAAAGUUAGAAAAUUUUGUGUUUAUAAGAAGUUGGACUAUUUCUCUAGGGCUCGUCAAUGGGCCGUGCCGGAUUAGCCCGCCUCAAAUUUAAUGGGCUUGAACCGGGUCGGGCCGGGCUUUAAAGAGGAGAGAGAAAAUAUUGGGCUGGGCCAGACCGGAUUUUUUUAGAAAAUUCAAAGCCCAAGCCCGACCCAUGAGUUGGGCUUAAGAAAGCCCAUAGGGCCGGGCCGGGCUAAACCCAACAGGCCAGGCCUAAACGGGCCCUACUUCAUUAAAAAAAAAAAUCAUAAACUUAAUUAUAAAGGCAUUUUAGUUCAAAUUUGAGAUUAAACUCACUUAAUUUCAAUAUUUUCACUUCAAACCAAAUUCAUAAAACACCCAAUAAAGUCACACAACUUAUAAGAUUUUUCACAAAAAUAAUAAAACCAAGUAUUAUUUUUGAGGUUAUUACAUAAUUAGAUCGUAAUAUGUUUUAAGAAAUCAUUUUAAAAAAUACUAAGUAUCAAAAUUUUUUUAUUUAAAAGAUGGUAUGAAUAAAUAUGCAAAUAUUUUGUGAUGUGUUCAAAAAAAUCAUGAUUAUAUUUUGUAAUGACCCAAACCUAAAAUUCAUAUUUAAUUAGUAAUUUAUUAUGCGGAAAGACGAUUUUGCCCUUGGAAUAAAUUAUGAACUCAAAGUUGACUUUUUGACCGAAAAGAAAUUUGACAAUUCCACAUACACCGUCGCGUAGAGCACGACGCAAUGAGUUCAUAGACACGAAGUGAGCUCAAAUCGGAGUGUUAACGGAGAAAAUACGAUUAAAAUAUCACGAAGGGCAAAACGGUAAUUAGAAAAAAAUCAGAUUUUUUUUAUAAAACCUCAUCUCUCUCUCUCUCUCUCUCUCCCUCCCGUCGCAAACCCUCUCCCCGACCGUGUUUUUGUUCGAUCGCCGUCGCCGCCACAGACCACCGCCGGCGACGAGACCGGUGUCGUUUGAACCGCCGCCACCUCCUCUAUCCUUUCCGACCAUUCUCCGCCCGUCAAACCGCCGGCGCUGGCCGGGAAGAGCAAAAAAACCGAUCGGCGUUGACAGAAAUUCAACCCGUUCGUUCUCCUUCAAUUCUCCUCCAAAUUUGUCGAAUAAGGUAUGGAUUUCUACCUAUUUUCCGUGCUCUAGCUGAUGGUCGGGUAGGUUUGCAUCGAUUUUGACCGUAGCUAGCUCAGUUUGCAAAUUGAAAUUCGGCCGACUUUUGGCCUCCGUGUUCGGCCACUUUCGGUCAGUUUUUGGGGUUGGUUGAACAAAAGUGGUUCCAAAUAUGGUGUUAUACCUAGGAUAGGAGUUUGGAGCCUUGGUUUUGAGAUUUUCCAGCGAGGCGUUAUCGCUUGGGACACCCAUCGCUGCCGGCGCGUGCGGCGGGGCGCGGGCGAGUGUGGUGCAGUGACACUGUAUUCUGAUGCGAUCCUUAGGUCGUCACGAGCGCAUAGGAAUUCACGGAUCUCAAUUUUGAUACCGUUUGAGCCUCGAACGGAUUUUCCAUAUUGUGCGAUCAUCGGAUUCAAUACUGUUGAGCGUUGGAUCGUCGUCAAUUGUAGAUAUGUUACUCUAGAUAAUUUUAGAAAAGUGUAGGAUUUGACGGAUUGUGAAUCGGAGUCCCGGAUACUCCGAAAACGCGAACCCUAGGGCGAGGGUUUAGAAAUUAUGCGAUUACAGGAUUGUGAUCAAUUCGACCGUCCGAUUGACACCAAUACCCUUGGGACAUGUGUCCUAAAUGUACUGGACCUUCUAGCGGCAUUCGGAUCAUAUUGUGAGGUCAUGGACCCGUGGGGUUCCGGAUUGACUUUUUAGACCUUAGCGCUUUUUGAGUCCCAAGAUACCGCUAAACUAUCUCACGUGGAAGGAAAGCUGUUAUGGGCAUAGGGAUCACUUUAAAUUGAUGCACGUACUUUUAGGAGCCGGGGGUAGGGUUUUUAAUUUAAUAUUAUAUUGUAUUAAUAGAAUAUUAUGGUCAUUGAAUCAGACACCCGGGCACCAGUUGACCUGCAGAAGGGACCUUCAAGAGGUCCAGCGAGCUCAGACUAUUAGUGAGUGGACUCUUUGUUUUAAUAAAUGAAUUUUAACAGUUCAGUUUUAGUUAUAAGCUGUUUUAUGCUGUUAACUAUUUUAUAUUGCAUGCUGCCGAGUGAAAUUUCCUUUAAAGCUCAUAUGAACAGACAUUCUCGUUAAUUAUCAGAUAAAUGGCAGCAGAAUUUUAAAGGUUACAGAAAGUUAAUUAUUCAACAGAUUUUCUUCAGAAACUUUAUAUUUUCUUAAACCACCUGGUACCCAGAUAUUAAAUGUUGCCUUCGGAUUAUAUUUGUUGCCUUCGGUUUAGUCAGCAUGCUUGACAGUUGCCCCACGAGUUCCUUGGUACUCGAACUCGUGUGGAGCGAGUAAUACGGAUAAAGGUGGACUACGGUUCCCUGAAUCCUGCGAGUUGCGGCUCGAACUGACCUCGUGUCACUGAGACCUGCGAGUAUGUGUCACCCAUGCUGAUGCAAGGAAUUGACGGAUAUAAGGAUUUGACGGAAAUAGGGUACACCUAGGUGAUGGUUUUCAACUGUUUUCAAAUGUAUAGUUAUAUACAUGCAUUGAUUUCAGAAAUAUAGAAAAUAAGUUAGUCUGUAUAAUUGUUUUUAUAGUGGGGUUAGUAUGUUCAUAUAUUAUUUUCUAAGCUUUGUUUUGGGUCCACUCACCCCUAUUGUUGUUUUGCGCCCCCAGGCAGUAGACGUGCACAGGAAUCCACUACCGGGCCACUUCCCAUCUUCCGCGCCUUUCUUUGAUGUAUGAUUUUUAUUUUGUAAAAGGAUUCACUCCUUUGUAAAUUCUUAGUAGUCGCUCUGAUAUUUUGCCAUAGACUGUAAAUUGAACUGUUGGAAUGUAUAUAUAUGUAUGCUGGCAGUUGGUUGUAUAUAUAUAUAUAUAUAUAUACUUGUUUUGACAGGUGUAAAUGUUUCGAUUUUGAGCUAGUUACAAGGGAAACUCUGCCGGUUUUUCGGUAGAAGUCAACCUUGCUAUUUUAUCGUGCUUUGUAUAGAAGGGCAAAUAAGUCAUUUGUGCCUGACAUUUGCCAGUGUCGGACACGCACAGGGUCUGACUCGGAUUCCAAAGUGGAAUUUGAAUCGGGUCCUGUCAUAUUUGGUGGUACGAUUAUGUUUCAUGAUAUGAUUAUAUUUGGUGAUGUGAUAUGCUGUUCAUCUUAUUUAUAUAUAUAUAUAUAUAAUUGUUGAAUUAAUAAUUGACACAAAUUAAUGUGCUAAUCAUCCAAUUAUAAAUUAGGAAUGAGUAAAGAAAAGUAAAUGAAAUGAAAAAAAUUAUAUAUGUGAUUUAAGUGAUAUAAUCCUAAACCUAAACUCCUAUUUAUACAUAAUUAUAUAUAUAUACGGGCCUAACGGGCUGGGCUUUUGUGGGCGGGCUGGGCUGGGCUUUCUUGGGCUUAAUCAGGCCGGGCUUCAGACACCCAAGCCCAAACUUAGUCUGACCCAAGGCGGGCCGGGCCGGGCUUUUUUUUCGAUGGGCCGGCGGACCCCCAUCGGCCCAUAAGCUUGCGGGCCAAAUGAUGGGGCCUAUAUUUCUCUUAUGACCAAUUGAUUUUAUGAAAGAACCUCAAUUUUCAUUUGCGCUACAGUCUUGAAUUAGCUGUAGUAUUCUUUUUUCUUUAUUGAAUUUUUCUCUUUUAUGGAAUUUUUUAAGACCAAGUUUUAAUGAAACCAUAUUUGUGGCUUCUCUUUUUUCUUUUUUCUUUUUGGUAAUUAAGUUGUUGACGAAGAACUUUAUGUCAUACAAAUGAAAUUAUAGUUUAAAGGGAACUAGCAUGGGGUUGUAUUAGUUUAAUCUGUGGUGGGAAUGGCCCUACCCUCUAACUAAUCCAUUUAAAUUGUUUUAUGGAGUCAAUUACAAUUGAUUUACUGUAGAUUUUUAAUUAUUUAUUUAUUUUUAAUAUAUUAUAUCUAUCUAUAUAUAUAAAGCAAAAGGCAGAGAAUGGUGAAAUAUUCAAAAUACCAGAAAAUACCCUUUGUUAAUUCAAACAUUAAGAAUUGAAAUUAUUAAUUAAAUGAGGAUAAUAUGGUAAAUUCACAUUUUUUAAUAUUAAAAAAAUUAAAAUUAAAAACAAAAUAAGAUAAUAGACCCCAUAUUCCUUCCAGAUUUUCAAGCAAUCUGCAAACACGGAUAAAAAAGUAAUUUGCAUUCGAACCACAAAUUCUUGGAAGUUAGCUCUCUCGUUCACACAAUCAUGUAAUUUACUGUGGGUCGUUGCCACGCAGAGUUAGAGCAUGAUUGGUCCAAAUAAACUUGAUUAGCAGUGAUUGAAUGGGCAGCUAAUUGCCCAUCAGCUUUGAUUAAUUAUUUCCAAUUUGUCUUAUGCAGCUAAUUGCCUAUCAGGUAGAAUUCGAUGAUGAAAAUUUUCCUCUUUGGCAGUCAAUGGUAGCCUUUGAAGUUCGCAUAAUUGCUUUUUGAAUGCUGGGUAUGAUAGUAAUUGCCUUUUUAAUACUGAUAUUAUAGUAAUUGUCUACUUGUUUAUUUGUUUGUUUCAAUUGAUCAGAACCCAUUUCAGUUCAUCACCAACUCAUCAAAUUUCACAUCCCAAUCAAACCCAAAUUAAGAGCGAUUAUUUAGAAGCAAGAUUAGUGGUAGACAUGCCCAUAUAUCUCAGGCCAUGUCACUCCCAAGACAUGCCCAUAUAUCUCAGCAAGGUUAGUGAAAAAUAUUCAUCCGAUGGGCAUCUUUGUAGUGUUUUUUGCUGUGAUUUCUCACUGAUUAUUUUUGGGAAGCUCUCCAAGUUGAAAUUUGUGACCCUUGAUCUCAAUAAUUUACAAGGUUCUUUGCCCUCAUCUUUGAUGAAUUUCACAAACCUUGUAGAACUACACUUGGGAUCCAAUCCAACAACUUGGAAGGUGAUAUCUGCAUGCUUGAUUUUUCCAGACUUAGUCAAUAACUUUACUGGUACGUUUCCAAUAAGCAUUUACUCAUGUAGGUCCCUGAAAGCAAUUCAAUUGACUUCAAGUCAUCUAGGGGGGCAAAUACAACCUCAGAUUCUUUCAUUGAAAUACUUGUCCUCCCUCUCAAUUGGUGGCAAUAGAUUGACCAAUGUCAGAGGAGCAAUGAAAAUACUAAUGCGUUGCUUUCAGAAUCCUUUAUAACUGCAUCGCUUUCAAGCUACCUAUAAGAAAAUCAAAAAAUUAGAUGCAACUUUCUCAGAACUGCCUUUUAGCUUGCAGCUUGCUCGAAAUUACAGAAUUGCUAUCUUCCACUACAAAUGCAACAUCCGCAUGCCAACAUCCAAACACCCACCUCCCAGAAUCAUUCUUCACAACUCAACACAAUUCACUUGUUCCUGGUUGGGGCUCAUUUGAUUGCUAUCAAUAUAUUCAGCAAGUAGUUGUUAACUUGUGCCCACUCAGAGGGUUGAACAUAAUUGCUCUAACAAGAUAUUAUAGUAGUUGCCUUCUUGUGGGGCAAACAACUUGGAAAGAAUGACUAUCCUCCAAUUUUGAAUUUUCUUAGAAGAAUCAUCAACAAGAAAACAACUUUGAACAUGAAUAGGACGUCAAUGUAUAAUGUUGGAUCAGGCUUGACUGACACUGUCACUCUCAGGCCAUAUCUAUCAGGCAAGAAAAAUCGCACCAUGUAUCUUCCAAAUUCCACAAAAAAUUGUCAUCAUAUUGAAAGAAAACACCAAUGAGGGAAAACAGUACGUCAAACAACGUUUGCAUCCACAUCUGAAAACGCAUUAACUACAUCCAUGAGAUUUUUUAUUACUGUUAAAAAAAUCAUGACACAUCCUAUACAGCUUAUAACUCGACCAGCAAUGAAAAUACUAAUGCGUUGCACAAGUCUUCGCACAUUCUUCCUUUCAGAAUCCUUAAUAACUGCAUCGCUUUCAAGCUAACUAUAAGAAAAUCAAAAAAUUAGAUGCAACUUUCACAGAACUGCCUUUUAGCUUGCAGCUUGCUCGAAAUUACAGAAUUGCUAUCUUCCACUACAAAUGCGACAUCUGCAUGCCAACAUCCAAACACUUGUUCCUGGUUGGGGCUCAUUUUAUUGCUAUCAAUUUAUUUAGCAAGUAGUUGUUAAGUUGUGCCCACUCUGAGGGUUGAACAUUAUUGCUCUACCAAGAAACGUUAUUAUAGUAGUUGCCUUCUUGUGAGGCAAACAACUUGGAAAGAAUGACUAUCCUCCAAUUUUGAAUUUUCUUAGAAGAAUCAUCAACAAUAAAACAACUUUGAACUUGGAAUUUAAGUGAUUAACAUGGAAGAUGUGCUCGCUGGUAUCAGUUAUCAGCUGCCUUAAAAAUAACGUCAAUGUAUAAUGUUGGAUCAGGCUUGACUGGCACUGUCACUCUCAGGCCAUAUCAAUCUGGCAAGAAAAAUAACACCAUAUAUCUUCCAAAGUCCUUGAAAAAUUGUCAUUAUAAUGAAAGAAAACACCAAUGAGGGAAAGCACACGUCAAACAUUGGGUCGCUGGCUGUAUUUAUAUCUAUACAAGUUUCAAAUUACAAGCUGUUCCUAAUUCUGUGGAGCUAGGAUACUCAAAAGACAAAGAUGAGUUCUUAGAAGAAUCAUCAACAAGAAAAACAACUUUGAACUUGGACUUCGAGUGGCUAACAUGGAAGAUGAGCUGGUAUCAGUUAUCAGUUGCCUUAAAAAUAAAAGGAAAUAGUCAAAACAUAUUCCAGUUUGAAUUCAACAAGGAUUCUGUUUAUCACAUAUAUCACGGUCAAGUCCUCUCCUGGUGGCCCAAAGGUUUCAAUAUCAAUAAUUUGCAUUAUGUGGUUGUUGUUUGCCGACUUCUCAAUUUGCAGUGAUGUUUGCAUCCUUUUCAAGCAUGUUUGCUCUUAUAUAUGAAAAUAUACAUGAGCAACGGCACAUACACAAAGCAACAUGCUAGUGCAAGCUUAUAACCUAAUGGCUCAUGCCUUCCUUCUCUUCCUCUUAUUCCCUUACAUUAUAUCCACAAAUAUUCAUGCCUGCAAACAAAAUGAACGCAGCUCCCUCCUGUCCUUUGCCUCCACUCUAUCUCCUUUAAAUUGGACAUCCAUUGAUUAUGAUUGCUGUCGUUGGAACGGCAUCACUUGUGAUCAAGAUGGUUGGGUCACCCAUUUGCUCUUGCCUUCCAAAGGGCUCAAAGGAGGUAUCUCUCCCUCUUCACUUGCAAAUCUCACGCGUCUCAUCCACUUGAACCUUUCCCACAAUUCACUAUAUGGUUCACUUGAAACUCAGUUCUUUUUGUCUUUGAAUCGACUUGAUAUCCUUGAUUUGAGCUAUAACUGUCUUUCUGGAGAGCUACCAAUUUCUCCACUAUCUAGCAAUAUCCGGUCAAUUGAUUUGUCCAGCAAUCACUUCUUUGGUGCAAUUCCAUCUUCAUUCUUCCAACAAGCAAGCAACUUAACUAGUUUCAAUGUCAGCAACAAUAGCUUCACAGGGUAUGUCCCAUCCUCUAUUUGUCUCCAACAUUCUUCUCCCUUCCUUAGGCUAUUGGAUUUUUCUUCCAAUUUAUUUAAUGGCGACCUUGCUCCUGGAUUAGGAAAGUGUUCUGAACUGCAGGUUUUUCGUGCCAAUCACAAUAACCUCUCAGGAUUACUUCCAGAAGAUAUCUAUAAUGCUACCAAACUGGAAGAAAUUGCAUUACCUCUCAAUUCACUACAUGGAGCCAUUAGUGGUAAAAUUGUCAACCUCACCAACCUUGCCAUCCUUGACCUUUCCUCUAAUCAUUUUGGAGGCGAGCUUCCUCUCAAUUUGGGGAAGCUCUCCAAGUUGAAGUUUGUGACCUUAGAUUUCAACAAUUUAGAAGGUGUGUUGCCCUCAUCUUUGAUGAAUUGCACAAACCUUGUAGAACUGCGUUUGGGAAACAACCACUUGGAAGGAGAUAUCUCUGUGCUUGAUUUCUCAAGACUGAGUCAACUUACUAAACUUGACCUAAGGAUCAAUAACUUCACUGGUACGGUUCCAGUAAGCCUUUACUCAUGUAGGUUCCUAAAAGCCAUUCGGUUGACUGGAAAUAAUCUAGAGGGACAAAUACAAGAUGAGAUACUUUCAUUGAAAUCCUUGUCCUUCCUCUCGCUUGGUUACAACCGAUUCACCAACCUCACAGGGGCAAUGAAGAUAUUGAUGAGUUGCAAAAGUCUUCACGCACUCUUGCUUAGCGGUUCCUUUGUGGGUGAGGGAAUGCCAUCUGAUGAUGACAUGGUUGAUUAUGUUGGAUUCCAAAAUCUUCGGCUCUUGGGUUUGGUUCGUUCUAACCUCACUGGUCAAAUACCUUUUUGGUUAUCAAAGCUCAAGAAUUUAGAGAUCUUGGCUCUGGGUUUCAAUCAAAUCACAGGGCCGAUUCCAAGUUGGUUGGGGACUCUUCCUAGACUGUUUUAUAUAAGCUUGUCACACAACCAAAUUUCAGGUAAAUUUCCACAGCAACUUUGUCGACUACCAAGGUUGCUUCAUGAACCAAUUGCAUCUCAAGGAGACAAUUAUGAAUUUGAAUUUCCUGUCUACAGCAGCAGCAUCAGCAUAACCGCAAAUCAAACUUUUCUAUCGCAAAAAUUGUGUUUUUUUCCAGCAACGAUAGACUUGUCUACGAAUAACAUUGUUGGUGAUAUACCCACUGAGAUAAGCCAAUUGCAUCUUCUCUACACGUUGAGUCUUGACUCCAACAACUUCUCCGGUGUCAUUCCAGACCAAAUAUCUAACCUAAAAAAUUUAGAGGUUUUGAACCUCUCCAUGAAUCACUUGUCUGGAAUAAUCCCAGCAUCAUUGGCGAGUCUUAAUUUCUUAAAAGAAUUUAAUGUCUCAUAUAAUAACCUCGAAGGAUCGAUACCAAUAGGCACCCAGCUCCAAAGCUUCGAAGUUUCUGCGUUUGAGGGGAACCCAAAACUUUGUGGUGCGCCACUUCCAAAGUGCUCACCAAAUAAGGGCAUUGAUGCAGAUAACAAGAACAACAAAGAUGUGUACAAAUGGCUUCAUCAACUUCCAUGGUUUUAUAUCUUUGCAGCAUUGGGGUUUAUAGUGGGAUUUUGGGGAGUUUGUGGUUGUUUAAUUAUUCACAAGACAUGGAGAUAUGCAUAUUUUCGAUUCAUAAACAAAGUACAAGAUAGGCUCCUCUAUGUGAUGAUAACAGUCCCCCUCAACAAGAUGGACAGAAGACUUCGAGGCUAGAUAUAUAUUAUUAAUAUUGUACUUUUUAUUUUGCAUUUUCAGUUUGCUUUUCCUUUUUUUUUUUUUUUUUUUCCUUUUCUUCUUCUUCAUUUCUAGUCAUGACAGAUUCACCUGACAAAUUUUUCACAUAAAAAGACUGCAUUGUCGUCGGAUGGACCUCUUCCAUGAAGUGAUAGGACCUAUCCAUCCUUUCUAUUUCCCGUAAAGCUAGGAUACGGUUAUCCUUUUGGCAUCAUUCAGAAUCAUUUAUAAGUACUAAUAGCUGGUACAGAGAGGGGUCAUGAAUGCCUUUCCUUUAAUUUGCUUCCGAAUCUGCCAACCUAUCAAGAGGCCCUGAAAGAAAACAAAUGCAAUUAACUACCCAUAAUUUAAAAUCCGCCAAACAUUUAAAAAGGAAGAAGAAAAAGACUUAAAAACCAAAGACUUAAAAUUGAAAUGAAAAUUCAUGGCUUGCAGACAACGCUGAAAAAAUAAAGCAGACGGCGGAGCUUUGGGGCCUGGGGGGCCCGCUAAUUCUUCUCCACUCAUUUCUCUUCUCCUCUUCUUCAUAUUCUUCUGUGCGAGAAGUUGAGAACUGAGAAAGAUCACGACCUUUUUUUGGUCCGAAACUAAAAUGGGUUGGAUCAUAUUGAACUCAGCCAGAACCCAAUACUUUAUUUUGCAAAUGUUGGGCCAGAACCGACCCAGUUUUGGCCCAAUUAGCAGAAAAAGCUUAUCUUUUGAGACUUUGAAUUAGAAUGCAGAGAAUUGGAGGAGAGUUGAAAAUGGCGAAGAAAGGAAGCUGAAAGUUGAACGUUGCUAUUAUUGUAACAUCCUACAUCGACCAACGGAGAGGGGGUGAUGUGCCUUAUAUGUACAUGCCUACCUCCAUCUAACACGAGGCCUUUUGGAAGUUCACUGGCUUCGGAGAAAUGAGAACUCCGAAGUUAAGCGAGUUGGGGCUAGAGCAAUUCCAGGAUGGGUGAUCCACUUGGAAGUUGCUAGUGAGUUCUCAGAAACAAAACCGUGAGGGCAGAGAGGGGGGCACAAAGCAGACAAUAUCGUGCUACGGCGGAGCCAAUCCAGGAUGUGACCAUUUGGUAUCAGAGCCACUCUACCGUAUGGUGCGAGUGUGCCGAAGAGGACGUCGGGCCCCUAAGGGGGGUUGAUUGUAACAUCUCACAUCGACCAUGUAAGAUCCCACAUCGACCAACGGAGAGGGGGUGAUGUGCCUUAUAUGUGCACACCCGCAUCCAUCUAGCACGAGGCCUUUUGGGAGCUCACUGGCUUCGGAGUCGUAGGAACUCCGAAGUUAAGCGAGUUAGGGGCUAGAGCAAUCCCAGGAUGGGUGACCCACUGGGAAGUUGCUCGUGAGCUCCCAGAAACAAAACCGUGCGGGUAGAGAGGGGGGCCCAAAGCGGACAAUAUCGUGCUACGGCGGAGCCGAUCCCGGGAUGUGACAAUUUGGUAUCAGAGCCACUCUGCCGUGUGGUGCGAGUGUGCCGACGAGGACGUCGGGCCCCUAAGGGGGGUGGAUUGUAAGAUCCCACAUCGACCAACGGAGAGGGGGUGAUGUGCCUUAUAUGUGCACACCCGCAUCCAUCUAGCACGAGGCCUUUUGGGAGCUCACUGGCUUCGGAGUCGUAGGAACUCCGAAGUUAAGCGAGUUAGGGGCUAGAGCAAUCCCAGGAUGGGUGACCCACUGGGAAGUUGCUCGUGAGCUCCCAGAAACAAAACCGUGCGGGUAGAGAGGGGGGCCCAAAGCGGACAAUAUCGUGCUACGGCGGAGCCGAUCCCGGGAUGUGACAGACCAACGGAGAGGGAGUGAUGUGCCUUAUAUGUACAUGCCCGCCUCCAUCUAACACGAGGCCUUUUGGGAACUCACUGGUUAGAGCAAUCCUAGGAUGGGUGACCCACUGAGAAGUUUCUCGUAAGUUCCCAGAAACAAAACUGUGAGGGCAGAGAGGGGGGCCCAAAGCGGAUAAUAUCGUGCUACGGCGAAGCCGAUCUAGGGAUGUGACAAUUUUUUUCUGGGCAUAGGUAAUUUUUACUUCUUCUUUCUAUUGUUGUUGAAGGCUGUAUUUAUGAAUUUGAGGUGUAGGUGGAGCUGAAAGACUAAUUGUUGAUGCGGCUGGGCAUAAGUUCACGUUUUCACUGCACACCAUGACAAAAAUCGAUGCUUUGAGGAGACCGUUUCUGGUGUGUGUGCUUUCUCUGUUUCAAUUUUAUCUAUGAUAUUAUGGAUUCAUGGUAUCUAUGUAAAAUAGUAGUGGGGUUUACUUGAGGUUGGAUUGUGUAUGGUACAAAAACAUCGAACAAGAGUAAAUGUUUUUUCUUUUUCAUAUGUAAGUUUGUUUGAAAGUUGAAUGAAAGAUUUACAUGAUGACCUACUUUACAAUAAAAUGUUGAAAAUGACAGUUUCAAGUCGUCUUGGUGUGUGUACUCUCAGAGAAACAGGAUUAGAAACACAGACCUGCUAUAGGAACUUCAUCAAACAGGGUACUACAUAUAUAAUGGAUACCACACCGUGGGAUUGGAAGAUGGUUUAUACAUAGUUAGAACAAACAUAUCAAAUUUUCUUUUCUUUCCUUGUCCUUAUUUCUCGGUUUCACAGUGUUCAACAGUCAUUUAAAAUCAGUGCAUUGUUUGAUGUUUUAAUGUCAUUUGGUUUCCCAGUAUCUUUCCUGUUACUGUAUAUGGUGCUUUCCUUCCCCUACGUAUAUUCUAUCGUCUUCAUGCUUUGUGUGCAUUUCUGCGGUGCCUUUUUGUUGCUCUCUGUGUGCUGGUCCUGUAGCCAUCAUUUGAUGUAAUACUAGCAGGUCAGGUUCCUGUUGUCAUUCCAAUGCUAAAGCUUAAGAAGACAACAAAGGUAUUUGCACUUAUUUGAUAUCAUAGUUGUUUAAUAUGUUACAUCUUUAUGUCCAGGUUUUGUUUUAUUGUCAUUUUCCAGAUUUAUUGCUAGCUCAACACACACACUAUUUUGAGGAGGAUAAAUGGGAAACCUUUAUACUUCAUAGAAGAAGUGACAAUUGGUCUGAUUCCAUAUUUUGGCUUUAUCAUAUUUAUCUGAUGUGUCUUGUGCACCUUUUUUAGUGUUCUUUUGCAGUGAUCAUACUACUAUUUCUCACUGAUUUUUUUGAAAAAUUAAGUAUGGCUGCAGGAAUGGCAGAAAAGAUUCUUGUUAAUAUCAAAUUCACAGCAUCUAUGUUUGCAAAGACAUUUAAGAAUCUUAACGCAUGAGGAAUUCAGCCAGUCUUUACCCAGCUGUUAAUGUGAAACAGUUUAUGAACCCACCAAUUCGUAUAAGUAACGAACAUGUUUGUAUAUAGUUUACAGUUUCCUUGAUGAUUUAUUUCCGAUUUUAUGUGGUAGCUUACCGUUGUUUUCCUGCUUUGAUAUUUUCCUUCUUGUAGGAUAAAUUUUCUGUCAAUAAACCGUUUUGAGAGGAAAAAGAAUAUAGACUUUGGAAAUUUCAGCUUUCGUUAUGCUUUGUACCCUUGAAAGAGAUGUGCUUCAACUUCCUAAUGUAACUGAAACUUCACUGACAAUUGCAGGCAAGUUCCUAUCACUGAGUAAUCUAUUAAUCUUACUGAUAGACAUGUUAUACUAAGUUAUCAACUAAUAGGUAAGAGAAAAAAAUAAUUUAUAGGGAUAUGUGUGUUCCUUCAUUACUAUAUAACCUUGUCGAAAGACCAUAUGAUAUUAAUAGACUAUCAAUAACCAAGCAGAAGCAUGCAGUAAUCAUGUGGUGGUGAUAUUAAGCUUUCCCUUCAGGUUCAUUUGUGUGUUGAAAGCUUUAUGGAUUUUGCAAUUUAACUAUAUAUCUCGACGUGGAAAGACAUUAUUUUUCUCUCAGUAAAUUAUGAAACAUUAGCCUGUAGAUGUUAUACCUAGAAUUUAGGUGUCACUACUGGAUUGCUUCAGAUUAUUAGCGGGAUUGUGAUGGCCUACAUUCCUAGUCAAGCCUGGAGUUGUUAUUUGUGGAAGAAAACGAAGCUUAUGUAGAAUGAAUAGCAGUAAACUAUUAUGCUGUUAUCUGAUUGAUUAUCAGAUUGCUCUUUUAAAGCAAACUUGUCUGACAUACCUGCGAAUCGAAACCCUGGAUAGAUGUUCAAAUUUCCUUUAUUAUUACAAUAUAUUAGUGCUUAGUUAGAUGUGUGUGUGACAUAUGUCAAGAUAUAUAGAGAUGUCAAAAUGAAGUAACAAGACUGUCCAUGAUGACCCGUAGCUUGUAGACCGAGAAACAUCAGGUCCAAAGAAAUUGGGUGAUCACUGUGUACAACUUUGUGUUUUACCUGGUAUCUCAAGAGGUGAAAGGAAUUUAGUUUGACUGGAGGAUCAUACAAUUCUUCUUAUCUCUUAAAAUUUACUCGGCAAGGUUCCAAAGAAUGCUCUUAGAUCAAAACAUUAUGUAGGGAUGAUAUGAACUGCCUAAAGAUAGAAUUCUUGAACAGCAAACAACCAUAGGUAUUACUCACUAUGGCAAAAAAUUUCCAUUGAUGAAAGAUUUAAAACCAGGUUUUUUUAAUGAAACAAGCCCCAUAGUUUCAGCAAAUCUGUAUUUAGCUUAAACAAAAAUUCUGUACUGUAUUAGCUAUAGUCUAAACAUUUUGGGAUAUUAAAUCUUGUCUUAAUGUACAAUUAGGUCAUAUUGGGAUUCUUAUGAGUUCGUCACUCAGAUGUAUUGGGUUUCCUUUUACCAAUUGCAGAUGCUGUGUAAAAAUGCACUUUUGGAUUAUUGUCUGAGCUAACAGACAAGUUAUGCCGGGUCAGUUUCGAAUACCCAACCCGGCCACGCGACAAAAGGAACCAAUGCUAUUUCAUAUUUGAUAGGUAGAAAUGCAUAACUUCUCCACAUACGGGAGUGAUAAAUUCAAUACAUGUCCAAUGUUUUAGGUUCUUCGAUAAGCGCUUGAAAGAAGAUGCUGAGUACUUGAAGGAGCUCAGAAGUUUAGCGGAAAAGGAAGGAGUGUCCAAUGAGGUUAACUUCAUCACAUCUUGCUCAACAGCUGAAAGAAAUGCACUUCUCUCCCAAUGCCUAUGUGUCCUUUAUACACCAAAGGUCCAAAUUACACUGUUUUGUUCCGUUUGAUGGGAUAUAGGUUGGAAAAUAAAAUGGAUAUGAGAUAAUCUGAUUGAAGACCCGCAGAUGGCACAGAGAGUUCUGCUUGGCUUUUGCUAAACUGAUCGAAGACCCACAGAUGGCGCAGAGAAUGGGCAUCUAUGUGGGACGGCAUGUGACAGAUUCAUUCUCUACAAAAAUAUUUGGUUGGCAUUUGAAUCAAUACCUUGUUGACGUUGCUGGGACGAAAGAAGGCUGAAGACUGCAUGACCUUGUAGUAUAAGUUGUUCAAUUUAAUCGCCCAGACUUAAAUAAAAUUUUGUUGCGUUUAAUAUAUCCAUGAAUUUACUCCUAGUGUGUCAUCUUUUAUGCCUUUCGUCUUUUGCUUGAUGUACCAUUUUUCUCAAGUUCAUUUGUUUGAUCAUGUAGUUGACAGAUGGUAGUGACUUGUGAAUGAAGAGCGAAGAAUGAGAUUUUCUGCGAAGGUUACGCUUCUCCUCAGUGUAACAUGAAUAGGGUGUCAAUGUGUGUAAUGUUAAGAUAAGGCUUGACCAGCACUGGAACUCUCAAGCCAUGUCUGGCAUGCAUGCCGUAUUAAAUAACACUAUAUAUCUUCCAAGUUUCCAAAAACGUAGCUCAAAUCAAGAAACUGGUAGCUCUUCAGAGAGACGGUUAUAGCUCAAAUCAAGGAUCUCAAGUCGAUUCAAAGACAAGAAGAACUGAAUUUCAAGUGAACCAUAAAGUGAAUUGUGGGAAAGGUUCAAGUGGGUGAGAUGUGAGAGAUUUGCAAGUGAAGAGGAAGAGAUACCUCCUUUGAGAUUUUUAGAAGGUAAGAGCAAACGGGUGACCCAACCAUCUUGAUCACUAGUUUGGAAUAAUCCCAUUGUCAUUGGCGAGCCUUAAUUUCUUGGAAGAAUUUAAUGCCUCAUACAAUAAUCUUGAAGGACCAAUACCAAUAGGCACCCAACUCAAAGCUUCAACUCUUCUGCCUUUGAGGGGAAUCCAAAACUUUGUGGUGCCCACUUCCAAAUAAGUGUGGACCAAGUAAGGGCAUUGAUGCAAAUAAAAAGAACAAUAAAGACGCGGACAAUGGAAUUCAUCAACUUUAGUGUAAUGAGAUUUUGGGGAGUUUGUGGUUCUUUAAUUAUUAACAAGACAUUUGGAGAUACACAUAUUUUCGAUUCAUAAACAAUCUACAAGAUAUGGUCUAUGUGAUGGUAACAGUGCGGAUCAACACGAUGAAAAAAAGGCUUAGAGGCUAGAUAUAUAUUAUUAAUAUUGUACCUUUUAUUUUGCAUACUCAGUCCAAAGAUAUGAAAGCUGAUGCAUAUGCAUGUAAUACGGUUGUCAAUUGUGAAGGAUUGAUGUCUAUGUUAAGAUUAAUGUCUAUUGCUAAUUUAGAAAAAUAAAAAGGGUUAUUCAUAGCAAAGGUCCCUCAACUAUACCCGUAGUUGCAUUUGGGUCACUAAACUCAAUUAUUAGUUGCAGAGGUCACUCAACUAUGUGUUUCGUUGCACCAGUAGUCCUUCCGUCAAGUCCGUUAGUUUUUUCCAUUUAAAAUGAUGACGUGACAAGCAUCUGUGAGAAUCUCAUAGAUUUGUGAGGGACAAAUUUGACUUUUCAGUUAGCUCUCCCAAGCCCAACAAGAGCAGCACCACCACAGGCUCUACCCUUUUUGGCAAUACAACACCAGGAGGCUUGAUAACAUGUUUUAGCUUACCUUCCUGGUUCAAUAUCAAGAGCUGGGUGUACGGAAUUCGAUUGGAGAUGACGGGGAGGCCUUGGGACCAAGACUCGAGCUCUUGAUGAGAUAAAGCUUCGGAUUUUUUGAGCGUGGACUUCUUGGGCACUCGCUUUUUCUCUUUGACGGCGGCUAUGCCGGUUGGGAAUUGGGGGAGGGGUGGAGAUUACAGUGAGAGUUACAGAAAGCUUGAGGACAUCGAAAUUGGGUUUCUAGGUUUUAUCAUUUUCAUCAUUAUCAUCUGUGGUUGAGAGGUGGGAGGAAAUGGAGGAUGGAGCGAGAGGUUUUGGUGGGUUUUUAUUGAGGGUUUUGGGUUUGGGGUUUGGGGAUAGAGAAGAAGAUGAGUAAGAGCCCAGAAGGAAUUGGCAGGCCAUGGAGUUUUGGUUUGAUGUGAAAAUAUUGGGAGGUUGGACAUUGUAGACUUGGAAAGACAAAUUUGCCCAUGAAAUUGACACCACGUUUGCCAGACUUGAUGGAAGGACUACUGGUGCAACGAAACACAUAGUUGAGUGAUCUCUGCAACUAAUAAUUGAGUUUAGUGACCCAAAUGCAACUACGGGUAUAGUUGAGGGACCAUUGCUGCGAAAAACCCAAAUAAACAAUAAAAAAUCUGCUGAAUGUGAAAGUGCAAUUGAUAUUAGAGAAGAAAUCCAAAUUAAUGUAUUUUGGAUUGGAAUUCCCUUGCUGCUGUGCUUUGGCAUGUGGGGUUCAUUACUAUACAUAUCUAGGUUUGCGUUCAGGGCUUCUAAGCCAAUGAAGACAUUCAGAAUUUCAUUUUGGAGUGGAGGAGCUUGUGCUAGGGACAUAUUUGUGUAUGGGCGCAUGAGUUAUAUCCCGCACAAAAAUGAUAAGAACUACUCUUUCACUUGUCUGUUAAUAUAUUAGUAUCUCUAUGUUAAUAUGAAGUAUCUGCAAAACUAAUCGCUUAGCUCAAAGGGAAGGGAAAUUGCUCCAGUUGUGAAUGAUCGGAUGAAGCAGCCAUUGCACCACUCAAGAUAAGAAAGAAAAUUCAAGAGUUAUUAAUAGAAAUAUCGAGGGUUUAAGAAAUAUUGGUGGUCCAAAAACAUGGAUAUAUCGAUAUCGGUAAAAAUUGAAUAAAAAUCAUGAAAAUUAUGAGAAAAACUUGGAAAUUUUUAUUAAAACUUUAGAGGAUGUUUAUUUAGUCAAUUAUCUACUAUUUUAUCACAAAAAAUGGAAGGAAAUGCAUUGUAUGGUAGGUUUGAGUGAUUUAAACUACAUAGCGAAAUGACAAAUACUAUCACUUCAGCAAAUUUGUAGUAAUUAAUGAAAGAAAAUUAAAAACACCAUAAUUUUUUAUAUAUAUAAUAAUUUACUACAUCUUCUUUACCUUUUGCUUUAUAUAUAGAUAGAUAAUAGAUAAUACAUCUCCAUAAUAAUAUAAUAAAUAACAUUAAACAGAUUAAAUAUAUCUUAGGAAAGAUUAAAAUAAUAAAUAACAUUAAAAUAAGCUUAUAGAAAGUAUUUUCCCCUUUUUUUUAUCAAAAGCCUGUGGAAAGUUUAAGAGGCAGUAUAAAUAUUAACGUUGUAGCUUCUGUUCAUAUCUUCGACGUGUAGAGGGGUUUCAUUAGUCCCGCAUUUGAACGGUUUAUAUCUAUUUCUUCUCUUUUCUCUCUCCUCUCUCUUGCCUUUCCUUCUCUCUUCUCUCUCUUUCUUUUUUAUUUCUUCUCUUCCCCCAGUUUUCUUCUUCCUCUUAUCGUGGGGUGAUUUUUUUCUUCUCUCUUAUGAUUAGUUUCUUCAGUCAGGUCAUGCUGAUGGGAGGUCUCUCCCCAAUUUUCUUCUUCCUCUUAUCGUGGGGUGAUUUUUUUCUUCUCUCUUAUGAUUAGUUUCUUCAGUCAGGUCAUGCUGAUGGGAGGUCUCUCCCCAAUUUUCUUCUUCCUCUUACCGUGGGGUGAUUUUUUUCUUCUCUCUUCUAAUUAGUUUCUUCAGUUGGGUCAUGCUGAUGGGAGGUUGACCUGGGAUAGCAGGAUUCUUGGAUUGAAUUUCACUCUCUUCAGUCAGGUCAUGGGGGAGAAAAUACUAGACAGGGGAAUGAUAUUUCGUUUGCCUAAUUUGCACUGUGUGGUGCUUGUUUGCCGACUUCUCAAUUUGCAGUUACGUUUGCAUCCUUUUCAAGCAUGUUUGCUCUUGUAUAUAAAUAUACAUGUGGGCAACGGCACAUACACAAAGCAGCAUGCUAGUGCAAGCUUAUAACCUAAUGGCUCAUGCCUUACUUCUCUUCCUCUUAUUCCCUUACAUUAUAACCACAAAUAUUCAUGCCUGCAAACAAACUGAACGCAGCUCCCUUCUGUCCUUUGCCUUCACUCUCUCUUCUCCUUCUUUAAAUUGGACAUCCACUGAUUGCUGUCAUUGGAAGGGCAUCACUUGUAAUCAAGAUGGUUGGGUCACCCGUUUGCUCUUGCCUUCUAAAGGGCUCAAAGGAGGUAUCUCUCCCUCUUCACUUGCAAAUCUCACGCAUCUCACCCACUUGAACCUUUCCCACAAUUCACUAUAUGGUUCACUUGAAACUCAGUUCUUCUUGUCUUUGAAUCAACUUGAGAUCCUCGAUUUGAGCUACAACCAUCUUUCUGGAGAGCUACCACUUUCUCUACCAUCCAUUAAUAUCCAGACAGUUAAUUUGUCCAGCAAUCACUUCUUUGGUGCAAUUCCAUCUUCAUUCUUCCAACAAGCAAGCAACUUGACUAGUUUCAAUGUCAGCAACAAUACCUUCACAGGGUAUCUCCCAUCCUCUAUUUGUCUGGAACAUUCUUCUCCCUUCCUUAGGCUAUUGGAUUUUUCUUCCAACGUAUUCAGCGGCAACCUUGAUCAUGGGCUAGGGAAGUGUUCCAAAUUGCAGGUUUUUCGUGCCGGUCACAAUAACCUCUCGGGAUUAUUUCCAGAAGACAUUUAUAAUGCUACCAGACUUGAAGAAAUUGCAUUGCCUCUCAAUUCACUACAUGGAGCCAUUAGUGAUAAAAUUGUCAAUCUCACUAACCUUGCAACCCUUGAUCUCUUCUAUAAUCAUUUUGGAGGCGAGCUUCCUCUCAAUUUGGGGAAGCUAUCUAAGUUGAAGUUUGUGACCCUUGAUUUCAACAAUUUAGAAGGUGCUUUGCCCCCAUCUUUGAUGAAUUGCACAAACCUUGUAGAAUUGCGUUUGGAAUCCAACAACUUGGAAGGAGAUAUCUCCAUGUUUGAUUUUUCCAAACUUAGUCAACUUACUAAACUUGACCUAAGGAAGAAUAACUUCACUGGUACAGUUCCAAGAAGCCUUUACUCGUGUAGGUCCCUUAAAGCCAUUGGAUUGUUUGGAAAUCAUUUAGAGGGACAAAUAGAAGCUGAGAUUCUUUCAUUGAAAUUCUUGUCCUUCCUCUCUCUUGGAUACAACCGAUUCACCAACCUCACAGGGGCAAUGAAGAUAUUGAUGAGUUGCAAAAGUCUUCACGCACUCAUGCUUAGUGGUUCCUUUGUGGGUGAGGGACUGCCAUCUGAUGAUGACAUGGUUGAUUUUCAUGGAUUCCGAAAUCUUCGGUUGUUGUGUUUGUGUCAUUCUAACCUCACUGGUCAAAUACCUAUGUGGUUAUCAAAGCUCAAGAAUCUAGAGAUCUUGCGUCUGGGUUUUAAUCAAAUCACAGGGCCAAUUCCAAGUUGGUUGUGGAAUCUUCCUAGGCUGUUUUAUAUCAGCUUGCCAAACAACCGACUUUCAGGUGAAUUUCCACAGCAACUUUGUCAACUACCAAGGUUGCUUCAUGAACCUAAUAUUGCAUCUCAAGUAGAAAAAUAUGAAUUUGAACUUCCUGUUGCCGGCAGCAGCGUCAGCAUAAACUCAAAUCAACAAUUUCCACAGCAACGUUUACCACAGCAAAAAUUGUAUUUUUUACCAGGAUGGAUAGUCCUAUCUAACAAUAACAUUAGUGGUUAUAUACCUGCUGAGAUAGGCCAAUUGCGGGGUCUCCGCAAGUUGGCUCUUAACUCCAACAACUUCUCCGGCAUCAUUCCAGACCAAAUAUCUAACCUAAAAAAUUUAGAGGUUUUGGACCUCUCCAAGAAUCACUUGUCUGGAAUAAUCCCAUCAUCAUUGGCGAGUCUUAAUUUCUUGAAAGAAUUUAAUGCCUCGUACAAUAAUCUUGAAGGACCAAUACCUAUAGGCACCCAGCUCCAAAGCUUCAACGCUUCUGCCUUUGAGGGGAAUCCAAAACUUUGUGGUGCCCCACUUCCAAAUAAGUGCAGACCAAUUAAGGACAUGGAUGCAGAUAACAAGAACAACAAAGACGAGGGCAAUGGGCAUCAUCAACUUCCGUGGUUUUACAUUUUCGUUGUGUUGGGGUUCAUAGUAGGAUUUUGGGGAGUUUGUGGUUCUUUAGUCAUUAACAAGACAUGGAGAUAUGCAUAUUUUCAAUUCAUAGACAAUCUACAAGAUAGGCUCUAUGUGAUGAUAAGUUGAUAAUAGUCCAUAUCAACAUGAUGAAAAGAAGGCUUAGAGGCUAGAUAUAUAUUAUUAAUGUUGUACUUUUUAUUUUCAUUUUCAGUUUGCUUUUCCUUUUUUUUUUCCUUCUUCUUUUGAAAAUAACUGGACUUAAAUUUAAAGGAUAUAUGUUGUUAUGUUCAUAAUAUUAUGGGGGGAAUUUGUACUUAACUGUUGAUUUGCCUUAUGAACUUGUACCUAUCUUUCAAUUUACCCCUAUCCUCUUUUUGGAAAAUCAUUGAUAUGAACUUUUAUUUUUAGCUAAUUUCCUCCCUACCGUCUAAAUUCUCAACAUUUCAUUUAAUUUUGCAGUUAAAUAUGAGGGCAAAAUUGGCCAAUUUGUACAUUAAAAAUAAUUAAAUAUUGAAAAAUAAAAUAAAUGAAAUAUGAAAUAGAAAAAAAGGAAGAAUUUUAACAAAAAUCAACCCAACGCUCCCACAACCUUCUCUCUCUCUUCCCCACCCACCCCACCCUAAUUCCAACUCACGAAGCCAUCAACACCCACCUUUAAUUUCAAAGACUUAACAAGAUUGUUUUCACCAAUUGAAGCAAUACACAUUUGUUAUUUUAAAUAAUAACACUACUACAUUUUACACUUUGCGCGACGAAGAGAAUUUCGUCGCGCAAAAUACAUUGUAGUCGCACAAAUUUCAGCGCGACAGAAAUUUCGUCACGCAGAAUCCGUCGCGCAAAGAUCGUGAAGAAAGACUUUGCGCGACGAAGUUUUUUCAUUGGUCACGCAAAGCGACUUUGCGCGACGAAAAAAUAUUGGUCGCGCAAAGUCACUUUGCGCGACGAAAAAUAUUGGUAGCGCAAAGUUGUGCUCAACGAAAUACAUUGGUCGCGCAAAGGUUUGCACGACGAAAUACAUUGGUCGCGCAAAGUUUUGUGCGACGAAAAACAUUGGUCGCGCAAAGUCUUAAAUUUUUUUUUUUUAAAAUAACAAAUUCCCGUGUACAAUUUUUGGUACCCGCCUAAAUUUUUUGAGUUUUGCGCGACGAAUACUAACGUUGCGCAAAUAUUUGCGCGACGAAAUAUUUUUUUUUUAAAUUUUUUUAAUUUAAAAUAAACUAAUUUAAUAGUUUGCGCUACGAAAUAUUUUGUCGCGCAAGGUUUUUGACUUUUUGUUUUAUUAUUUCUUUAAUAUUAAUUAAUUUAUAUUAAUUUAUUCAAAUUUUUACUUUUUAAAUUUAAUUUAAUUGUAUGAUUUCUUUUUAAAAUUACUUUAAUUUAAAUUGAUAUUAAUUUUUUCAAGUUUUUACUUUUUAAAUUUAAUUUAAUUGUAUGAUUUUUUUAAUUACUUUAAUUUAAAUUGACAUAUUCAAAAUAAAAUUACAUAUGAAAAAUAGUGAUCAAAUUAUCCAAUAAAUAUAUAUAUAAUAUUCAAAAUGUACACAUAAAUUAACAAAGUACAAUAAUAAAAUCCUAAUACAAGCGUAUUGUGGUGGUAGUGGCUGAGGAUAUGUUUUGAUAGCUUCCUAAUCCUCAACUUUAGCCGUCAAAGUCUCGAUGAUUCCCUACAAAAAAACAAAUAUGGUCAAAUAACCAAAAAAAAAAAAAAAAAGAAGGCAUAAUCUUCCCUAAAAUUGUUAUACCACAAAUCCAACCCAAACUCCAAUCCCUCCCCUUUACUCAACCCCAAAACCCACACAAACUCAAAAUUAACUCCAAAAACACAUAUUAAUUUUAAAAUUUUAAAAUUUGGCAAGAGUGAGAAUGAGUGAGAAUGAGAGGGAGAAGUGAGUGUGAGAGAAUUAGAGAAGAUAGUGAUAGAGAGAUGAGAGAGUGAGUGAGAGAGAGUGAGAGAUAGUGAAGAGAGAGAUGAGAGAUUAAGUGAGAGGAGUGAGUGAGAGAAAUGGUGGGAUUUGGGGAGAGGGAAAGAGAAAGGAGAGGUAAGAGUAGAGAAAGACAUUGAGAAAAUGGUGGAGGAGUUAUUUCGGUUUUAAAAAUCGUAUCACUUUGCGCGACGAAAAAUAUUGUUGGUCGCGCAAAGGUUUGCGCGACGAAAAAUAUUGGAAUAUUGGUUGCGCAAACUUUUGCGCGACGAAUAUAGGAGUAUUGGUCGCGCAAAGUCUAAAAAAAUUAUUUUAAAAAAAAAAAAUCCCCGCGUCCCAUUUUUGGCACCCGCCAAAAUUUUUAAAUUUUUGCGCGACGAAAAAUACAUAUUGGUCGCGCAAAGUCUAAAAAAAUUAUUUUAAAAAAAUAAAAAUCCCCGCGUCCCAUUUUUGGUACCCGCCAAAAUUUUUAAAUUUUUGCGCGACGAAAAAUACAUAUUGGUCGCGCAAAGUCUAAAAAAAUUAUUUUAAAAAAAUAAAAAUCCCCCCGUCCCAUUUUUGGUACACGCCAAAAUUUUUAAAUUUUUGCGCGACGAAAAAUACAUAUUGGUCGCGCAAAGUCUAAAAAAAUUCCGGCGUCCGAUUUUUGGUACCCGCCCAAAUUUUUGCAAGACGAAAAAUAUAUAUUGGUCGCGCAAAGUUUAGAGCGACAAAAAAUAUUGGUCGCGCAAAGUCUAAUUUUUUUUUUAAAAAAAAAAAAAAUCCCGCGUCCCAUUUUUGGUACCCGUCCAAAUUUUUAGAGUUUUGCGCGACAAACUGUUGGUCGCGCAAACUUUUGAGAGACGAAAAAUUGGUUCGUAGCACAAUAUUUAUAAAAAUAAUUGUUAUGAAUAAUAAAAAUAAAAUUAUUUUAUUUUACAAUUUAAAAUAUAAGUAAGGUUAAAGCUGCUUAAUAAAUAUAUAUACUAUUCAAUUUCUUAAGUGUUAUACGUACAAAAUAAAUAAAUUUAAAGCUACUUAAUAAAUAAAUAUAUAUACACACACCAUUCAACGAUCCAACCAUCAGACUUGUUUGUAUAUACUUCAAGAUCGUAUACCCCAAAAAUCGCAAAAAACAAACAUUCAGAGAUCUAGUAACGGGACAAAACUUUUUGAUGGUUAUAAAUGAAAAAUUACGAUUUAACGGUUAUUUUAACUCCGAUUUUGAUUUUUUUUUACAGCUACAUUCCUUGACCAUAUAUGAAUACAAUGACUGAAUUUGAUCUUCAAUUUAAAAUAUUUACACUAGUGGAUACCAGAAAAUCUUAUGUUAUAUUUAACGAAAGUAUAUCUUAAUUGUUAGUGAAUAUAUUAUUUUGAUGGCAUACACAUUCUACGAAACUAGUUUCAACGAUCCAACCGUCAAAUUUGUUUGUUUAUACUUCGAGAUCAUAUACGCCAAAAAUCGGAAAAAUAAACAUUCAGAGAUCAAGUAACGGGACAAAACUUUUUUACGGUUAUAAAUGAAAAAUCAUGAUUUAAUGGUUAUUUUAACUCCGAUUUUGAUGAUUUUUUACAGCUACACUCCUUGACCCUAUAUGAAUACAAUGACUGAAUUUGAUCUUCAAUAUAAAAUAUUUACACUAGUGCAUACCACAAAAUCUUAUGUUAUAUUUAACGAACAUAUAAAUAAACUCUUAAUUGUUAGUGAAUAUAUUGUUUUGAUGGCAUAUGCAUUCACCAAAACUAGUUUCAACGAUCCAACCGUCAAACUUGUUUGUUUAUACUUCGAGAUCAUAUACGCCAAAAAUCGAAAAAAAUAAACAUUCAGAGAUCAAGUAAUGGGACAAAACUUUUCGACGGUUAUAAUGAAAAAUCACGAUUUAACGGUUAUUUUAACUCCGAUUUUGAUGAUUUUUUACAGCUGCACUCCUUGACCCUAUAUGAAUACAAUGAACUAAUUCGAUUGUCAAUUUAAAAUAUAUAUUUUCUAACAAAAACCCAAUCUGAACAACAAUAAUAUAUUUUUCUAACAAAAAUCCGAUCCGAUCUAAAAUAAUAAAUUUAAAGCUACUUAAUAAAUAUAUAUACUGUUUAAUUUCUUAAGUGUUAUGCAUACAAAAUAAAAAACAAAAAUAAAUUGGUUUAGGCGACGAAAUGUUUGGAUUACGUCAUGCAAAGAUUUUAAAAAUUUUUUAUUUUUUAUUUUUAUAAGGACUUUGCGCGACGAAGUUUAUUGUUUCGUCGCGCAAAGUCACUUUGAGCGACGAUGUAUUGUUGUCGCGCAAAAGUUUGUCACACAAAGUUACUUUGCGCGACGAAUUGUUUUUCGUCGCGAAAAAUUUGGUCGCGCAAUACUUUGAGCGACGAUGUAUUGUCGUCGCGCAAAAGUUUGUCGCGCGAAGUCACUUUGCGCGACGAAUUGUUUUUCGUCGCACAAAAUUUGGUCGCGCAAGACUUUGAGCGACGAAGUUUUGAGUUUCGUCGCGCAAAGUGACUUUGAGCGACGAAUAGUUUUCGUCGCGCAAAAUUUGGUCGCGCAAGGGGUUUUUUUUACUAGUGUAAAUACCCAUUUGACUUGGCCAUUGAUAGGCUAAGAGACAGAGAGAAAAAUAUUAUCAUGUUUAUAAAUAUUAUUUCCACCCAUCUGUUCUAUUUCUCCUAACACCUUUUUCUCAAUAUAAGUUUUUCCCAUAAAAUUAUAUAUAUACUAAACGGCAAUCCACCCCUACACUGCCCCUCAUUUUACUAUUGUUCUCAGUUUUGUUUUCUCUUAAGCACAGUGAAUUACCAAAAAUGCCAUCCACUAAACCUUUUUUGCUCUUUCCUUUUUGCCCCUUCUCCUUCUGUCUUUCUUCCCCCGCGAAUAUUUCGUUCGCUCAGAGAAGGAGUUCAUCCUAGUUGGGGGGCAGCCAGGGGCGGACCUACUAAGGCGCAAGGAGGUGCAGCUCCCCUUGCCGGAAAAAUCAUUGUACGUGCUUCAAAUUACCCCUUUGCUCAACUGGUAUACAGAUUACCUUAUUUCCAUUUUCAACAUUUAAGUAAAUGUCUUUGUUCUUUUACUUUUAUUUAUUUUUAUAUUACUCCAUUUACUUAAGUUUACAAUGUAAAUUAGGAAGUACCCCCCAUUUGGAUUCAAAUAAAAAUACUAGAAAAUCAAAUUCCCACCAAAUCAAAAUAUGAAAAUUCGGUUUUAGUGCAAAAUACGAUUUAGGCUAAAAUGAUGGCUCAUUAAGUCAAUAUAUACUUUAUAUUAAAAUCCCAUAAAAUCAAGUUUUCUUAUUUGAUGUAUAAGGAAUAAAAGCCGCCAAAAAUUAUCUUGAGAAAAUGAUUAUUCUGAAAAACCAUUUUUCAUACUUAGUCAAUAUUGCACCUCCGCUAAAAAAAUUUUGGGUCUGCCAGUGGGGGCAGCGAUGGAAGAUUUGUGUUCGCUGUUGGAAAUGCUUUGGCGGCCGUUGAUUUUCGUUUGGAGAGGCGAGCUUUGAAUCCAGCUGCCCUUUUGGUCUUCAUUUCAGGGAUUUGUCUGUUCGUCGUCAUAUUUUUCAUCAUUUCUACAACCUCUGUCUCAGGCACCUUCUAUCUCUCUUGGCUGCGAGUUCUUGCAUCCUUUGUCUUCAGGUAUGCAUCUCCUCACCUUUUUAGCGCAUCUUUUGGUCUUUAUUUCACCAAUGAACAUAUAUAUGUUGAGAAGUGAGAUUUUUUGAGUUUAGCAGAGAAUUGAAAUUCUUUUGAGUUUAGCAGAGAAUUUCCAAAUCUUUGAUGACAGAACAGAUUCACAGAAACAGGGGCGCUGGGUUAAUAUUUAGUGAUAAACAUAAAUCUUAAGACUUUUUUUUUUUUUUUUCCGUGCACAUAACCCAUUUCUUAUAAACUCUAUUAACACCCAAAAAAACCAGGCUUUUUAUUAUUGCUUUCUGACUUGGGAUUUUAGCUUUCCAAUACCCCAGACCCACAUUUGUAGCCCUCCCUCUGGAGCGUCUCUUUCACUCUCUACAAUCCCUGCUCUCCCCUUUUGCAAAUAAUCAAAACCCAAAAGUUUUACCAAAAAAAACCCAAAAUAGAAAACUAUGUGAUCACAGAGUUUGAAAACGAGGAGGAGCGUGUGGCACACAGUUUCGAGAUCAACUUUUUCAAUAUUAUGAAUACUUCUUUUACCUUUGACCGGUGCAAGCCCUUUCUCUACCAAAGUGGGAUAUUGCUUAAAGCCCAUGAAUCCAAUUGCAGCAAUAGUAAAGAACAGUGCAACAAGGAUUCCAAGUUCUUCAGCAGCUGUGAUGCUGAAAGUCAUGAAACCAUUCGAAACAAUGCAAGUCACUGGAGGAUUAUCAGGUUCAAAGAAAUUGGGUGACAACUGUGUAAAACUUUGUGUUUAACCUGGUGUCUCGAGAGGUGAAAGGAAUUUAGUUUGACUGGAGGAUAAUACACUUGUCUUAUCUCUCAAAACUUACUCGGCAAGGUUCCAAAGAAUGCUCUUAGAUCAAAACAUUAUGUAUAGAUGGUAUGAACUGCCUGAACAAAGAAUUCUUCGACUGCGAACAACCGGAGCUAUUACUCACUACAUCAAAAAAUUUCCAUUAAUGAAAGAUGUAAAUCCAGGUUUUUUAAUGAAACAAGCACCAUAGUUUCAGCAAAUCUGUAUUCAGCUUAAACAAAAUUUUUGUACUGUACUAAUCUAAACAUUUAGGUCAUAUUGGGAUUCGUAUGUGUUCGUCACUCAGAGGGUUGUAUGGGGUUGCCUUUUACCAAUUGGGUUGUAUUGGAUUAUUGUAUGAGCUAGAAGACAAGUUACCCGACCCAGCCACGCGCCAAAAGGAACCAAUGCUAUUUCAACGCCAUUCCAUAUUUGAUUGGUAGAAGUGAAUAACUUCUCCACAUACGGGAGUGAUAAAUUCAAUACAUGUCCAAUGUUUUAGCUGGCUUCGAUAAGCGCUUGAAAGAAAAUGCUGAGUAAUUGGAGGAGCUCUGAAGUUUAGCAGAAAAGGAAGGAGUGUCCAAUCAGGUUAACUUCAUCUCAUCUUGCUCAACAGCUGAAAGAAAUGCACUCCUCACCCAGUGCCUAUGUGUCCUUCUGAAGGUCCAAAUUACACGGGUUUGUUCCAUUUGAUGGGAUACAGGUUGAAAAAUGAAAUUUAUAUGAGAUAAUAUGAUUGAAGACCCGCAGCUGGCGCAGAGAAUGGGCAUCAAAGCGCAACGGCAUGUGACAGAUUCAUUCUCUACAAAAAUAAUUGGUCGGCAUUUGAAUCAAUACCUUGUUGACGUUGAUGGAACGAAAGAAGACUGAAGACUGCAUGACCUUGUAGUAUAAGUUGUCCAAUUGAGUCGCCUAGACUCAAAUAUAGUUUUGUUGGGUUUAAUAUAUCCAUGAAUUUACUCCGAGUGUGUCAUCUUUUAUGCCUUUUGUCUUUUGCUCGAUAUACCAUUUUUCUAAAGUUCAUCUGUUUGGUCAUGUAGUUGACAGAUGGUAGUGACUUGUGAAUGAAGAGCGCGAAGGUUCUGCUUCUCCUGCAGUGUGACAUGAAUAGGAUGUCAAUGUAUGUAGUGCUAAGAUAAGGCUUGACCAGCACUGGAACUCUCAAGCCAUGUCUGGCAUGCAUGCCGUAUUAAAUAACACCAUAUAUCUUCCAAGUUUCCAAGAAAAAUGAUCAACACAUGCCGCUUCACUAGAUUUGUUGGCUUUGUGAUUCAACUAAACAUCAGCAGGUCUUAGGUUCGAGGACUGGCACUGAUCGAAUCCAUAUAUUACCAUAAAAUUAUCAACACGAAAACAUCUUGGACGCUCAUCGUAGCCCUCUUUAGACCUAAUGUGGUCUACAAUUUGGCUACAUUAGUUGAUAGUAACAGCUAGAAGGUCUGGUCCUCUCAUCGUGGCCCUCUUUAGACCUAAUGUGGUUUUCAAUUUUGGUUACAUUAGUUGAAGUCUCUGUUUGACGUCUAGAAGGGGUUUGAAGAAUUUGUAUUGUAUGGUUAUGGUUGCUUGCCAAUUUCUUACGUUGAGUACUUUGAAGGCGUUGUGGACCUUAAGUAAGUCAAGUCCUCUCCUGGUGGCGUUAGUGGGAAUAUCUCUUAAUACCCAAUGAGGCCUUCUCUCUGGUUUCAUGAGUGGGAAUAUCUCUUGGACGAAUUGAGGGGUUUCAAUAUCAAUAAUUUGUGUUGUGUGGUUGUUGUUUGCUGAUCGACUUCUCAAUUUGCAGUGAUGUAUGCAUCCUUUUCAAGCAUCGUUGCUCUUAUAUAUAUAUAUAUAUAUAUAUACAUGUACAAAGUACUUUCAUUUAGGAUCCAUCAAAUAAGCUUACUUGAAUCCGAUAUCAUUUGACUACUCAAUUAAAUUAUUGAAAUUUAAGUACUUUCUUGAAGCACGGUGUUCAUUGAUUUUGUUGAUCUCAAUUAGAUGCCUAUUGAUUUUCAAUAUGCAUGAAUUUUUGGAAGAAUGAUCUAUGAAUGAAGAUGUGAAAAAUAGAUGUUUUUGAUCGUUCAAAAAUUUUUUGUAAGGGACUCUAAGGGGUCUCCCUCAAAUAAAUUAUUUUGAGGAAUCCUUCAAUAGAAGGGUACUGAUACAUACUUAUAUAUAUAGACCAGCUUGUAACCUAAUGGCUCAUGGCUUCAUUCUCUUCCUCUUAUUCUCUUGCAUUAUACCUUCAAAUAUUCAUGCCUGCAAACAAACUGAACACAGCUCCCUCCUGUCCUUUGCCUCCACUCUAUCUUCACGUCCUUUAAAUUGGCCAUACAUUGUGAAGCUGUUGUUGAUGUAACACCCCGACUCCAAAUUUAAUUCCUAUUUUAAAUUAUUUAAGUGAAUUUACGAAUUUACCCUUAGGGUAGGGGUAAAUUGGUCAUUUUCUUGCCCGGAAGGUGUUUGGGGCAGUGACUGGUAUUUUUGGGUAGGUGGUAUUGAGACGAAUUCGUAGACAUGCAGUAGGCUUGAAUCGGAGUUGUAACGAAGAAGUUACGGGCAAAACAUCGACAGUGGCAAAACUGUAAAUAUUUCAAAGUUUGAGUUUAAAAUAUCUGACUUUUCUCUCUUUCUCUCUCUCUCUCUCUCUCUCUCUCCCCCGCGACGCUCUCUCUCUCCCCGAAAACCCAGCAGCGACAGUUUCACCGUCGCCACCGGCCACGGCUGGCCUCGAGACCGGUCCCAAUCGAACCGCCGUCGCUCGCUCUUCCUCUCCUGGCCAGCACCGUCCCUGGAACCACCGGAUUCCGUCGGAAAAUGCUUGGAAUCGCGCCGGUUUGACAGAAACUUCCAGCCGCUCGAUCUCCCUGCUCUGGCCACCGUUUCUGGUGAGUGAGGUAUGGUUUCUCACCUAUUUUCCGAGCUCUAGCUGAUGGUUGGAUAGGAUUUCGUUAAUUUUGAGCCUAGGAUAGUCGAUCUUCGAUUUGAAAUUCUGCCGAUUUUGGGAGUUUGUUUUCGGCCACUUCCAGUCACUUUUUGGGGUAGGCCCAAGAACAAAAGUGACUCCAAAUAGGGUGUUGUACCUAGGGUAGGAAUCUUGAGCCGAGAUGUUGAGUUUUUCCGACGAAGCUUUAUCGCUUUGGACACCCACACGCUGCCGCGCGUGUGGCGGCGCGUGGGCACUGUAUCAGAGGGGCAUAUUUGUCCCAAUGCGAUCUCCUGGUUGUCACAAGCACGUAGGAUUUCGCGGAUCUCAAUUUGGACAUCGUUUGACUAUCGAACGGAUUAUCGCAUAUUGUGCGUUAUCCGGGUUCGAUAGGUUCCGACCGUUAGAUCCUUUCCGAAUUAAAAUAUGUUGUUCUAGGUAUUCCUAGGAUCGUAUAGGAAUUCGCGGAUCGUGAAUCGGAACACCGGAUGUUCCGAUUCAAUAACUUAAAGUUUGCGUUUUAUAAUAACCGUCCGAUUGUGUGAUCGUAAGCGAUCUAACCGUCCGUUUCGGACUAAACUUGCGAGACGGGUAUCUUAGACCUUGUGGAACCUUUAGGAACUUUUGGAUUGUAAAACGGAGGUCGUGGGUCCUGUGGGCCCGGUUGACCCAAAUUGGGAAGUUUGACCGCCAGUUGACCGAGUGUCUCCUGACGUUGUUCCAUCGUCCAAAUUGAGUAGUUGGACCUUAGAACGUCCCAUUCCUAGUACACUUACUAGAGACCUGGGAAAUUAGGAUAUUUAAUUUAAAGUACUCGUUCCAAACGUUUCGUAUUAAUCUCGUAUACGUAUUCCGAAUUAGGUACUCCGACUACGCAUACGCAGCAGGCGGGACCCUCUCAGGGUCAAGCAGCGUGGGACUACUUGUGAGUGGACUUUGUUUUCGAAUCUAUGCAUGGUUUUAUUGAUGAAAGAUUUAUGCAUAAUGUUUUUAAUGAUUUAUUGAAUAUAUUAUAUUCAUGAGUUGAACUUGAUGUUUUUAUAGCGCUUUGGUAAAAUAUGUGGCUUUGGCAUAGUUGGGUAUUGAAAGUAUAUUUUAUAUGGAUUUUGGGAAAUAUUAUGCAUGAUGUUUUAAAUGGUAUUUUGGAUAUAUUAUUUAUGAAAUUGUUGAAAGUGAUACUUUUAUGAGGCAUUGAAAAUAUAUUUUGGGUUUUGACGUAUUUGAGUAUCUUGAGUAUGAAUAUAUGGAUUUUGGGGAUUUCUAUAUAUAUAUAUAUAUAUUUGGCUAUGUGUGAGGUACUUGGGUUGUUGAGAUGAAAUUGUGGAAAGUGGUGAGUAUAGAAUGUCAGUUUGGUGUGCUGUAAGCACAACCCUAUGUACCUCCCCGGAUGUGGAACUUGGAUACGGAGACUUGAGAUACUUGGAAUUGUCGGGACCCGGGGCAUCCUUGAUGGGAUGUUGCUGUAGACCCUUAAUUGGGUAGUCUGCGCGCGUAGGACUGUUCACAGACGUACGGGUUUUGAGGUUACCGACGGUACGUUCUGGCUGAGAGUUGGUCCCCCAGUUGGACGGCUCGUUCCCUAGUCACAUGGUGGAUUGAGGACUCAUCACGAGGACUCUGCCAGGGUGACUAGUCAAACAAUCCCCCGGUUGGAUUGUUUCCCCGGUACAACUAGGUGAUGGUUAUAUUUAUAUUAUAUAUAUAUAUAUCUCUUAUAUUAUAUAUUUAUAUCUAUUCAUUCAUUCUUGUUUCUCGGUGUGGAUACUUCCUUGCCGGUCGUGCCAAUGGGUACGCUUUCGAGAGUUUGGUUGUGGGAUUUAUAAGUUUUGGAUGGUGGGUUUUGUAAAGCGUUCGUUUUGGAUUUCAGACUUGGCAUCUGGUAUCGAUUUGUUUUGAUAUAUAUAUUAUAUAUAUAUACAUAUAUACGUGAGUAUGACGGUUUUGAGAUGCAUGGGAUUUCUUGCAUGGUUUUCUAAACGGUGGGGUUAUAUUACGUUGGUUUACACUGAACUGAAUUUAUUUUUGUCCACUCACAAUUUUCUGUUUUGCGCCCCCCCAGCCAGUAGUUGACUGAGCUCCGCAGUAGAGCCGGAUCGUGCGCUUCCGAGCCUUGAGUCAUCGUAGGACUCUUUCUUCAUGUUAUUUCCUUUGUACUCUGUUUUGUUGAAAUUGAAGUUCUUAGACAUGCUCUGUUAUCGCCCCCGUUAGGGUUUGAAUUGUGAGGCCGGAGGCCAUUUUGUUGUAAACUGUUUAUUCGAUGUAAAGCAUGCUGCUGGUUGGGAUUAUUCUGUAUUUUUAUGCAGGUUGAAUUUAGUUGGUUUGUUCAAUUCAUAGGGGAGACUCUGCCAAAAUUUUGGUAGAGAGUCUCGGUUUCUAGUAAGUGGGCCCGGCAUCGGGGUCAUAUCCCGGGAUCAACUCAGCCGUAACACGAUAUUGUCCGCUUUGGGCCCCCCCUCUCUGCCCUCACGGUUUUGUUUCUGGGAACUCACGAGCAAAUUCCCAGUGGGUCACCCAUCCUGGGAUUGCUCUAGCCCCCAACUCGCUUAAAUUCGGAGUUCCUACGACUCCGAAGCCAGUGAGCUCCCAAAAGGCCUCGUGCUAGAUGGAUGCGGGUGUGCACAUAUAAAGCACAUCACCCCCACUCCGUUGGUUGAUGUGGGAUCUUACAAUCCACCCCCCUUAGGGGCCCGACGUCCUCGUCGGCACACUCGCACCACACGACAGAGUGGCUCUGAUACCAAAUUGUCAUAUCCCGGGAUCAACUCAGCCGUAACACGAUAUUGUCCGCUUUGGGCCCCCCUCUCUGCCCUCACGGUUUUGUUUCUGGGAACUCACGAGCAACUUCCCAGUGGGUCACCCAUCCUAGGAUUGCUCUAGCCCCCAACUCGCUUAACUUCGGAGUUCCUACGACUCCGAAGCCAGUGAGCUCCCAAAAGGCCUCGUGCUAGAUGGAUGCGGGUGUGCACAUAUAAAGCACAUCACCACCACUCCGUUGGUUGAUGUGGGAUCUUACAGUUGAAAUUGAAACUAGUUAAGCUGCUUGCUUGUUGGAAGAAUGAAGAUGGAAUUGCACCAAAGAAGUGAGUAAGUUUGGAAAAAUCAACAAUAGUUUGAGUUUCAAUGUCAGCAACAAUGGCUUCACAAGGUAUGUCACAUCCUCUAUUUGUCUCAAACAUUCUUCUCCCUUCCUUAGGCUAUUGGAUUUUUCUUCCAAUCUAUUUAAUGGCAACCUUGCUCCUGGGUUAUGGAAGUGUUCUGAACUGCAGGUUUUUCGUGCCAAUCACAAUAACCUCUCAGGAUUACUUCCAAAAGAUAUCUAUAAUGCUACCAAACUUUAAGAAAUUGCAUUACCCUCUCAAUUCACUACUUGGAGCCAUUAGUGAUAAAAUUGUCAACCUCACCAACCUUGCCAUCCUUGACCUCGCCUUUAAUCAUUUUGGCGGCAAGCUUACUCCCAAUUUGGGGGAGCUCUCCAAAUUGAAAUUUAUGACCCUUGAUUUCAACAAUUUAGAAGGUCCUUUGCCCCAGUCUUUGAUGAAUUGCACAAACCUUGUAGAAUGGCGUUUGGGAUCCAACGACUUGGAAGGAGAUAUCUCCAUGCUUGAUUUUUCCAGACUUACUCAACUUACUAAACUUGACCUAAGGAUGAAUAACUUCACUGGUAUGAUUCCAGUAAGCCUUUAUGCAUGUCGGUCUUUAAAAGCCAUUCGAUUGUCUAGAAAUCAUCUAGAGGGACAAAUAGAAGCCGAGAUUCUUUCAUUGAAAUCCUUGUCCUUCUUCUCGCUUGCUGUAAUAUCUCACAUCGACCAACGGAGAGGGGGUGAUGUGCCUUAUAUGUAUAUGCCCAUCUGUAUCUAGCAUGAGGCCUUUUGGGAGUUCACUUGCUUCGGAGUCAUGGGAACUUCAAAGUUAACCGAGUUUGGGCUAGAGCAAUUCCAGGAUGGGUGACCCACUGAGAAGUGCUGGUGAGUUUCCAGAAACAAAACUGUGAGGGUAUGGGGGGCCCAAAGCGGACAAUAUCGUGCUAUUGCGGAGCCGAUCCGGGGUGUGACAAAAUGGUAUCAAGAGCCACUUUGCCGUGUGGUGCGAGUGUGCCGAGGAGGACGUCUGGUCCCUAAGGGGGUGGAUUGUAACAUCCCACAUUGACCAACGGAGAGGGGAUGAUGUGCCUUAUAUGUACAUGCCUUCACGAGGCAAACAGACAAUAUCGUGCUACAGCGAAGCCGAUCCCGGGAUGUGACAAUUGCUUACAACCGAUUCACCAACCUCACAGGGGUUUUAAUCAAAUCACAGGGCCAAUUCCAAGUUGGUUGGGGAAUCUUCCUAGACUGCUUUAUAUAAGCUUCCCAAACAACCAAAUUUCAGGUGAAUUUCCACAGCAACUUUGUCGACUACCAAGGUUGGUUUAUGAACCUAUUGCAUCUCAAGGAGACCAAUAUGAAUUUGAAUUGCCUGUCUUAGGCAACGGCAGCUUCUGUUCAACUCUACCACAAAAAUUGUAUUUUUAUCUAGCAACGAUAGACCUAUCUAAGAAUAACAUUGUUGGUGAUACACGUACUGAUAUCGGCCAAUUGCAGCUUCUCUACAUGUUGGUUCUUGACUCCAACAACUUCUCUAAUAUCAUUCCAGACCAAAUAUCUAACUUAAAAAGUUUAAAGGUUUUGAAACUCUCCAUGAAUCACUUGUCUGGAAUAAUGCCAUCAUCAUUGGCAAGCCUUAAUUUCUUGAAAGAAUUUAAGGCCUCAUACAAUAACCUCAAAGGACCAAUACCAACAGGCACCCAGCUCCAAAGCUUCAAUGCUUCUGCCUUUGAGGGGAAUCCAGAUUUUUGUGGUGCCCCACUCCCAAAUAAAUGCGGACCAAGUAGGUGCAUUGAUGCAGAUAAUAAGAACAAUAAAGAUGUGAACAAUUAUUAAUAAAACAUGGAGAUACACAUAUUUUCGAUUCGUACACAAUCUACAAGAUAUGCUCCUCUAUGUGAUGAUAAUAGUCCCCCUGAACAGGAUGAAAAGAAGGCUUAGAGGCUAGAUAUAUAUUAUUAAUAUUGUACUUUUUAUUUUGCAUACUCAGUCCGAAUAUAUGAAAACUGAUGCAUAUGCAUAUAAUACGGUUGUCAAUUGUGAAGGAUUGAUGUCUAUGUCUCAGUAAGGAAGAUUAAUGUCUAUUGCUAAUAUAGAAAAAUAAAAAAUAAAAAAUCUCCUGAAUGUGAAAGUGCAAUUGAUAUUAGAGAAGAAAUCCAAAUUAAUGUGUUUUGGAUUGGAAUUCCCUUGCUGCUGUGCUUUGGCAUGUGGGUCUCAAAGGUUAUGUUUGAAUAUUGAAGUCUCCAUUUGUUUUCCUGUCUUUUAACUUGGUUCAUUACUUGUUGACAUUAAGGAGGAAGAAACACAUACAUAUAUAGGUGUGCGUUCAGGGCUUCUAAUGAAAGGACCCGCCCCGAAUUUUUCAUAAACCCGAGGCGAACCCUUUGGAAUUCCUGACAUCACUCCGAUGCCAGGCCCACUUACUUAGGGUCGAGACUUCCUGCCGAAAUUUCGGCAGAGUCUCCCUUAUAAAUUGGACAUUCCCCAAAAUUACAACCUGCAUAAAAACGCAUUUAAUAUUCACAACUGGCAGCAUGCACAAUAUAAUUUCAUGCAAUUCACACAAAUGGCCUUCGGCCCUUCAAUAAUUUUCAACCAACUACCAGACCCGCUAACAACCAAUUCAAAUAAAUUUUAUGACUAACAUUUAGUCUGCGGCUGCACCUAAUAACCUUAGGCUGCCUACGUACCCUCUUUAAGGACCCGCCCCGAAUUUUCUCAAAACCCGAGACGAACCCUUUGGAAUUCCUGACAUCACUCCGAUGUCAGACCCGAUCACUAAAGACCGAGACUUCCUGCCGAAAUUUCGGCAGUCUCCCCUAUAAAUUGGACAUUUCCCAAAAUUUCAACCUGCAUAAAAACACAUUUAAUAUUCCCAACUGGCAGCAUGCACAAUAUAAUUUCAUGCAAUUCACACAAAUGGCCUUCGGCCUUUCAAUAAUUCCUAUCCAACUACCAAACCAUUCAAAUACCAAAUAUGACUAACAUUUAGUCUGCGGCUGCACCUAAUAACCUUAGGCUGCCUACGUACCCUCCUUGAGGGAUCAAGCCACACGUAGUUCUUCCCUAAAACUCAAUUCCCCACUUGGGCGAUACCUUAUUUCAUUUCUUUGUAUUUCAUAUAAUCUCCCCAUACGCCGGUACAACCAACGCCACGUAUGGGGUCUGUCUCAACGUCGGAUAACCUACGCCACGUGAAACCUGCACAUCAUAUCACAUAACUCCCCAUACGCCGGUACAACCAACGCCACGUAUGGGGCCUGUCCCAACGCCGGAUAACCUAAGCCACGCGGGACCUCAAUAUUAUAUCACAAAGCUCCCCAUACGCCGGUACAACCAACGCCACGUAUGGGGUUUGUCGACACGCCGGAUAACCUACGCCACGUGCGACCUCGACACAAUAUCACAUAGCUCCCCAUACGCCGGUACAACCAACGCCACGUAUGGGGUCUGUCCCAGCGCCGGAUAACCUACGCCACGCGGGACCUCAAUUUCACUUGGUGGUGCUUGUAAUGGAUCCAACAUCCGAGGAGGUACCUAAAGUAGUGCGUAUAGCACUCCAAACUGACAUUUCUAGACUUUGUUGUACCCUUGUACAACCACAUAUAAUUAUAUUUAUAUAAUAUUAAUUCUUAUAUUGUGUAACCCUCCACAAUCAUCUAGCACCCGAUAAUCCCCCGUAGAAAGGUGAGAUUACUCCGGGAGACUCACGGUCAACCAAGGGUCAAACUACUCUAACCCUGGUCAACCCGACCUACAAAACCCACGACCUCCAAUUUCCGAUCCGGAAGUCCCUAUGGGUUCUACCAGGUAUAGGACACUUGUCCUGCAAGUUUGGUUCAGAUCGGACGGUCGGAUUGCUCACGAUCGCACGAUCUGACGGUUAAUAUAAAAUAUAAAAUUAAAAUUAUUAUUCGGAACAUCCGGGGCUCCGAUUCACGAUCCGUGAAUUCCUACACGAUCCUAGAAAUACCUAGAUUAACAUAUAUUAAAUUUGGGACCAUCCGACGGUCCCAACCUAUCGAACCCGGAUAACGCAUACUAUGCGAUUAUCCGUUCGAUAGUCAAACGACGUCCGAAUUGAGAUCCGCGAAAUCCUACGCACUCGUGACAACCUAAGGAUCUCUUUGGGUUAAUUUGCAGCUUCACCAGCCUCGCCCACGCGCCGCCACACGCGCCGGCAGCGCGUGGGUGUGUAGAGAAAUUCCGGCGACGGAAAAAACUCCACACCCGAGCUCACCCUUUCGGCUACAGAUUCUACUCGACGAGUGGAACACUUUAUUCAACUACACCAAAGUCCAAUUCGGACGGCAAGUGGCCGGAAUCGGCGUCGGAAACUCACGGUUUAACCCGGAACUUCACGGCCUCGAUCCGGCGACCACCGUCGAUAUCGUCAUCGCGCAACCUAGGAAAUAGCUAGAAGGGAAGGAGGGCUACCUGUUCCAAGUGACGGCGCAGCUCGCGACGGCCGGAAACGUCGCCGGUGACGUCGGCAAUUUUGGCCGUUUUUCCCGCCGUUGCCACCGCCGUUCGCCGGGUUUUCGAUCGGAGAAAAGGGGUGGGCUGGGUCGAGGAGGAAGAGAGGAAGCUUUUGCAAGAAACGGCGCCUAAAACGGAGGUCGGACGGCGAAGUUCACGCCGUCUGAAGUUCCGGCGAAAAAAUGAAAACGGGGAGGGGGGUUCAGCCGCGGGAGAGAGAGAGAGAGAGAGAGAGAGAGAGAGAGAGAGAUCUGAUAUUUUAACCCAAACUUCGAAAUAUUUACAGUUUUGCCACUGUCGAUGUUUUGCCCGUAACUUCUUCGUUACAACUCCGAUUCGAGCCCACUACGUGUCUAUGAACUCGUCUCAAUACGACCUAUCCAAAAAUAUAAGUCACGGUCCCAAACUCUCUCCGGUUAAAAAUAUGACUAAAAUACCCUUAAAUAAUUAAAUAAUUAAAUAAGGGUAAAAUUUGGGAAAAUUUGGGGUCGGAGUGUUACAGACUACCCCCCUUAUAAAAAUUUCGUCCCCGAAAUUUCCUACCUGUCACUCGAAGGGUUGUGAGCAUGGGGCCCGCAUCUACCACUCGGGUUCCCAAGUUCUUUCUCCACAACCGUGUUGGCAACCAAGCCAAAAGCUCUAGCUAAGCAAGCAGAGAAAGAGAAGUCUCCUUCUCUAACUAUGGCGAGCUCACGUGAGAGAGCAAGGAGGAAGAACCCUAAUGUUCCACUCCUGUCAAUCGCGGCAUUCAAGCCCACGCGAAUGAAGUACGGUUACACCCAACUCCAUUACUUCUCCCUUUAAUUUGCUAACACGAUUCUUUGAGAGAAAAGUCAGAAAGGAUCAUUUUUACCGAAUUGUAAUCAUCAUCGAUCUCUCUCGACCAUGAUCCAUUUCUGAUUCCGAUGAAAGAUCUCUACUCAAACGUGCUUACGUGAGAUGAGACCCCAAAUGACUCUCUCCAUCCAUCUGGGUCUCGUCCUUAGACUUGACCAUAGUAUUCCCACCACACACGAGCCUCUUUCUGUAAGAGACACUUGUGAUUUCGAUUAUACCAACACCACCCUUCAGACCCUGGAUCCCUUGAUCCAAUGUCGGGGAGUUGCUCGUCCCAGAGAGAGGUUAUGCUAUUAGGAUCUUCGACUCGGUGCUCUAGGCACACAAUCGAAAAUUAGCAACAUGUUCAGUCAAUGGAGGAUCCCUAGAAGUAGGUUGAUCCACUCCCUACCUCCCGCUUAUGCGGACCCAACAGACAACUUUGUCAUGGGGACAUCCAACUGUACCAUACGUACAGGUGUUACCCUAUGCAAACUUUUGGCUUCUAUUCGUAAUCUUCCGGAACUUCUGAAACAACCACUGUCUGUGGUAAAGCUCCAGCUCUACUUAUGCUCCGGUGGCCUAUGUACCUUUCCUUUGUGAAAUAAUUUGACUUUUGUGACGUCCUCAACGUUGCAAAUGUGCCACUCCGAGAUGGUACCCAUUUUGAUCCCCACAAUUUAAGGAUGCACAUAAAGUGCAGGGUCCACAAGGAAUUGAACCUAGAGCUCUGAUACCAACUUUAAGGACCCGCCCCGAAUUUUCUCAAAACCCGAGACGAACCCUUUGGAAUUCCUGACAUCACUCCGAUGUCAGACCCGAUCACUAAAGACCGAGACUUCCUGCCGAAAUUUCGGCAGAGUCUCCCCUAUAAAUUGGACAUUUUCCAAAAUUUCAACCUACAUAAAAACACAUUUAAUAUUCCCAACUGGCAGCAUGCACAAUAUAAUUUCAUGCAAUUCACACAAAUGGCCUUCGGCCUUUCAAUAAUUCCUAUCCAACUACCAAACCAUUCAAAUACCAAAUAUGACUAACAUUUAGUCUGCGGCUGCACCUAAUAACCUUAGGCUGCCUACGUACCCUCCUUGAGGGAUCAAGCCACACGUAGUUCUUCCCUAAAACUCAAUUCCCCACUUGGGCGAUACCUUAUUUCAUUUCUUUGUAUUUCAUAUAAUCUCCCCAUACGCCGGUACAACCAACGCCACGUAUGGGGUCUGUCUCAACGUCGGAUAACCUACGCCACGUGAAACCUGCACAUCAUAUCACAUAACUCCCCAUACGCCGGUACAACCAACGCCACGUAUGGGGCCUGUCCCAACGCCGGAUAACCUAAGCCACGCGGGACCUCAAUAUUAUAUCACAAAGCUCCCCAUACGCCGGUACAACCAACGCCACGUAUGGGGUUUGUCGACACGCCGGAUAACCUACGCCACGUGCGACCUCGACACAAUAUCACAUAGCUCCCCAUACGCCGGUACAACCAACGCCACGUAUGGGGUCUGUCCCAGCGCCGGAUAACCUACGCCACGCGGGACCUCAAUUUCACUUGGUGGUGCUUGUAAUGGAUCCAACAUCCGAGGAGGUACCUAAAGUAGUGCGUAUAGCACUCCAAACUGACAUUUCUAGACUUUGUUGUACCCUUGUACAACCACAUAUAAUUAUAUUUAUAUAAUAUUAAUUCUUAUAUUGUGUAACCCUCCACAAUCAUCUAGCACCCGAUAAUCCCCCGUAGAAAGGUGAGAUUACUCCGGGAGACUCACGGUCAACCAAGGGUCAAACUACUCUAACCCUGGUCAACCCGACCUACAAAACCCACGAUCUCCAAUUUUUGAUCCGGAAGUCCCUAUGGGUUCUACCAGGUAUAGGACACUUGUCCUGCAAGUUUGGUUCAGAUCGGACGGUCGGAUUGCUCACGAUCGCACGAUCUGACGGUUAAUAUAAAAUAUAAAAUUAAAAUUAUUAUUCGGAACAUCCGGGGCUCCGAUUCACGAUCCGUGAAUUCCUACACGAUCCUAGAAAUACCUAGAUUAACAUAUAUUAAAUUUGGGACCAUCCGACGGUCCCAACCUAUCGAACCCGGAUAACGCAUACUAUGCGAUUAUCCGUUCGAUAGUCAAACGACGUCCGAAUUGAGAUCCGCGAAAUCCUACGCACUCGUGACAACCUAAGGAUCUCUUUGGGUUAAUUUGCAGCUUCACCAGCCUCGCCCACGCGCCGCCACACGCGCCGGCAGCGCGUGGGUGUGUAGAGAAAUUCCGGCGACGGAAAAAACUCCACACCCGAGCUCACCCUUUCGGCUACAGAUUCUACUCGACGAGUGGAACACUUUAUUCAACUACACCAAAGUCCAAUUCGGACGGCAAGUGGCCGGAAUCGGCGUCGGAAACUCACGGUUUAACCCGGAACUUCACGGCCUCGAUCCGGCGACCACCGUCGAUAUCGUCAUCGCGCAACCUAGGAAAUAGCUAGAAGGGAAGGAGGGCUACCUGUUCCAAGUGACGGCGCAGCUCGCGACGGCCGGAAACGUCGCCGGUGACGUCGGCAAUUUUGGCCGUUUUUCCCGCCGUUGCCACCGCCGUUCGCCGGGUUUUCGAUCGGAGAAAAGGGGUGGGCUGGGUCGAGGAGGAAGAGAGGAAGCUUUUGCAAGAAACGGCGCCUAAAACGGAGGUCGGACGGCGAAGUUCACGCCGUCUGAAGUUCCGGCGAAAAAAUGAAAACGGGGAGGGGGGUUCAGCCGCGGGAGAGAGAGAGAGAGAGAGAGAGAGAGAGAGAGAGAGAUCUGAUAUUUUAACCCAAACUUCGAAAUAUUUACAGUUUUGCCACUGUCGAUGUUUUGCCCGUAACUUCUUCGUUACAACUCCGAUUCGAGCCCACUACGUGUCUAUGAACUCGUCUCAAUACGACCUAUCCAAAAAUAUAAGUCACGGUCCCAAACUCUCUCCGGUUAAAAAUAUGACUAAAAUACCCUUAAAUAAUUAAAUAAUUAAAUAAGGGUAAAAUUUGGGAAAAUUUGGGGUCGGAGUGUUACAGACUACCCCCCUUAUAAAAAUUUCGUCCCCGAAAUUUCCUACCUGUCACUCGAAGGGUUGUGAGCAUGGGGCCCGCAUCUACCACUCGGGUUCCCAAGUUCUUUCUCCACAACCGUGUUGGCAACCAAGCCAAAAGCUCUAGCUAAGCAAGCAGAGAAAGAGAAGUCUCCUUCUCUAACUAUGGCGAGCUCACGUGAGAGAGCAAGGAGGAAGAACCCUAAUGUUCCACUCCUGUCAAUCGCGGCAUUCAAGCCCACGCGAAUGAAGUACGGUUACACCCAACUCCAUUACUUCUCCCUUUAAUUUGCUAACACGAUUCUUUGAGAGAAAAGUCAGAAAGGAUCAUUUUUACCGAAUUGUAAUCAUCAUCGAUCUCUCUCGACCAUGAUCCAUUUCUGAUUCCGAUGAAAGAUCUCUACUCAAACGUGCUUACGUGAGAUGAGACCCCAAAUGACUCUCUCCAUCCAUCUGGGUCUCGUCCUUAGACUUGACCAUAGUAUUCCCACCACACACGAGCCUCUUUCUGUAAGAGACACUUGUGAUUUCGAUUAUACCAACACCACCCUUCAGACCCUGGAUCCCUUGAUCCAAUGUCGGGGAGUUGCUCGUCCCAGAGAGAGGUUAUGCUAUUAGGAUCUUCGACUCGGUGCUCUAGGCACACAAUCGAAAAUUAGCAACAUGUUCAGUCAAUGGAGGAUCCCUAGAAGUAGGUUGAUCCACUCCCUACCUCCCGCUUAUGCGGACCCAACAGACAACUUUGUCAUGGGGACAUCCAACUGUACCAUACGUACAGGUGUUACCCUAUGCAAACUUUUGGCUUCUAUUCGUAAUCUUCCGGAACUUCUGAAACAACCACUGUCUGUGGUAAAGCUCCAGCUCUACUUAUGCUCCGGUGGCCUAUGUACCUUUCCUUUGUGAAAUAAUUUGACUUUUGUGACGUCCUCAACGUUGCAAAUGUGCCACUCCGAGAUGGUACCCAUUUUGAUCCCCACAAUUUAAGGAUGCACAUAAAGUGCAGGGUCCACAAGGAAUUGAACCUAGAGCUCUGAUACCAACUUUAAGGACCCGCCCCGAAUUUUCUCAAAACCCGAGACGAACCCUUUGGAAUUCCUGACAUCACUCCGAUGUCAGACCCGAUCACUAAAGACCGAGACUUCCUGCCGAAAUUUCGGCAGAGUCUCCCCUAUAAAUUGGACAUUUUCCAAAAUUUCAACCUACAUAAAAACACAUUUAAUAUUCCCAACUGGCAGCAUGCACAAUAUAAUUUCAUGCAAUUCACACAAAUGGCCUUCAGCCUUUCAAUAAUUCCUAUCCAACUACCAAACCAUUCAAAUACCAAAUAUGACUAACAUUUAGUCUGCGGCUGCACCUAACCUUAGGCUGCCUACGUACCCUCCUUGAGGGAUCAAGCCACACGUAGUUCUUCCCUAAAACUCAAUUCCCCACUUGGGCGAUACCUUAUUUCAUUUCUUUGUAUUUCAUAUAAUCUCCCCAUACGCCGGUACAACCAACGCCACGUAUGGGGUCUGUCUCAACGUCGGAUAACCUACGCCACGUGAAACCUGCACAUCAUAUCACAUAACUCCCCAUACGCCGGUACAACCAACGCCACGUAUGGGGCCUGUCCCAACGCCGGAUAACCUAAGCCACGCGGGACCUCAAUAUUAUAUCACAAAGCUCCCCAUACGCCGGUACAACCAACGCCACGUAUGGGGUUUGUCGACACGCCGGAUAACCUACGCCACGUGCGACCUCGACACAAUAUCACAUAGCUCCCCAUACGCCGGUACAACCAACGCCACGUAUGGGGUCUGUCCCAGCGCCGGAUAACCUACGCCACGCGGGACCUCAAUUUCACUUGGUGGUGCUUGUAAUGGAUCCAACAUCCGAGGAGGUACCUAAAGUAGUGCGUAUAGCACUCCAAACUGACAUUUCUAGACUUUGUUGUACCCUUGUACAACCACAUAUAAUUAUAUUUAUAUAAUAUUAAUUCUUAUAUUGUGUAACCCUCCACAAUCAUCUAGCACCCGAUAAUCCCCCGUAGAAAGGUGAGAUUACUCCGGGAGACUCACGGUCAACCAAGGGUCAAACUACUCUAACCCUGGUCAACCCGACCUACAAAACCCACGACCUCCAAUUUCCGAUCCGGAAGUCCCUAUGGGUUCUACCAGGUAUAGGACACUUGUCCUGCAAGUUUGGUUCAGAUCGGACGGUCGGAUUGCUCACGAUCGCACGAUCUGACGGUUAAUAUAAAAUAUAAAAUUAAAAUUAUUAUUCGGAACAUCCGGGGCUCCGAUUCACGAUCCGUGAAUUCCUACACGAUCCUAGAAAUACCUAGAUUAACAUAUAUUAAAUUUGGGACCAUCCGACGGUCCCAACCUAUCGAACCCGGAUAACGCAUACUAUGCGAUUAUCCGUUCGAUAGUCAAACGACGUCCGAAUUGAGAUCCGCGAAAUCCUACGCACUCGUGACAACCUAAGGAUCUCUUUGGGUUAAUUUGCAGCUUCACCAGCCUCGCCCACGCGCCGCCACACGCGCCGGCAGCGCGUGGGUGUGUAGAGAAAUUCCGGCGACGGAAAAAACUCCACACCCGAGCUCACCCUUUCGGCUACAGAUUCUACUCGACGAGUGGAACACUUUAUUCAACUACACCAAAGUCCAAUUCGGACGGCAAGUGGCCGGAAUCGGCGUCGGAAACUCACGGUUUAACCCGGAACUUCACGGCCUCGAUCCGGCGACCACCGUCGAUAUCGUCAUCGCGCAACCUAGGAAAUAGCUAGAAGGGAAGGAGGGCUACCUGUUCCAAGUGACGGCGCAGCUCGCGACGGCCGGAAACGUCGCCGGUGACGUCGGCAAUUUCGGCCGUUUUUCCCGCCGUUGCCACCGCCGUUCGCCGGGUUUUCGAUCGGAGAAAAGGGGUGGGCUGGGUAGAGGAGGAAGAGAGGAAGCUUUUGCAAGAAACGGCGCCUAAAACGGAGGUCGGACGGCGAAGUUCUCGCCGUCUGAAGUUCCGGCGAAAAAAUGAAAACGGGGAGGGGGGUUCAGCCGCGGGAGAGAGAGAGAGAGAGAGAGAGAGAGAGAGAGAGAUCUGAUAUUUUAACCCAAACUUCGAAAUAUUUACAGUUUUGCCACUGUCGAUGUUUUGCCCGUAACUUCUUCGUUACAACUCCGAUUCGAGCCCACUACGUGUCUAUGAACUCGUCUCAGUACGACCUAUCCAAAAAUAUAAGUCACGGUCCCAAACUCUCUCCGGUUAAAAAUAUGACUAAAAUACCCUUAAAUAAUUAAAUAAUUAAAUAAGGGUAAAAUUUGGGAAAAUUUGGGGUCGGAGUGUUACACCCUCCUUGAGGGAUCAAGCCACACGUAGUUCUUCCCAAAAACCCAAUUCCACACUUGGGCGAUACCUUAUUUCAUUUCUUUGUAUUUCAUAUAAUCUCCCCAUACGCCGGUACAACCAACGCCACGUAUGGGGCCUGUCAACACGCCGGAUAACCUACGCCAUGUGCGACCAUGCCAUACUAUCAUAAUAUCUCCCCAUACGCCGGUACAACCGACGCCACGUAUGGGGUCUGUCUCAACGCCGGAUAACCUACGCCACGUGAGACCUGCACAUCAUAUCACAAAUCUCCCCAUACGCCGGUACAACCAACACCACGUAUGAGGUCUGUCCCAACGCCAGAUAACCUACGCCACGUGGGACCUCAACAUCAUAUUACAUAUCUCCCCAUACGCCGGUACAACCAACGCCACGUAUGGGGUCUGUCGACACGCCGGAUAACCUAUGCCACGUGCGACCUCAACACAAUAUCACAAUAUCUCCCCAUACGCCGGUACAACCAACGUCACGUAUGGGGCCUGUCUCAACGCCGGAUAACCUACGCCACGUGAGACCUGAACAUCAUAUUACAAAUCUCCCCAUACACCGGUACAACCAACGCCACGUAUGGGGCCUGUCCACACGCCGGAUAACCUACGCCACGUGGGACCUAAUUUUCACUUGGUGGUACUUGUAGUGAAACCAAAAUCCGGGGAGGUACCUAAGGUAGUGCGUAUAGCACUCCAAACUGACAUUCUAGACUCUUUUGUACCCUUGUACAAACAUAUUAUAAUUAUAAUUAUAUAUAUUAAUUCUAAUAUUGUGUAACCCUCCACAAUAGUCUAGCACCCGAUAAUCUCCCUUGGAAAGGUGAGAUUACUCCGGGAGACUCACGGUCAACCAAAGGUCAAACUACUCUAACUCUGGUCAAACGGACCUGCGGAACCCACGACCUCCAAUUUCCGAUCCGAAAGUCCUUAUGGGUUCUACCAGGUAUAGGACACUUGUCCUGCAAGUUUGGUUCAGAUCGGACGGUCGGAUUGCUCAUGAUCGCACGAUCUGACAGUUAAUAUAAAAUAUAAACUUUAAAAUUAUUAUUCGAAACAUCCGGGGCUCCGAUUCACAAUCCGUGAAUUCCUACACGAUCCUAGAAUUACCUAGAUUAACAUAUAUUAAAUUUGGGACCAUCCAACGGUCCCAACCUAUCGAACCCGGAUAACGCACAAUAUGCGAUCGUCCGUUCGAUAGUCAAACGAUGUCCGAAUUGAGAUCCGCGAAAUCCUACGCACUCAUGACAACCUAAGGAUCUCAUCGAGACACAGUGCCACUUUUUCUACAGUGCCCACGAGCCGCCGCACGCGCCGGCAGCGUGUGGGUGCCCAAAGCGAUAACGCUUCGCCGGAAAAUCUCAAAACCACGGCUCCAAACUCCUACCCUAGGUAUAACACCCUAUUUGGAGCCACUUUUGUUCUUGGACCUACCCCAAAAACUGACCGGAAGUGGCCGGAAUCGCGAUUCCAAAACCGGCCGAAUUUCAAUUCGAAAAUCGAAUUGUCUACGCUAAGAAUCGAUCUAAUCCUACCCAACCAUCAGCUAGAGCAGCUCGAGAAGUUCAAAAUCCAUACCUGGGUCGACGGAAGUGGUGGCCGGAGGAGGGAGAUCGGCGGCUUUGAAGUUUGGACGACGUGGGCCGCUUCAUCUCCAGAUUCCGGCGAAUCAGCGGCGGCUGGCGGCGGGAGGUGGCUGGGGUAGGAAGAGGACGACGGCCCGGUCAUUUUGGUACCGGUCCCGUCGUCAUUGGUGGCCGGAGGAGAGCACGGCCGGCCAAAACGUGGCCGGCUGCCGUCGCUCGCGAGAGAGAGGAGAGAGAGACCCGCGAGAGAGAGAGAGAGAGAGAGAGAGAGAGAGAGAGAGAGAGAGAGAGAGAGAGAGAGAGAGAGAGAGAAAACCAGAUUUUUAUAAAAAUCCCAUUUCGAAAUAUUUACGAUUGUGCCACUGGGUUUCUUUUGACCAUAUCUCUCUCGUUACAACUCCGAUUCGAGCCCACUACGUGUCUAUGAACUCGUCUCAGUACGACCUAUCCAAAAAUACUAGUCACUGCCCCAAACUCUCUCCGGUUAAAAAUAUGACUAAAAUACCCUUAAAUAAUUAAAUAAUUAAAUAAGGGUUAAAUUCGGGGUCGGGGUGUUACAUCUAAGCCAAGGAAGACAUUCAGAAUUUCAUUUUGUGUAUGAGAGCAUGAGUUAUAUCCCGCACAAAAAUGAUAAGAACUACUCUCUCACUUGUUUGUUAAUAUAUUAGUAUCUCUAUGAUAACAUAUGUUACCAAUAUGAAGUAUCUGCAAAACUAAUCGCUUAGGUCAAAGGGAAGGGAAAUUGCUCCAGUUGUAAAUGAUCGGAUGAAGCAGCCGUUGCACCACUCGAGAUAAGAAAGAAAAUUCAAGAGUUUUUAAUAGCCUUUCUGUCUUUCGCAAUUUAUGAAGAGGUUGUACUUGAGCCACAUUGUUAAGAUAGCAAAACAGAUGAAUUUGAAUAACUCUAGGGGCAUGUCAGUACCCAAAUCGUGCUCGAGGACCAAACAUAUGGCCGAAUGUCAAAUUCAUGUUGAAGACCAAACAUUGUCUACCUGCUUAUUUUUUUGUUUUCAAUUAGUUUUUCGGCAAUCAAAUUUAUACAUAAUUGUCUACUUUCUUGUUACUUCUGCUUGCAGCUUGCUUUAGUAACUUAAGAACAAGUGAUCAGAGCCCAUUUUGGUUAACCCAGGGUAUGACAGCUGGAAGUUCUCCUGAAAAUAAGUUUCCAGAAAUGUCCAGGAGUACCAGAGUUUCCUUGGUACUUCACCAUGUAUUUGGUUUCUUGCCAUAUCCAACCGCUCCAACUUUGUCUGAUUUCUUAGGAAAUAUGGGAGCUCUUUUAAAUUGCAUGAACUCAAACCCAGAAUAGUGAACUGUCGAACAGUUGCAUUCAUCAUAUUGGAUUCAGUAACAAAUUCAAAAUUGUUCCAACUCAAUUGGAGUUGGUACAGAUUUUGUUGCUUCUCAAACAUUUGAAAUUCCACUACACCACUCAGGUUAUUUGAAUGUAGAUAAAGGAUCUCAAGAUUGAUGAGAUUGGAAAAUGAGGCCGGAAUUGAACCAAUCAAAUGAUUAAAAGAAAAAUCUAGGUAAACUGAAAUGUCUAAAUAAGUGAGCUGUCUAAGAUUACCAAGUGCAGAUGGAACCAAAGAUUCUCAAAAAUUGCAAUUAGCCACAUCCAACUCUUGCAAUGAAUUAAGCUUUUCAAUUGAUGAAGGUAUUGUUCCAAAAAAAAACCUAGUAGAAGCAACUCUCAGUGAUAUGAGGGGACUACUUUGAUUAAAUUCAGGAAAAUAUUCAGUGAGAUCUUGGUUGUAUCUCACACUAAGAACUUUUAAAAUGAUAAAAAUGAUAAAUUUGUCAAGGAAACGGGUAUGAUCGAUGAUAUGUUAAUGUAACUAAGAUAAAGAGUUUCUAGACUAGUUAAAUUUUGAACCAGACUUCUCAAAUUUCAACCAUCGCAAAGGAUCAUAAGAAGGAGAUGUUUCAAUUUCAAGAACGUUUCAAUUUCAAGAACAUUGCAACACAGACUAAGGUAUGUCAACUUGGACAAUUGUGAGACUUCAGACGGGACUUGACCAGAAAAGAAAGAGGCAGAGUGGUCAAGAUGAGUGAGGCUUAGAAAAUUUCUUAUGCUAGAUGGAAUUUGAGAGUAAUUCAAAUUAUUGUCAGAGAGGCUUAACCUUUGAAGAUGUACCAGGCUGAACAGACUACUAAUGGCAUCCAAAGAGCCGUAGAGGUAACUACUGCUAAGAUUAAGGUCAAUAACAUGACCCGUUGUCUCGUCAUACUCCACGCUGUCCCACGAGCAACAACUGCUAUUUCCUCCCAAAUGAACAGCUUAGGAACAGUGGUACUGUUCCUAAGCACAGUAACCGUUUAGCAGCUUUAGUAUAUCUAUAUAUAUAAAAUAUAAUUUGUAGCCUUCAUUAUUGAGCAACUGCUGGAUUUGAGCUGAAUUUAUCUAGAUUAAUGGUAUAGUAUACAAUCUCCAUAUAAAUGUUUUGCAAAUCUAUAGCUCUGAUCGGGUUUUCGACAACUGAUCUUGAUUUACAUUGUACUUAAACUUUGUACUUGGGUAGCUUAGUCAAGUUGGGUAGGGUGAAUGUUAUCCCCACUCUACACCUGAGUUCAAAUCCCCCACCCCAUAGUUUAGAUUAGACUAAAGUAGACUAUUCGCUUUUAUACAAAAAAGAAAGAAAAAAAAAUUGGUACUUGUGUAGAUUCCUUUUGCCAUUCGCAAUUAGCAGCAACUAUUGUAGGUAUAUUCAUCUGAGGCUUUUGGAAAGCUUCAAUUCCAUUUCAUCAAAUGUACUUUGUGCUCAAUUAAUGAUUAACAUCAUUUUAUACACACAGAAAUUUGCAAACAUUAUGAAUGCAGAGAAUCCAAAUACCGAAAUACAUGCAACAGUCUAAAACCUUUAUUUGGAUAUAGCAUAACCACAAGUACAACUACGAAGAUAGAGCAACGUUACAUUGAAAGAGAAGCAAAAACAAGAAAACAACUCCAAACGCAUGACCUUACAACAAACUACACAUUUGCAUCCCCCGUUCUACCUUUUCCAUAUCAUUAGCCUCACCAUUCCAACAACCUUAAGAAACAAUUCCUGCCUUCUUGUGAUCAUGAAAUCCGCGAGAACAACACCCACUACAAACCCACUUCCAAUUCCAGCCAAAACAAAUUUCAAAUCAAAUUCAACCAUUCCAGUUGAGCCUGAACCAUUAUCUUCUUCAGUUGAAGGUGGCCGUUGAGGGGCCUCUCUGCAUUUGUUUGGUAAUGGAUCUCCACACAAUCCAAGAUUUCCCUCAUAUGAAGUGCUAUUUAAGGAAGUAAGUUGGGUACCUUGCGGUAUAGGACCUGUGAGAUUGUUGUGAGACACAUCAAAGGUCCCAAGGAAUGUAAGCCGCGUUAGUUGUUGGGGGAUCUGCCCUGAGAGCUUGUUUUGUGAAAGGUCCAACGAUUCAAGCUUCCUUAAGUUACCCAACGAUGAUGGAAUUGAACCAGUGAGAAUGUUGUUGGAAAUAUUGAGUGAGCAAAGCUCUGUAAGGUUCCCAAUGAACUCUGGAAUCUUCCCUUCAAAUUUGUUGCUUGAGAAAUCAAUGGCUGCAAUGCCUUCUUGAAUCUUUGAAUAGUACAACUCCAGACCCUUAAUUGCUAUUGUGAUUGAGUAAGCAACACUCCGUGUAACAUAAAUAGUAGUGACGACAUAGUGUACUUCUGCCUGCAUGUAUGUUGACAUGUUCACAGCAAUAUCUGGAAACAAAGGUGGAAUCUCACCUUUGAAAUUGUUGUAUGACAAAUCAAGAAUGCGUAACUUGGGGAAGUCAAUAUUCGUUCUAGUGUCUCCUAUCACACCAUUAAACCCAUUAUGGCGCAUUGCCAAAAGUUUUAACUCUGGAAGAGUCCCCAGCCAAAUGGGAAAAACAUCACUGAAUUGAUUGUUUGACAGAACCAGAUACUCAAGCAUCACACAAUUCGCCAGUGCCCUCGGUAAUUGCCCCUGCAAUUGGUUAUGACUAACAUCAAUCAUCCUCAAAUUGCUUCUGUUGUUGAAUGAUUGAGGCAUCAUUCCAUGAAAAGAGUUGCUUCCAAGAAGUAAAAGCAUUAGACCAUCACUAAAGUUUCCAAGACAUUGAGGAAGUGUGCCACUCAAGUUAUUUUUCGACACAUCAAGGUACAAAAGAGAAUUCAUAUUGCAAAGCAAUGGUGAAAUUUCUCCAGUAAAUUUGUUGUUAGUGGCUCCAUAUUCUAGCAAGGAUGGUGGAGGGAUUGGUAGUGGUCCACGAAAACUGUUGUUUGAAAGCCUCAAGCAGAGCAUGUUAACCCAGGGAAUGACAACUGGAAGUUCGCCCGAAAGGAAGUUAUCAGUAAUGUCCACUAAAGUCAGAGUUUCCUUGCUUAUGUUCCACAGCCAGUUUGGUACUUCGCCAUGGAUGUUGUUUCCACGCAUUUCCAACCGUUCUAACUUUGUCUGAUUUCUUAAGAAAUAUGGGAACUCUUUUAAAUUGCAUGAAUGCAAAUACAGAAUCCUGAACUGUGGAACAGUUGCAUCCAUAACAUUUGGAAAUCGUUCAGUAACAAAUUCCAAAUUGUUACUAGCCAAUCCGAGUUCUUUAAGAUUUUGUAGCUUCUGAAACAUUUGGAACUCCACUACACCGCUCAGGCUGUUGUUACCUAAAUAAAGGACCUUGAGAUUGGUGAGAUUGGAAAAUAAGGCGGGAACUGAACCAUUCAAAUGAUUGUCAGCAAAAUUUAGUUCAACUAGUUUGCUAAAGUUACCAAGCCAUGAUGGAAUUGGACCAGUUAGAGAAUUGCCAAAAACGAAAAACGAAGUCAAUUGGGUAAGGUUUGCCAAAGAAUUAGGAAUUGGACCUCCAAAUCUGUUUGCUGAAAUGUCUAGAUAAGUGAGCUGUCUAAGAUUGCCAAGUGCAGAUGGAACCAAAAAGUUUGAAAAAUUGCAUUGAUACACAUCCAACUCUUGCAAUGAAUUAAGCUUUUCAAUUGAUGAAGGUAUUGUUCCAAAAAACCCAGUAGAAGCAACUCUCAGUUCGAUGAGGGGACUACUUUGAUUAAAUUCAGGAAAAUAUCCAACGAGAUUUUGGUUGUAUCUCACACUAAGAACUUUUAAGUUCUGUAGAUUGAAAAUUUUCACUGGAAAUUCGCCAAACAAAUCACAAUUCCUGAGGAAAAGGGAUGUUAAAAAUGAUAAAUUUGUCAAGGAAAUGGGUAUGAUCGAUGAUAUGUUAAUGUAACUAAGACUAAGAGUUUCUAGACUAGUUAAAUUUUGAACCAGACUUCUCAAAUCAGAUGGUUGAAGUUUCAACAAUCGCGGAGGAUCAUAAGAAGGAGAUGUUUCAAUUUCAAGAACAUUGCAACACAGACUAAGGUAUGUCAACUGGGACAAGUGUGAGACUUCAGACGGGACUUGACCAGAAAAGAAAGAGCCAGAGAGGUCAAGAUGAGUGAGGCUUGGAAAAUUUCUUAUGCUAGAUGGAAUUUGAGAGUAAUUGAAAUUAUUGUAAGAGAGGCUUAACCGUUGAAGAUGCACCAGGCUGAACAGGCUACUAUUGGCGUUCAAAGAGCCGUAGAGAUAACUGCUGCUAAGAUUAAGGCCAAUAACAUGACCUGUUAUCUCGUCACACUCCACGCCGUCCCACGAGCAACAACUGCUAUUUCCUCCUCCAGCUGGUUUCCAUGAUGAAACCUUUGAAGCAGAUUUGUUAGUAAUAAUAAAGCUCUCCUUGAACUGCAGCAAGGCAGAGCUCUCCUCAGCAUGGCAAGAUAGCUGCUGCAAAGAGUCUGCAAAGUUUGCAACCACAAGAUGAAACAACAACAGAACUAGUAGUUUCGAGAGCAUGCGAAUCGACAGGUGAAUCCCCAUAAUGUUUUGAUAUUUUUUGUUUGCACAUCUAUGAAAGUUAAAGCUAGAGAGCUAUCUAUUUAUAGACUGGCCUGAUCAAAUGGUUGAGCAAUAGCGUACACGUGUCAAGUAACAAUUUAAUAUUAUUUGACAUUUUGAUCAAUAUUGAAGUGAUGGGAUAUUGACCUCCUAUUCAUGUUCAAAGUUGUUUUCUUGUUGAUGAUUCUUCUAAGAAAAUUCAAAAUUGGAGGAUAAUCAUUUAUUCCAAGUUGUUUGCCUCACAAGAAGGCAACUACUAUAAUAAAGUUUCUUGGUAGAGCAAUAAUAUUCAACCCUCUGAGCGGGCACACUGCCCAUUUGGGAGUAUUUUUGCUCACUCAAUGUGUACCAUCACCAUCCUUUUAAAAAAUUGACAUUUGUCUAUGAAAUAACUUUAGUUAAUUUUUUUACUUUUAAAAUUUUAAAGUAUUUAAAACCAAAUAAUUAAAUUAAAUUAAAAAACUCUCUCCCCUGUUCCUGACCGACUCCCUCUCCAUCCAUAAUGACUCAAAUUCUAAAUGCAUCUUCGCCGAUGUAUCAUCCGUCUGGUCCUCCACCACCGACCUUGUGCAUCAGUGAAUUUACUUCAAAAAAUAAGCAUACGGCUUUCAAUUGCUCCAAGCAUUCUUGGGAAAGUACCCAUUUGGGUUAUUCCUCCGAUUAAUGGGCAUUGCAGAGACCCUGCUUUUAUCAAUCCCAAAAAACCCACGAAGGAAAUUCAACAUGCAAAUCUACUAGUUUCUGGGUUAUGCUUACCUCUCCCGGGAGCAUUCUAUUCUCUCUUUUUUUUUUUUUUUUUUUUUUCUAGGUCAUGCAAAUCUACCAGUUGUUUUUUCUUCACAGAAAAUUUAACUAAUCAGUAAUAAUAAUACCCAUCGAACCCUUCCAGAAGAUUACAAACUCACCGAACCAGAUUUCCCUAAAAUCAAGAUCUCUUGGACGCUGGUGCUUUUGUCAGAUUCUCCUAUGUUUGAGAUCUGGUGGCUGUUAAUGUCACAUCUCGAGAUCAGCUCCGCCUUAGCACGAUAUUGUCUGCUUUAGGUCCCCCUCUUUGCCUUCACGGUUUUGUUUCUAGGAACUCACGAGCACUUCCCAGUGGGUCACCCAUCCUGAGAUUGCUCUAGCCCUAACUCGCUUAACUUUGAAGUUCCUAUGACUCCGAAGACAGUGAGCUCCCAAAAGGCCUCGUGCUAGAUGGAGGUGGGCAUGUACAUAUAAUGCACAUCACCCCCUCUCCAUUGGUUGAUGUAGGAUGUUACAAUCCACCCCCCUUAAGGGUCUGAUGUCCUCGUCGACGUACUCGCACCACACGGCAGAGUGACUCCGAUACCAAAUUGUCACAUCCUGGGAUCGGAUCCGCCAUAGCACGAUAUUUUCUGCUUUGGGCCCCCCUCUCUGCUCUCACGGUUUUGUUUAUGGGAACUCACGAGCACUUCCCAGUAGAUCACCCAUUCUGAGAUUGCUCUCGGCCCAACUAGCUUAACUUCGAAGUUCUUAUGUCGUUGGGGCAGUGAGUGGUAUUUUUGGGUAGGUCGUGCUAAAAUAAAUCUGUAGACACGCGAUAGGCUUGAAUCGGAGUAAUGAAGAUUUGACGAUCAAAAUAAGUUCAGUGGCAAACUUGUAAAUAUUUUGAAAAGAGUUGGGUAAAAAUAUGAUUUUUCUUCUCUCUCUCUCUCUCUCUCUCUCUCUCUCUCUCUAUCUUUCUCUUUCUCUCUCUCUCCCGAGCUUUUCUCCCUCUGCUCGACUUCCCCCUCCCUGUUACUGUUCAUCUGAACAGAACAACCCACGCCACCUCCACUUCCGGCCACCCCGAUCGACAACCGGGCCACUUUCCUCUUCCACUUCCGACUGAUCUCCACCCUGGGAACCGUCGCAAACCUUGGGAAUAAGCCUGAGAACAUGCCAAUUUUUGAUAGAGAUUUUGCCACCGUCGUUCUCCAUCUUCCGGCAACCAUUUUCAGUGAUCAAGGUAUGGAAUCUCAUCUAUUCUUUGAGCUGUAGCUGUCUAUGAGAUAGGAUUGGAUCGAUUUUGAGUUUGGGAAACCGAUUUGAAAACCUAGGUUUUGGCCGGAUUUCAAAGUGAAAUUCCAGCUAGUUGCCGUCCAAAUUGGACCUCCCCGUAGUUGAAUAAAUUGAUCCUUGUCUUGAGUAGUAUCUAGGGUAGGUUCAGAAAUUACUCUACACACCCACGCGCUGGCGGCGCGUGUGGCUGCGCUUGGGCAAGGGUGGUGAAGCCACAUUUUAUCAUGUUGUAAUCCUUCUGUUGUCAUGAGCGUGUAGGUGUGCUCAGAUUUCGAUUCGGACAUUGUUUGACUAUUGAACGGAUUUCGCAUAUUGUGCGUUAUCCGGGUUUGAUAGGUUCUGACCGUUGGAUCAUUUUCAAAUUAAAAUAUGUAAAUCUAGGCACUCCUACAAAUCGUGUAGGAUUUCGCGAAUCGUGAAUCGGAGCCCCGAAUGUUCCGAUUCAAUAAUUCAAAGUUGUGAUUUACGAUAACCGUUCUUUCUUGAUCAAACUUUCGAGACGUAUUUCCUAACGCUUAGAUGAGCCUUAGAAUACCUUUUUCAAUGUACAUGCACUGGGAACUUGGGGAUUUAAGUAUCUAAUUUGUGAUUUCCAUUUCGAAGUAAUUUUAUAUUAAUUAAGGGUUCGUAUCCCGACAUAGGCGCUCUGAUCGAUCGUACACAGUAGGCGGGACCCUUUCAGGGUCGGGCAGCUUGGGACUAUUUGUGAGUGGACUUUGUUUUCAAUCAUACGCAUGGUUUUAUUGAUGAAAGAUUUAUGCAUAUGUUUUAAAUGGUAUAUGGGAUAUAUUAUGUGUUCGGUUGAGGAAUUUGAUGUUUUUAUAACCUUUGGCAAUAUAUUUUGGGUGUUGAUAUACUUGAGUAUUAUGAGUAUGUUUAUAUGGAUUUUUGAGAAAUUCUAUCUAUAUUGUCUAUAUGUAUGGAGUACUUGGGUUGUUGAGAUUAGAUUGUGGAAGAAUUUGAGUAUGAGGGGUUGUUGAGAGAAGAUGUAUGAUUACACUAUGUAAGUACCAUCCCUUGAUUAUUAGUCUCACACGUGGCGUUGGUAGUUCCGGCGUGUGAGACACUUCCUAUACGUGGCAUUGGUAGUUUCGGCGUAUGGGAAGAUUAUGUACAUUGUUUGGAAUCAUCACACAUGGCGUUGGUAGUUUCGGUGUGUGAUGAUGUAGUCUACGUGCGUAGGACUUAGUAUUGGAGCUACACGUGGCGUUGGUAUUUCCGGCAUGUGAGCUAUGAAGUUUCGUCCCCCGGUUGGACCGCUCAUCCCUAGACGCAGGAUAACACUUUGAAAAUCUUGCGAGCUAGCCAAACAAUCUCCCGGUUGGAUUGUUUCCCCGGUACCUAGGUAGUGUGUGUAUAUAUAUAUAUUUAUAGGUGUGAGUGUAAAGCAAUUAGAGUAUAUGUAGUAGGUUGGGAAGAGCAGUAUAAUUUUGGGAAUAAAGUUUAUGAAUUGAGUGGUUUGUGGUUUUAAAAGGGUUUUCAGAGAUUAAUGGUUUUGAAUAUUAAAUAUGAGUUAUGAAUUUGCAUGCUUUGGGCAUUAUUUUUUACACGGUAGGGUUAUUAUGUUGCUUUUAAAUGCAAACUUUGUUUUUGUCCACUCAUAUGUUUUCUAUUUUGCACCCCCAAGAUAGUAGUCACUCAAGGAGAGCUGCAAGCUGUGUUCGAGACUCAAAUUGUGAACUUCACUAGAUUAGACUUUGAGUAAUUUCUUUUUACUCAACUAGUUGUCCUUGUAAACUAAAUUCAGUAGAUACUUUGUUAUUGCCCAUGUUAGGUUUUACUUGUGAGGCCAGAGGCCAUUUUAGUAUGUAUUGUUGUAUGUUCAAAGCAUGCUGCUGGUUGGGAUUACUAUGUACAUUUUGCAGGUUGAAUUUUGUUGGGUUUGUUCAAUUUACAGGGGAGAUUCUGCCAAAAUUUUGGUAGAAAGUCUCAGUUUUUAGUAUGUGGGCUCGGCAUCGGGGUGAUGUCGAUAACAAGACGGGGUCCAUCCUGGUUUCCGAGGAAUUCCGGGGCGGGUCUUGUCAGUUAAUGAGAGGAGGCCUAGAAAAAGUUUGAAGCUUCUGAAAGAAGUUAUUGGAAUUCAACUUGGGAUUUUCGUUUCUGUAAGCUAUGCAACUCUUUUGUCCAAAAAAAAAUGAAGAAGCUAUGCAACUCUUCUUCCUUGUAAUAUAGGGGAGCGGAGGAGGGUGAACGAGGUGGCGGAGGGAAUGGUGGCUAGGUUGAGGGGGUGUACGUGGAGCGGGAAGGAGGGAGAGAGAGAGGGGAGAGUUUUUUAAUUUAAUUUAAUCAUUAUUUGACUUUAUUAUUUGGUUCUAACAGUCUUGAUUUCUUGGACGACAGGGGUCUAAGGGAUUUGUGGUCACUUACUGUUGGAUGUAAUUUCAACGGUUCACUCACUCUAAAAUCAUACUUUUUUACACACAUCUUUAGCUCUUAGAUCUAUCCCAAUCCAACGGUUCAUAAUUCAUUUAAGAUGCACUUAAUUUGAUUUCAUGUAUACAGUCCUGAUCUCUUGGACCACAGGAGUCCAAGAGAUUGUGGUCACUCACUGUUGGAUAUUAAUCUAAUGGUUCAAAAAAGUUUCUUAAAAGGAGUUCAAGAUUGAGUGAACCGUUGAAUUUACAUCCAACGGUGAGUGACCACAAAUCUCUUAGACUCCUGUGGUCCAAGAGAUCGGACUGUUGUAUAUUUCCCAACAAUCUUAUUCACUCUUUUCCUCUACCUGUGCAGCUCUGUUCCUCCACAACUCCCUCUGUAAUAUUCUCUUAACCUGAAGCCAUGAUAGUAGAUAAGAUGCUUGGAAAAUAUCUUAUUGCACCAAUUAAGAUAACUAUAGUGAGAUCUCCCCUUACAUGUUCAAUGAAAUCCAAUAGGGGAUAUGAUUUUGGGCUAAAAGUUCUCGGAUUUGAGACGAAGUUUAAUUUGAGAUCGUCCCACCCAUCAUGGAACCCAUUAAAAUGAGAAUCCAUUGGGUUCAAAUUGUUGAGAGAAUUUACCUUACCAUUUACUGUAUCAAAAUUUCUUCUCUCAUCAGGUCUCUUGUUACAAAUUACAAUAUGAGUUGGUUCAAAUCGAAUUUUGGUUGGAUGGUUUAUAAAGUUGUUGACGUUGCCAGGACGAAAGAAGACUGAAGACUGCAUGCCCUUGCAGUAUAAGUUGUUCAGUUGAGUCGCAUAGACUUAAAUAUAAUUAUGGGGGUUUCAUAUAUCCAUGAAUUUACUCCGUGUGUGUCAUCUUUUACGCCUUUCGUCUUUGGCUUGAUAUACCAUUUUCUAAAGCUCAUCUGUUUGGUCAUGUAGUUGACAGAUGGUAGUGACUUGUGAAUGAAGAGCGAAGAAUAAGAUUUGCUAUGAAGGUUCUGCUUCUCCUGCAGUGUAACAUGAAUAAGAUGUCAAUGUAUGUAAUGUUAAGAUAAGACUUGACCAGCUCUGCUUCUCCUGCUUCUCCUACAGUAGUCGAUAGUAACUGCUAGAAGGUCCAGUCCUCUCAUCGUGCUUUAGACCUAAUGUGGUUUACAAUUUUGGCUACAUUAGUUGAAAUCUCUGUUCUACAUUUAUAGAAGGGGUUUGAAGAAUUUGUAUUGUAUGGUUAUGGCUGUUUGCCAAUUCCUUACUUAGAGUACUUUGAAGGCGUUGUGGACUUCAAAUUAAGUAGAUCAAGUCAUCUCCUGGUGGCAUUACUGGGAAUAUCACUUCGACGAAUAUAGGGGUUUCAAUAUCAAUAAUUUGCCUUCUGUGGUGGUUUUUUGCCAACUUCUCAAUUUUCUGUGAGGUUUGCAUCCAGGGACUAAUCAAUUGAACAAUCUAAACAAAACCCAAAAAGCAAUUAUACAAAGAAAUUAUUCUCUCUCAGUCUCGGUGCUUCUCCUUUCUUUAGUAACUUAAAGACAAGAACAAGUGAUCAGACUCUGAUCAUCAGACCCAUUUCAGUUCAUCACCAGCUCAUCCAAUUUCACAUCCCAAACAAACCAAAAUUCAGAGCGAUUGUAGUGGCAGACAUGCCCAUAUAUCUCAGGCCAUGUCACUCUCAAGCAAGGUUAGUGAAAAAUAUUCAUCCGAUGGGCAUCUUUUUAGUGUUUUUUGCUGUGAUUUCUCACUGAUUAUUUUUGGGAAGCUCUCCAAGUUGAAAUUUGUGACCCUUGAUUUCAACAAUUUACAAGGUUCGUUGCCCCCCAUCUUUGAUGAAUUUCACAAACCUUGUAGAACUACACUUGGGAUCCAAUCCAACAACUUGGAAGGAGAUAUCCGCAUGCUUGAUUUUUCCAGACUUAGUCAAUAACUUUACUGGUACGUUUCCAAUAAGCAUUUACUCAUGUCGGUCCUUGAAAGCAAUUCAAUUGACUUUAAAUCAUCUAGAGGGGCAAAUACAACCUCAGAUUCUUUCAUUGAAAUACUUGUCCUUCCUCUCAAUUGGUGGCAAUAGAUUGACCAAUGCCACAGGAGCAAUGAAAAUACUAAUGCGUUGCACAAGUCUUCGUGCUAGAAUAUGAAUAUGGUUUGAAUGUAUUAGGUUGAGUUUUAUUCUUCUCCAUAAGGAGGUAUUUAUAUGAGUUUACAUGAGGGUUUUACAAGGAAUUAGAUAUAUAGUAAAGAAUUAGAAAAGUAUCUCCUAAUUGUACAAUGAUUUAUCACUUAUAUAAAAAUAGGAAAGUAAAUCCCUUAAUUAAUCAAGGAAGUAAAUCUCCUUGAUUAAUUAGGAGACUCACUUUAACACUCCUCCUCAAGUUGGUGCAUAUAUGUUACCAAUGCCCAACUUGGUAAGUGAGUCAUGAAAUACUCUUCAACAAACAGCUUUGGUUAAGAUAUUUGCCAGUUGAUCUUCUGAUUUUACGCAUGGUAGGCGUAUGAUCUUCUUCUCAAUUUUUUCUUUGAUAAAAUGUCUAUCCACCUCAACAUGUUUGGUUCGAUCAUAUUGAACUGGAUUAUGGGCAAUAUCGAUAGCUGACUUGUUGUCACAAUGCAACUCCAUUGGCUUUUCUGGCUUGAAACCCAAUUCUGUCAAGAGUCUUCUGAUCCACAAUAAUUCACAAAUUCCGUGAGCCAUUCCUCGAUACUCAGCUCCAAAUGUCCCUCAAGGCUUUCAAAUGAAAAACUGCAUCUAGCCAUCUAGCAGCCACAGAGAACUAUAUGUACCCAACAGACAGUCAGACUCAAACAAUCACUAUUGACAGAACUAUUGCAAAGCAGUUGUAGACAUCCCCCAAUUUCUACAAACUCCGUUACCAUGAAACUCAUUUUGACAGAUUUAUUUUGAAACUGAGUAAAACUUUGAAGAAAACUAGCAUUUUGAAGGAAGUUGAGGUUCCACCCCAAAACCAAUUGGCAAUGGGGGGAGUAGCCCAACUUUUUAUAAACCCAGGCUAGAUCCCUUAACAUUUCAAUGUGGGACAAAUACUCUCAACACGCCCCCGUACGUGUUGUGAACUUUCAAGCCUAACAGUUAGCAUUAAUUAAAAGUUUAAACUAUGCAUAAAACAAAGAAACAUUAAAUUAUAGGGAGCCACUAUGAGUCACUUCUCCCUCCUCAUAUUUAGGAGCUCCUAGAGGUCUCCCUAUUUUAGGAGAUGGAUAGGGAGUAUGAUCGGAGUUGUAUUUUUUCAAUUCCCUCCCUAAAUUUUUUCAAAUGAGGUGGUUUAGGGAGCACAUUGUGCAUGCUCUAACUCUGGUAAAACAUGAGUGACAUGGACAACAUAUCUUAUGUCGUACUGAAGAUUUUUGGGUUUCUUUAAUUGGUUAAGUUUAGAGCAUCCACAAUGAGCUCUCUUAACCAUCUCCUUAGACAAAUUUUAGGGAGGAAUUAGAAAAGUACAACUCCAACCAUGCUCCCUAUCCACCUCCUAAAAUAGGGAGACCUCUAAGAGCUUUUGAAUUUGAGGAGAGAGAAAGGACUCUUAGGGGUCAUUUGGUACGGCGGACUGUCAUGGACUGGACUAAAUUCUAGGACUGUCUUGGAUUAGUUUGGAUUGGCCUAAGCUGGAUUAAGUACUGAGCUACGUUUGGUGCUGUGUCGGACUAAAGAGUUGGAUUGUAAAAAUAGUGAAGAUCUAUGUUAGGUGCUGUGUUGGACUAAAAAAUAAUUAUGUUAUUAAUUUAUCUCUUUUUAUGUUUUCAGUUUUUUUUUCCAGCCUUUUCUUCUUCUUUUCUCUCUCUCUCUCUCUCUCUCUCUCUCUCUUCUUUUUACCUUCCUAUUUCAUUCAAAUUUUUUUUUCUACUUACCUUUCUUUUUCCACUGUGACCACCCCAAAAAAAAAAAAAAAACCUCUCUUUUUCCAACAAAAAAGCCCCCAAACCAUUCAAAAACACUUUUUCUUUCUUUAUCUCUCGAAACCACCAUAUUUCUCCAGACUAACCCAAAACCUUCAUCUCCUUGCUGCAGAAAAAAUAAGGAAGCUUGCUUCCUUGGCCUCCCUAGUUUUGAUUUCUGGUCUUUCAAUUGGCCUUUGGGCUAGCUAGAUCUGCUUCUGCAUUCCCUUCUAUUGUUAGAGGUCUUGUAACACCCCGACCCCAAAUUUUACCCUUAUUUAAUUAUUUAAUUAUUUAAGGAUAUUUUAGUCAUAUUUUUAACCGGAGAGAGUUUGGGACCGCGACUUAUAUUUUUGGAUAGGUCGUACUGAGACGAGUUCAUAGACACGUAGUGGGCUCGAAUCGGAGUUGUAACGAGAGAGAUAUGGUCAAGAGAAGUCCAGUGGCACAACCGUAAAUAUUUCGAAAUGGGAUUUUUUAUAAAAUCAGAUUUUUCUCUCUCUCUCUCCCUCUCUCUCUCCCCCGCGCGACCUCUCUCUCCUCUCUCUCUCCCGUUGCUGCCGUCGCCUUCCAAGAGGCGCCGGCGCCGCCACAGGGCACCACCGGCCACGGGACCGGUGGCGUUCGAACCGACGUCGCCCCUCCUUCCUUCCCCGACCGUUCCCCGCUGGCGACGCGGCCGUUGCUGGCCGGAAAAUGCAGAAAACCGCCGGUUUUCAGUCGAAACUUCAAGCUCCUCGAUCUCCUUCGUUUCUCAAGCAAAUCGUUCGAGUAAGGUAUGGUUUCUCAGCUAUUUUUCAUGCUCUAACUGAUGGUUGGUUGGGUUUUGAUCGAUUCGAUCUCUAGAUCACUCGAUUUUCGAAUUGAAAAUCGGCCGAAACUUCGGCCGCCGUGAUCGGCCAUUUCCGGCUACUUUUUGGGGUAGGUCCAAGAACAAAAGUGGCUCUAAAUAGGGUGUUACACCUAGGGUAGGAGUUUGGAGCCGAGAUGUUGAGAUUUUCCGGCGAAGCAUUAUCGCUUUGGGCACCAUACGCGCUGCCGGCGCGUGUGGCGGCGCGUGGGCACUGUAGAAAAAGUGACGAUGUGUUCCGAUGAGAUCCUUAGGUUGUCACGAGUGCGUAGGAUUUCGCGGAUCUCAAUUCGGACGUCGUUUGACUAUCGAACGGAUAAUCGCAUAGUAUGCGUUAUCCGGGUUCGAUAGGUUGGGACCGUCGGAUGGUCCCAAAUUUAAUAUAUAUUAAUCUAGAUAUUUCUAGGAUCGUGUAGGAUUUUACGGAUCGUGAAUCGGAUCCCCGGAUGUUGGAUUCACUACAUACACCACCAAGUGAAAGUUAGGUCCCACGUGGCGUAGGUUAUCCGGCGUUGGGACAGACCCCAUACGUGGCGUGGGUUGUACCGGCGUAUGGGGAGAUUUGUAAUAUGAUGUUCAGGUCUCGCGUGGCGUAGGUUAUCCGGCGUUGAGACAGGCCCCGUACGUGGCGUUGGUUGUACCGGCGUACGGGGAGAUUAUGUGAUAUUGUGUUGAGGUCGCACGUGGCGUAGGUUAUCCGGCGUGUCGACAGACCCCAUACGUGGCGUUGGUUGUACCGGCGUAUGGGGAGAUUAGUGAUGUGAUAUUGAGGUCCCGCGUGGCGUAGGUUAUCCGGCGUUGGGACAGACCCCAUACGUGGCGUUGGUUGUACCGGCGUAUGGGAAGAGAUUGUGUGGGAUACAGAGAAAUGAAUUAAGAUAUCGCCCAAGUGUGGGAUUGGAUUUUAGGGAAGAACUACGUGUGGCUUGAUCCCUCAAGGAGGGUAGGUGCAGCCGCAGACUAAAUAUUAGUCAUAAUUUGUAUUUGAAUUGUUUGGUAGUUGUUUGAGAAUUAUUGGAAGGCCGAAGGCCAUUUAUGAGAAUUUGCAUGAAAUUAUAUUGUGCAUGCUGCCAGUUGUGGAUAUUAAAUGCGUUUUUAUGCAGGUUGAAAUUUUGGGAAUUGUCCAAUUUAUAGGGGAGACUCUGCCGAAAUUUCGGCAGGAAGUCUCGGUCGUUAGUGAUCGGGUCUGACAUCGGAGUGAUGUCAGGAAUUCCAAAGGGUUCGUCUCGGGUUUUGAGAAAAUUCGGGGCGGGUCCUUAAAGGUCUUUAUUGGCAGAGGCUUGCUAGAUGACAGAGUGAACUCAUUGAUUUGAUCUCUUUCUCUGUCUCUUGAAUUCCACCAGGAAAACUUUUCCUCCUUCCCUUUCAAUUUGGCCCUAAACCCUAAUCAUAUUAUUGGAUAUUGAACUUUUUGGUUUUGUUGGUUUCCUGAGUUUAUGUCUAUAUAUCAGUCUGCCUUUUGACUAGCCCAAGCCAACUUGGAACGGCAACUAUAGAUAAUUGAGACUCAUCAGCAAGUUUCGAUUGGAACUGUGAUGGUGGGGUUUUGAAUUUGAUUCAAGCAGUUCGGACUCGCGUGUUCAAAAUAGCGCUUUUGCUAUUUUGCGAACCACAUUUCGGCAUCGCUAUGUUAGACAAGCGAGUCCGGGGUUUUUUACACUGAUGGACUAUACAAUCUCAUUUAACUUAAUCCCCUUCUUUACCAAACAUGGGUUUUAAGUAUUAUAUAUAUAGCACAGUCCAGUCCAGUCCAGUCCAGUCCAGUCCACUCUCUAUAAUUUAAUAUUGCUUUGUUUUAUGCAUAUUUUAAACUUUCAAUUAAAUCAAAUUAUUUUUUAUAUUAUUUUGUACUAGCCUCUCUGCACGCGCUUCCGCGCUUGCGAGAGGUUUUUUUUAAAAAAAAUAAGUAAAUUUAUUUUAGAAUUAAAAAAGAUAAUGAGUAGUUGUGUUCCAUAAAAAUAGGAUCCAUUAUCUACCUUUUUUUUUCUUUUAAUUUUUUAAAUAUGAAAAAGUGUGAAUUUACCAUAUUAUCCUCAUUUAAUUAAUAAUUUGAAUUCUUAAUGUUUGUAUUAACCAAUGACAUUUUCUGGUAUUUUGAAUGUUUCACCAUUCUCUGCCUUUUGCUUUAUAUAUAUAUACAGAUGGACCAAUUAUAUUAAAUUAAAAAAUAAUUAAAGUAUUUAUGAAUCUCUAAACUAGGGAAUAUGAUUGGAGUAGGGAGUAUGAUUGGAGUUCAAAUUUUAUAAAGGGCUCCUAAAAUAACUUUUGUGUGUUUUUAGCUAAAUCUUAACUUAAAAAUAAGAAGCAUGAUUGUAGAUCAUCUUAUAUACCUUAAUUUGAAGAUUCUUUAUUUGGGUUUCUUUCAAGACGAAAACCAUAUCCACAAUUGCCAGACAUCUUUAGCUGUUCAUCACAAUUGGGAGACAAUGAAGAAGACAGAAAAUGGAGUAAUGCAGAUGUUACCAGCAAUCCACAACAAACGGACGUCUGCAAGCUUUCGUAAUCUAACAAGUAAGGGGAGGCCGCGCAAUACUUAUCACCUUAGCCAUCACCUACACCACAAGACCAAUAUGUGUAGGCCAGGAGGCUUUCCAAUUUUUAAUUUAUUAUCAUACAUAUAUAUUAUAAAAUAAAGAUUAUUGCUCCAUCCUCCAUACACUUCCAUGCCCUCUUACAAAGUGUGAAGUAGAUUUUGUGUGCUCCAAGUCAUUGACUAGAGCUGAAACAUGGUUAGCUGGAUUUAUAAGAUCUUUUGUUUUCUAGGAAUUUUCUGAACCAAGGAAAAUCAAGUAAAAUUAAUAAAGCAUAAUGGAAAGGGAAAAUAUCUAGAGGAUGCAUUGUAGGAUUGCUCAUGCCAAUAAUUGUACCCUCUAAAUAUAUAGGGACGUUUUUUUUUUGUUUUCAUGACAUGUCGUCCUAAAAUUAUUGUUCCUAGCGGGCUCUCCACCCCCUCUCGAUUGAAAAUCUAUUGUAUAAAUCUUCAAUCCUGAAUGAUGCACCUAAAACUCAAGUGUCCCAGGCCAAUUAUUGCUCUCUUAGGCCUUCUCCAAUCCAUGGGGGGUUAAACUCAAAUUUUCCCCUUCCAAAAAGUGACUAUUUGGGUUUUGUCCGGACUCAAAUUGUUUUUUCUUCCAACCCUCCUGACUCAAAUUUUAAGUCCACAACUUUAUUAAAUUGUUUAAGAAUAGUUUAAGUCUAAUAUAUAUUUUUAUUGAAAACUUUUCUUCAUUUAAUCUUUUUAAAUAACAUCAUAAUUUAAUUUUUUGAACAAUUUGACCUAAAAAAAUUUGAAAUUCCAUAAAUGUAAUUUUAUUCCAAAAGUCAUCAGCGUGGGCCCAGUCACUUUUUAAAGUUACUAUUAGAUAUAUAUAUAUAUAUAUAUAUAUAUUUUUAAAGGAUACAUUUGAAUUAAAAGUUGCACCGACAGUUCACUAGGAGCAGACAAGUGGGAUGGCCCAACAGACAACCCAAUUAGAGCUGGCCCCAGUGUUUUUCUAAUGCACAUGGGUUAUGCCACCUCAGCGUGGGCUCUACUAAAUAGUUUUGGGUCCAGGCAAUACUUGGAGUGGUAUUUGGGUCCAAAUUUGAGUUUUCUCAAAUUUUGGCCCUGUCAUUUUCUUGGGCUGGGAGAGAUUUGGGGCAAUAUUUUGGGUUUAGGUCUUUGGGUUGGAGAUGGCCUUACCACUUGUUGCCGUACAUGUCCACCCAUUCUCAGGGAAAGAUACCCAUCGAUAUUUUCUCAAAGUUAACCACUUAAGUCCAUUAUGAUUAACUAUGUAUUUUAUGGACCAAUCCAGUUGUGAGGUUUUAUCUCAAAAACCUUUGGUACCUUUUUCCCACGUGCAACAGUUGUAUUUGAUUCACAAUUAGGGUAUACUAGUAAUUUGCCCUCUGAACUUGUACCUAACUUUCGAUUAACCCUGUGUCCUUUUUUUUAGAAAAUUAAGGACAUGAACUUCUUCUUUUUUUCACCAAUUUCCCCCCUACCAUCUAAAUCCUCAACAUUUCAUCCAAUUUGCCGUUAAAUAUGAUGGCAUAUUGGUCAUUUCAAACAUUGAAAAUAAUAAAUACAUAAAUUAAAAAUAAAAUAAAAUAAAAUUUGAAAUAAUAAUGAUAUAUUCUCCCUCUAUUUGACAACUACCAACAUCACCACCCUGAUCUCUUUCCCCCUUCUUCUCUUCAACAUCCACCAACAUCACCAUCCUCCACCCUCUGUCUCUUCUCCCCCAUGUGUCCACCCCCUCCUCCUUCUCUCUCCCACACUCUCUUUUUGAGUAUCUCUCCCCCUGCCAAAGUUUCAGAGAGGAAAACAAAAUUUAAUAAUAAACAUCUUGAGAUUUUUUGGGUGGCUGUUUCGGAUUUUGAUCUUUCUUUGGUGGCUAUUUGGCUGUUUGGGUUUCUUGGGUAGUAAGGUGAGGUUAAUAAUAAAGAUCUUGAAAUUUUUUGGGUGGCUAUUUAGGGUUUUGAUCUUGAAUAAAUUUUUUUUGGGUGGCUGUUUGGGUUUUCUGGGAGGUGAGGUUGUGGAUGUCGAAGAAAGAGGGAGACAGAAGGAGGAGGGGGCAGGUGAAGGGUGGGCGGUGCUGAUGUCUGUGAAGAGAGAGAAGGGGGAAGAGAGAAGAGAGAGAGAGAGAGAGACACUUUGUAGAGAACAAAAGGAAGAAAAACAAAAAAGUAGAUCAAAACCUUAAAGCCUAAGGGAAUAGGGCGACGAGAGAGAGAGAGAGAGAAGGACACGGGAGGAGGUGAGUCGGGGGUGGGGCUGGUUGGCCUCGGAAGAAGCAUCGGGCAGAGGGGGAGGGGAAGAAAAAAAACCAGAGGGGAGGAGGAGAAAAAACCCAGAGGGGAGGGGGAAGAAAAAAAACUGAGGAGAUACGGUUUUUAUUUUGUUUUAUCUUUUUUCUUCUUUUUUUUCCAAAUUGUUUUAUAAUGAUUUAACAGAAAAUUGGAUGAAAUGUUGAGAUGUAGAUGGCAGUGGAGAAAUUGGUGAAAAAAAAGAAGUUCAUAUCCUUAAUUUUCUGAAGGAAAAAAAAAAGGACAGGGAGUUAAUCAAAAGUUAGGUAUAAGUUCAGGGGAUAAAUUACUAGUACACCUUCACAAUUAUGUCUAAUACAUCACAUCGUGCCACUUGCCUCAAUGAAUUUAAGUGAGUGAUGAGGCAGUGGGAAGUAAUUAAGCUCUAUAUUGGUGGGUGGAGUAUUACUUCAUUCGUCCGUACAGGGGAACAAUUCCCUUCCCUCUAUAAAAUGGUGAAGCCAGUUGCUAUUGUUACCAUAAGAGCCAGCUCCGACUUUCUUUAAUUUCUUGCUUCAUAUCCACUAGCUACAUCUGUUGCCAAGUUAAUUUCAGUCCUAAUGGGGUUUCAUCUCCAACUCAUCUUUGCUCUUCUCAGUGUAAGCUCUGCAAUUUGAUUAGUUUUUCCAUUAAUUAUCUCUCAUUGUACUCUAUAUAAACGAAAAGUUUCGUGUUCCUAUAAUUCUCUCCGAUUUUAUUUAGUACUUAAGUGUCGUCCACUAAUUAAUUACACUUUGUGAGAUUUGAUUUUAAUCAGAGUUCGAAUUAAUGUUGCAGCUAGCAGCGGUGGCACUGGCAAACCAUGCUGCUCAACCAGCACCUCAACUUUACUGGAACUCCGUCCUGCCAAACACACAGAUGCCAAGAGCUAUCAGUGAACUUCUGCAUCCUGGUUUGUGUUAAGCACUUUAGAAUCUUAGAUAUCUCUUCAUAACAUGUAAGAACGUACAUGAGUAAUUAUAGUAUGGUACUAGAGUACGUACGGCAACAUAUUCACAAAUGUGUCACUCACUCUUCAAUUGGCUGAUUACUUAUUUUCCAUUAUGACGUUGAUAUAUAAUUUGCAGACUCCACAAAUGAAGAAAAGAGCACAAAUAUCAUGAAUGCUGUUGGGAAUGGAAAGCCAACUGACCACAAGGGCAAACCUGAAAAUAUCCCAUUGGCACUUAUAUUUUAUAACAAGAGAUAUGAUCAUCCCACUGACAAUCAACUCCAUUAUAAAAACGUAGCUAUUUUCUUCUUGGAGAAGGACAUGCGCCCUGGAGCAACAACGAACUUCCAAUUCCCUAGAAAUUCAAACACGGCUGCUUUCCUAUCACGCGAAAGUGCCCAAUCGAUCCCCUUCUCCUCUAACAAACUAUCAGAAAUUUUCAACCAUUUUUCAGUGAAACCAACAUCUGUGGAAGCCAAAACAAUUAAGCAAACAAUCGAAGAGUGUGAAGCUCCAGGCGUUAAGGGAGAGGAAAAAUAUUGCGCCACAUCUUUAGAAUCAAUGGUUGAUUUUAGCACUUCGAAGCUUAGAACAAGAAACGUUCAAGCAAUCUCGACGGAGGUAUUGGAAAAAGGAGCCACCAUGUCCAUGCACAAGUAUACAACAAUGCCGGGACUGAAGAAGCUGGCAGGUGACAAAGUCGUUGUGUGUCAUAAGCAGAACUAUCCCUAUGCUGUGUUUUACUGCCAUGCAAUAAAACCAAUAGCAGCUUAUGUUCUCUCCCUGAAAGGCGAUGAUGGGGUGAAGGUUAAAGCAGUAGCCAUCUGCCAUCUAGACACAUCAGAAUGGAACCCAAUGCAUUUGGCCUUCCAAAUCCUCAAAGUUAAGCCCGGAAAAAUUCCUAUCUGCCAUUUCCUUCCCACUGAUCAUAUUGUCUGGGUUCCGAACCACAAAUCUGCAUGAUCAUCACUUAGCAAUGUACGUAUAAUAAGCUUGCACCCCUGUAUAAUUACCUCCCUACUUAUUUCUGCCUCUUCAUGUGGUGUAAGAUAUAUGAUGAGAUGAAGUUUUUGGGAUUAAUGGUCGGGUUGCCUAAAAAACGCAGAUUACAGAAACUGCUUGAAAUUAACCCGAUCAUGUUUUCUCUUGUAACUAUAUAGACUUCAACUUGUACUCAUAAAGCAUGCUAUAUUUAUGAAGAGAUAUUAAUCUAUAUAUAUAUAUAUAUGCUUUGGCUUUGUACUCGAUCAUUGAUUGUUUAUGUAGAUGAUAUAGUCGUAAUUGGAAAUGACACCGGAAAGCAACUAAAGCUGCAAAAGUAUGUCUCAGGAAUUUCAGAGGAAGGAUUUAGGUGAUAUGAAGUACUUUCUUGGAAUUGAGGUAGUAAGGUCAAAAACUGGUAAAUUUCUGUCCCAAAGGAAGUAUUAAUGGAUCUACUCAUUGAAACAGGAAUGCUUGGGUGUAAGCCGGCUGACACACCCAUUGAGAUAAAUCACAAGUUGUGUGAAGACAAGGACCAAGAAUCAACCAAUAAAGAACAGUACCAACGCCUUGUUUGAAGGUUGAUAUAUCUGGCACACACAAGACCAGAUAUUGCAUAUGCUAUGAGUGUGGUUAGUUAGUUUAUGCAUUCACCUAGUGUUUCUCAUAGGAAUGCAGUUGAUCGGAUCUUAAGAUACUUAAAGUCAGCCCUUGAGAAAGGAUUAAUGUUCUCAAAAAAUGGAGAUCUUGAAGUUGUUGGAUAUACAGAUGCUUAUUGGGCUGAUUCCAUUACAGAUAGACGCUCUACUUCUAGUUACUUUACAUUCGUGGGAGGUAACCUAGUCACUUGGUGGAGUAAAAAAUAAAAUGUGAUUUCUCGGUCUAGUGCAAAAAUAGAAUAUCGAGGAAUGGCUCAUGGAGUUUGUGAAUUAUUGUGGAUCAGAAGACUUUUGACAGAAUUAGGCUUCAAGCCAGAAAAGCCAAUAGAGUUGCAUUGUGACAACAAGUCAACUAUCGAUAUUGCCCAUAAUCCAGUUCAACAUGAUCGAACCAAACAAGCUGAGGUGGAUAGACAUUUCAUCAAACAAAAAAUUGAGAAUAAGAUCAUCUGCCUAUCAUUCGUAAAAUCAGAAGAUCAACUGGCAGAUGCCUUAACAAAAGCUGUUUGUGGAAGAGUAUUUCAUGACUCACUUACCAAGUUGGGCAUUGGUGACAUAUAUGCACUAACUUAAGGAGGAGUGUUAACAUGAGUCUCCUACUUAAUCAUGGAGAUUUAUUUCCUUGAUUAAUGAGAUUUAAUUUCUUAUUUUACAUAAUUGACAAAUCAUUAUAUAAUUAGGAGAUACUAUCCUGAUUGAUUACUGUAUCUAUUUCCUUGUAAAGCACUUAUAUAAAUUCCUAUAUAUACCUCCUUAUGGAGAAGAAUAAAACUUAACCUAAAGUAUUCAAACCAUAUUCAUAUUUUAGCACCAUUUCCUUCCCAACUAUGAUCAUGUUGUCUGGGUUCCAACCCAUAAGUCUACAUCAGUACCUCAGUUGUACAUGAAUAUUGAUGGCAACAUUGGGCUAAGUAUUUGAAUUUGUGCUCAUAAAGCUUUAAUGCUUUUGAGGGCCAAUCGUUGUCUACAAAUGGUAUUGUAGCGUUGUUAGAUGGAAGAGGUAACGGGUUGGAUUCUCGUUUUCCACUUCUUUAUUUGUUGGUUUGUUAAGUGUAGAGUGGAAUUGCACCUAUAUGUUUGUCUCUCACCCCAUCAUUUCUCUGCCUCUCCACAUGUAGAGUGGAGUUGCACCUAUAUGAUAGUUACAAUAUAUAUUGUUAUUAUUAAUAGUAAAUAUUACAUUAUAGCUUCUCUUAGAGCUAACGACUAGUGUUUGUUAUGCUACCUCAAAUGUGUCCUUUUGACAAGCCUAUGUAUGUGGCAUUUAAUUUGCCAUAAAAAUUUGCUACUCCAAGAGGUAAGACAAAUAGCUAAAGCAACUGUUAUUUUAUUAUUUAUCUUUAUCUAGGUGGCAUAGUAAACCCUUCAUUUACCAUUGUUACUGUGGGAGCAAAUUUUCCCACGAGAAUAUUCGCCCAAGAUUCCUUCGUCUUCUCCGCCUCUCUUUCUCCCUGCAAAACAGAUUGGAGUAAAAGAACCACACCCGUGGGGUGUUAGCCAAAGGCCCUCUGAUGCCUAAGUUAGGUAGGGUAUUUCAAGGAAAACCGGGUGGCCGGAGCCGUGUAUGGUGGCCGGAGCCUUGUGUGUGAGAGAGAGAAAGAAAGGAGGUGGCUAGGGUUUUUGAGAAAUAAUUUCUGCAGAGUUUCAGUAGGAAUUUAGACGUACCUUAACCUUUGUGUGUGGCCAUUCUUUUAUAGUGGUCUCGGAGGCUAGAGUUUCAAAGGAAUAAUUCCGUAGAUGGAAAGGAAUUAUUGCUCCACAAUUUGAAAUUGAUUUGAUUAAUUAGGGAUUUGAUUUAUUAGGGUAAAUCAAAUCCCUAAUUGUUGUAGGUAUCAAAUCAAUUCUUAAUUUAAUUAGGUAACUCCUCAUUUAAUUGGGAAUUGGGGUAGGAAUCAAAUCAAUUCUCGACCCAAUUAGGUAAUAUUCUAUUUAAUUGGGUAAUCCCCAAUUAAAUUGAAUAAUUCCCAAUUAGGUCAAAUAAUCCCCAAAUGGAAGGAAUUAUUUGACAUAGGGUUUUGAUUUAAUUAGGUUCCCACAGUUACCUACAUAGCUUAUAUUUAGCAAGCAAUGAUGUUCUGGGGUGAAUUCACAAGAGUGUUAUGUAAUUCUCUAGGGCUCGUUUGGUACGGGGGACUGUCAUGGACUGGACUAUGCUUAGGGACUGUCUUGACUUGGCUUGGCUUGGUCUAAGUUGAAUAACAUUUAUCUUACGUUUGGUGUAUGCUUGGACUAGGACUAGAUUUUAAAAAAUAACUAUUUAAGGAGUAUGAUUGGAGUUCAAAUUUUAAAAAGAGCUCCUAUAAUAAAUUUUUUAUAUUUUUAGCUAAAUUUUAACUAAAAAAAAGGAGCAUGAUUGUAAAUGCUCUUAUAAGCCUUCACUAUAUAUAUAUAUAUAUAUAUAUAUAUUUUGUUGGUCUGCCUCCCACCACUACUUUAAAACAACAAGAAGAACAAAUAUUCAUUAAUUAAUAUUUUUUUAAAGAGGGCUAGUCUAAUGUAGGCCCUUAUAAUUUCUAUUUCCUAGACAUCAACCUAAUUAUUUCAAAAUCUAUGCAUAAAACCCAAAUUCAAACUAAAAAUGCUAUAAAAGGUCAUAGUACUCCUACAUAUUUACAUUGUUUGCCAUAAGUCAACCUGACAGUUUUUAUUAUGGAGUGGAACCUCAACUAAGAGUGACUUAAAGCAAAAAUGAUGGAAACUUCCAAUUUCCACUAAAAUUAAGGACACACAUAUAUGAUGAAUUUGAGCACCGCAGAGAAAUUAAUUUCAUUAAAAAUUAGUAGACAUAAGAAGUUUGUAAAGUAGAACACCUUUUAGAUUAUUGUAGAAAUUAUGUGCUUCCGAAAUCUUGGACUUCUAUGAAAUAUAUUAAUUUGUGCAUAUUUUUCUUCCUCACGUUGGCUUUAUCAUAUUGUCUAGUGUGUCUUGUGCACCUCUUUAGUGUUCUUUUGCAGUGAUCAUACUACCAGUAGCGGAGCCAGGAUUGUAUGUGCGGAGGGGCCGAACCGUAAUACAAGUAUAGAAAAAAAAAAAAUUCAAUCUUACAUCAAUAAUAUAUAUAUAUAUAAGAAAAAAAAAUUUAGAACUUUGUACUUAAUUUCAUGUAUCAAAACGGAAAAGUCUACUGAUAAAAUCUCAUUUUCCUUUAAACUAUUUAUUUUCUAUUCCCCUUUUUUUUUGUCAAACUAUUUUCUAUUCCCUUGGCUCAUCGUUUGAUUAUUAGAGGAUUACUACUUCCUUUUUUUAUUUUAGUUGUGUAAUGGGCCUACAAACAAUUUACAUAUAAUUAUAAAUGAAGUUUUAUAUGAAUUGCAAAUUGGGGGGCCAUUAGAAUGGUUAUAUGGGUCGCAUUGUUAAAUAUAUGAACUAAAACCCAAGCUUUACUGCAUUGAGAACAAAUUGUGGAGGGGCCAGGGCCACCUCAGGCCCUAGAGUACCUCUGCCCCUGCAUACUACUAUUUCUCACUUAUUUUUUUUAAAAAAAUUAAGCAUGGCUGCAUGAAUGGCAGAUAAGAUUCUUGUUAACAGCAAAUUCACAGCAUCUAUGUUUGCAAAGACAUUUAAGAAUCUUAAUGCAUAUGAGGAAUUCAUAGAUUUGAUAAAAGUCAGGAGUAAAGACAAAAAAACUAAAUUAUCAAGAGUAAAACGGGCAACGAAGAGUAGAUUAGUACAAAGAAAGGGAAGACAAAAGACAUUUUUAAGAAAAAAAUUGUGAGAACCUAAAGGAAGAGGAAGAGAGCUAGUAUGAGAGAUAGAGAGAGAAUCUCCUUUACCAAUAAAUACAGAAUUAUUACCCUUAUAUGGCUGUUGAUUUUGAAGAUUAGAAGGAAUAGUAGUCAUGUGAUGAGCAACACUAGUGUCAAGGUACCAACUGGAGCCAGAUGGCUGCAUGAAUUGAACCCCAGCAAAAGAAGGAAAGGAUUCUAGGCCAUUGUGGGGUCCCAAGACACCAAGAGUUGAGUUUGGCGGGGCAGAGUGUGUGCUAAAAGUAGCAGAUUGGGCCCAAGGGGGCUGAAAGGAAGGCCAGUUGCUUUGGGGUCCAGAACUUGGAGCAAAAGGAGGCCAGUUGCUAUGCGUCGAAAGCUAACAAAUGAGCGCGAAGAUCAGCAAAGUCAAGAAGCGGAGGAAAAUUGAGAAUUGCCGUGACAAGCAUUUUGUAAUCAGGUCCUAAGCAUUUUGUAAACUACAAUAUGAUUGACAAACUUCCAACCAUUUUCAAAACAAUUCUGUUAUUGCGGCCUUUGAUAUAAACUCUUACAUUCUAAUUCAAAAACACCCAUAUCGUGAAGAAAAUAUCAUAAAACUUACUGAAUCUUACAUGACUUCACCUUGGGGUCUUUUAAGGCUUCUAUUGUUCUCUGUUUGAUUCGCUCACAAGCCUCUGCAUUCCGUGGAAGAUCAAAACUUUAAAUUCAACCAAAUGUAUGAGAUUUAAAAUCCAAUAAAUAAAAAAUUACAUUCUAUCUGUAGUUACCCGAACUACGUUUCCUGCCUUUGUUCCAUGGUAUUCUCCCUUUGUUGGCUAGUCCUAUUUUUUUUCCGUAUCUGUCUUUCCAUCUCUUCCUUGCUAAUACUGUCUGGAGAGUCAGUAUGAUGCAUUGAUUGAACCUCCCUGAUUGAGCUUUGCUUCUCAUAUGAAUUCAUGCCAAAUAUAGAAUGGCAGACGUUGAGAAUAUCAAAUUUCUCAGCCAUGUCGGCACUGUGCUUUUUUUUUUCUUCAGCCAUUAAAACUCAUGGCCCUGUAAAAAAUUUCCUUUUCUUAUUAUGCUGUCUUUUUUCAUAUGUAAGUUUUUUUGAAAGUUGAAUGAAAGAUUUCCCUGAUCCCAUUUUACAAUAAAAUUUUGAAAAUGACAGUUUCAAGUCGUCUUGGUGUGUGUACUCCAAGAGAAACAGGAUUAGAAUCACAGAGUUAUAGAUAAUGGAUGCUACACCGUGGGAUUGGAAGAUGGUUUACACAUAGUUAAACAAACAUAUCAAAUUUUCUUUUCUUUCCUUUUCCUUUUUUCUCAGUUUCACGGUGAUCAACCAUCAUUUAAAAUCAGUGCAUUGUUUGAUGUUUUACUGUCAUUCGGUUUCCCAGUAUCUUUCCUGUUACUGUAUAUGGUGUCUUUUUGUUGCUCUCUGUGGGCUGGUCCUGUGGCCAUCAUUUGAUGUAAUACUAGCAGAUCAGGUUUCUCUCGUCAUCCCAAUGCUAAAGCUUAAGAAGACAACAAAGGUAUUUGCACCUAUUUGAUAUCAUAGUUGUUUAAUAUGUUACAUCUUUAUGUCCAGGUUUUGUUUUACUGUCAUUUUCCAGAUUUAUUGCUAGCCCAACACACACAUUAUUUUGAGGAGGAUAUAUAGGAAACCUUUAGACUUCAUAGAAGAAAUGACAACUGGUCUGAUUCCAUAUCUCGGCUUUACCAUGUUUAUCUGAUGUGUCUUGUGCACCCUUUUAGUGUUCUCUUGCAGUGAUUGUACUACUAUUUCUCACUGAUUUUUUAUUUUUUUUUUAAAAAGAAAAAAGUAUGGCUGCAGGAAUGGCAGACAAGACUCUUGUUAACAGCAAAUUCACAGCAUCUAUGUUGGCAAAGACAUUUAAGAAUCUUAACGCAUGAGGAAUUCAGCCAGCUGUUAAUGUGAAUCAGUUGAUGAACCCACCAAUUCGUAUAAGUAACGAACAUGUUUGUAUAUAGUUUACAGUUUCCUUGAUGAUUUUCAUUUCCUUUCUGUCGAUAUACCGUUUUGAGAGGAAAAAGAAUAUAGACUAGGAAAAUUUCAGCUUUUGCUAUGCUUCGUACCCUUGAAUCCUAGCUGUUUCUUGAUCCAACUCUCUUUGUAUUACUUUGCUUUUGUCUCUGUUUUGCUCCUUCCCGUUUGGAUCGUUCAAUGACAUCAGACUUACAGAGAAUUUGUUGAGGGUUGACCCCAAUCUCUGGUUUGAAGAGAUGUUCCCUGUGCUGAAAUAAAAGCCAUGAAACGUUCUUUAAAAUAGUUUGAAAUGUCAAACUUUAAAUCUUGACCACAUAUUCAGAUAUGAUUCUGCCCAAUCAAUAACCUUAAUUGAUAUAGUUCGACAAAAGAAUGUAUCUAGGCAAAAACAAACAUGAAAGCUUCAGCUCCAAAAGUCCCUCAAGGCUUUCAAAUGAAAAACUGCAUCCAGCUAUCUAGCCGCAACAGAGAACUAUAUGUACCCAACAGACUGUCAGACUCAAACAAUCACUAUUGACAGAACUAUCUCAAAGCAGUUGUAGACAUCCCCCUAAUUUUUGCAAACACCGUUAUCACGAAACUCAUUUUGACAGAUUUAUUUAGAAACUGAGUGAAAACUUUGAAGAAAACUAGCAUUACAUAUCACCUGCAUUAUGUGAGGGUUGCAGAACUCAAUGAAGUGAUUGCCUCACGGUUUUGGCUACAUUAUGUGAAGUUAGAAGUUAGAACCUCCAAUUGAUUAUGCAUAAGCAUCCGAGGAUAGUUGAAAGGGAGCAUGCUGCAAAAUCCACGACAGAAUAGUAGAAAACUACUGAACUCUCACCGCCCUACAAAUCACAUACAUAUCGCCAAUUGUCAUACUGGCACUAAGUUCCAAUUUCUUUAAUAACUUAAAAAGCAUGCUUGUUUAUAUACUUGAAGAUGGUUUAACGUAGCAUCUACACAAAUACAAGGUCCAUUAACAUAUAAUUACAAUCUUCAAGAGUAGGUCGUUCUGAUAACCAGCAAAUAAAAUAGUGCAAUGCAUGAAAAUCCAAAGUCAAUAAAUAGAAGCAUGCAUUCUAUGGUAUUUCUACGGGAACCCCAAGCCACCUUAUGCCAAAGCAUCUUAGAUAAGACUGCCUGAACUCUUACGUAGCAUUAUUCACAGAUGACAAAUUCGCCUCGAUUUGGAUUAGAAUCCACAGCUUCAAUAGACAUACAUAUUCUAAGAUGAGAAAGCACUUCGGUACUCACAAUAGCAACCCCCACUGCGCACGCACACACACACACACACACACACCAAUAAUCUCACCUUCUUACUCAAUAUCAAUAAUCUCGCUAUUUGAGUCAUCCUCAAGAAUGUUGUAUACUGCCCAAAUCAAACUAUAAACUAAAGAGAAAAUGGCACAAAAGAACCACAAAUGUAUGCAAAAUUGAAAUCUUGACAAAAUCCCCAUUACCAUUCAAAUUUGUACACUGAAUACUCAGAUUAGCAAUUUGAUCAAACUCAAAAUGAAGCCAAAGAAAUUUGCACACAUAGGUAUUUCGUAUGUUCAAACAGAUUGAAAGGCAUGAAUUCUUGCACCAUUUUCCACAUAAUUUAACAACCAAACUACCAAAGCUCAGUCUAACAUGACUUCAGUUGGAGCAGCACAUACAAACUCAAAACGAAGCCAAAGAUCAAGCUUACUUGCCAAAUUCCAUGACAAAAAUUGAAAAGUUGCCUUAAACCUGGAGAUCACUCGAGAGCAUUUACGGCAUUUUCAGGGAGCUGUUGCUGCUGCUGCUGUUGUUGUAAAAUGAACUUGCGCUGAAGUUUAAGCCAUUGAUUCCAACAGUGCAAAUAACUACCCAGAAUUUAAAAUCAGCCAACCAUUUAAAAAGGGAGAAGAAGAAGACUUAAAAUUGAAAUGAAAAUUCAUGACUUACAGCCAGCGCAGACAAAAUAAAGCAGACGGAGGAGCUUUGGCUCUGGAGGGCCCGCUAAUUCUUCUCCACUCAUUGCUCUUCUCUUCUUCCUUUUACAGACUCUUCUGUGUGAAGUAGAGAACUGAGAAAGACGACGACGACCUGUUUUAGUCCGAAACUGAAAUGGGUCGGAUCAUAUCGAAAUAGGGUGUUUAUUUAUACAUGUACAGCCCGUGCCUCGAAGGCCCAAACACAAUACUUUUAUAUUCAUUCCAAGUGUUGGGCCCCGUUUUGGCCCAAGAUGGCAGAAAAAACUUCUCUUUUGAGACUUUGAAUUAGAAUUUGCAGAGAAUUGAAGGAGAUUUUGAUUCCAUAUAUAUAUAUCUUGGCUUUAACAUAUUCAUCCGAUGCGUCUUCUGCAUCUUUUUAGUGCAAUUUACUGUGAUUUCUCACUGAUUAUUUUUGCGAAUUUGAAAUUUGUGACCCUUGAUUUCUUAAUACAUGAACUAGUCUAACAGCAUUUCCAGCAGCUAAGGCUAGACUCAGGCUGGGGGGGUUUGGGCAAAAAAGUGGUUUUCAGCAACAAAAGCAAGCCCGGGCAAAUGGUGGGACCCAGUAGACUGGGCUGGCCCGAGGGCAAGGCUGAUGUCAGCGUGCAGACGUCACGUCGACGUCAGCCCUGCGUCCAAAUUUUUUUAAAUCGUACACGUGGCGAGCGCUAGGCUCUCCAAUCAUAUUUUUUUCCAGCAAUCCAACAGUAGCCAAUGUUUGUGCAAUAAAAAAAUGAAUUUUUUUUAAAAAAAUACCAAAAAAAUUACUGAUUUUUUUUUCUCUUACCUUAUUUCCAUUUUUAACAUUUAAAUGUCUUCGUCCUUUUACUUUCAUUUAUUUUUAUAUUACUUCAUUUACUUAAGUUUACAAUGUAAAUAAGGAAGUAUCCCCUAUUUGGAUUCAAAUAAAAAUACUAGAAAAUUAAAUUCCCAUCAAAUCAAAAUAUGAAAAAUCGGUUUUAGUGCAAAAUACAAUUUAGGCUAAAAAUGAUGGCUCAUUAAGAAAAUAUAUACUUCAUAUUAAAAUUUCAUAAAAUCAAGUUUUCUUAUUUGAUGUGUAAGGAAUAAAAGCAGCCAAAAAUUAUCUUGAGAAAAUGAUUAUUCUGAAAAAUUAUUUUUCAUACUUAGUCAAUAUUGCACCUCUGCUACAAAAAUUCUGGGUUCGCCAGUGUCUAUAAAUACCAACCAAUACUCUUCACUUUUAACACCAAACCCUCAUACUUUUUUUUUUCCUAUAUAAAUACCAACCAAUACAACUAAUAAAAUAAAAUCUUAUCAGAAAAUAUUAUCUAAUAUGAAUAGUAUUGACACGUAGAAACCCAAAAAUCUUAUCCGAAAAUAUUAUCCAAAUUAAUUGUUUAAGUAAAAAAAGUUGUGAAAAAAACAAAAAAAAUGAAUAGUAUUUGCCAUGGCAAGCCUAAACUGCUGAAAACACACUUUGCUGAGGGGGGCUAAGGCAGCCACUAUUCACGUGAAUAGUAGCUGCCCUAGGGCUCCCCUUGCCAUGGCAAGGGGCUAAUUGGUGGAAAUGCUCUAAUAUGAAUUAAUAGAAAAGAUUUUUACAACAUGAAUAGGGCAUCUGAUAACAUUCAUAAUACUGAUGAGAAGAAGAAGAAGAAUAAAGGAAAUUUCAGAGAGAAAUCUAUUUCUUGAAUCGUUUGUUAAUUAGUUUCUACAGAGAGAUUACAUUAUAUACUUAGCCUUAGCUUUUCUUAGCUUCUAAACAACAUAGUAACAACCUAACUAACAGCACGUGACACCAUAACUAAUCUAGUGCUGACUCAGCUUAGCUGUUACACAAAUGGUUUAUACAAUUACCCUCCCUCAAGCUCAGCUGAGUUCCUCAGUAUGAGAUUGGUACAAUGCUUAAGAAAUAUGGGACUGUGUAAUCCUUUUGUAAAAACAUCUGCAAGCUGUUCUUCUGUUGGCACAUACUGAACUUCAAGAUCUUUGCAUUGAACUCUUUCUUGCAUUAAGUGAAAAUCGGUAUCCAUAUGUUUGAUACGUGAAUGAAACACUAUAUUGGAGCUAAGAGCCAAUGCAGAUAGAUUGUCAUAAUACAAGAUAGGAGGUGUAGGAAGACACAUAUGUAAAUCUGCAAGCACUUGACGAAUCCAUGCUAAAUCUGCUACAGUAUGAGCCAAUGCUCGAUAUUCUGCCUCAGAGGAGCUGCGAGACACAGAUCCUUGCCUUUUAGACUGCCAUGAAACUGGAUUUGCACCAAGGAAAAUAAUACAGCCUGUUAUAGAUCUUCUUGUAGAAGGGUCUGCAGCCCAGUCAGAAUCACUAUAUGCAGACAAGUGCCAAGGACCAGGACCAAAGUGAAUACCAUAUGUAAGAGUACCCUGUAUAUACCUCAAUAUCUUUUUAACCAUAUGAAAAUGAACUUCAGUUUGAUUAGUCAUGUACUAGCAGAUUGUGUUUACUAAAUACGCAAUAUCUGGUAUGGUAAAAGUUAAAUAUUCACUACUACAAAAAGUGAAAAAGAUGACUAGAAAAAAAUGAUGGUUUAACGGAAAACCGUCGUUGUGUUUGAAUAGACGACGAUUUAAUAAAACCGCCAUGUAUAAUUAACUUAAACACCUAAAAAAUGGAGAUUCCUAUGGGUAUUUUUUAAAAACGACACACCUAAUUAAAAAAGCGACGUCUUAUUUAAAAAAGUUUUCCUUAGAGUAAACUCUGAGCCCAGAAACAACGGUAGAAGGUAUGAAUCCACCGACGUAGAAAGUAAAGACGACGGUGUAAAUAAACAGCCGCCAUUUUUACUCCAUAAUAAACACGACCAAGUUUUCGUAUCUAGCGCCGUAUAAUUUCAAAAAAAUCCACGGCGGUAUAUUACAAAAUACCGCCGUAUUAAAUGUAUGUACAACGACAGUAAAGAUAAAUUUAUCGACUUAUUUCUUGAAGUGUACUACGAAGGUAUCUUUAAUUCUAACCAAGUUGGUUUGUUCAAUUAACGACGUAUAACAAAAUUUACCAUGUUGUGAAGUUAACAUUACCGUCUUAUUUAUUUGACUUUAUAUGUCCACCCUUAUAUCUAAACCGUCAUCUUAGUAAUAUUAUUUUUUUACUAUUUAUUUAUUGGAUUUGGGUAUCCUACGACGGUAGACCAACGUCAUGACAAGAAUUGAGAAUAACCACGACAAUUUAUAUAGAAAACCGCCGACAUAAUCAAUUUUCUGAGACCAUCGUAUUUAUUUACUUUAUACGUCUCACCCUAUGUCUAAACCGUCGUCUUAAUAUUAAUUUUUUUUUUACUAAUUGUUUCUUAGAUUUUGGUAUCCUACGUCGGUAGAUCAACUUAAUGACAAGAAUUGAGAAUAACCACGAUGGUUUAUAUAGAAAACCGCCGGCAGAAUCAGUUUUUUCUGAGAUCCCAAGAGUUUCGAAAUCUUACCAAAUGAAACUCUGUUCCUCAUCAUAAUCGGACCACAGAAAGACAAAGGCACAUACACAAAGGCGGCAGAAUCAGAUUUUACACGUUGAUGAUAUAUGUGUCUUUGUGUCUUUGAGAUACACAAAGGCACAUAUACAUCAACAUCCAAAAAUUUGUCUCUAAAAUUUGACGACGGCAGCCUCAUAUUUGCAUUAAGAGAGACAAUUUUUUGGAAGUUGAUGAUGUGUGUGUGUUUGUGUCUUUCAGAUACACAAAUGCACACACACAUCAACAUCCAAACAAUUGCCUCCUAAAAUUUGACGACGGCAGCCACAGAUUUGCAUUCAAAGAGACAAUUUUUUGAACGUUGGUGAUGUGUGCAUGUUUGAGAAUCAAAUACACAAACAUACACACACACCAACAUCCAAACAAUUGCCUCCUAAGAGGUGAGACAGAGCCAAGGGCAAGAAGAAAUUGGAACCCUAAUUGAAAACUGAAACUGAAAGAACUCGUGAUUAAAAACUCAAUUUAUAUAAAUAAAAAAAUCAUAUCCACUCAGUUAUAUUACACCUAUCGACGUUUAACCAAAGGAAUCAACUUCGGUUCUCAAAACACAGAAGACGUAUUAAACAUACGAGGUUAGGGCAAACAACGUUGGUGAAUAACUAAAGGCAACAAGGUUUAUACAAACAACGUCGGUUCUAUAUAAAAACACAUCCUGGUAACUUGUAAUAUCACUUCUUCAAAAGUAAACUUUUGACGUGUAGAGCCCAACUAACCACGUCGUUUUCGGAAUACAAAAAGUCAAAAGGCUUUUUUACUAACCACGUCGGUUGAUGUUAUUUUUAUGUUGUGGUAAGUGCAUACUAGGGCGGUUUUUAUGACUACUGUCGUUGUAUUUAUCUCGGGACACUAUAUAAACUUUUUGGUCACCUGACCUAAACUUUUACGUUCUCUCUAAAAUUUUCAGUUUUCUCUCAGUUUCCCUCUCAUUUUCGAAAAGCUGCGUUUUUUAUUCUCAGUUUCCAUCUCAACUUUUAUGUUCUUCCUCGUCUUCGUCUCCAAAAUUUGAUUCCGAAGAAAACUUUCUUUGCAAGACAAAGAUUUGAAAACUUUCUCACUCGGUUUUUUUUUUUCCUUAAAUUCUAUCAUUUGAAGUUUUUUUUUUAUUUUAAAAAAGAACGAGUCUCACUGAUGUUUGAAACAAGACUCAGGUUUGAAAAUGCCAAAUUUUUCACUGUUCCCACUCACAGGCCAUGUGAGGACGACGGAUUUUUCUCGAAUUUGACGUUUUUGUUGACACACCACGAUGGUAAUUAAAUUCGUGCUAUUUCAAUAGCACGGAUGUUCAUAAUAACCGACGUGGUGUGUUAAUAAAUAUGACGUUUGAAAGAGAAAACCGUCGUCUAUUUUUACAAGAACGUGAGAGAGAGAAAACUGGGCGAUUUUUUAUUUAUGAACUUAUAAUACGAUGGCGGUUUUAUUUAACUGCCAUCGUUUUAAGUUAAUGACCACGUCGUACUAGCACAUCCACGUUUCUAUAGAUUAGCACGACAGUUCUGUUUGUUUGCCGUUGUCUGAAUUUUCAUUUUACGUCUGUAUUUUACCUAACCGUCGUUGUUUUUCUUGCAGUUCGUAUUUCUCUCUAAACAUGGUUUUGAAAUCUCAAAGUAAGGAGGCUCAAGUGUCAGAAGGCCAAGGCAAGGACAUUGCAGUUUCAAAGGCACAAAUGGGUGAAUCCAAAUCUGUUCCAAGCAAUCCUGCAAAGAAGAGAUUUACUUCAUCUUCCGAGAAAGACCCAAGCUCUGCGACAUUUCAUGAAGUGACGAAAUUGACUCGAGGUAUCAACACAAUGAGCCGUGUUGUGAAGAGAAAAAUCCAGAAGAUUAAGCCCGUGGUUGAGUACAAUAAAAGUGGCAGACCACAUGGCAAGGCUGCUAUUGAGAUGCAGAGUUACAUUGGUGUUUUGGCACGCACUAGAGUCCCUCUUGUGGACAAGAAAUGGACUCAAUUGCCAAAGGACCUGAAGGAGCAGAUUUGGGAAGCUGUUCAAAUGGCUUAUGUUGUUGGGGAAGGGGGCAAGAAGGUGGUGUUGUCGUCUGCAGCCAAAAAAUGGAAGGAUUUUAAGUCUAUCUUAACUAGGUAGUUUAUCCUUCCAUUUGCAAAUAAGAAGGAGAAGUUAAACGAGCCCCCUUACCUUUAUAACUUCACAGAGAAAUCUCAAUGGGAUGCCUUUGUAGCUUCAAGGUUAUCCCCAGAUUUUGAGGCUGUGCAUUCUGAGCAGUCAUAGAGAAGAGAGAAAUGCGAGUACAACCAUAGGUUGUCUCGAAAAGGGUACGUUGGUUUAGAGAUCAAUUGGAAGAAACCAUGCUCAGAGAAGAAAUCGAUCGAUCUCUGCUAUGGAAGAAGGCAAGAGAAGAUAAACAAGGAAACAUCCUUGAUCCAAAGGUUGCAGAGAAGGCAAAAUUAAUUGUAAGUUUCAUUGACUCUGUUCUAAACUUGUAAAAUUUAUUUUUCAUUCAGACGUCGAUCUUUUUAUUAACCGUCGUUAGACAUGAAACACCACGACGGUUUUAUUCACUGCCUUUUAAAAAAGAUAUAACGUCAGUAUUUUUAUAAAACCGACGUGUGUAUUGAAUUAAAACGACGGUUUUGUAUUUUUGUGUUAGGUUUUUUAAAUUAAAUUUUGAACUUUCUUCAUAUUCACACACACACACACACACACACUCUCUCUCUCCUUCUCUAUUUCUUUGCAAUUGGUUUGUCUGGAUCAAUGAAUAUUUCGGUUAAGUGUUUUUAUCUCUGAUGUCAAAUAAACGACGGUCAUUUCAUGGACCGACUUGUUAAUUUGUACAAAAGGACGGUAGUUUUGGGCCGACGUUUUAAAUGAUUUUGUGCGCCUAUUUGUUAAAUAAACCGUUGUCGUAACAUCUUUACCACGUCGUUUAAUAUUUUUAUUAAUUUAUUUAUUUUAAUUAGUUUUAUUAUCUGUUCACUCACUAACAUUCUCUCUCUCACUUUUAGGAUGAUUUGAAAAAACAAGUCUUCGAGGCACUCUGAUUGUCUCUGGGAGCAAUGAUGUUUUGACCUUGGCUUUGGGAACCCCUGGCAUGGUGGGAGGGUUAGACGUGUUGGAGCCGUGGUUUCCCCAACUCAAUUCUUCAAUUUGCCGAGACAGCAUAGAGUAAAAUUUGCUAACAAAUUGAAGGAAAGUGUUAUGGAAGUAGUGAGAGAGGAAACCAAAAAGAUGGAGGCCAUGGCAAAGGAAAGUGUUAUGGAGGCAGUCAGAGCAGAGAAGGAAAUUUUGUUGAAAAAUUCAGUCAACUAAUUCCCAACUUUGAUCCCAACUUGCUCUGUAAAACUCCAACUACACCAAUUACUCCAAUUCCUCUAAUUACUCAACAGCAAAGCCCAAAAAAUCCAAGGUCUGACAAAGCAAGCUGCUCUAAUGUGAGAGAUCUUGAAUUGGAUGAAGACAAUCCCACGAAUGAUGCUGAUGCUGAUGCUGUUGAAAACCGUCGAGAUGAAACGGUAAAAUCUCUGACAUUUGAUUUUUUUUCUGAUUUUUAAGUUUUAAAUAGACGUCGGGUUUAUUGUACAACCCAUUGUCUAUUUUAACAUAGAAGACCUUUGUAUUGUGUAGCGACGUUAUAACAUUUACACAACGACUGUUAUGUAUUUACCGUCGUCUAUAACUUUUACCCUGUCGUAUGUUCUAGAAACCGUCGUUGAUAUUUUAUACCACAUCGGUUUUGUUGAUUUGUUGGAGUCGUUUGUUUUACUUCAUGUACAAACUAACUUUUAUUUCUUUAUUUAAUUCUUGUUAUAGGAUCUCUCAAAGCUUGACAUGCCAGCUCCUGCGUUAGCCCUAUGCCAAUAUGUCGAGACCAAGUUGAAGCCUACUAAUAUGACCAUUAGAAUUCACAUGCCAGAGGAAAUGUUUGGCACUGAUCAUGAUACCUGACUCUUGAGUGAAGACAUUUUACAACUUGCUUCCAUGGUUGAGAUUGGAUCCACAGUGAUUGCAGUAUACAUGAGGUAAUUCUAGAAAUCCAAUUUUGUUUUUUUGUUUUUUGUUUUGUUUUUAAAUUUCCUUUCUUUUAAAUUAAAAUCUCAUUUAAUUGAAUUUCAUAUAUUUAAUUAGGUACCUAUUUGACUGUUUAAAAAUGACAAAUAUUGUAAACCUUGUUGGCCUCGUGGACCCUGGACAAGUCAGUUCUCAAUCUGGAACAUUAUCUCACCGUUCAAAACAUCUCUCAGAACGCUUGAAAAACGCUGAUGGGGAUCAGUUUUACUUGGUGCCUUAUAAUCCAGGGUUAGUCCCCUUCUAUACUUGGUCCCUUUGUAAUAUUUUUUUUUGGUAGUAUAUUUAAUAUAUAUGGAUAAUUUUGUGUAGGGGUCAUUGGGUGUUAAUAAUUGUGAAACCAGCUAAGGAGACUAUCUAUUACAUGGAUUCAUUUCCACAUCGGUCUGUUGACGAGGACAUGAGAAAUAUAGUGAAUACGUAUUAAUGAAAAUCUAAGAUUUUUUAUUUCUACAUUUGAAUGAUACGAUGGAUUUUUCGAAUACCGACGUUGUAGUGAAAUCACAAUGACGGUAUAUUAUAACCGACGUUUGAAAUUAUUUACAACAUCAGUAUUUUCUUGAAACCGUCAUCUGAAUUGAAAUACCACGUCGUUUGUGUUUUUCAUUUUAUGACGUUUUAAUUUUUUCUGUUCAACUUACAUUUCAAAACAACUUUGGUAAUACGUCGUUUUUCUUCGUCACCGACCUUAGAAUGAUACACAACGACGGUUCUUAUUUUUCAACGUUCGAAAAAAAUACGACGUCAUUUGCUUUACAAAACUGUCGUCUUCACUUAUUUACCACGACGGUUAAUUGUUUUGGUGUUGAUUUUUAGUUUUGUCAUUAACACUUUUUGUUUUCUUGAAACAGUUCAGUCAAAAUGUAUAACUCUCACACAGGCAAGCAAUCAUCACGUAAAUCACCCAUAUGGAAAAAUCUACAAGGCACUCCUAGACAACCAACAAAUGUAGAGUGUGGCUAUUACGUGAUGCGUUUCAUGAUAGAUAUAAUUCAUGAUCCAGGCCUAGCAUUUGAGAAGAAGGUAAAAUUUAAGAUAUAAUUUCUUUAUUUUAAUACCACGACGUUUUCUUUCAGAACCGUCGUUUUAUUAUUUGUAACACGUCGGUUUUUGUUCUUUAUUUGCAGUUUGACAAGAAAAAGGAACCAGUUGUAUAUACUCAAGAACAUAUUGACAAAGUCAGGCUGCAGAGAUACAAAGUCCAUUGUUGAAUGUUUUGGUUUGGAUGCAAAUAGGUGGGGAAGCUAGAAGUAAUAGGACUAACAAAAUUAUUGAAAAUUGGUUUAUUGGCUGACUUUGGUGCCAUUUUGUAUUUAUUGGGAGAAGAAUAUUGAAGAAAUUUUUUUAAUGUGCUGGUGUAAUUAAAUUCACUUGUUGACCAUAAUGGCAUGCUCUGGAUUUUGAUGCUUUUGUUCAUGUUCUGAUUGUACAAGAGUAAUGAUUGAAUGUGCUAUUGUUAAAUUUCUUUGACCUAACUUCGUUUUAAUGGACUAAAUAUAUACCAGAUUCUAUUAUUUGUUGAAUACAUUAAUGUAACUUGGUAAAUAUGAUUGAACUGUUCCCAAUUAAAAUAUUAGGUAGCAGAUUUUGAGAGAAUGGAAAGGAAAUUAAUUGGAAAUGGGAAAAAAAAAACCAUAAAUGUUUUAAAGGCACGGAUGGAGGAUGGGUUACAAAUAUAUAUUAAAACAAUAAAAUAAUAUAAAGGCACUGAUAUCUGUACCUAGGCAAUGCAUUAGUUACGGAUGUAUUUGGGAGUGAUGUAUGCGUAUUGGGUGCUAGUAAUAUGGGACCUACUGCAAAAAUUAGGCAUUGAUUUUUAUAAUCAGUGACAUAUUAUCAAUAGAGGACCCCUUUAAAAGAUAUUGAUAUAUAUAUAUCAGUCCCUAAUACUACAAUAGGCACUGUUUUCAGUCCCUAAAGAAGCCAAAAGGGACUGAUAGCACUCAGUCUCUUUUUGAGCCCUUUUUUAGUAGUGCAUGAAACACAUAAUUGGAAAGUUGAUAGCAGUCUAAGGCACUGUGGCCCUUCUUGCCACAAAUCUGACAAGAGAUCACAGUAGUGGAGGAAUCUGAAGAAGAAUGCCUAUGGUAGUAGUUUGGAGCAGUGUGUCCACACUCACUACAAAUUUGACACUUAGGUACCACGCCUGGCCUUGGGGUAGAAUUAGAAGGAAACCUACCACCUUGAAAACCUUGAUUCACAUAGCGCCCCAUGGAUGCACGACCACGACCAGAAGAAGGUCGAGAACCUUGUUGUGUGCCGAAAAAGGCAACAGGAGUAGGAAGAAAACCAGUACCCCUAGACUGAGCCGUGUCCUGAGAAAUGCCAGAGUAGAAGUAGUUGAGGUAUGACGAUGAACCAUAGCAUGAAUUGGAGUCGGAGAAGACACAACACAUGCCUCUACACUCUGUUAAGCAGCAAGUAGUUGACUACGAAAGUCUUCCAACGAAAUGGAAGUGUCACGAGCCACAAGCACGGUCUUGAUCAUAUUGUAUUCAGCAAGGAGUCCAUUCAAGGCCGUAAUCAUGAGAUCAUCAUCAGACACAGAGACUCCAGCAAUGGAAAGCUAGUCACGAACAUGUUUAAGCCGAAGCAAAAACUUCUCAAUCGUAUUAGCACCUUUCUAAGCAAUAUGAAGCUCUGUUUUGAGAUGAUUAAGAUGAGCACGGGAGACAGUGGCAUAGCGAUCAGUAAGACUCAACCAAGCCUCGCGAGCAGUCUUACUUCCAAUAACAUACUCAAUCGCUUCAUCAAACAAGGUCGCAAUGAGUAAGCUAAGCAACGCCUUGUCAGCCCUCAACCAUUCACGAUACACAGCUGUAAUCGUAGAAGUGACGCCUUCCUCAUCCACAAUCGCAAACUUAGGAGGAGGAAAUAGCGUUCCAUCGAAGUGACCAAACAGAUCAUAGCCUUCCAGAAUGGAUUCCAUCUGAUAACGCCAUUUGAGAUAGUUUUCAUCAUUCAACUUGAUAGUGAGCAUGCCGAGAAGACCUUCAAUCUUGAACGGAGAAGAAGUCGCCAUGAAAGCUUAAGGUAUCACAGAAGAAGAAAGAGAAGAAAACUAUGCAAGAUCUAGAAAUCGAAGAACAACACAACGAAGAGAAGUGUAGAAAGAAGAAAUUUGUGAAGAAAUUUGAUGCAGAAACGGCAAGAAUUAGAAGAGAAGAGAACAGAAAUCGAAGAAUGGGAAGAUGAAAUUGAAGAAUUGGAAGAUGGAAAUCGAAAAUUAAGGGUUGGAAGAUGAAAUCGAAAAUUGAGGAUUUAGCAGGAACAAGAAAAGUUGCAGAAUCGAUAAGAGAUCGAUGAGAAUUGUGAGCAGAAGCAAGAAAAAUCGAACCUAGGCUCUUGAUACCAUGAUAACAUUCAUAAUACUGAUGAGAAGAAGAAGAAGAAGAAAAGAUAUUUAAGAGAGAAUUCUAUUUCUUGAAUCGUUUGUUAAUCAGUUUCUAUAGAGAGAUUACAUUAUAUACUUAGCCUUAGCUUUGCUUAGCUUCUAAACAACACAGUACGUAACAACCUAACUAACAACACGUGACACCAUAACUAAUCUAGUGCUGACUCAGCUUAACUGUUAUACAAAUGGUUUAUACAAUUAGCAUCAACGUAUGGCUUGACUGUUAUCAAUUUCAACAUUUUGCUCUUCACAACUCAAUGCUCUGUUACUUUUUAUGGAGUUAAUGAAUAUGGACAGAGUGAGACGGAGAAUUGAGUUUUAGGGGGGUAAAGUGUGACAAAUUGAGUUUUAGGUGGCAAAGUGAGAUUCAAAUUGAGUUUCAAGGGCCAUAUCAAUAAUUAAUCCUUUAAAAUUUUACGUUGUGCCAUUUGUGUAGAAAGGAUUUCUUUGUGAAUGACUGCUGCUUGUCAGUGAUACGUGAUAUUUUUUUAUGUAGUUGCCUUCAUGCGGGGCAAACAACUUGGAAAGAAUGACUAUCUUCCAAUUUCCUUAGAAAAAUUUUAAACAAGAAAACAACUUGGAACUUGGACUUUGAUUGACAUGGAAGAUGCGCUGGUAUCGCAUAUCAGCUGCCUUAAAAAUCAAAAAAGAAAAUUCAGUAUAAGAAGAUCUUCGCUUGAGGACGAAGAUCAAUGCAGACUUUUAUACACAAGGUCAUUGCUUUGGUUUCAUUUGUGGAAAUCUCUCUUCGACGUACAGAGGGGUUUGGAUAAUUUGUGUUGUGUGGUAAUGGCAGCUUAUAAACCUGUCAUUUUGUGCAACAGUGGGGGCCCUAGAGACAGUUUAGUAUAAGAAUAAUAAACUGAAGAGGAAGAGAGAUGAGAGACAGAGGUGAAGAAUGAUUGCACAGACCAAGAUAAUCUGUUGUAUUAUCAGCUGUAUAUAUGGUGUACACGGGUUAGACUUUCUCGAGUCUAUUUACAGAAGGCAAGUAAUAUAAGGUAAGUAUAAUUAAUCUCAUAUAUUACAGAAUCAAUUGUAAACUAAUUCCUAGCUGGGAUGAAGCUGAUCUUGUGAUGGGGAGUCUGUCAAUGCUAAUUGGGUGGGAUCGACUGAUUUCAUGGAAUGGGCUGAUUGUGUGGAAUCAUGAUAUGCAUCAUGAUUCUCUUUAUUAAGAACGGUGAAACAUGAUUUCUUUGCAAUUGUAACCCAAGAGAGUUCUCCCUUGGCUAUGGCUAAACUUAUCCAAGACCCGCAGAUUGCACAGAGAAUGGGCAUAGAAGCGCAACGGCAUGUGACAGAUUCAUUCUCUACAAAAAUAUUUGGUCAGCAUUUGAACAUAUCAAUACCUUGUUGACGUUGCUUGGACGAAAGAAGACUGAAGACUGCAUGACCUUGCAGCAUAAAUUGUUCAAUUGAAUCAACUCAGAGACUGAUAUAUUAAUUUGUUGGGUUUAAUAUAUCCAUCAAUUUACUGAGUGUGUGGCUAUUGGUGAAGGGAUUUCUAGAUUAGUUAUGUUUUAUGCCUUUCGUCUUUUGGUCCUGUAGUUAACAGAUGCUAGUGGUGACUUGUGAAUGAAGAGAGAGAAGAUUUGCUACGAAGGUUCUGCUUCUCCUGCAGUUUAACAUCAAUAAGGACGCCAAUGUAAUGUUGGAUAAGGCUUGACUCCCACUGUCAUUCUCAGGCCAUAUACAUUCCCAAUUCCAUGAAAAAUUAUCACCAUUAGUCAGGGAAACAACCAUUGUUUUCAAGUAUUGUUGCUCUUAUAUAUUAUAUAUGGGUCAGGAUUGGGAGAUACACAUAAAACCACACUUUUUUACACAUAUCUUUAGCCCUUAGAUCUAUCCCAAUCUAACGGUUCAGAAUUCAUUUAAGAUGGACUUAAUUUGAUUUCAUGUAUAUUUCCCAACAAUCUUAUUCACUCUUCCUCUACCUGUGCAGCUCUGUUCCUUCCGCAACUCCCAAUAUUCUCUUAACCUGAAGCCAUGAUAGUAGAUAAGAUGCUUGGAAAAUAUCUUAUUGCACCAAUUAAGAUAACUAAGUGAGAUCUCCCCUUACAUGUUCAAUGAAAUCCAAUAGGGGAUAUGAUUUUGGGCUACAAGUACUCGGAUUUGAGUCAAGUUUAAUUUGAGAUCGUCCCACCCAUCAUGGAAACCAUUAAACUGAGAAUCCUUUUGGGUUCAAAUUGUUGAGAGAAUUUACCUUAAUUACCAUUUACUGUAUCAAAAUUUCUUCUCUCAUCAGGUCUCUUGUUACAAAUUACAAUAUGAGUUGGUUCAAAUCGAAUUUUGGUUGGAUGGUUUAUAAAGUUGUCGACUUUGCUGGGACAAAAGAAGACUGAAUACUGCAUGCCCUUGUAGUAUAAGUUGUUCAGUUGAGUCGCAUAGACUUAAAUAUAAUUAUGGGGGUUUCAUAUAUCCAUGACUUUACUCCGUGUGUCAUCUUUUAUGCCCUUCGUCUUUUGAUUGAUAUACCAUUUUCUAAAGCUCAUCUGUUUGGUCAUGUAGUUGACAGAUGGUGGUAGAGACUUGUGAAUGAAGAGCGAAGAAUAAGAUUUGCUACGAAGGUUCUGCUUCUCCUGCAGUGUAACAUGAAUACGACGUCAAUGUAUGUAAUGUUAAGAUAAGACUUGACCAGCACUGCUUCUCCUGCUUCUCCUACAGUAGUCGAUAGUAACUGCUAGAAGGUCCAGUCCUCUCAUCGAGCUUUAGACCUAAUGUGGUUUACAAUUUUGGCUACAUUAGUUGAAAUCUCUCUUCGACAUAUAGAAGGGGUUUGAAGAAUUUGUAUUGUAUGGUUAUGGUUGUUUGCCAAUUUCUUACUUUGUGUACUUUGAGGGCGUUGUAGACUUUAAAUUAAGUAGAACAAGUCAUCUCCUGGUGGCAUUAGUGGGAAUAUCACUUCAACCAAUAUAGGGCUUUCAAUAUCAAUAAUUUGCCUUCUGUGAUGGUUGUUUGCCAACUUCUCAAUUUUCUGUAAUGUUUGCAUCCAGGGACUAAUCAAUUGAACAAUCUAAACAAAACCCAAAAAGCAAUUACAUGUGUUUAUACCGGAGAUAAACGGCCUAUGACAACCGAACACGUGGACAGGAUUUAUUUUGGCUGCAGAAAUGCCUUCGGCAUGCUUCCUACCGAAGCCAUCUAUCUUGGCCCUUUUUACUAGCGGACGCGUGUCAUGCUCACAAUCCGCAUCCCCAGUCCCACAUUGAAAAUACGAGCACAGUGCACACCUCCCAAGGCCUAUAUAAGAAGACCCACAUCCCCAAAAGGAGGGGAUCAGAACUAACGGUACGUUAUCGAUUGAUCUGUCAGUUAACAUUACUAAAACCGUACUCACUAAAGCAUUGGACAGCCUUCGGCCGGUACUACACCGGUGCCCAAGGACUUACCGAACGUGCCCUUUUGUAGGUACUUACCCUUCCGAAGUAGAACAUCUUCCAAAGACAGUCACCUACCGAAGGCACAAUAUAACUAAGUUGGGCGAAAUACGUGCCGAACCACUUUUUCGCAUCAACAGUUUGGCGCCGUCUGUGGGAAUCCAGAAAAAUCAUCAGCCCACUAUCUCCAAAACACAUGGGGACCACUUCAGUACCCACGUUCUUAUCGGAAGAAGGGGUACUGUUUGGAAGGCAGAGCGGAGCUAGCCCAGCGCUACCCCCAUGCACUCCCUUCGGGAACGCCCCCGCAACCCAAACAACCGCCGAAGCCGAGCUGGUAGCCCAAAUCGCGUCCCUACGGAAGGACAUGACCAGGCUUCAGGAACACAACAACCUUCUUUCGUCCAAAGUGGACGAAACCCAGCAGCUGCUCCACCAGCAGCACACGCAGAACAUUCAGACAACUCACUCUUCUGAGAGCUUGCAGACCCCUCAUAGGAAGAAGAGACACGAUAAGGUAGCGAAGGCAACGCCUGCACCUUCCAAACAGUUGGUGGUCCCGGCACCCAGGGAUCAGCCGCACAUCCCUAAGAAAGUCUACUCCGAUUGUCGACAUCGAAUUAACCAUCGGGAGGCAGAGAGACAGAGGUCUCCGAUCAGGAUUAGCGCUCGACAAAGGGACUCACGGAUGAGAAUCCUAGGAGACAAGUCGCCUAUUCGGAAGGUCAGAGGGCUGGACCCCGCAGAAGAGUCAGAAUCCGAAUAUAUCCCUUCCAGGACGCAAACUUCCACCUACCGUUCGGCAACGCCUUCACGAUACUCGGGGGUUGAUCCACCAAACCUACAAAGACGAUCAGAAGAUUAUGAUUCCGAGGAAAUCCCUAGCCGAGACCCUGUUGUCCGACUCCUUUUUCAGAAAGUCCAGAAAAUGGAAAACGACAAAGCUCGCUCCCAAGAACCGGAAUGGGGAAAGCUUCGGCCCGGACCAUUCACUAGGCGCAUCCGGGACUCUCGGCAGGAUAGGGAAGGGCAGCAACUGCGCAUACAGUUCUAUAUGGGAACGGAAGACCCCUUAACACAGCCCCACUCAUUUCAGUUCGCCAUUGGAUGCAAGGGCCUGAGCGAUGAAGGGCAGUGCCUGCUAUUCCCGUCCUCCCUUACCGGGGCAGCCCUGAACUGGUUAUACCGGUUGGAGCUGAAAACGGUAGACUCCUUCGACGAGCUGAAGCAGAUUUUCCUCAAUCACUUCAUGAUCCAAACGGACCGUCUUUACUCUGCCGAUGAUCUGUACAAGAUUCGGCAAAGAAAGGACGAACCGUUGAGAGAAUACGCGGCGCGCUUCAGUCACAAGUACUCAAGGUGUCUGGAAACAGACGAUAGGGCAGCCUACGGUGCCUUCAAGAGUGGCCUUCGGUCCUCGCAUUGCCGAUACCUAGUACACAGCAGCAACUGGCGCACGUACGACGAACUGAGGAAGCAGGCGGCAAUCCACGCCAAAGCCGAAUACUUCAACUCGAAACCUGCGAUUUCGGCACCGCGAGGAGAUGUCGAACCAAGUGCUUAUCCGGCAAAGGCGACACCCUACGAGAGAGUUGACACAUACUCGGCAGGUCAUAAGAGGAAAGACGACCGUGCCGAUCGAAGAGAACACUCGAAGAAGGGAAAAUGGAGGUAUGGUCGCAACGACCACCGAGCGCCGCUGCCGAAUCGUGACCACGGCAAUAAAGUCUUCACCCUAUUGAACACUACCUACGAGGCCGUUCUGAUGAACGAACAAGAAAUAAUACCAAAGCCCAAUCUGCGAAGACCCCAUCGGCAAGAUAACCGGGAUACCGAUAAAUUCUGCCGAUACCAUCAGCACAACAGCCAUAAUACGGAAGACUGUAUAAGCCUAAGAAAGAUUGUCGAACGGUUGAUCAGAGAGGGAAAGCUAGAUCAGUACAUCGCCCGGCAGCCAACGGCGCCGGUACCGAAUUCAAUUCGGUAGAUAAACAUGAUAAGCACUAUUAGCGGUGGCCCUACCAUCGCAGGAAUGAGCAACUAUUCAAUGAAACAAUAUGUGCGUGCCGCAAAAUUUCCUCGGGUACUCGGCAUAGAGGUGAAUCGGCAUCAUGAAACGCCAAAAGUGCAUUGGGAACCAAUCACAUUUUGCGAAGAGGAGGAAGAGGGCAUCCUCUAUCCCCACGACGACCCGAUGAUCAUUCGAGCAGAAAUUGCCGACUACGAUGUAGGACGGGUACUGAUCGAUACUGGCAGCUCCGUGAGCGUGAUAUUUGCCGAAGCUUUCCGAGAAAAGGGAAUAAACGACAGUCAGGUCAACCGGCAAUUGACCCCUCCGUUAAGUUUCUCUGGGGAUCUAGUCCAACCAGUCGGAAGUGUAAAACUGCCAAUUACCUUUGGUACCGCACCGAGAAAAACAACGGUAUACGAUCAUUUCCUGAUUGUUGACUGCCCGACAGCGUACAACGUUAUAGUUGGACGAACGGCACUCACCAGGAUCAAGGCCCAUCUUUCCCCCCACAUGCUAUUGAUGAAGUUCCCGACCCCCAACGGCACUGGGGCUGUCCGAGGAAAUCAGCUAAGCGCGCGGACUUGCUACGCCACGGCCCUGAAGUCAACCUCUUUCAAACUCCCCGACGAGACAAUGUCUGUCCAAGGGGUACUGAACGGUACAGGACCAGUUGACGACCCAAGAGAUGAGUCCCCGACUCCACACACACAACCCGUCGAAGAACUGGAGACGAUAACCUUGAGCGAGGAGCAGCCCGAUCGUCAGGUUAGAAUCGGCACUAGACUCGCUCCUACCCUCCGAACGCAAUUCAUAAAUUUCUUGCGGAACCAUUCGGAGGUAUUCACAUGGUCCUACGAAGACAUGCCCGGCAUCGCCCCAGAGGUCAUCAGCCAUAAACUCAGCGUCUCUCCAUCUUAUAAGCCUGUGAGGCAGAAGCGCCGUUCGUACGAUACCGAGCGAUAUGAAGCCAUGCGUAAGGAGGUUGACAAACUUCAAACCAUCAGCUUCAUCAGGGAGGCUACGUAUCCGGUAUGGCUGGCAAAUUCGAUGAUGGUCCGGAAGGCUAUUGGCGGGUGGCGAAUGUGCCAAGACUAUACCGAUCUGAACAAGGCCUGCCCGAAUGACAGCUUUCCGUAGCCAAGGAUAGACCAGCUCGUGGACGCCACCGCCGGACACGAACUGCUCAGCUUCAUGGACGCCUAUUCGGGAUAUAAUCAGAUAUUCAUGCACCCUUCCGACAGCAAACACACUGUCUUCAUAACGGACAGAGGGUUGUACUGUUACAAUGUCAUGCCGUUCGGCCUGAAGAACGCGGGGGCAACUUAUCAAAGGCUUGUCAACAGAAUUUUCGCCAAAUACAUCGGCAGCAUCAUGGAGGUUUACGUUGACGACAUGUUAGUAAAAAGCAGAACUGCCGAAGAACACCUGCACAAUUUGUCAAUCAUGUUCGGCAUACUGAAAGACUACCGGAUGAGGCUGAACCCGAUGAAAUACGCCUUCGGUGUAUCUUCCGGGAAAUUCCUCGGAUUCAUGAUCAGUCAGAGGGGUAUCGAAGCGAAUCCCUAAAAAAUAAAGGCAAUCAUCGAUAUGGAAAGGCCGAAGACGACGAAGGACAUUCAAAGCCUUACUGGACGCGUAGCGGCCCUUACUCGCUUCAUAACAAAGGCUACCGAUAAAUGUGUACCGUUCUUUAAAGCCUUGAAAGGGGGCAAACGGAAUAUCAUAUGGACUGCCGAAUGUGACAAAGAGUUUCAAGACUUAAAGGACUACAUGGGCAAAGCCCCCCUUUUAUCAAAAACGCUACCCGGGAAGAUUCUCUCCCUAUACCUUUCGGUAUCUAGCACUGCCGUCAGCUCGAUAUUGAUUCGAAAACCAGAAAAAGCAGAGCUACCGAUUUUCUAUGUCAGUAAGGCACUCCAAAGUGCUGAACUUCGGUAUCCCCCAUUAGAGCAGCUUGCACUAGCCCUUGUGGUCUCGGCACGAAGACUUCGGCCAUACUUUCAAGCGCACGGAAUCAAAGUCCUGACUAACCAACCGCUUCGGCAAGUGCUCCAAAAACCAGAGACUUCUGGCCAAUUGAUCAAGUGGGCGAUCGAACUCGGAGAGUUCGAUAUACAAUUCAUGCCAAGGCCCGCCGAAAAGGGUCAAGCCGUUGCCGAUUUUAUCUCCGAGCUCACCCCAUCAACAGCACAGACAACACCCGAGCCGGUGACCGAGACCGGAUUGCCGGAGGAACUAGACGCCGAACGCUUUGACGUCUCAACUCCAGUAUGGAUUCUGCAUGUCGACGGCUCGGCAAACCAAUAAGGGUGCGGAGCAGGCUUGGUACUGACAACACCGGAGGGACUCAAGAUCGAGUACGCCCUCCGAUUCGACUUCCGAACCUCCAACAAUGAAGCGGAAUAUGAGGCUCUCUUGGCCGGCCUUCGGUUAGCCAAGAGCAUGAAUGCAAAACAAAUCAGAAUUCACAGCGACUCCCAGCUCAUUGUGAACCAGGUAACGGCAGACUUCGCGGCUAGAGACGCCUCCAUGCGCGCCUACGAGAUCAAGCAGAUCCCCAGAAGCGAAAACAGCCAUGCCGAUGCAUUGGCACGGCUGGCUUUGCCAAUCAAUGAUAAAGUCGGAAGAAAGGUGUCGGUAGAGAUUCUUGCCCUACCGAGCACGGUAACCUCCGAAACAUGCACUGUACGGUACGAAGAUACAUGGAUGUCUCCUAUCUACUCGUACCUGACCAACGGCACCCUUCCAGUAGACAAGGCCCAUUUGCAAGGUACACCGUCAUCAACGACGUCCUUUACAAACGUGGCUAUACAACUCCAUAUCUCAAAUGCCUUACGGCAGAACAGGGGGACUACGUCCUUCGGGAGAUCCAUAAUGGUGUGUGCGGCGACCAUUCCAGGUCCCGGUCACUCGUCCACAAAACCUUUCGGCAGGGGUACUUUUGGCCGACCAUGCACCAGGACGCUAAUUCACUAGUGAAAAAGUGUGAUAAAUGCUAGCGCUUCGGCAACAUACAGCAUAUCCCUGCUGAACCCCUUACACCGAUCAUGAGUCCUUGGCCUUUCGCACAAUAGGGACUAGACCUGAUCGGUCCAAUGCCGCAAGGUAAAGGCCAGGUAAAAUACGCCGUGGUUGCUGUCGACUACUUCACCAAAUGGGUAGAGGCCGAACCUUUGGCAACCAUAACGGCAGCAAAGAUGGAGGACUUCAUCUGGACUCACAUUUGUUGCAGAUUCGGUAUCCCAUAUGCCAUUCGGGAGAAAUUAAUAGAAAGCCUUCGGCACUAUUACUUCAGAACCUCUUUUUAAAAUUACUCUACUAAGCCCACAGCUGCCAAUAGUGGCAUCUUUAUUAGCCCACGGCAAUAAAUGUUUUCGAAAUUGUUACCCUACAGAUUCCAUCGGAACUAAACAACUUCGAAGUGUCCUUUUAACGUUAUAAAUCCUAUACGGAGCCUUUCGGCGGUAAGUACGAUCGCCAAUUUAAACACGUGUUCAGAUUGUUCAAACAACAGCAGAUAAAAACAUGCAUUUGAAUUAAAGAUGCCCUCGGCAUCAAUAUGUUCGGUACACUAAAUAAAAAUAGUAAAAAAAAAGCUAAUACAACUAUUACGAAAAACGGCAAGGAGCCUCAAGGUUCAUCAGCGGCGGCAGCCUCGGCAGAUCCGGAGCCUUCGGCGGCAUCUUCCCCCUCAUACUCCUCGAUCAUUUCCUCGGUUAUCCCUUCCGAUAGGGGGAGGGUCGGCGAUGAAGUUCAGGUUCAGCUUUUGCCCAGGGUUGUACCGUUUGAAUCGGUACAACAGGUCCGCCAUCUCCGAGCCCACUUCCUUAUCCAGAAAGACAGUGAACUCUUCAGACGAGCGGUACCCCCGCAUAGCUGACUGAACGGCAGCCUCGAUCUCCGCAGCCUUUGCCCGCUCCGACUCCUCCAAGGCCACCUGCACCGCAUCUUUGGCAGCCUCGGCAUCCUUCGCUGUCGCCAGCACCGCCUCCAGGAGACCCUUCAUCUCCUCCACCUUCUCCUCUGAAGCUAGAACCUACCGUUCGGCAGACUCUUUCUCCUUCAGCAAGUGGGCAUGCUCCUAGAGCGCUUUGCCAGCCUCGGCAACCUUGGCCCUGCCGUCCUCGUACGCCUUCUUGGCACGCUCGGCAGCAGCGAUGGCCCGCUUGAUGCAGAGCCACAUGUCCAUGGACGCCUGCACAAAACAAAGUAAGUCAGAAGCGUGCCCCACUAGAAAAAAUAAAAGGGCGAAGGAAGAAAGACAAUCUUAUCGAGGCCUGAAGCCGGAAGGCGCUUCCAGCCUCCUCCCGAAGAAACUUCUUCGGUAGUUCGUCGAUCUCCGGCAGCUCCAUCUGAGAGCCGAGGAUCAUAUGGUUGACGAACUGGACCGUCUUCGCCGGGCAGGCAAUGAUGACAGCCUCGGAAGGACCGUCCUCGUUCUCCACUACAAGGACGGCCCUCGGGACCUCCGACUGGCGAGGGCGCUUGGAGACUGGCUCGGCCUCCAAAUCAAUCGUCUCCGGCCGCUUACCGGUAGCCUUGGAAGCGACGGCCUCGGCAUCCCGAUGCCUCGGUGCAGCGACCUCAUCGGUAGGGCACCCCAAAACAGGCUCGGCGCCCUCCUGUCGCAGGCGCUCCGCGAGGUUCUGAGCCUCCGGAUCCACCACCGCCUACCGAACGGAAGCUGCCUCGGGCUGCUUUUUCUUUUUCUUGCCCUCUAGGCCCAUCAUCAGGCGCCUCCUGGAGGAAUCGUUCAUUUUAUUUGCCUCGGCAGCCUUCCUUACGUCCGUCACUGGUCAAAAGCAUUCGGUCAGUCAGCAAGCAAAAGCAAUACACAAAAGCAUUCGGUCAGUCGGCAAGCAAAAGCAAUACACGAAAGCGUUCGGUCAGUCAGAAAGAUAUACUUACUCUCGGCAGGGUUGACGAGGCCGGCUCUGACGAGGUUGUCGGUGAAGAGGAAGCGUGGGUAAACUCGCUCGGCAGCGGGUACUCUCAGCCUCACUCUGUCGAGUUGCCGGAUCUCACUCGACUUGGGGUUCGGCUGCUUGAGUUUACCUGCCAGGAGAAGGAAAAUUAGUUAAAUAAAACAAGGAGAGAAGAGAAGCCGGCCUAUCAAUCGGUAUCUCGGGACCCUACCGGCAAUCUGAAAUGUAGUGGGGACCGAGAAGCGGGAGGGAGUUCCCAAUUACCGGCGAGUAGCACCCGCCGAUUCCUCCAUGACUUUUGAGAAGUCGGCACCGAGCUGAUGAAGUGCCCCCGCUCGGAAGCCUUCAGGCAGUUCGCCUGAACCCAGCCGCCGUGAUCGGUGCUCUUGGACUUGGUAAUGCUGUAUAAGUAUGAGAACUGCUCGUAGGAAGGCUCCCCCUCCUCGGCAAUCCCGAACGCAGCAAUUACCCCCAUCAAGGCCACCUAGAAGUUGGGGUUGUACUGGCCAGGAGUGUACCCGAUCUGGGCAAGGAUCUUCUGCACGGCAGGUUGCAACGGCAACCGAACCCCUUGCUGAAGAACAUCGGUGAAGAAGGUCACUUCACCGUUCGCCGGGUCGUUGAGGGACUCGACAGGGCUCGGUAUCCUCAUCUUCACCGAGUCCGAAAUGAGGUACUCGGCCCUAAUCCUCUCCAGCUCUCGUUUGGUGAUCUUGUUGGGCUCCAAGUAGUCGACCCCGAACAAAGUUUUCUUCGGCACCCCCAUCGGUAUCCUAGGCUGCUCCUGAUGGACGAUCGUCACCCUCGGCCGGGAGGGACCGGCAAUGCCCUCACCACGACCGGAGGUGGAGGCCUCAGGCUGAUGCUCCAACGGGCCGACGCGAGUACCGUCCUUGUGCACCACGGCCAAGGGUUGCGGUUGCCCCGUCAUAAGCCUCUUACCGAUGCCGUGGGUGGGAAUGGAGGUCACCUCCUCACUGAAUAGCUCAAAAUCGGUGUCUUCUCCACCCUCGGCAUCGAGGCUUACAGCCCCGCUGGACGUAUCCCAUCCCGAUGAUAAAUCCCCAUCGAACGCGUUGGGCUCACUGCCGAACGGCGACUCGCUAUCGGACAUCUACAAAACAACGAAAGGGAAGCUAAGGCCCGUGCCACAAACUACCGUACCGAUACCUAUGGCCACUAGACUACCGAAGGAAAAUCCUACUUAACGUUCGGCUAGCCUAUGCCAUGGAAAGAUGUAUAAUUACAUAAAGAGAGAAUAUUCUGGGGGUACCGAACGGUAUCUUACCUUUAGUGUGGGAUGAUUUGAUUGCCGUUCACUCUCGUCUGAAAUCGCGCUGAAUGCCGAGAACCGCUGUAAAAAUCGCCUUGAUUGCCGUUCACUCUCGUCGGAAAUCGCCCUGAAUGCCGAGAACCGCUGUAAAAAAUCACCCUGAUUACGGUUCACUCUCUUCGAAAAUUGCCUGCGCAGAGCUCUCGCGUCAAACUCACAAUUGCAAAGUGAGCCUUACGUCCGGAGCAACUUCUAUUUAUAGGGAGAGAGCUGUAACGGUACGCUUCGAAAGACUAAACGGCUCUUUAAUACGCCGUCAGACGUCCUUUCGCUGGCCACGCGUCACCCGACGAAUGGCGCCGCUGACUGCACGCCAGGCACGGAAGACGAAGCUUCUCUUUGCCCUCUCGCCUCUCAGCAUCGACGACCCUACGAGUCCCAGGUCAAUCUCCCCCAACGAGCCUACCGAACGGCGGGUCAACCUCCGAACCACAGUAGAAAACUAAAUUCCCUUCCGAAGAAAACUUGGGGGACUACUGUUUAUACCAGAGAUAAACGGCCUAUGACAACCGUACAAGUGGACAGGAUCUAUUUUGGCUGCAGAAACGCCUUCGGCAUGCUUCCUACCGAAGCCAUCUAUCUUGGCCCUUUUUACUAGGGGACGCGUGUCAUGCUCACAAUCCGUGUCCACAGUCCCACAUCAAAAAUACGAGCACAGUGCACAACUCCCAAGGCCUAUAUAAGAAGACCCACAUUCCCAAAACGUACGCUAUCGAUUGAUCUGUCAGUUAACAUUACUAAAACCGUACUUACUAAAGCAUCAGAGAGCCUUCGGCCGGUACCACACCGGUGCCUAAAGACUUACCGAACGUGCCCUUUUGUAGGUACUUACCCUUCCGAAGUAGAACAUCUUCCAAAGACAGUCACCUACCGAAGGCACAAUAUAACUAAGUUGGGCGAAAUACGUGCCGAACCACUUUUUCGCAUCAACAACAUGUAUAAAUUUUUUCUCUCAUUGCUUGUGCUUGUGCUUGGCUUAGUAACUUAAAUACAUGAACAAUGGUGAAUACAACCCAAUUCGUUUCAUCAUUAGCUCAUUCAUCCCAUUCAACAAUAAAAACAAAACCCACAAAGCAAUUAUACAAAGAAAUUAUUGUCUCUCUCAGUCUCAGUGCUUCUGCUUUCUUUAGUAACUUAAAGACAAGAACAAGUGAUCAGACCCAUUUCAGUUCAUCACCAACUCAUCCAAUUUCACAUCCCAAACAAACUCAAAUUAAGAGUGAUUAUUUAGAAGCAAGAUUAGUGGCAGACAAGCCCAUAUAUCUCAGGCCAUGUCACUCUCAAGCAUGAUUAGUGAAAAAUAUUCAUCCGAUGUGCAUCUUUUUAGUGUUUUUUGCUGUGAUUUCUCACUGAUUAUUUUUGGGAAGCUCUCCAAGUUGAAAUUUGUGACCCUUGAUUUCAUUAAUUUAAAAGGUUCUUCGCCCCCCAUCUUUGAUAAAUUUCACAAACCUUGUAGAACUACACUUGGAAUCCAAUCCAACAACUUGGAAGGAGAUAUCUGCAUGCUUGAUUUUUCCAGACUUUUAGUCAAUAACUUUACUGGUACAUUUCCAAUAAGCAUUUACUCAUGUAGGUCCCUGAAAGCAAUUCAAUUGACUUUAAAUCAUCUACAGGUGCAAAUAUAACCUUAGAUUCUUUCAUUGAAAUACUUGUCCUUCAUCUCAAUUGCUAAUUUUCUGAAAUUGGACUCCUAGUCGGAAUGGGCUUGAGAUUCCUUGUAGCUAAAGGAACCCCAACCGCUUUAAAUAUGAGGCUCUUCCUUGCUUGUCUUCAAACCGCAAGAAACACUUCCCAUAUUCCAAAGAAAGGUUCUUUGAAAAUCGUCUGCUUACCAAGGGAGAGAGUGCAUCUUUAGGUAAGAUAUAUAUAUAUGUAUAUAUAUAUGUAUAUUUAUAUAUGUAUGUAUAUUUAUAUAUAUAUAUAUAUAUGUAUAUUUGUAUAUAUAUUUUGUCUUCUUGGCUGCGGGUCCAGCAUGGGGAGCUUUGGCAGCAAGGUGAAGUGGUCUGCUAAAGGAGGCAUGCGAGCUUGGUGUGUGCUGGUGAGCCAAGAUGGCAGCAAGAGGUGCUGUCGCAAGCUUGAGUUCAACUAGAAGCGUGCCUGCUGUUGACGGGCUUGGUGCGCACGGGUAGGCAUGGCUAGAAUAGGUGCGCAAGGGCUGGCCUUGCAUGGACUGAGGCUGCACUGUUGGGCGCGAGCUGGAGGAAGCAAAGCAGGCCUGGGUUGGAGUUGGAUGACUGCUGGGCUAGUGGCGUGAGCUGGGCCGCGUGUGCUGUGCGCUAAUUGGGCUGCAGGACUGGAGCGAACAAGAGCAAGCCCGUGCUGGAAUGGGAUGCGAGCAGGGCUGAAGGCGCGAACUGGGCUGCUGCGUCGAUGGGCCUCGUGUGCUGUGUGCCAAGUGGGCUCGAGCUGGCAGGCACUGGGCUCCUCUGCAGAUUGGGCUGCAGCUUGCUAGACCCCUUUUUUGUUGUUUUUGUUGUGUUUUUUUUUUUUCUGUUGCUGCUUUUUUUUUUCACGAACUAGGAAUUUUAACGCCAUUCUCAUCGCUAUUUUUUGCAGCUGCUCAACGACCAUGUCUUUUGAAAGAAAGAGCCGAUCACCAAGCUCAAAAGUGCCCUUGUACCUGUGGGGCGGUUCUCAAGUUCCCAAAGAGAAGUUUGUGGCCAAUUUGCACCGUGUCACCACCGAGGCCCAGUUCAAAACGUGGCGUGCCCUUUUCGACUCCGCUAUACCCAAGGAUGUGCAUGUCAAGUUGGCAGAGCCCUCGUCUGACAGUAUACCUCGUGUGGAUCCGAACAAUCCAGGCGCUAGGAUUAUCACGUUUCGCCCCUUCUAUUUCUCGCUGGGUUUCACGUUUCCGCUGUCGAAAUUUUUCAGGGAGGUGUUCUGCUACAUGGAAUGUGCCCCGAGCCAGUGUACUCCGAAUGUUUAUCGGGCGGUCAUCUGUUUUGAAAAUUUGAGCCGCUUCUUUCAGCUGGAUUUGACCGUGCAUGAGUUCUUCUACUUCUUUGAGGUGAGACGCUUUGAGAAAUAUGCCCAACUUCGCGCACGCGAAACCCAAGGUGUUUUAUAGUCUGAGUCAGGGCGAUCAUGUGUGGAGCAAGGAUGUUCUGGAGGUCAGCGGCAGAUGGGAAGGGGAGGUUAACGACGGUCCGCUCGUUCCUCUCACCUACUACGAUGGUAAGUUUCAUUCCUCUGAUCUGCUACUGUUGCCAUGGAAUUCUUUGCUGUGUCUGACUAACUUUUGUCUUAUGCUUGCAGAUGAUGCCAUCCAAAAGAAGCUCGUUCUCGACCCGGACAUGACGAAGGUUCGAAAAGCUUUGAGCAUCCCCGCCAAGUUUCAUGAAUGGCGCUGGCUGUUGAGCGAACAUCGGAAGAAAGUCGGUGGCCUACCCCCUGCUGAAGAUAUUGAAAGGUGGAAGUCGCGCUGCUUGGAGCUAAGUGACUUGCCAGUUGAGCAGGAGGAGUCAUCGACUGAGUCCCCCGAGAAUGGGAAAGCGUGCAGUAGCUCUGCUCGAGAUGAAGCUGCAGUUUCACGAUCAGUGGAUACGUCUUCACAGUGAAGGCAGCUAAGAUCUUCUCUUGCCACGAACAAGUCUUCUACAAGGGAAGUCUCGCUUGCUCAGAAGGCCAAUAUGGGAGUUGCUCCUGCCUCGUCUGCCGGGAUCAAACGCCUCGUCAACAAGAACAACAAGAAGGCCAAUGACAUGCAAGAGGUUCGGGAAAUUCGGCUCAAGUCUCUGCCCGUACUGCUUAAGCCCCUUGAUCUGCCAUGUAAGGAAGCCGCUGGGAAGCAAGGUUUGGGUAGUCUGUGCCGAUCUGGGAAUCAAGCUGAGAGGACUGUACCUCUGCCUAGCAACCAUGACUCAUCUGCAGGGCCACGAAUAGUCAAGCGCGGGGCUGACUCAAUUUUGCAAGUUGCAACCAAAAGAGCUAAAGAGUCGUCUGCUCGAGCGAACAGUCCUCCAAUUGCACGAACUACCGGUCCGGGAAUUGGUGACAGCUCUGCUUGGGGCGAGCCCGUGUCUGAUCUGCUGAAAACAAGCUUUCUGUCAAGUCCAUCUGCUUGCGCUAAGCUAGUUGAUCACGUGUAUUGAGCUGAUGACCUUUGUGCUUUCUCGAGCCUUCCCUUGGAUAAGCAAGAAGAAGCUGCCAUGUAUCACCUUCAAAAAGGAAUGGUUUUUGCUGUUGGGGUUAUACGGAACUCGCGUGAUGUUGCCCCCUCUUCUGCCCUGCUUGACGAGCUGGUGAAGAAGAAUGCCGACCUGACUGACAAGCUCUCAAACAAGCGGAUUCGCCAUAACGCGAGGAUUUCCGAGAUGAAGGAGAGUAUGUCCGUGCUCAAGAGUUCUGUUGGCCAAAAGGAUGGUGAACUCAAGUCUCUCAUGGCUACCCUGCUCGAACGCAAGAAAGCCUACUUCUGCCUCGAACGUAAUCAUGCUGCUUUGGCCCAGGAUCGUGACAAACUGCUGGUCAAGUUUGAUACCCAUGUGGAAGCCACGGAGGCAUCCAAGCAAGAGAUUGCUGCUAAUGCGUACAAGCUGGGAUACCUGGAUUGCCAGAAUGGUGCUUCUCCUUGCUGCCCUCUCGAAGAUGAUGAUAGUGAGCAGUUUGGUCUUGACCUACCCCUGCUCAGAGUGAGUAGGUAGAUGUUGUAGAUGCAGAAGCAGCUAAAGAGCAGAUAGCAGAUGAAGCUACAAUUAAGGAAGACAAACGCCAAGGUGGGUCAGCUGAUGAGGCUAAGGCGGAUGCGAAGGAGCAGGCAGCCGAGGCGGUUGAACAAGUUGUGCCGGUUGGGUAGAAUGAGGCUGUUGCCAGCGCAGCUGAGGAUGUGAUCGGCUAAGGGUCAUCUGCUGAAGUUCCCUAGUAGUUGUAGUUCAUUUUUGCUAUUUUUGAACUUUCUUAUUUUCUUUCAAUAAGUGGUCUUUGGUUGACCAUCUUACUUCUUGUUGAACUUGGCUGAUUGGCCGCUUUGUUAUGAAAUUUUCAGUUGUCUUUCAAACUUCAAUUCUCAUCGUAUCUUGUAAGUGUGUGUCCGAAGACAUAGCACUUGAAAGAGACUCCAUUGAGUUUGUACUUGUGAAGUAGCUUGCCUGCAAUGGAGAUAAGGCUCGUCGCCUGUGUGUGUAUGUCGGGGACAUAACGCUUGAAAAAGACUCCAUUGAGUUUGUGCUUUGUGGAGCAGCUUGCCUGCAAUAGAGGUAAGGCUUGUCGCCUGUGUGCGUAUGUCGGGGACAUAACGCUUGAAAAAGACUCCAUUGAGUUUGUGCUCUGAUGAGCAGCUUGUCUGCAAUUAAGGUAAGGCUUGUCGCCUGUGUGCGUAUGUCAGGGACAUAGCACUUGAAAAAGACUCCAUUGAGUUUGUGCUUCGAGGAGCAGCUUGUUUGCAAUGGAGUUAAGGCUUGCCACCUAUGUGUAUAUGUCGGGGACAUAGCGCUUGAAAAAGACUCCAUUGAGUUUGUGCUCCGAGGAGCAGCUUGUCUGCAAUGGAGGUAAGGCUUGCGGCCCGUGUGCGUAUGUCGGGGACAUAGCGCUUGAAAAAGACUGCAUCGAGUUUGUGCUCCGAGGAGCAGCUUCUCUGCAAUGGAGGUAAGGCUUGUCGCCUGUGUGCGCAUGUCGGGGACAUAGCGCUUGAAAAAGACUCCAUUGAGUUUGUGCUCCGAGGAGCAGCAUAUCUGCAAUGGAGGUAAAGCUUGUUGCCCGUGUGCGUAUGUCUAGGACAUAGCGCUUAAAAAAGGACUCCAUUGAGUUUGUGCUCCGAGGAGCAGCUUGUCUGCAGUGGAGUUAAGGCUUGUUGCCUGUAUGUAUAUGUUUGUGGGACAUAAUGCUCGAAAAAGUACUUCAUUGAAAAGCUUGAUCUUGUAUUGAUGUUGGUGUGAAUACAUCGCUUUAUUGAAUAAAGGAAAUUAACAACUUAGGUAACAUCAAAAGCAGUUUGUCUUCAAUGGAAGUACGGGAGGCUCGUCGUCUGCUAGGAGUCGAGCUGGUAAGCGAAGAGCUUCAUGAAUAGUAUCUCUGAAGGUGGUGGGCAUUCCAUUGUCUUGGAAUUUCCUUCCCUUCUAGAGUGUCGAGGGUAUAACUUCCUCUACCUCCAGAUCGGCUGAUCAUGUAGGGGCCUUCCCAGUUUGGCUUCAUCUUCUUUGACCCUUACCUCGGUGAUGUGAUGAAAGUUUUUCUAAGCACAAGGUCUCCAGGCCGAAACUGUCUGAUCUUGGCCUUCUUGUUAUAGUAAGACGUCAACUGCUGCUGGUAGGCGGCAACUCGAACAAUGGCCUUUUCUCGUUCUUCUUCGAGCAGAUCAAGGUUGAUUCUCAUCUGCCUGCAGUUUUGUUCAAGACUGCCCAUAGGCCAAGGAAAACGGUGUCUCUCCGGUCGAUCUCCUUUUGGUUGUGCGAUAAGCCCAUAGAACUCCUGGCAGCUCGUCGAUUCAUUUUCCUUCUGCGCCUUCCAGUCUUUUCUUUAGGCAGUCCAGCACGAUCUUGUUGGAUGCCUCUGCUUGGCCAUUGCUUUGCGGGUAUCUGGGAGUUGACAGGUGUUGAUUGAUGCCAUACUUCGCAAGGAAUGCAGUGAUCUGCCUGCCCACGAACUGUGUACCAUUGUCGGUAACUAUCAAUUGAGGGCAACCGAAUCUGCAAAUGAUGUUCUUCCAGAUGAACCGUUCAACGUCAGCUUCCUUGGUAGAAGAUGAAGCCUCGACCUCGAUCCAUUUGGUGAAGUAAUCAGUGGCAACGAUCAUCAUCUCCUUAUUGGCAGGUGCUAUCGGCAUAGGUCCCACUAAGUCAAUGGCCCACUACAUGAAAGGCCAUGGACUGUUCUGCAGAUGGUAUUCCUCAGCUGGUAAGCCAGGGAUCGGCUUGUACCGUUGGCAUCGAUCACAUCUUCGAGCAUACUUCGUGGAGUCUUUACGCAUGGUAGGCCAAAAAUAGCCGAUGCUGAGAGCCUUCUGAGCAAACUACCUGCCCCCAGCGUGAUUUCCACAUUCGCCGCCGUGUAUUUUGCAGAGAACCUCGAGCGUUUGCGAGUACUUGAUGCAAGUGAAAUGAGGCCCGUAGUAUGAUCUGCGGAUAAGCGUGUCGCCUUUCAUGUAAUAUCUUGCAGCCUUCUGCUUGAUUUUCCUGGCAUCGGCCGUGUCCUGCGGGAAGUUUUCAUUCACUAGGUAGUCAAUGAUGGGUUAUUGCCAGCUAGGAUCCUCGUUGAUCUGCAUCAGGUCCGGUUGUUCUGCCUCUUCUAUGCUAGGCUGGUCAAGGUGUUCGACCGGGAUGGAGGGUCUGAAUUGGGUAUCCAGUGCUGAUCCUAAGCUUGCCAGUGCAUCUGCGUGCGCGUUCUCUGCUCGGGGCACCUGCUGGAUAGUGAAGGUAGGAAACGCCUUCAACAGCUCUUGGACUUUGUCAAGGUACAAGAUUAUCCUUGGGUGCUUCGCCAUGUAUUCUCCUAAGGCUUGACUUGUGAUCAGCUGCGAAUCCGAGUAGAUGGCCAGCUUCUUGAUUGAUAACUCUUUUGCCAAGCGCAAGCCAGCGAGCAAUACCUCGUACUCUGCCUCGUUUUGAAGCCGGGAAGCCAAGUGUGAUAGCUAGCUCUAACAGGGUUCCAUCCUGGGUGACGAUGGCGACGCCUGCUCCAGCUCCUUGCUGGUUCAAUGCUCCAUCUACGCGUAGUUGCCACAUGUCUCUGGGUUGGUCAGGUUCCGCGGAGUUCUUGUCUGCUCUUGGACUUUCCUUCUUUUUGCUGACCAGCUUCUCUUCUUCGACUGAUGGUGUGAACUCUGCAAUAAAGUCUGCUAAGGCUUGGGCUUUUAUUGCAGUCUUUGGCCGGUAGAGAAGGUCGUAUUGGCUUAGCUCUAUUGCUCACUUCAUGAGCCGCUGAGAAGCAUUAGGGCUGUGGAGGAUUGAUCUCAAAGGAAAGUCAGUCAUAACGAUUACUCAGUGAGCUUGGUAAUAAGGUCGCAGCUUUCUUGCGGAAACGACAAGGGCCGAAAUGAGCUUCUCCAAUUUUGGGUAGCGAGUCUCUGCAUCGAGGAGAGCUUUUGACAUAUAGAAUAUCGGAUGUUGGGCCCCAAGUUCUUCUUGGAUGAGAGCUGAGCUGACGGCCGAGUUAGACACUGCCAGGUACAUGAACAAGUCUUCACCAGGAACUGGCUUCGAGAGCAAGGGAGGUGAAGUAAGGUACGUCUUUAGACUCUGGAAAGCUACUUCGCACUCUUCGUCCCACUUGUCUUUUUGCCCAUUCUUCAAAGCUUUGGAGAAUGGUCUGCACUUGUCGGUAGACUUCAAGAGGAAUCGGUUGAAGACUGCUGCUCUGCCUGUCAGACUUUGUAUUUACUUCACUGUGGAAGGUGACUUCAUCUCGAGAAUGGCUUUAAUUUGGCGUGGGUGUGCCUCUAUACCUCGUUGUGUGACUAAGUACCCUAGGAAUCGGCCGGAUGAUACACCGAACGUGCAUUUACUUGGAUUCAGCUUCAUGCGGUAUUGGCGGAGCAGGCUGAAUGCCUCGACGAGGUUUUUGAGGUGGUCUCCAGGCUUGGGGGCUUUGACCAGCAUAUCAUCCACGUAGACUUCCAUGGUUCUACCGAUCUGCUCCUUGAAAAUCUUAUUCACGAGUCUUUGAUAUGUUGUUCCAGCGUUCUUCAACCCAAAGGGCAUGACCUUGUAGCAGUAGGUCCCUCUCUCGAUGAUGAAAGAGGUCUUCGCCUUGUCAUCGUCGUACAUCAUAAUUUGAUUAUAGCCGGACUAGGCAUCCAUGAAGCUGAGCAGCUGGUUGCUGGAAGUUGAAUCCACGAGUUGGUCGAUCCUCAGCAAUGGGAAGUUGUCUUUAGGGCAUGCUUUGUUGAGGUCGGUGUAAUCGACGCACACUCUCCAUUUGCCCUUUUCUUGUUUUGCCACCAGAACGACGUUGGCCAGCCAUUCUGAGUAGGAGACCUCUUCAAUAAAUCCGGCAGCUAGAAGCUUGUCGAUCUCGGCUUCAAUGAUCGCGACUCACUCGGGAGCGAAGUGACGUCUCUUCUGCACCACGGGCUUGCUGGCAGGGUUGACAUGUAGGCGGUGGCAGAUGAUGUUUGGGUCGAUGCCGGGCAUGUCAGAUGGUGACCACGCGAACAUGUCUUUGUUGUUUUAGAGGAAGGUGGUCAGCUCCACCUUCUCGUCUGGGCUUAGGUGCAAGCUGAUCCGCGCUUUCUUGUCUGGCUAGUUAGGAUCGAGGAGUACUAACUCAACGUCUUCCUCAGGCUUCCAACCUUCUUCAAGGGAGCCUUCCGGGCGGAUUUCCUCAUCUCGAUCCUUCUUGUUUGGAUUCUUGCGCGAGCCGAUCUGCGCUUCCUUGUCUGGCUGGUUAGGAUCAGGGAGUACUAACUCGACAUCAUCCUCAGGCUUCCAACCCUUUUCGGGGAGUCUUCCGGGCGGAUUCCCUCGCCUUGAUCCUGGCUCAUUAAUUGCUAUUGUGGGGUAGCAGCUCCCUUCUCGUUCGAGCUUGCUUGUUUGCUGGGAGCGCUUCGUGCCUCGUUGGCAGCUUGCAUUACUGGUGUGAACUGCAACUGCUUGCUCUUCUUGAGCCCUUAAGCUGUGCAUCUUCUUGCCAUGGCUUGGUCACUAUUGAUUUGCCCGAUUCCGCCUCCAGGGAUGGGGUAGCAUAUGUGAUGGCCUCGAUCUUGCUGAUUCACGGUCAGCCCAAGAUUCCGUUGUAUGGGGAGAUCUCGUCGAUGACCAUGAAGGUUUGCGAGCAGACCAUUGGGGGUGAGUGGACGUUAAGGUCGAUCGUUCCAACAGUGAUUGAUGUGGCCCCAUUCAAGCCGGUGAGCGACCUGGAAAUUUUGCUAAUCUUGGGCUCCAAUCCCAUCUGUUGGAUGACAGAUAGUUGCAGGAUGUUGGCUGCGCUGCCCUCAUCCGCAUGAAUUCACUCGAUCACAGCUUGUUCAAUAUGAAUGCAGAUGACUAGGGCAUCAUUAUGCGGCAGGUCAAGCUCGAUCAAGUCUUUCUUCUGGAAACCAAUGAUGGGUGUAUCCACAAUGACUGUGUAACACCCCGACCCCAAAUUUCCCCAAAUUUAACCCUUAAUUAAUUAUUUAAUUAUUUAAGGGUAUUUUAGUCAUAUUUUUAACCGGAGAGAGUUUGGGGCCGUGACUUGUAUUUUUGGAUAGGUCGUACUGAGAUGAGUUCAUAGACACGUAGUGGGCUCGAAUCGGAGUUGUAACGAGAGAGAUAUGGUCAAAAGAAGCCCAGUGGCACAAUCGUAAAUAUUUCGAAAUGAGAUUUUUUUAUAAAAAUCUGGUUUUCUCUCUCUCUCUCUCUCUCUCUCUCUCUCUCUCUCUCUCUCUCUCUCUCUCUCUCUCUCUCCCUCUCCCCCGCGGGUCUCUCUCUCUCCUCUCCCUCGCGCGCGACAGCCGGCCACGUUUUGGCCGGCCGUGCUCUCCUCCGGCCACCAAUGACGACGGGACCGGUACCAAAAUGACCGGGCCAUCGUCCUCUUCCUACCCCAGCCAGCCCCCGCCUCCAGCCGCCGCGGUUUCGCCGGAAUUUGGAGAGGAAGCGGCCGAGGUCGCCCGAUCUUCACAGCCGCCGAUCUCCCUCCUCCAGCCACCAAUUCCGCCGACCCAGGUAUGGAUUUUGAACCUCUCGAGCUGCUCUAGCUGCCUGUUGGGUAGGAUUAGAUCGAUUCGUAGCGUAGGCAAUUCGAUUUUCGAAUUGAAAAUUGGCCGAACUUCGGCCGCCGUGAUCGGCCAUUUCCGGCCACUUUUUGGGGUAGGCCCAAGAACAAAAGUUGCUCCAAAUAGGGUGUUAUACCUAGGGUAGGAGUUUGGAGCCGUGGUUUUGAGAGUUUCCGGCGAAGCGUAAUCGCUUUGGGCACCCACGCGCUGCCAGCGCGUGCGGCGGCGCAUGGGCACUGUAGAAAAGUAGUGAUGUGUUCCGAUGAGAUCCUUAGGUUGUCACGAGUGCGUAGGAUUUCGCGGAUCUCAAUUCGGACGUCGUUUGACUAUCGAACGGAUAUUCGCAUAUUGCGCAUCUGGGUUCUAUAGGUUGGGACCGUCGGAUGGUCCCAAAUUUAAUAUAUAUUAAUCUAGGUAUUUAUAGGAUCGUGUAGGAAUUUACGGAUCGUGAAUCGGAGCCCCGGAUGUUCCGAAUAAUAAUUUUAAGUUUAUAUUUUAUAUUAACCGUCAGAUCGUGCGAUCGUGAGCAAUCCGACCGUCCGAUCUGAACCAAACUUGCAGGACAAGUGUCCUAUACCUGGUAGAACCCAUAGGGACUUCCGGAUCGGAAAUUAGAGGUCGUGGGUUCUGCAGGUCCGGUUGACCAGGGUUAGAGUAGUUUGACCCUUGGUUGACCGUGAGUCUUCCGGAGUAAUCUCACCUUUUUAAAGGGGGAUUAUCGGGUGCUAGACCAUGGUGGAGGACUACACAAUAUUAGAAUUUAUUUAUAUAUAUAACUAUAAAUUAUAUAUGGCUGUACAAGGGUACAACAGAGUCUAGAAUGUCAGUUUGGAGUGCUAUAUGCACUACUUUAGUUACCUCCCCGAAUUUUGGAAUUACUACAAGUACCACCAAGUGAAAGUUAGGUCCCACGUGGCGUAGGUUAUCCGGCGUUGGGACAGACCCCAUACGUGGCGUUGGUUGUACCGGCGUAUGGGGAGAUUUGCAAUAUGAUGUUCAGGUCUCACGUGGCGUAGGUUAUCCGGCGUUGAGACAGGCCCCAUACGUGGCGUUGGUUGUACCGGCAUAUGGGGAGCUAUUGUGAUAUUGAGUUGAGGUCGCACGUGGCGUAGGUUAUCCGGCGUGUCGACAAACCCCAUACGUGGCGUUGGUUGUACCGGCGUAUGGGGAGAUUUGUGUUAUGAUGUUGAGGUCCCGCGUGGCGUAGGUUAUCCGGCGUUGGGACAGGCCCCAUACGUGGCGUUGGUUGUACCGGCGUAUAGGGAGUUAUGUGAUAGUAUGGCAUGGUCGCACGUGGCGUAGGUUAUCCGGCGUGUUGACAGGCCCCAUAUGUGGCGUUGGUUGUACCGGCGUAUGGGGAGAUUAUAUGAAAUACAGAGAAAUGAAAUAAGGUAUCGCCCAAGUGUGGAAUUGAGUUAUAAGGAAGAACUACGUGUGGCUUGAUCCCUCAAGGAGGGUACGUAGGCAGCCUAAGGUUAUUAGGUGCAGCCGCAGACUAAAUGUUAGACACGUUGUUUUAGAGAGAUUGAUUUGGACCUUGUGGUUGGUCCUGAAAUUUAGGUGAAAAUGUGAUUGUGUUAGGAGGCUAAAACCUCAUAUAUUGAAAUGUGAAGGGUUAAGUGAUGCAUGUUGAAAUUUAAUAGUCAUAAGUUAUAUUUGAAUUUAGUGUUUGCCUUGUUUAAGGCAUGAAUUGUUUUAUUAGCGUGUUUGGUAGUUUGUUGAGAAUUAUUAGAAGGCCGAAGGCCAUUUAUGUGAAUUUGAAUGAGAUUAUAUUGUGCAUGCUGCCCGUUGGUGAUAUUAAAUGCGUUUGUAUGCAGGUUGAAAUUUUGGGAAAUGUCCAAUUUAUAGGGGAGACUCUGCCGAAAUUUCAGCAGGAAGUCUCGGUCUUUAGUGAUUGGGUCUGACAUCGGAGUGAUGUCAGGAAUUCCAAAGGGUUCGUCUCGGGUUUUGAGAAAAUUCGGGGCGGGUCCUUUCAGACUGGUACUCCCGUUGUGACUUGGGAGACAUAAGUCGCCUGCCCGAUCUUCCUCUUGCGCUCCUUGGUGGUCAGCCCGGACUCUUGGGAGUCAGCUAGAAUGGUGUUGAUUCGAAUGACCUUUUGGGGAGGUUCCUUGGCAGCCGCAUCACGAUCCUCGAUCUGUUGGAUGGCCUUCUUUGCGACGAAUUCUGUGCAAUGACCUUCUCUGACCAGCUCCUCAAGAUGCCUUUUCCAAGCGUUGCAGCUGUUGGUGUAAUGACUGUGCUCCCCGUGGAAUGCGCAGUAUUUACUGGUGUCCCUCUUAGAGGGGUCUCCCUUCAUGGGUGGCGGUCUCCUCACCCACGGUUUGUCCUUCACUUGAGCCAGGAUCUGAUGAAUUGGGAUAGCGAACUCAGUGAAGGUCCCUAUUUCUGAGCUUCCCUCUCGGGGCCGCGAUCUGCGCUUAUCUCGGGUUCUUUGCUCGAACUGGUUGCUUUUUUUGCUUGUCUGCUUCAUCGGGUGAUCAACUUGCUUGCUGGCUUUCUUUGCGGCGAUUCGAUCAUCGUCCCAAAGUGCAUAGCGUUCUGCCGUCGUGAACACUUCUGCCAAGGUUUGACUUGGUGUUAUGGCCAGCUCCCGGUAUAGCUCGUGCUCGGUUGGCAAGCCCUUCUUGAAAGCUGAGGAUGCAACUUGGUCAUUGCAUCCUAUGAUGUUAGCCUUCUCAGCGUUAAACCAUCUCAGGUAGUCUUGUAGAGACUCAUCUGGCUUCUUGUGCAGGUUGAACAGAUGUUCCGCAUGCUUUCUAACCGUCUUGUAGGAGAUGUACUCUUUUGUGAAGAUGAGGACCAACUCCUUGAAGUUUCCUAUCGAUGCGGACGGUAGAGUGUGGAACCAGUCUUGAGCUGCUCCUCGCAGGGUCAUCGUGAACACUUUGCACAUCAGGGCAUCGUCUGCCAUAUACAAGAUCAUGGCGCUCUUGAAGUGCCUCAAAUGGCUCUUAGGGUCUGAGUCUCCCUUGAAUGGAGUGAUGGAUGGCGUUGUGAACCGCUUCGGUGGAGGAGCUCGUUCCACUUUUUCGGUAAAGGGCGAGCAGUCAACUCGAUCAAUUUUAUUGUGCAGGGCCUCCUCCGUGCUUCCUUUAAGUUGGAGAGCUUGGAGUCGGUCAUUUACUAGCUUUUCGACAUCCUCUGCUCGCAGGGCUGGAGUCUCGGGCCGGCGUCUUCGGUGCCUCGAGCGCGAUUGGCUAACUUCUUCCUCAGUUCCCAAGGGUCGAUCCCCUUGGGUGUUCUGCCCGUGGGGCAGAUUAGGAGAUUGAGCUUAUGAGGAUUCCUCUACAUCUUGUCUCCGCGUGUUGGUCCCCAAGCGGGUUGGUGGGCGUCGAUCAUCAUCUUCUGCCCGCAAGGAGGGUCGCUCAGGUCGACGUCUUUGGUGUCUCGAGCACGACUGGCUAACUUCUUCCUCGGUUCCCAAGGGUCGAUCCCCUUGGGUGCCCUGCUCGUGGGGCAGAUUAGGAGAUUGAGCUUGUGAGGAUUCCUUUACAGCUUGCCGCUGCGUGUUGGCCCUCGAGCAGGUUGGUGGGCGUCAGUCAUUGCGCUCAUCACACGACUGCUCACGAACUCGAGCUCCUUGUGGGCCCAAGCUGGCGUGGACAUUAGACUGUGGGUCUAGCCUCUCAAGCACAUUGGUCCUUGGCCCUAGCCUCGAACGGGUCAGAGUACGGCUCGCGGUUGUUUGCGUCUCAUCUGCUCAAUCUCGAUCUCUCCUCUGCCGGUUUGCCCUUGUCUGACCAGCCUGGGACCUCUCGAACUGCUCACCGGCAUGCUGGUGUGCCCUCCUCUCCUCGUCACGAGGUCCAAGGUUAGGGCCUUGAUUCAAGUUGAUCUGCCUGAGUAGCUGGCCAAUCAGGUUGUUCUGAUCAUCGACCUUCUAUGUGAGUUGAUCGACCCGUGAGUUAAGGUCCACCUGACUGCGUGGGUCAAGUAGAGUGUUGUGCAUCGGGCCCAAUGGCAUAUGGGCUUGGGCUCCAUUAGACGAAUACACAGGUGCAUAUGUCAAGUGUGAUUGCAGAGGAGGGAGAGAAUGGAUCUGUUCCAAGACUGGGACGGCUUCGGAGUAGCCAUGGGGCUGCGCAGCAAAUCCGGUAGUUGAGUGGUGUGGCUGCUGCUGUGCUCCGACGGCAGGAAAACGAGGCAAAGCAGCUCUGAUAAUCGGCGCUGGCAAAUGCAAGGCUGUGGAGGUCCCAGGGUCAUGUGGCAGCUGUUCUGCAAUUCCAGCAGCUGAAGGCGGCUGCAAAGCGCUAGAGGACGACUGCAAGGCAUUGGCAGCCACGAUUCCAUGCAGUUGCAUUGAGGUUUCCACCACGAAACCAUGAGAUGGGCCCAUCGUGGUGGCGUUACUCUUCGUACGUCUUGUAUGAACCAUGGUUGUUUGAAAAAAUGUGUGAAAGAUGGAUUUGGAGCACGCUUUGAAUAUAUCUCGCGCUCUCAAUGAAAACACCAAUUUAUGGGACCAAAUUUCCCCACGAGAAUAUUCGCCCAAGAUUCUUUCGUCUUCUCCGCCUCUCUUUCUCCCUGCAAAACAGAUCGGAAUAAAAGGACCAUACCCGGGGGGUGUUGGCCAAAGGCCCUCUGAUGCCUAAGUUAGGUAGGGUAAUUCAAGGAAAACCGGGUGGUCGGAGCCGUGUGUGGUGGCCGGAGCCUUGUGUGAGAGAGAGAGAAAGAGAGGAGGUGACUAGGGUUUUUGAGAAAUAAUUUCUGCAGAGUUUUAGUAGGAAUUUAGACAUACCUUAACCUUUGUGUGUGGCCAUCCUUUUAUAGUGGUCUCGGAGGCUAGGGUUUCAGAGGAAUAAUUCCGUAGAUGGAAAGGAAUUAUUCCUCCCCGAUUUGGAAUUGAUUUGAUUAAUUAGGGAUUUGAUUCAUUAUGGUAAAUCAAAUCCCUAAUUGGGGUAGGUAUCAAAUCAAUUCCUAACUUACAUAGGUAACUCCUCAUUUAAUUGGGAAUUGGGGUAGGAAUAAAAUUAAUUCUCGACCCGAUUAGGUAAUAUUCUAUUUAAUUGGGUAAUCCCCAAUUAAAUUGAAUAAUUCCAAAUUAGGUCAAAUAAUCCCCAAAUGGAAGGAAUUAUUUGACCUAGGGUUUUGAUUUAAUUAAGUUCCCACAAUUGGUCUACCAAGAAACGUUAUUAUCGUACUUGCCUUCUUAUGGGGCAAACAACUUUGAAAGAAUGACUAUCCUCCAAUUUUGAAUUUUCUUAGAAGAAUCAUCAACAAGAAAACAACUUUGAACAUGAAUAGGACUUCAAUGUAUAAUGUUGGAUCAGGCUUGACUGCCACUGUCACUCUCAGGCCACAUCUAUCUGGCAAGAAAAGUAACACCAUAUAUCUUCCAAAUUCCAUGAAAAAUUAUCAUCAUAAUGAAAGAAAACACCAAUGAGGGAAAGCACACGUCAAACGUGUGGAGAUAAGAUACUCAGAAGACAAAGAUGAGUUCUUAGAAGAAUCAUCAACAAGAAAAACAACUUUGAACUUGGACUUUGAGUGAUUAACAUGGAAGAUGAGCUUGUAUCAGUUAACAGCUGCCUUAAAAAUAGAAGGAAAUAGUCAAGACAUAUUCCAGUUUGAAUUCAACAAGGAUUCUCUUUAUCACAUAUAUCACGGUCAAGUCCUCUCCUGGUGGCCCAAAGGUUUCAAUAUCAAUAAUUUGCAUUCUGUUGUUGUUAUUGUUUGCCGACUUCUCAAUUUGCGGUGAUGUUUGCAUCCAAAUCUGAAAAAAAAAACCAUGACACAUCCUAUACAGCUAUAACAACUCUGCAAUAAACAAGUUGUAAGACAUUUGCAAUUUAACUCAACUGUCAUAAAGUAACGCAACCAGCAUGGAUGCUGGCAAGGGAAAUCAGAUAUUUCUUGUGCUUGAAAGCGAAUGAUAUAAAUUUCUUAAUGUCCGGUAUUGACCAAGUGGUGAGCGAAGAUGCAGAAAAUUGUUUAGGAUUGGAAUAGGUCAAAUUUUCGGUCCCUUAUAAUAUAGUUAAGCAUACAAUUCAUGAAGCCAAUAGAGUUUAGUCUAAUGGAAAACGACCUUGAUUUGUAAAUCAGUGAUCUUAAUUUCAAACUCUCAUGUCACAUUGACAGUACGUGUAUGUGAGAAAACCCUCUCUAUCCAAUAACGCUUGUAUAUAUAAAACAAAAGAACAAAAAAGAAAAAGAAAGAUACAAUUCAUGAAAAUAUCAGCUCCCAAUCCCUAUAAAACAAAAGAAAGUGUUGCAAACUUACAAAAAAACUUAAAAUCUUCUCUAAGUUCCAAUAUAAUUAAAAACAGGUUUUUGGCAGAUUGGACAGUACAAGAAGAUAGGCACAAAACAUCUUAUGUAUACCAUACGGUCACUACGGAUCAUGGAAUUUUACGCCUUUAGGCUUAAAAAAAGUAAUCACAUCAGAAUCCUAGGAUAGGAUUUACACAUGAAAAAGAUUUAUGCUUGUCCUCUACAAAUUGCCUCAUUUAUAUUAAUUGUAUUUUGAUAUCAUCAGUGACAUAAAACAUAAGAGCAAAAGAAUAUUGAACUUUUGGGAAUGUCCUUCAAUGAGGGAAAAGUAAUUCCCCCCUCAUCAUAUUUCGAGAAACAUUAUGAAAUUCCUUGUGUUUAACCUGGUAUCUUGAGAGGUGAAAGGAAUUUAGUUUGACUGGAGGAUAAUAUACUCUUCCUAUCUUGCAAAAUUUACUCUACAAGGUUCCAAAGAAUGCUCUUAGCUCAAAACAUUAUGUAUGGAUUGUAUAAACUGCCUAAACAAGAAUUCUUGAACAGCGAACAACCAGAGCUAUUAUUCAUAACAUCACAAAAUUUUCAUUAAUGAAAGAUGUAAAUUCAGGUUUUUUUAAUGAAACAAGCCCCAUAGUUUCAGCAAAUGGAACCUAACACUUAGGGGUGGGCACUCAAACCGGCGAACCGGAAAUUCGAGCCGAACCGCAUUGAACCAAACCGGAAAAAAACCAAGUUGACCAAAAAGUCAAAAACCGGUCAAAAAUCGAACCGGACCGGUUUGGACCAAUUCCGGAUCCGGUUCCAUGUCUUCAAAAACCAAACCGGGACAAACCGAACUGGUGAAACUAAAAAAAUAUAUAAUUUUAAUAUAUAUUUAUAUUUAAUGCUAUAUUUUUAAUUUCACUAAAAAAAACCUAAUAUUUAUCUAAGUUCAAUGUCAAAAGAUCUCUCUUUUCUCACUUUAAUAUUUAUUUACAUGAAAUUGAAUAAUUUGUUAAUUUUCAAGUAAAAAAAUAAUAUUUUAGUUGAGAAUUGUAUUAAAAAAUAAUUUAAAAAAAUAAAUUUUAUAAUCCGGUUCAAAACCGAACCGGAACCGGAACCGGACUGAAACCGGUUCAAACCAAACUGGACAGUUUUUGAAAUUUUUUUUAUUAAAACCGAACCGAACCGAACCAAACCGGAUGAAUAGUACUGAAUCGGUUCUAAUUUGAGGCAAAAACCAGUCCAAACCGAACCGUGCCCACCCCUACUAACACCAUUCCCCAAAGUCAAACUUGCUUUUCCCACUUUGUCUUUGCUUCCCCAAAGUCUUCCUCACAUGCAUAUAGUUUUAUCAAUCAAAAAACAAAGCCACCGAAAAGCACUUGUGUCAACAAAGUCAUGGGAGGUGCCCAUAAACAAAACACAUCACAUGCCAUCAAAUUUAAGCCAAUUCAAACACAAUUGAGUCGCCUAGACUUAAAUAUAAUUUUGUUGGGUUUAAUAUAUCCAUGAAUUUACUCCGAGUGUUUCAUCGUUUCUGCUUUCGUCUUUUGCUUGAUAUACCAUUUUUCUAAAGUUCAUCUGUUUGGUCAUGUAGUUGACAGUUGGUAGUGACUUGUGAAUAAGGUCCGGUCCUCUCCUCAUGGCCCUCUUUAGACCUAAUGUGGUAUACAAUUUUGCUACAUUAGUAGACAGUAAUACUAGAAGGUCCGGUCCCAUUAAGUAGGUCAAGUCCACUCCUUGUGGCAUUAGUGGAAAUAUCUCUUAAGACCCAAUGAGGUCUUAUCUUGGUUUCAUUAGUAGGAAUAUCUCUUCAACCACACAAUUUAAAUUGUGGUUGUUGUUUGCCGACUUCUCAAUUUGCAGUGAUGUUUGCAUCCUUUUCAAGUAUCAUUGCUCUUAUAUAUGUAAAUACCUGUGAGCAACGGCACAUACACAAAGAAACAUGCUAGUGCAAGCUUAUAACCUAAUGGCUCAUGUCUUCCUUCUCUUCCUCUUAUUCUCUUACAUUAUAUCUACACAUAUUCAUGCCUGCAAACAAACUGAACGCAGCUCCCUCCUGUCCUUCGCCUCCACUUUAUCUUCUUCUCCUUUAAAUUGGACAUCCAUUGAUUGUUGUCGUUGGAAGGGAAUCACUUGUGAUCAAGAUGGUUGGGUCACCCAUUUGCUCUUGCCUUCCGAAGGGCUCAAAGGAGGUAUCUCUCCCUUUGCACUUGUAAAUCUCACCCACUUGAACCUUUCCCACAAUUCACUAUAUGGUUCACUUGAAACUCAGUUCUUCUUGUCUUUGAAUCAACUUGAGAUCCUAGAUUUGAGCUAUAACCGUCUUUCUGGAGAGUUACCACUUUCCCUACCAUCCAGCAGUAUCCGGACAGUUGAUUUGUCCAGCAAUCACUUCUAUGGUGCAAUUCCAUCUUCAUUCUUCCAACAAGCAAGCAACUUGACUAGUUUCAAUGUCAACAACAAUACCUUCACAGGGUAUGUCCCAUCCUCUAUUUGUCUCCAUUAUUCUCCCUCCCUAAGGCUACUGGAUUUUUCUUCCAAUUUAUUUAAUGGCUACCUUGCUCCUGGGUUAGGGAAGUGUUCUGAAUUGCAGGUUUUUCGUGCCAGUCACAAUAACCUCUCAGGAUUACUUCCAGAAGAUAUCUAUAAUGCUACUAAACUUGAAGAAAUUGCAUUGCCUUUCAAUUCACUACAUGGAGCCAUUAGUGAUAAAAUUGUCAACCUCACCAACCUUGCCAUCCUUGACCUCUCCUUUAAUCAUUUUGGGGGCGAGCUUCCUCUCAAUUUGGGGAAGCUCUCCAAGUUGAAGUUUGUGACCUUUGAUUUCAACAAUUUAGAAGGUGCUUUGCCUCCAUCUUUGAUGAAUUGCACAAACCUUGUAGAACUGCGUUUGGGGAACAACAACUUGGAAGGAGAUAUCUCCAUGCUUGAUUUCUCAAGACUGAGUCAACUUACUAAACUUGACCUAAGGCUCAAUAACUUCACUGGUACAAUUCCAGUAAGCCUUUACUCAUGUAGGUCCUUAAAAGCCAUUCGGUUCGCUAAAAACCAUCUAGAGGGACAAAUACAAGCUGAAAUUCUUUCAUUGAAAUCCUUGUCCUUCCUCUCGCUUGGUGGCAACCGAUUCACCAACCUCACAUGGGCAGUGAAGAUAUUGAUGAGUUUCAAAAGUCUUCACACACUCUCGCUUGCUGGUUGCUAUGAAGGUGAGGGAAUGCCAUCAGAUGAUGACAUGGUUGAUUUUGAUGGAUUCCAAAAUCUUCGGCUAUUGAAUUUGGCUGGUUCCGACCUCAAUGGUCAAAUACCUUUAUGGUUAUCAAAGCUCAAGAAUCUAGAGCUGUUGGAACUGGGUUUCAAUCAAAUCACUGGGCCAAUUCCAAGUUGGUUGGGGACUCUUCCUAGGCUGUUUUAUAUAAACUUGUCAAACAAUCGAAUUUCAGGUGAAUUUCCAAAGACACUUUGUAGACUACCAAGGUUGCUUUAUGGACCUAAUAUUGCAUCUCAAGCAGACCAAUAUGAAUUUGAAUUGCCUAUCUACGGCCGCAGCAGCAGCAUAAUCACAACUCAAACUUUUCCAACACAUAUAUUGGAUUUUUUUGCACCAACGAUAGUCUUAUCUAAGAAUAACAUUGUUGGUGAUAUACCUACUGAGAUCGGCCAAUUACAGCUUCUCCAGGAGUUGGAUCUUGACUCUAACAACUUCUCUGGCGUCAUUCCAGACCAACUAUCGAACUUGAAAAAUUUGGAGGUUUUGAACCUCUCCAUGAAUCUCUUGUCUGGAAUAAUCCCAUCGUCAUUGGCGAGCCUUAAUUUCUUAAAAGAAUUUAAUGUCUCAUACAAUAACCUCGAAGGAUCAAUACCAACAGGCACCCAGCUCCAAAGCUUCGAAGCUUCUGCGUUUGAGGGGAACCCAAAACUUUGUGGUGCGCCACUUCUAAAUAAGUGCGAACCAAAUAAGGGCAUUGAUGCAGAUAACAAGAACAACAAAGACGUGCACAACUGGCUCCAUCAACUUCCAUGGUUUUAUAUAUUUGCAGCAUUGGGGUUUAUAGUAGGAUUUUGGGGAGUUUGUGGUUUUUUAGUUAUUAACAAGACAUGGAGAUAUGCGUAUUUUUGAUUCAUAGACAAUCUACAAGAUAUGCUCCUCUAUGUGAUGAUAAUAGUCCCUCUCAAUAGGAUGAAAAGAAGGCUUAGAGGCUAGAUAUAUAUUAUUAAUGUUGUACUUAUAAUUUUGCAUUUUCAGUUUGCUUUCCCUUUUUUGUUUCUUUUUUUUUUUGGUGUGUGUGUUCUUCUUCAUUUCUUGUCAUGACAGAUUCACCUGCAAAAAUUUCCACAUAAAAACGCUGCAUUGUCAACAAAUGGACCUCUUCCAUAAAGUGAGAGGACCGUCACCCACACUGCAUCACCCUAGACUAUCUAUCCUUUUUAUUUCAUUGCUUAGAUUCUAUUUCCCGAAGUGCUAGGAAAUGGUUAUCCUUUUCUCUCGGCAUGCUUGCCAUGUGGCAUCAUCCAGAAUCAUGUAUAAGUAUCUAAUAGCUGGUACAGAGAGGGGCCACGAAUGCCUUUCCUUUAAUUGCUUCUUUGUUUUCCUUUUCUGAAUCUGCGAACCUAUCAUGAAGCCCUGAAAGAAAACAAAUGCAAAUAACUACCCAGAAUUUAAAAUCAACCAUACAUUUAAAAAGAAUGAAGAAGAAGAAAACUCUCUCUCUCAAAAACCAAAGACUUAAAAUCGAAAUGAAAAUUCAUGACUUAUAGCCAGUGUCGACAAAAUAAAGCAGAUUGAGGAGCUUUGGGGCUGGGAGAGCGUGCUAAUUCUUCUCCACUCAUUUCUCCUCUUCUCUUCUUCAAAUUCUUCUGUGCAAGAAGUUAAGAACUGAGAAAGAUCACGACCUGUUUUUGGUCCGAAACUGAAAUGGGUCGGAUCAUAUUAAACUCGGCCAAAACCCAAUACCUUAUGGCGCUCCAAUCAAGUGAGAAUACUAUAUAAGGAUCAAUCUCAACCUUCCAAUAUCAUUUGAAUGGCUGAAGAGAAAUUGCAAGCUUACCGUAGAAAUGGGUACGCUGCACUUACCUCUUAGACCACGUGUCCUGGCUCUCCUUUUCCAAUAGGGCUUCUUCCUUCCUUCCUCUGUUGAAACGAGAAAUUAUAAAGUGAUACUGUAUCACCACGUCAGCUGGUGAUACUCCCAUUCAAAAUCUGUCACAUGUAUUUUUUAAAAAAAAUUAAAAUAUAUUUUACAACUCAACUUUGGCUUACAACUUUACCCUUCAACUUUAAUGACCCUAACCCUUCCCCACUCCGGCUUCCCUGUGCUAUGCCCCUGCUAUCGACGCCACACAACCCUCUUCCCUUCCCCCUCUCCGCCAACCACCCCGGCCUUCCCUACCCCCACAAUAUUCCCACCCCCUCUCUCUUCCUCUCAUUUUCGGUUAAUAAAAAAAGCCAAAAAUCUUAAAAAUAUGUGCAAACCCAUUAAACAUGAAACCAUAAACCUUAAAUAAAUAAAAACCACUAGUGAAAGAAGGGAAGAUUGACGUUAUGGGCAACCAAGAAUUAAUUGUGUUAUAGAGCAAGUCAUUGGGGCGGGGCUUGAUGAAGGAAAUCCGCCAAAAAUCUCCCCAUUCUACAUCAGAUUCUUCUUCUUCCUCACCAUCUUCAUUAUCAGCUUUCAUUCAAGGUCUUUUUAAGAGUAAGAAGUGAAAUUUUCAGAGAUUACCCAUCUUCUUUAGCUUCAAGGGUAUCUCCAAAGAUAAAAUGGUAGAGUUUGACUAGAUUUUGUUUAUGGGUUUUGAGUCAUCUGACAAUAGAAGUUCUCUAGAUUCAUUAACUAUGAAGACAGUGAAGGCUGGGGUAGGUGGUGAGAGAGAAGGGAAGACGUGUGGUGUUGCAAAUAGCAAGCAUAGCGUAGGGAAGAAGACGGUGGAUAGGGAAGACGGUGGGGAGGGGUUUGGGUGAUUAAAGUUGAAGGGUAAAGUUGGAAGCCAAAGUCCAGUUGUAAAAUAUAUUUUAUUUAUUUUAAAAAAAAUACACAUGGCAGAUUUUGAGUGGGAGUAUCACCAGCUGACGUGGUGAUACAGUAUCACUCUAUAAUUUCUCCAGAGAAACCCCAAAAUCUUUCUUCCUCCUAUUAAUUUCCACCCCAAAAUCUUACAACCCAGAAACUACCACAUUCUUCUCCCCUUCAUCUUCCUUCUUAUCUUCACCUUCUUCACUCCAACCUAUCAAAAUGUUUCAGUCUCUAGCCAAUACCACUCUCUCCAAAUCGAGGGUCUCAGCCCUCAUCCAAUGGUCCAGAGUCAAUUCUUCUUCCAAACUCAACUGGAUUUGUGUCAAGUCACCCCUUCCUCACACCACGACAACUUCAUCAGCUACAAGUUCCUCUCCUCCAGCCCUACUCAGAAAUCUGGGUUGGACUCCAUUUCCCUCCCCUUGGUCAACCUCCUAUCCAACUACGCCUUUUUGGAUCUUCCACUGGACCGAGUGAAACGUAAAGUUUAGCUCUUCCCAACAAUUUACUUUAUUUUUUUUUCUAUGCAUUGUUUAUGUUGUGACUUAGAGUGCAUUAGGUUGAAAUUUCUCAAAUUUUCGAUAGCUCUGAACAAGUUGUCGAGUUUUGUGAUUAAGAUUGGGCUCUUUCUGUUGACUAACUCCAUGUUUCACCUAAAUUUCGUCUCUUUGAAAAUUCAAACCCUACAAGAAGCUGAGAAAUUGCAAUUGAACUGAGAUCUUUUUGAGAUGGGUAAUAUAUUGAGAGAUUCACCAAUAUACCCAAAAUAGGGGCUGAAAUUAUAUAUAAAAAAACCCCCCAAGAAAUGUACCGUAGAAACACACCCAAAAUCCAUUUACUACAUAUGAAAUGAGUGUUGAAGUUCCUAUAAAUUACAUGUUUGCCAUUGAUCAACUUAAAACAAGCUCAACACAAAAAAAUAAAAAUAAAAACCCAAAACAAGCCCAGCAAGCCUGAAGUACAUUGUUAAUAUCAUAUCAUAGAAGUACAUUAAUAAUACUAUGUCAUAGAAGUACAUUGUUAAUACCAUUUCAUAUAUAAAAAAAGGGAGAUUCACUAUUAUACCCAAUAUAGGAGCCCAAAUUAUAAAAAAAUCCUAUAUGAAAUGAACUUUAGAAACACACCCAGAGCCUAUUUACAACAUAACGAAAAGGCUUUUAACUUCUUUUAAAUUACAAAAUUGUCAUUGAUUUCUUAAAACAAACCAAACCCCAAAAUCUCAUAAAAAAAGCCCAAAACACUCAAUAAGCCAUCUUUAAAAAUCAAAAUUAAAUUCAAUAGGUCCAGCUGUCAUUUUUGGGUUUUUUUUUGUAUGUUUAUAAAAAUUAAAUGGUGUAGGGUUUACUUAUAGUUUUAGUGCUAAAAAUGGGUAUAUGACUAAAUAUCUCAACAACAAAAAAACUCAAUAAAACCCCUAAAAAAAAGCCCAGCAAGACAUCCAAUAUCCUUUGCAAAGACUACCUCCAAUUGUUCACAGUUUCACCAAAAACAAUCACAAAGGCAAAAGGAAAUACCUCUAUAAGAAAAAUAAAGAAAAAAAAGAAAAGAAAGUAUACUGUUAAUACUAGGGGUGGCAAUUUUCGAUACGACCCGUUACAUGACUCGAAACCCGCACGAAAAAAACACGACACAAACCCGCACGAUUAAAAAAUGGGUCAUUUUUGGGUCAACCCACUGCUGACCCGUUUAUAAACGAGUGGAUUUCGGGUCAACCCACCAACCCGCGAAAAUACCUGUUUAACCCGUUUAUUAAACGGGUUGUAUCACGGGUCAUGUCAACCGGUGUAAUACCUGUCAACCCGUGAAAAAAUGAAAGAAAAUUAACACUCCAAGACGCACUUGUGUUGUCAGCAUGCAGUGGAGUAGGAUGAAGUGGACUGAACCCAAGCUCUGUGAGGAGACCACGCAGCCAAAUGAUCUCGGAGCACGCAGCAGACAUGGCGCGAUACUCUGCCUCAGUGGAUGAUUUGGAGACGUGGUCUUGCUUCUUGCAUUUCCAAGAGAUAAGGGCAUCACCAAGAAACAUACACCAGCCAGUAGUAGAUCUCCUGGUGUCUGGGCAACCGGCCCAAUCAGCGUCACUAUAAGCCUGAAGCUGAAGAGAAGAACCUGUAGGGAAGAACAAGCCACGAUUAGGUGUGCCAAGAAUAUAGCGAAUGAUGCGGCGAACGGCAGAGAGAUGGUGAUGCCUCGGGGCUUGCAUGAACUUGCUGACAGUGUGAACAGCAUAAGAGAUGUCUGGUUGGGUGAUGGUUAGAUAGAUAAGACUACCAACCAGCUUCCGAUAGGUAGUAGGAUCCUCAAUGAAGCCUGAAUGUUUCUACUCGUUUAUAAACCAUCUCUUAGUGCUGUUCAAUUUGAUUGCAAUUCUUGCAGACUUGGCAAAAGUAAGACUCUGCCAUUUCCUAUUCACACACCCCAUGUAGUCCAACCUUUUGAUUUGAUACAUAGUGAUGUGUGGGGUAUGGCACCAGUCACUUCUCAUGCUAAUUACAAAUACUUCGUCACUUUUAUUGACGACUAUAGCCGUUUCACAUGGAUAUAUUUUCUACAUUCUAAAGAUGAAGUCUUUUCUGUUUUUAAGAUUUUUCAUGCAUAUAUUCAGACCCAAUUUUCGGCCCAUAUCAAAUUCCUUCGUUCUGACAAUGGGGGUGAGUAUAUGUCUCAUUUGUUUCAGGACUUCCUACAGACUCAUGGCAUCAUCUCUCAACGGUCUUGCCCUUCAACACCUCAACAAAAUGGGGUGGCUGAAAGGAAGAACGGUCACCUUCUUGAUGUUGUUCGCACUCUCCUGUUAGAGUCAUCUACGCCCUCUCGUUUUUGGUGUGAAGCUCUCUCCACUGCUGUCCAUCUCAUCAACAGGUUGCCUUCUCCCAUAUUGCACCACAACUCUCCUUUCACCAAGUUAUUUGGUCGCCCUCCAUCUUAUUCCAACCUUCAUACAUUUGGUUGUGUCUGUUAUGUUCAUCUUCCUGCACAUGAACGCACAAAACUCACGGCUCAAUCGAUCCAGUGUGCUUUCCUAGGAUAUUCAGUCCACCAGAAAGGUUUUCUUUGCUACGAUCCAAAUUUGCGACGCAUUCGAGUUUCUAGAAAUGUCAUCUUUCUAGAAAAUCAGUAUUUUUUUUCCCACGCAUCAGGACCCCGUUUCUCCUUCAUUUUCUGUUUUGCCUAUGUUUACUAACUCUUCUGCAGCUCCUGUUUUAAAUAUCUCUUCUCCAGCUCCAGUCCCUUCUUAGCCUCUCUUAGUGUAUCAACGACGCUCCUCCGCCACUUCCCAUCAACCUCCAGCACCUCCCCAGCCCCCUCCAGCUCCUUCCCCGACCGCUGCUCCUGUUCCAGCAACUGCACCUCCCCCCCUCAGACAGAGUACUCGGGUUCAUAGACCACCAGAUAGGUUUGGUUCCUCUCCUCUUUCCCUCUUCACUGCCACCUUGUCUUCUAUUUCUCUUCCUUCGUCUUAUACACAGGCCAUGAAGCAUGAGUGUUGGCGGACAGCGGUUGAAACUGAGCUUCUCGCACUUGAGGAAAACCAAACUUGGGACGUUGUUCCAUGUCCCUCUUCCGUGAAACCCCUUGGCAGUAAGUUCGUGUUUUCUGUCAAGCUUCGUUUUGAUGGGUUCAUAGACCGUUAUAAGGCUCGGUUAGUGGCACUUGCAUAGAGGUAGAACUGAUGUGAAAAUUAGAGUGUGGAAACACAACAUUUUCAUGUGAUGUUUCUUGGUUUGAAGAAGGAGCAAGGGAUAAAUUCAAAUAUGUGGAGGCUUCAGGAAUUGAAAGGAACUCCAUUUUUGAUUGAUUUUUGCUUAUGUUUUCUUUCUAGUUUGCUUUUGUUUUCAGAUUGAAGGAUGUUCUGGUUUAAAUGGUAAGGAAAGAAUCAGACAGAGUCCUUAAAUAACAAAAGCAUGUUGGGAUUUCAUCCCUUGUUUCCAACACCCAUGUUUUUUGAAUUUCCACCUCAAGCUACACACCCAUGUUUUCUAGUUUUCCACAUCGACUCACUUAAUCAUAAAAAAAGAAAGAAAAAAAGAAGAAGAAGAAAGAGGCUAAUAAUAAUUUUCUUUUUUUCUCCAUUCUUUCUUAAAGUUGAAAAAUAAAAGAAUUUCAAGAAGAAAAAAAAUGUGUCCGGUCGCAAUUGAAAUGUUAAAGAAUAAAUAAAUAAUAUAUAUAUAUAUAAAGACAUGUGAAAUUUUACCUUUUUUUAAAAACAGCUUGUAGAAACGUUAUAAAUAUCCAAUUGUGUAGCUUAAAAUCAUAAAGUUGUGUGUAGCAAGAUGGAUAAGGUGUUAGAGAUGAAUUCGAAACUCAUUGUUUGUGUUUUGGAGGGUUAAUUUUCUUUCAUUUUUUAGCGGGUUGACACGACCCGUUUAAUAAACAGGUAUUUUAGCAGGUUGGCGAGUUGACCCAAAACCCACCUGUUUAAUAAACGGGUUAGCUGCAAGUUGCUCGAAAAUGACUCAUUUUUUAAUCGUAUAAGUUCGUGUCGUGUUUUUUCUAUGCGGGUUUCGAGUCGUGUAAGGGUCGUAUCGGAAAUUGCCACCCCUACAUAUAGUUUUAUCAAUUAAAAAAAAAGCCACCAAAAGCACUUGUGAAGCAAACAAAGUCAAGGUAGGUGCCCAUAACAAAACACAUCACAUGCCAUCAAAUUCAGGGUUAAUUUUCUUUCAUUUUUUAGCGGGUUGACAGGUAUUACACGGGUUGACAAGACAUGUUUAAUAAACGAGUUAAACAGGUAUUUUAGCAGGUUGGCGAGUUGACCCGAAACCCACCCGUUUAUAAAUGGGCAUGCAGCAGAUUGACUCGAAAAUGACCCAUUUUUUAAUCGUGCGGGUUCGUGUUUUUUCCAUGCAGGUUUCGCGUCAUGUAACAUGUCGUAUCGGAAAUUGCCACCCCUACAUAUAGUUUUAGCAAGCCACCGAAAGCACUUGUGAAGCAAACAAAGUCAAGGUAGGUGCGCAUAAAAAAACACAUCACAUGCCAUCAAAUUUAAGCCAAUUCCAACACAAUAGAGUCGCCAUGAAUUUACUCCGGGUGUGUCAUUUUUAUGCCUUUCGUCUUUUGCUUGAUAUACCAUUUUUCUGAAGUUCAUCUGUUUGGUCAUGUAGUUGACAGAUGGUAGUGUCUUGUGAAUGAAGAGCGAAGAAUGAGAUUUGCUACGAAGGUUCUGCUUCUCCUGCAGUGUAACAUAAAUAGGAUGUCAACGCAUGUAAUGUUAAGAUGAGGCUUGACCAGCACUGGAACUCUCAAACCAUGUCUGGCAUGCACGCCGUAUUAAAUUACACCAUAUAUCUUCCAAGUUUCCAAGAAAAAUGAUCAACACAUGCCGCUUCACUAGAUUUGUUGGUUUUGUGAUACAACUAAACAUCAGCAGGUCUUGGUUCUGCAUCACCGCUUCACAAAAUUUAAUUCAAAGUGCUGGUUUAUUCACGUUUCAGUUGGUCAGUUUAUUCAAAGUACCAGGCUAUGAUUAUAUUGUUCAUCUAUAUUAGCCGCCAAGUAUGGGAUUACAAAUCUUGGUGAUUGGCAUUAUGGUUGGUAGUUCUCCAGAAAAGAAAAACUCCCAACUCCUUCCGAGGCCUUUAGUCUUUAAAAUCGGACCCGUAAUAACUCAAUAUCAUGGUUAUAGUGGUCUUGAUGUAUAUAGCAUGGUUUUGAUCACUUCUACAUACUAAAUUUUAGACAGAUAAAUAUCUUCGGCGUUUCAAUAAGUACUUGCAAUGGUAUCAUAUACAUCAAUUAUUAAUGUUGCCUGAAAUUUACAUAACCAACUACGGUAUAAAAGAUAUGAUCACUCUCUAAUGUAGUUCACAUUGCUUGUAUUAAUUGAUCGAUGCUUGAUGCAUUUGUUUGUGUCUCUAAUGAAGAUCUGCUCAGUUUCAACUAGGUGCUAUUAUGCAUUUGGGGCACUUGUAUCUGAAGAGACUUAGUACUUGGGCUUUUGGUUCUUUUUAAAAAAAAAAAAAUUUAUAUCAAAUUAUUCCAGAAUUGUGCCUAGAGUCCGGUGGGUACUUCCUGAUUCUACUCUUUUUUUUUUCCUGGGAAAUGAUAGUGUGGGGCUAAUUAGCUAACUGGAGUUAUGAUUUGGAAUAAGGCCUCAGCUAUUUUGAGGAUCUCUUAGUUGGGUCAGGUCUCUAAAGCCUGUUUGAUUUGUAUUUCUAAUUCUGUGUAGUUGCUUCUGGGGUGCAUUGCCCUCCCAACCCCAGUUCACAAAGAAAAAAUAUAUAUACAUGGAUACAUUUUUGCCUAACAGACAAAAGCUCAUUUUUAUUUUGUCGGUCAAAAUAAUUAAAGUUUAUUUUAGUAACAUAUAGAUCAUGAGUGAGGGUUUAAAGUAUCAAUUACCAUUUAUCAUUGGAUUAAUUCAAAAUUUAAGAAGCUCAUAUAUCCUCAUUUUUAUGUCCUUAAGUGAGCGGGAAUGUUGUUACAGUAUAUUCAUAUAAAUGUGCAUAUAGAAUAGAUACUCCCUAACAUUGUUGGUGAGGCCUCUCCAUCAUAAACGACACAGGAUGUGAUGAUGUAUUUUUCGUGAGCAACAAGUUGGAAAAGAAGUUGCCGCUAAGAAGUCUUGGAGUCAGAGGCUAUCCAUAAAAGGAAGGAUUAAUUUGCCUGCUUGCUUUGUCUCCACGACAUCCUAUUAGCCAAUGCCAUUCAUCUGUGAACGCGAUGAAGCGAAUAUAUGGACAAUAGAAAAAGCCAAUUUGGCAACUAUAUAUAAGAAAAUCAAAAAAUUAGAUGCAAGCGGUUAUUGAUAACUGAUUACUUACUUUCGAUGGAUAUUGUAUUGAAACAAUAUUUGUAAUUAACGAGUCUGGAAACAAAAACAUUAGUUUGUUACUAAUCAUGGACGUAACAAAGUAUUGAUGUUCCUAAUCAUGUUUGAUCACCAAAGACUACUGCCUUCUUAAUGUCCGGGAUUGACCAAGUGGUGAGCGAAGAUGGAGAAAAUUGUUUAGGAUUGGAAUAGGUCAAAUUUUCGGUCCCUUAAUAUAGUCAAAAAUACAAUUCAUGAAGCCAAUAGAGUCUAGUCUAAUGGAAAAUGGCUUUGAUUUGUAAAUCAGUGGUCUUAAUUUCGAAUUCUCAUGUCACCUUGGCAGUAUGUGUAUGUGAGAAAACCCUCUCCCCAAUAACGUUUGUAUAUAUAAAACAAAAGAACAAAAAACAACAAGAAAGAUGCAAUUCAUGAAUAUAUCAGCUCCCACCCUAUAAAACAAAGGAAAGUGUUACAAACUUACAAAAAACUUGGGCCAAAAUCUUCUCAAAGUUCUAAUAUAAUUAAAAACAGGUUUUUGGCAGAUUGGACAGUUCAAGAAGAUAGGCACAAAACAUCUUAUGUAUACCAUACGGUCACUACGGAUCAUGGAAUUUUAUGCCUUCAGGCUUAAAAAAAGUAAUCACAUCAGAUAGGAUUUAUACAUGAAAAAGAUUUAUGCUUGUCCUCUACAAAUUGCCUCAUUUAUAUUAAUUGUAUUUUGAUAUCAUCAGUGACAUAAAACAUAAGAGCAAAAGAAUAUUGAACUUUUGGGAAUGUCCUUCAAUGAGGGAAAGGUAAUUCACCACACCAUAUGAAAUUCCUUGGUGAACUCUCAUGAAUUAAACAAAUCCAGCACUUCUGCUAAAAUAUGAAUAUGGUUUGAAUAUUUUAGGUUAAAUUUAUUUUUCUCCAUAAGGAGAUAUGUAUAAGAGUUUACAUGUGGGCUUUAUAAGGAAUUAGAUACAGUAAAGAAUUAGAAAAGUAUCUCCUAAUUGUACAAUGAUUUAUCAAUUAUAUAAAAAAUUGGAAAGUAAAUCCCUUAAUUAAUCAAGGAAAUAAAUCUCCUUGAUUAAUUAGGAGACUCACGUCAACACUCCUCCUCAAGUGGUGCAUAUAUGUCACCAAUACCCAACUUGGUAAGUGAGUCAUGAAAUACUCUGCCACAAACAGCUUUAUUAAGAUAUCUGCCAGUUGAUCUUCUGAUUUUACGAAUGGUAGGUGGAUGAUCUUCUUCUCAAUCUUCUCUUUGGUAAAAUGUCUAUCCACUUCAACAUGUUUGGUUCGAUCGUGUUGAACUGGAUUAUGGGCAAUGUCAAUGGCUGAUUUGUUAUCACAAUGUAAUUCCACUGGUUUUCCUGGCUUGAAACCCAAUUCUGUCAAUAGUCUUCUUAUCCACAGUAGUUCACAAACUCCGUAAGUCAUUCCUCGAUACUAUGCUUCUGCACUAGACUAAGAAACCACAUUUUAUUUUUUUACUCCGCCAAGUGACUAGAUUACCUCCUACGAAGGUAAAAUAACCUGAAGUAGAGCGUCUAUCAGUAAUGGAGCCAGCCCAAUCAGCAUCUAUAUAUCCAACAACUUCGAGAUCUCUAUUUUUUUAGAAUAUUAAUCCUUUCCCAUGUGCUGACUUUAAGUAUCUCAAGAUUCGAUCAACUGCAUUCCUAUGAGACACUUUGGAUGCAUAAACUGACUAACUACACUCACAGCAUAUGCAAUAUCUAGUCUUGAGGACGUAUGAAAAGUAGAACCUUUAGUGGUGGUGAUAGAAGCAGGAGUUCGGGUAGCCAGGUCAGCAGGAGUGACCGCAUGCUUCUGCGAGUUUGCAAUAAGAUGGAGAAUCGUAGGGGUUCCUGACAAGCAACGAAAGUAAGAUAUGAUAUGAGAAGGUGAGGAAUUUGAUGUAGGAAUUGGAUUUAAGAGGUAUGUGUAUAAGAUUUGAGGGUAUGUGUUUAGGGAUUUGGAUAAGAGGAUUUGAGGACUUUAGAUUUGAUGGAUUUGGAUUUGGGGAAAAUUAUGAGGAAUUUGAUUUAGAGUUUUGGAUUUGAAUAUGAGAAAUUUGAGAUAAGGGUUUAGAGACAAAACAACUUCUCUUUACUCCCCCUCUCCCCCUAAAGAGAAGGGGUCGUCAGAGUAAAGAAAUAUGCAGUAUCUUCAUGGGAAUAUGUCAAGGUAAUGGGGAUAUGUCAAUAAACAUAUCAUUUUCACUCCCCCUCCCCCCUUUGAGGAGAAGGAGAUGAGAGCACUUAAAUUUCAAGAAGAACGCAAGCACAGGUCACAGGAGAACCUGGCUCUGAUACCAUGUUAAAAUAUUAAUAUGGUUUGAAUAUUUUAGGUUAAAUUUAUUCUUCUCCAUAAGGAUAUAUAUAUAUAUAUAUAAGUUUAUAUGUGGGCUUUAUAAGGAAUUAGAUACAGUAAAGAAUUAUGAAAGUAUCUCCUAAUUGUACAAUGAUUUAUUAAUUAUAUAAAAAAUAGGAAAGUAAAUCCCUUAAUUAAUCAAGGAAAUAAAUCUCUUUGAUUAAUUAGGAAACUCACGUCAACAAGUUCUACAUUUAAUUAAUUAUGGCCCUUUGUUCCUAAAGAUGGACAAUUUGAUAAUGUAAACAAAUGCUUCAAGCAUAUUUCCUAUGCAACUAUAUAUUUUAACAGAAGUUUGUGCUUUAAAUUAGGCACCUUCUUUGUAAUUAACAAUAAAUUAUAUAACAAAGUUGGAGUACGGUCACGUAGUAAUGGUGGAGCUACAUAUAGGCUACCCUCGACUGUAGCCCAGUGCAACCUUGGUCAAAAAUACUUCUUAUAGCACUUAAUUUCAAGAUUUUGACAUUUAUCCCACCCAGCCAACUCCCAUAUGUGCAAAUUCUUCACUUUUAUGGCUGGGUAGUUAAGAAAAGUUGUAGUUUUCUAGUUUUAUAUCAUGUUAAUUGAAUCGUUCAAGUUCAAAAAAAAUAAAAUUUAGUUGUUCUUGGUUUGACUUAAUUUUGUUUUAUCAUUUAACAAAAUAUUAGCCUACCCUUUUGAAAAUUUUAGUUCUACUCUUGCACGUAAUAAGUGUUAUAAUAUGGAUGGACUAAGUUGAUAUUUUUCCAUUUUAAGUAAUAUAUAGCAGUGGUGCAAGAACGCAGCCCAAGAGAUUGACAAAAUAAACAGAACAAGGUGGUUGGGGCUCAUUUAAUUGCUAUCAAUAUAUUUACCAAGAAACGUUAUUAAGUAGGGGCUCAUUUAAUAACAUGAAUAGGACGUUAUUAAUGUUGGAUCAGGCUUGACUGGCACUGUCACUUUCAGGCAAGAAAAAUCACACCAUAUAUCUUCCAAAUUCCAUGAAAAAUUGUCAUCAUAAUGAAAGAAAACACCAAUGAGGGAAAGCACACGUCAAACGUUUGCAUCCAAAUCUGAAAACGCAUUAAAUCCGUGAGAUUUUUUAUUAGUUAUCAGCUGGAAGAUGAGCUGGUAUUAGUUAUCAGCUGACUUAAAAAUAAAAGGAAAUAGUCAAAACAUAUAUGAUAUAUCAGGGCAACAGCUUUUGAGUACUUCAGUCCUGUUCUGGUGGCCCAAAGGUUUCAAUAUCAAUAAUUUGCAUUCAGUGGUUGUUGUUUCCCGACUUCUCAAUUUGCAUUGUGUGGUGGUGGUUUGCAUCGUUUUCAAACAUGGUUGUUCAUAUAUAUAUAAGUACAUGUGAGCAACGGCACAUACACAAAGCAACAUGCUAGUGCAAGUUUAUAACCUAAUGGCUCAUGGCUUCCUUCUCUUCCUCUUACUCUCUUGCAUUAUAUCCACAAAUAUUCAUGCCUGCAAGCAAACUGAACGCAGCUCCCUCCUGUCUUUUGCCUCCACUCUAUCUUCGCCUCCUUUAAAUUGGACAUGUCUUGAUUGCUGUCGUUGGAAGGGCAUCACUUGUGAUCAAGAUGGUUGGGUCACCCGUUUGCACUUACCUUCCAAAGGGCUCCAAGGAGGUAUCUCUCCCUUUUCACUUGCAAAUCUCACCCAUCUCACCCACUUGAACCUUUCCCACAAUUCACUAUAUGGUUCACUUGAAACUCAAUUCUUCUUGUCUUUGAAUCAACUUGAGAUCCUUGAUUUGAGCUAUAACCGUCUUUUUGGAGAACUACCACUUUCUCUUCCAUCUAUUUAUAUACGGACAGUUGAUUUGUCCAGCAAUCACUUCGUUGGUGCAAUUCCAUCUUCAUUCUUCCAACAAGCAAGCAACUUGACUAGUUUCAAUGUCAGCAACAAUAGCUUCACAGGGUAUGUCCCAUCCUCUAUUUGUCAACAACAUUCUUCUCCCUUCCUUAGGCUGUUGGAUUUUUCUUCCAAUGUAUUCAGUGGCAACCUUGCUCCUGGGCUAGGGAAGUGUUCCAAACUACAGGUUUUUCGUGCCGGUCACAAUAACCUCUCAGGAUUAUUUCCAGAAGAUAUUUAUAAUGCUACCGAACUUGAAGAAAUUGCAUUACCUCUCAAUUCACUACAUGGAGCCAUUAGUGAUAAAAUUGUCAACCUCACUAACCUCGCAACCCUUGAUCUCUACUAUAAUCAUUUUGGUGGUGAGCUUCCUCUCAAUUUGGGGAAGCUAUCUAAGUUGAAGUUUGUGACCUUUGAUUUCAACAAUUUAGAAGGUGCUUUGCCCCCAUCUUUGAUGAAUUGCAUAAACCUUGUAGAAUUGCGUUUGGGAUCCAACAACUUGGAAGGAGAUAUCUCCAUGCUUGAUUUUUCCAGACUUAGUCAACUUACUAAACUUGACCUAAGGGCGAAUAACUUCACUGGUACAGUUCCAAGAAGCCUUUACUCCUGUAGGUCCCUGAAAGCCAUUGGAUUGUCUGGAAAUCAUCUAGAGGGACAAAUAGAAGCUGAGAUUCUUUCAUUGAAAUCCUUGUCCUUCCUCUCUCUUGCUUUCAACCAAUUCACUAACCUCACAGGGGCAAUGAAGAUAUUGAUGAAUUGCAGAAGUCUUCACGCACUCUUGCUUAGUGGUUCCUUUGUGGGUGAGGGAAUGCCAUCUGAUGAUGACAUGGUUGAUUUUCAUGGAUUCCAAAAUCUUCGGCUCUUGGCUUUGGCUGGUUCUAACCUCACUGGUCAAAUACCUUUAUGGUUAUCAAAGCUCAAGAAUCUAGAGAUUUUGGGUCUAGGUUUUAAUCAAAUCACAGGGCCAAUUCCAAGUUGGUUGGGGACACUUCCUAGACUGUUUUAUAUAAGCUUGUCACACAACCGAAUUUCAGGUGAAUUUCCACAGCAACUUUGUCGACUACCAAGGUUGCUUUAUGAACCAAUUGCAUCUCAAGUAGACAACUAUGAAUUUGAAUUUCCUGUCUUCAGCACCAGCAUCAGCAUAGGGGCAAAUCAAACUUAUCCACAACAAAAAUUGUAUUUUUUACCAGGACGGAUAGAAGUAUCUAACAAUAACAUCAGUGGUUAUAUACCUGCUGAGAUAGGCCAAUUGCAGCUUCUCCGCAAGUUAGCUCUUGACUCCAACAACUUCUCCGGUAUCAUUCCAGACCAAAUAUCUAACCUAAAAAAUUUAGAGGUUUUGGACCUCUCCACGAAUCACUUGUCUGGAAUAAUCCCAUCAUCAUUGGCGAGUCUUAAUUUCUUGAAAGAAUUUAAUGCCUCAUACAAUAAUCUUCAAGGACCAAUACCAACAGGCACCCAGCUCCAAAGCUUCAACGCUUCUGUCUUUGAGGGGAAUCCAAAACUUUGUGGUGCCCCACUUCCAAAUAAGUGCAAACCAAGUAAGGGCAUUGAUGCAUAUAACAAGAACAAUAAAGACGUGGACAAUGGACUUCAUCAACUUCCGUGGUUUCAUAUUUUCGUUGCUUUGGGGUUCAUAGUAGGAUUUUGGGGAGUUUGUGGUUCUUUAGUUAUUAACAAGACAUGGAGAUAUGUCUAUUUUCAAUUCAUAGACAAUCUACAAGAUAGGCUCUAUGUGAUGAUAAGUUGAUAACAAUCCACAUCAACAUGAUGAAAAUAAGGCUUGGAGGCUAGAUAUAUAUUAUUAAUAUGUUGUACUUUUUAUUUUGCAUUUUCAGUUUGCUUUUUGUUUUUUGUUUUCUCCUUCUUUUGAAAGUAACUGGACUCAAAUUUAAAGGAUAUAUGUUGUUAUGUUCAUAAAGUUAUGGGGGAAUUUGUACUUAAUUGUAAUAACCCAAUCCUAAAUAAAUAUUUAAUUAUUAAUUUAUGUAAAUAAAAGACAAUUUUACCUCGGGAAUAUUUUAAUGGGUUAAAAGUUAACUUUCGGGAAGGAAUAUGGGGAUUUCAGUUGUACCGUUGCGUAGAGCAAGUCGAGAUGAGUCCGUAGACACAUAGUGGGCUCAAAUCGGAGUUAUAACGAAGAAUUUAUAAUCUACGGAAGCUCAAUGGCGUACUCGUAAAUUUAUUUCAAAGUUAAGAUUUUUUAAACCCAGAAUUCUUCUUCUCUGUCGCAAGCUUCACGAACAAUAGUUUUCAAACUCAAAUUUCUCCUCCGUCCAGCCACCAAUUUCUACGCCACAACUUGCAAACUCUUCAUCUUUCUCUCCUCUUCACAUCCAUACCAAUUUCCAGACCCAAAUUCAAGAGAAAAAACCAGAAAAUUGAUCAAAAGCAUAGCCAAAAAAGGAGCCCAAACCAACUAUGCAAAAACAGCAGCCGUUCGUGGUCUUUGGACACCCACGCUCUGCCGGACCGUGGGGCGGCUUGUGGGCCACUUUUUGACCAAUCCUUGAGUCCUAAAAUAAUCCUCAUGUCGUCUAUUGCACAACGGUAUGCUCAGAUAUGAAUUUGGUUAUCAUCUGAUCGUCGAUUGGAUAUCGCAUAUUAGGCGUUACCUAGGUUUGAUAUGUUUGGACCGUUGGAUCGACUUCAUUUUCAAAUUUGUUAAUCUAGACAUCUCUAAGAUCGUGUAGAAAUUCGCGGAUCGAGAAUUGGGAUCCCAAAUCGAGCAUGGACGCUCGAUAACCCCUUUGUCACAAGUGUGAUACCGGCUGCAGCCGAAGGCUCUCCAAUGUAUAAAUUAGAAUAAGUACAAAGGGAAUAAUGAUCUGGACAAAGUAAUAGCAGGAUUGCUGAAUGUCGUAGUUACCUCUUUUUUGGGACUUGUGCCUCAUCUUAUAGACUUUGGGAGGUGUGCAUCUUGAGUGGAGUUUCGAUGUGGGACUCUAGACAUUGUAUGAGGAAGCACCACAUAUACUUGUGAGAAGUUGUGGAUGAAAUGAGUUUGUUGCCACGAUCGACAAUCCUGGGUGCUAAGGGCUAGCCCUGCUGGUGGUCCUUCGUGUGAUGUAAUCGACUAUUGGGUUUUUAGCGAGUCAUCCUUAUGGGUCCCUUUUUCCACAUGUAGUCUUCUGAUUGGUUGGUUGGAUAUGGUGUAAACAAACUUACUCGUCAAACUUACUUUCUCCUGUUCAAUUAAUGAAACCUAGUCAAACAAAAAAUGAUUACAAAACAAACCCAGCAGACGACCUCCACACCAUUCCCAUGUAGUAAAUGGGGAAGCAAGUUCUUGUUUCAGUUUGGCUUUUGGAGGAAGUUAUGUUGCAUUAAAUGAGUCGUUGAAAUUGAAGACAUUUAGGUCUUCACUUGGGGCUGCCGACAUUGGUGUAGAGUAUGAGAAAAGUCUUGCUUUUCACAUUGAGCAAAUGCCCUAUUAAUAAUAUUCAACAACUGAUUCAUUUAGUGUGUGGGGGCUUUGAAAACAACAUAAAAAUAUAAUAUUAGAAGUAUUAAAAGUAACAAAAGUUUAAGCGGCAGGGAAUGGGAAGAGGAAUGUAGGCACGCCAACAACAGCAAACAUGUUAUAUUAUAUGUAGUAUUUUUUUAUUUUAUAAAAGUUGAGAAGGUACAGAAGAGAGGAUUGGGGUGGAUGUUGCAGAGAGUGAAACUGUGAAAAAAAAAAAAAAAGGGAGGUAUUGUUUUUUAUUUUUUAUUUUUUUAAUUUUCUUUUUCAAAGUGGGGGGUUGGGCUUGUUUCAUUUUAAAUUUUUUUAAAAGAUAAGUGUAGUCUCUAUACAUUAUAAUUUUAUUCUUGAUAUUCUGGAAGAAGUACUCGUGGUGGUACCAGAUCCUCGAAUCGAGAUCCAAACGCGUGACCCACUCGAACCACAUCUUCGUUAUCUGCAUCAUGGGCCUCUUCCUCGAUCCCAUCUACUGCUUCCUCCCCAUCAUUGGUGAAUCCUCUUGUACGAAAAUCGACACUGGGUUUCAGCAGCUGGAUUAACUCUUCAGAUUUGAGACUGGCCAAAUUCAUUCAUAUAUUUUUGCUUCACAAAUGUCUUCUGCUCAAUUAGUAGCAAAUUGAUUUCACCCUAAGUUUUGAUGCCCAAAAAGACUUUUUAGAACUAAAAAAUUGUGAAAAGAGAAAAGGACGAACAAAUAAAAAAGGGUAAAUUUUACUUUACUAAUCGGAAGUUUCCUAAAAUUCAGACUUUACUGCAUCAAAUUUUUUUCGUAUCAACUUCGUACUAAAAUUUUGAUUUUUCUACUAUUUUCAUAUAUCUAUUAGUCAUUUUGUCAAAUGCUCUAUUAUGUGGGAUUUAAGAAACCAAUAAAUUAUAUAAAUAAUAAAUAUUUUUUUAAAAAAUUGAAAAAAAAUAAAUUCUCUCCACCUGUUUUCUCUUCUUCUAUCUCUGUACAUGAACACCCAAUCCAUCCCUCCCCUCUCUCCGACAGCCACUAACCCAACCACAUCAAUUGAAUCAGUGCUUAACAAGCAUCUUUCCUUCUCCUUCAAUUAAUCAAACCUGUUGAUGCUAAAAAAUGAUUGGAUACUUUAGGACGGCCCAACUUAGUGAUGAUGUCACCUUCGGUCUCAUAUGAGCUUCGGUAGAGCGAUUGAUCUGCAAGAGAAUGAAUGCGAUAAGCCUUUUGGCACUGGUAUGGUAGCGGCCGAAGUCGGAGGCUCUCUGAUGCUUAAAUUAGAAGUAAAUUUAGGUUUUACCCAUAAAAAAACUUUCACUUUUGGAAAAAGCCAAAGCUUUUUCAAAAAAGACGGAAUAACCUCUCAACUUUCAAACCACAGACAUGCAAAUGUAAAGGAUUUCUUAGGAAAUCAAAAAAUAAAUAAGGGCAAUUUUGUCCAUUUUUGCUUCUUUUAAAAAUUUUCUCUCUCCUUUGGGCUUUUCCAAAGUCUCCCUAAAUUAGAAUAAGUACGGAGGGAAUACUGAUCUGGCCAAAGUAACAGGAUUGCCGAAUGUCGCAGUUACCUCCUUUUUGGGACUUGUGCCUUAUCUUAUAGACUUUGGGAGGCGUACAUCUUGAGUGGAGUUUCGAUGUGGGACUCUGGACAUUAUCUGAGGAAGCGUCACAUAUACUUAUGAGAAGUUCCAGAUGAAAUGAGGGUUUUGCCACGAUCGACAAUCCUGGGUGCUAAGGGCUUGGGAUGUAAUCGACUAUUGGCUUUUUAGUGGGUCAUCAUCCUUGUGGGUCUCUUUUUCCACAUGCGGUCUUCUAAUUGGUUGGUCAGAUAUGGUGUAAACAAAACCCAAAAAAAAAAAAAAAAAAUCUUGUGUUUCUUUUACUCAUCAAACCUACUUUCUCCAAUUCAAUUAAUGAAACCCAGUGAAACAAAAAAAUGAUUACAAAACAAACCCAGCAGACGACCUCCACACCAUUCUCUCCUCCGCGCAACGCAUAAGAGCUCACGGCGGUAACAAAAUAAAAAAAAUAAAAAACCCCAGACUCUGAACUCUACAUGGCCUUCAGGCUGGAAAUGCAAGAAGCCAUAACCGCCUCUAUUGCUCUCGAGACCCUCGUCAUCGGCCUCCGUUUCGAGUUCACGCAACUUGAACGAACGACUCCGUUUUGGACCUCUCCGCCACACGCUCAUGCUCAUCCUCGAGGAUGUCUAGCGAUUAGCUCAGCAGAGCGAGAUGAAGACCCAGGAAGAUCUCAGACGUUGGAUUCACGAUCAGAAGUUCGCCGCCCAACCCAUUGUACGGAUGGAUCGUCUUCGUCGUCACCGACUCGCAUUGAGAUCUGGUGCAUAGGGUGGGGUGGGGUGGUUGGAGGUCCAAGAAGGGAAAGGUGCUGAUGAGAUCUCGACAUGGAGCUGGUGGAUUGUGUCUUGGGAGCAGGAGAUGGGUGCUAGUGCUAAGCUAUAUGUCUCCUUGCCGAAGUCCUUGAUAUCACAUCUCUCUCCUUCCUGGCCCGGCUCACCUGCCUCUGAAGCUGGAAUGCCUUUAUAGAGGAGGCUACCCGAGGAAUCGAAAAGUUUGAAGUGGGAAUGGAAAAAGGGUGGAUGCAAUAGAAUCCGGUCUCUUUAGCAGGAGUUCUCUUUAAAAAAAUAAGAAGACUCGCUUUCUUUACUAAAAAGACUCUUUGAUUCGUUUUGUCUCAUCGAUGCAGUCACCAGGCUAAACUGUUAAACAUUCUGAUGCCCUGGUCAAUUGUUUGCUCACCCGCUGUUGUGUUCAUAUAUAUGGUUGGAGGUUUUACAGAGAAUUUACAGAGAAUCUCUGGUUUGAAGAGAUGUUCCCUGUGCUGAUCUAAAAGCCACGAAACGUUGUUUAAAAUAGUUUGAAAUGUCAAACUUUAAAUCUUGACCACAUAUUCAGAUAUGAUUCUGCCCAAUCAAUGACCUUUAUUGAUAUAGUUCGACAAAAGAAUGUGUCUAGGCAAAAACAAACAUGAAAGCUUCAGCUCCAAAAGUCCAUCAAGGCUUUCAAAUGAAAAACUGCAUCCAGCCAUCUAGCCACCACAGAGAACUAUAUGUACCCAACAGACUGUCAGACUCAAACAAUCACUAUUGACAGAAAUAUCUCAAAGCAGUGGUAGACAUCCCCUCAUUUUUGCAAACUCCGUUAUCAUGAAACUUAUUUUGACAGAUUUAUUUUGAAACUGAGUAGAACUUCGAAGAAACCUAGCAUUACAUAUCACCUGCAUUAUGUGAAGGUUGCAGAACUCAAUGAAGUGAUUGCCUCAUGGUUUUGGCUACAUUAUGUGAAGUUAGAAGUUAGAACCUGCAAUUGAUUAUGCAUAAGCAUCCGAGGAUAGUUGAAAGGGAGCAUGCUGCAAAAUCCAUGACAUAACAGUAGGAAACUACCGAACUCUCACCGCCGUACAAAUCAUAUACAUACCGCCUAUUGUCAUACUGGCACUAAGUUCCAAUUUCUGUAAUAACUUAAAAAACAUGCUUGUUUAUAUACUUGAAGAUGGUUUAAUGUAGCAUCUGCACAAAUACAAGGUCCAUUAACAUAUAAUUACAGUCUUCAAGAGCAGGUUGUUCUGAUAACCAACAAAUAAAAUAGUGCAAUGCAUGACUAUCCAAAGUGAAUAAAUAGAAGCAUGCAUCCUAUGGUAUUUCUAUGGGGAACCCCAAGCCACCUUAUGCCAAAGCAUCUUAGAUAAAGACUGCCUGAACUCUUACCUAGCAUUAUUCACAGAUGACAAAUUCACCUCGAUUUGGAUUAGAAUCCACAGCUUCAAUAGACAUACAUAUUCUAAGCUGAGAAAGCUCUUUGGUACUCGCAAUUGCAAACCCCACUGCGCGCGCACAUACACACACCAAUAAUCUCACCUUCUUAUUCAAUAUCAAUAAUCUUGCUAUUUGAGUCAUCCUCAAGAAUGUUGUGUACUGCCCGAAUCAAACUAUAAACUGGAGAGAAAAUGUCACAAAAGAAGCACCAAAUGUAUACAAAAUCGAAAUCUUGACAAUCCCCAUUACCAUUCAAAUUUGUACACUGAAUACUCAUAUUAGCAAUUUGAUCAAACUCAAAAUGAAGCCAAAGAAAUUUGCACACAUAGGUAUUUCGUAUAUUCAAACAGAUUGAAAGGUAUGAAUUCUUGCACCAUUUUCCAUAUAAUUUAACAACCAAACUACCAAAGCUCAGUCUAACACGAGUUCAGCUGGAGCAGCACACGAGUUCAGAUGGCAGAAAAAACUUCUCUUUUGAGACUUUGAAUUAGAAUUUGCAGAGAAUUGAAGAGCACCUCCACCCCAAAAGGUAAGAGCAAGGCAAGGUUUGACACUAUUCAUGUGAAUAGUGUCAGCCUUGCCUUUUUUGGUUCCACCCCAAAUGGCAAGGGCAAGGGCAAAUACUAUUCACUUUACUUUAUUAUUAUUAUUUUUUUAUACUUAUCUAUUAAUUUUGAUAGUUUUUCAGAUAAUAUUUUCGGUUGCCAUGUGUCACUAUUUAUUAUAAAAUUCUCACCUAAAAUUUCAGAUAACAUUUUCAGAUAAAAUUUUCAAAUUAAAUUUUUGGAUAAGAUUUUCGGUUGCCACAUGUCCAUAUUUAUUAAAUUAAAAUUUUCAAAUGGAAUUUUGUAGUAGAAAAUUUGGUAUGGAAAGUGAAAAAUAUAGGAAGGAGAUGAAUUUGUAUGAAGAUUUGGUGUGGAAAAGUGAAUAAUAUUGGGGAGACUUUGGAAAAGCUCAAAGGAGAGAGAAAAAUUUUAAAAGAAGCCAAAAUGGACAAAAUUGCCCUUAUUUAUUUUUUGAUUUCCUAAAGAAUCUUUUACAUUUGCAUGUCUUUGGUUUGAAAGUUGAGAGGUUUUUCUGUCUUUUUUGAAAAAGCUUUGGCUUUUUCCAAAAGUAAAAGUUUUUUUAUGGGUAAAACCUAAAUUUACUAUAAUAUUGGUAGGUAUUUAUAGAAAAAAAUUCUAGAAUUUUUUGAUAUAUUUUUUUCAAUUUUUUUUUAGGCGCUGAUGUCAGCAUGACGUUAGCAGCCUAAGGGCAACAGCCCAGUCCAUUUUUGACUGUGGGCUUGCCCAGGCUGGCCUUUUUGCGCUGGAGGAUGAAUUGGGGCCUCGGGGGGCCUGUUGCCAUGGCAACAGCCUAGCACUGCACAUGCUUAAAAGGAGACUUUGAUUCCAUAUAUCUGGGCUUUAACAAAUUCAUCCAAUGCGUCUUGUGCAUCUUUUUAGUGUUUUUUGCAGUGAUUUCUCACUGAUUAUUUUUGGGAAUUUGAAAUUUGUGACCCUUGAUUUCUUAAUACAUGAAAGUUAUUAUAUCUAGUCUAAUAUGAAUUAAUAGAAAAUAUUUUUAUAACAUGAAUAGGGCAUCAAUGUAUGUUUACAUCUGGCUUGACUGUUAUCAAUUACAACAUUUUGCUCUUCAAAACUCAAUGCUCUGUUAUAUUUUAUGGAAUUAAUAAAUAUGGACUAAGUGAGACAGAGAAUUGAGUUUCAGAGAGUAAAGUGUGACAAAUUGAGUUUUAGAUGGCAAAGUGAGAUUCAAAUUGAGUUUCAAGGGCCAUAUCAAUAAUUAAUCCUUUUAAAUUUUAUAUUGUGCCAUUUGUGUAGAAAGGACUUCUUUGUGAACGAUUGCUGCUUAUCAGUGAUACGUGAUUUUUUUUUUUAUGUAGUUGCCUUCAUGUGGGGCAAACAACUUGGAAAGAAUGACUAUCUUCCAAUUUUCUUAGAAAAAUUUUCAACAAGAAAAGAACUUGGACUUUGAUUGACAUGGAAGAUGUGCUGGUACCACAUAUCAGCUGCCUUAAAAAUCCAAAAUGAAAAUUCAGUAUAAGAAGAUCUUUGCUUGAGGACGAAAGUCAAUGCAGACUUUAAAAUACACAAGGUCAUCGCUUUGGUUUCAUUAGUGGAAAUCUCUCUUUGACGUACAGAGGGGUUUGGAUAAUUUGUGCUGUGUGGUUAUGGCAGCUUAUAAACCUGUCAUUUUGUGCAACAGUGGGGGCCCUAGAGACAGUUAAGAACGGUGAAACAUGAUUUCUUUGUGAUUGGCUAUGGCUAAACUUAUCCAAGACCAGCAGAUUGCGCAGAGAAUGGGCAUAGAAGCGCGACGGCAUGUGACAGAUUCAUUCUCUACAAAAAUAGUUGGUCAGCAUUUGAACAUAUCAAUACCUUGUUGACGUUGCUUGGAGGAAAGAAGACUGAAGACUGCAUGACCUUGCAGCAUAAGUUGUUCAAUUGAAUCAACUCAGAGACUGAUAUAUUAAUUUGUUGGGUUUAAUAUAUCCAUCAAUUUACUGAGUGUGUGGCUAUUGGUGAAGGGAUUUCUAGAUUAGUUAUGUUUUAUGCCUUUCGUCAUUUGGUCCUGUGUAGUUAACAGAUGCUAGUGACUUGUGAAUGAAGAGAGAGAAGAUUUGCUACGAAGGUUCGACUUCUCCUGCAGUUUAACGUCAAUAAGGAAGUCAAUGUAAUGUUGGAUAAGGCUUGACUGCCACUGUCAUUCUGAGGCCAUAUAUAUUCCCAAUUCCAUGAAAAAAUUAUCACCAUUAGUCACGGCAACAACUUUGAAUACUAAGGCGUUGUGGACUUUAAAUUUGCAUCGUUUCAAGCAUUGUUGCUCUUAUAUAUAUAUAUAUAUAGUCCCCUUUUAUUGAGGGAUCCCUCAAAUAAUUUUAUUUGAAGGACGCCCUUUAGGAUACCCUACAAUUUUUUUCCCAAUGAUCCAAACCAUUUAUUUUUUAGGUCUUCAUUUAUAGAUCAUCCUUACAAAAAAUUAGACAAAUCGGAAACCGUUUCGAAUCCAAUUGUGUCUUACAAAAUCAAUGAACACGGUGCUUCAAGAAAAUGCUAAAAUUUCAAUAACUUAAUUGAGUGGUCAAAUGAUAUCGGAUUCAAGUGAUUUUUUGUAGAGAUGAUCUUUGAAUGAGUAUCUACAAAAUAGACGGUUUGGAUUAGUGAAAUACAAUCCGGAGUGGGGCCUACAAGGGGUGUCCCUCAAAUAAGCUUAUUUGAGGGAUCCCUCAAUGGAAGCUCUCUGUAUAUAUAUAUAUAUAUAUAUAUAUCAGUCCCCUUCUAUUGAGGGAUCCCUCAAAUAAAAUUAUUUGAGGGACGCCCUUUAGGGUACCAUACAAUUUUUUUUCCCAAUGAUCCAAACAAUCUAUUUUUUAGGUCUUCAUUCAUAGAUCAUCCUUACAAAAAAAUUAGACAAAUCGGAAAUCGUUUCGACAUCCAAUUGUGUCUUACAAAAUCAAUGAACACGGUGCUUUAAGAAAAUGCUAAAAUUUCAAUAACUUAAUUGAGUGGUCAAAUGAUAUCGGAUUCAAGUGGUUUUUUGUAGAGAUGAUCUUUGAAUGAGUAUCUACAAAAUAGACGGUUUGAAUUAGUGAAAUACAAUCCGGAGUGGUAUAUAUAUAUAUAUAUAUAUAUAUGGGACACACAUAAAACCACACUUUUUUACACACAUCUUUAGCCCUUAGAUCUAUCCCAAUCUAACGGUUGAAAAUUGAAUCGUUCAAGUUCAAAAAAAAUUAAAAUUUAGUUGUUCUUGGUUUGACUUAAUUUUGUUUUAUCAUUUAACAAAAUAUUAGCCCACCCUUUUGAAAUUUUUUAGUUCCACUCUUGCAAUAUAGCUCAUAUAUGCGUUAUGAUAUGAAUGGACUAAGUUGAUAUUUUUCCAUUUUAAGUACUCAUAAAAUAUUAAGUUGUUGGGAAGCUUCAUAGUUUGUUUUUUUCCUUCAAGUUGAUAAACGUUUUCCACAUUUUCUUCCAAAUUCUAGCUAUGUAGUCACGUGGCGUCGCCACAUACUAGCCUUGAGUGGUCAUGCCCAGUGGCGGACCCAGACUUUUUCCCAUCUGGGGGCAUAAAAAACAAUUUCAUAACUGACUCCUACAAAGGCUAGGUUUUCAUAGCAAUACAAUAUAUAUUAUAACACAUAAUCUAUUUCAAUAAAUUUUUAAUAUAUGAUUUUGGGCCAAAAUCUAAGGCUUUAUAUAUUGGACCAUAUGUUUAUUAAGUCUCGGGCCUUGAUAUUUUCAAUAUAGAAGAGGUUUUGGGCUAAAAACUUGAAGGCUUUACUUAUUUAGGGUGCUGAGUGGGCAUUUUGCAUGCAAAAUAUUAGCCAAGUGUCUGGGAGCAUGAGUUAUAUCCCGCACAAAAAUGAUAAGAACAACUCUUCUCACUUGUUUGUUAAUAUAUUAGUAUCUCUAUGAUAACAUAUGUUACCAAUAUGAAGUAUCUGCAAAACUAAUCGCUUAGCUCAAAGGGAAGGUAAAUUGCUCCUGUUGUGAAUGAUCGGAUGAAGCAGCCAUUGCACCACCCAAGAUAAGAAAGAAAAUUCAAGAGUUACUAAUAGCCCUUCUGUCUUUCGCAAUUUAUGAAGAGGUUGUACUUGAGCCACAUUGUUAAGAUAGCAAAACAGGUGAAUUUGAAUAACUCUAGGGGCAUGUCAGUACCCAAAUCGUGCUCGAAGACCACACACAUAUGGCCGAAUGUCAAAUUCAUGUUGAAGACCAAACAUCGUCUACCUGUUUAUUUGUUUGUUUUCAAUUAGUUUUUCGGCAAUCAAGUAUUCAUUUAUACAUGAUUGUCUGCUUUCUUGUUAUUUUUUGCUUUAAUUUUCAUUUGAGCUACAGUCUUGAAUUAGCUGUAGUAUUCUUUUUUCUUUAUUGAAUAUUUCUCUUUUUUGGAAUUUUUUAAGGCCAAGUUUUAAUGAAACCAUAUUUGAUUUGUGGCUCCUCUUUUUUUUUUUUUUUUUGGUAAUUAAGUUGUUGGCGAAGAACUUUAUGUCAUACACAUGAAAUUAUAGUUUAAAAUGAACUAGUAUGGGGUUGUAUUAGUUUAAUCUGUGGUGGGAAUGGCCCUACCCUCUAACUAAUCCAUUUACAUUGUUUUAUGGAGUCAAUUACAAUUGAUUUACUGUAGAUUUUUAAUUAUUUAUUUAUUUUUAAUGUAUUAUAUCUUAACUUAAGCGAUAAGAUUUAGUCUUCAUAAUCAACAAUAAGUCAAGAUGAUGAUUGACAAAUAGACCCCCACCCAACCACAUUUUAAUUCACAUCUUAUAUUCCUUCCAGAUUUUCAACCAAUCUGCAGACAUGGAUGAAAAAGUAAUUUGCAUUCAAACCACAAGUUCUUUGAAGGUAGCUCUCGUUCAAACAAUCAUAUGUAAUUUACUGUGGGUCGUUGCCACGCAGAGUUAGAGCAUGAUUGGUCCAAAUAAACUUGAUUAGCAGUGAUUGAAUGGGCAGCUAAUUGCCCAUCAUUUUUGAUUAAUUAUUUCCAAUUUGUCUUAUGCAGCAUGUAAUUAGGUAGAAUUCCAUGAUGAAAAUUUUCCUCUUAGGCAGUCAGUGUCAGCCUUCCAAGUUCGCAUAAUUGCUUUUUGAAUGCUGGGGUUGAUAGUAAUUGCCUUUUUUGGAGAAUGCUAGCAACCUUCUCCCUUUUUUGCUUGAUAUGUGUCAUUCUCCUUACACUUCAAACAAUGUCAUUAAUAUAUUAUACAAGCUAACUUUUUCUUUCCAAGUUUACCCUUAUUAAAUGUAUUCAAUUUAUUCAAAAAAAUUUCGCAACUUUCUUACCAUCUUAUUAAUUUUUUUUUUAACAUAAAUUUUUAUAUUUAAGAAAAUGUCUGCUUUUAAAAAUAAAAUAAAAAGGGGAAAUGUCCCUUUUUUUUAACGUCAAGUUUAGACUUUUUAUUUAUUAAAAAAGGGCAUUUCCUUUUUUUUUUUUUAAAAAAGAAAAUAUUUUCUUUAUAAAAAAAUAAUUGAGGUUAAAAAAAAUUUAAUAAGAUGGUAAGAAAGUUGUGAAAUUUUUUUGGAUAAAUUGAACACAUUUAAUAAGGAUAAACUUGGAAAGCAAAAGUUAACUUGGAUAAUCUAUUAAUGACAUUGUUUUAAGUGUAAGGAGAAUGACACAUGUCAAGUAAAAAAUAGAGGAGGUCCAAAGGAGAAGAUUAGAGAGAAGGUUGUUAGCAUUUCUCUUAUAGUAAUUGUCUACUUGUUUAUUUGUUUGUUUUCAGUUGGUCUUUAGUAACUUAAAGACAAGAACAAUGGUGAAUACAGCCCAAUUCACUUCAUCAUUAGUUCAUUCAUCCCAUUCAACAAUACAAACAAAACCCACAAAGCAAUUAUACAAAGAAAUUAUUCCGUCUGAGUCUCAGUGCUUCUGCUUACAGCUUGCUUCUAAUUCAUCCAAUCAACUUAAAGACAAGAACAAGUGAUCAGAACCCAUUUCAGUUCAUCACCAACUCAUCCAAUUUCACAUCCCAAACAAACCCAAAUCAAGAGUGAUUAUUUAGAAGCAAGAUUAGUGGCAGACAAGCCCAUAUAUCUCAGGCCACGUCGCUCUCAAGCAAGGUUAGUGAAGAAUAACACCAUAUAUCUUCCAAAAAUUUCCAUGAAAAAUUAUCACCAUAUAUCAGGGCAACAACUUUUAGUACUUUGUGUGAACGCCUCAAAUUAAGUAGGUCAAGUCUUCUCCUGGUGGCCCCCUAUUAAGUGGUUGUUGUGGAAAUAUAUAUUCGACGUAUACAGGGGUCAAUUUACAUCGUUUUCAAGCAUGGUUGCUCUUAUAUAUAUAUAUACCUAAUUUGCACUGAGCAACAGCACAUACACAAAGCAACAUGCUAGUGCAAGCUUAUAACCUAAUGGCUCAUGCCUUCCUUCUCUUCCUCUUAUUGCCUUCCAUUAUAUCUACAAAUAUUCAUGCCUGCAAACAAACUGAAAGGAGCUCCCUUCUGUCCUUUGCCUUCACUCUCACUUCUCCUCCUUUAAAUUGGACAUCCCUUGAUUGUUGUCGUUGGAAGGGCAUCACUUGUAAUCAAGAUGGUUGGGUAACCCGUUUGAUAUUACCUUCCAAAGGGCUCAAAGGAGGUAUCUCUCCCUCUUCACUUGAAAAUCUCACACAUCUCACCCACUUGAACCUUUCCCACAAUUCACUAUAUGCUUCACUUGAAACUCAGUUCUUCUUGUCUUUGAAUCGACUUGAGGUCCUUGAUUUGAGCUAUAACCGUCUUUUUGGAAAGCUACCAAUUUCUCUACCAUCUAGCAAUAUCCGGACAGUUGAUUUGUCCAGCAAUCACUUCAUUGGUGCAAUUCCAUCUUCAUUCUUCCAACAAGCAAGCAACUUAACUAGUUUCAAUGUUAGCAACAAUAGCUUCACAGGGUAUGUCCCAUCCUCUAUUUGUCCCCAACAUUCUUCUCCCUUCCUUAGGCUAUUGGAUUUUUCUUCCAAUCUAUUUAAUGGCAACCUUGCUCCUGGGUUAGGGAAGUGUUCUGAAUUGCAGGUUUUUCGUGCCAAUCAUAAUAACCUCUCAGGAUUUCUUCCAGAAGAUAUCUAUAAUGCUACCAAACUUGAAGAAAUUGCAUUACCUCUCAAUUCACUACAUGGAGCAAUUAGUGAUAAAAUUGUCAACCUCACCAACCUUGUCAUCCUUGACCUUUCCUUUAAUCAUUUUGGCGGCGAGCUUCCUCUCAAUUUGGGGAAGCUCUCCAAGUUGAAGUUUGUGACCUUAGAUUUCAACAAUUUAGAAGGUACGUUGCCCCCAUCUUUGAUGAAUUGCACAAACCUUGUAGAACUGCGUUUGGGAAACAACAACUUGGAAGGAGAUAUCUCUGUGCUUGAUUUCUCAAGACUGAGUCAACUUACUAAACUUGACCUAAGGAUCAAUAACUUCACUGGUACGGUUCCAGUAAGCCUUUACUCAUGUAGGUUCCUAAAAGCCAUUCGGUUGGCUGAAAAUCAUAUAGAGGGACAAAUACAAGCUGAGAUACUUUCAUUGAAAUUCUUGUCCUUGAUCUCGUUUGGUUACAAUCGAUUCACCAACCUCACAGGGGCAAUGAAGAUAUUGAUGAGUUGCAAAAGUCUUCACACACUUUGUCUUAGCGGUUCCUUUGUGGGUGAGGGAAUGCCAUCUGAUGAUGACAUGGUUGAUUUUGAUGGAUUCCAAAAUCUUCGGGUCUUGGGUUUGGUUCGUUCUAACCUCACUGGUCAAAUACCUUUUUGGUUAUCAAAGCUCAAGAAUUUAGAGAUCUUGGCUCUGGGUUUUAAUCAAAUCACAGGGCCGAUUCCAAGUUGGUUGGGGACUCUUCCUAGACUAUUUUAUAUAAGCUUGUCACACAACCGAAUUUCAGGUAAAUUUCCACAACAACUUUGUCGACUACCAAGGUUGCUUCAUGAACCAACUGCAUCUCAAGGAGAGAAUUAUGAAUUUGAACUUCCUGUCUUUAGUGCCAAUUGCUUCAGAAUAAUCGCAAAUCAAAAUUUUCAAUCGCAAAAAUUGGAUUUUGUUCCAGCAACGAUAGACUUAUCUGCGAAUAACAUUGUUGGUGAUAUACCCACUGAGAUAAGCCAAUUGCAGCUUCUCCACACGUUGGGUCUUGACUCCAACAACUUCUCCGGCGUCAUUCCAGACCAAAUAUCUAACCUAAGAAAUUUAGAGGUUUUGAACCUCUCCAUGAAUCAAUUGUCUGGAAUAAUCCCAUCGUCAUUGGCGAGCCUUAAUUUCUUAAAAGAAUUUAAUGUCUCAGAUAAUAACCUCGAAGGAUCGAUACCAACAGGCACCCAGCUCCAAAGCUUCGAAGCUUCUGCAUUUGAGGGGAACCCAAAACUUUGUGGUGCGCCACUUCCAAGGUGCGAAUCAAAUAAGGGCAUUGAUGCAGAUAACAAGAACAACAAAGACGUGCACAAUGGGCUUCAUGAACUUCCAUGGUUUUAUAUUUUCACUGCGCUGGGGUUCAUAGUGGGAUUUUGGGGAGUAUGUGGUUCUUUAAUUAUUAACAAGAUAUGGAGAUAUGCAUAUUUUCGAUUCAUAGACAAUCUACAAGAUAGGGUCUAUGUGAUGGUAAUAGUGCGAAUCAACAUGAUGAAAAAAAGGCUUAGAGGCUAGAUAUAUAUUAUUAAUAUUGUACUUUUUAUUUUGCAUACUCAGUCCAAAGAUAUGAAAACUUAUGCAUAUUCAUGUAAUACGGUUGUCAAUUGUGAAGGAUUGAUGUCUUGUCUAUGUUUUGGAUUGGAAUUCCCUUGCUGCUGUGCUUUGGCAUGUGGGGCUCAAAGGUUAUGUUUGAAUAUUGAAGUCGCCAUAUGUUUUCAUGUCCUUUUAACUUGGUUCAUUGCUUGUUGAUAUUAAGGAGCGUAUGGUGAGCGCCCUCAUGCCUUGAAUCAUUUAUCAUCAAAAUAUUUGAUAUCCUAACUGAUCAUGCAUUUCAUACGCUGACAAAAAUUUGUGGACUUUGUCUAUACACAUGAGGAAGAAACACAGGUGUGCGUUCAGGGCUUCUAAGCCAAUGAAGACAUUCAGAAUUUCAUUUUGGAGUGGAGGAGCUUGUGCUAAGGACAUAUUUGUGUAUGGGAGCAUGAGUUAUAUCCUGCACAAAAAUGAUAAGAACUACUCUCUCACUUGUCUAUGAUAACAUAUGUUACCGAUAUGAAGUAUCUGCAAAACUAAUCGCUUAGCUCAAAGGGAAGGGAAAUUGCUCCAGUUGCGAAUGAUCGGAUGAAACAGCCAUUGCACCACUCAAGAUAAGAAAGAAAAUUCAAGAGUUAUUAAUAGCCUUCCUGUCUUUGGCAAUUUAUGAAGAGGUUGUACUUGAGCCACAUUGUUAAGUUAGCAAAACAGAUGCAUUUGAAUAACUCUAGGGGUAUGUCAGUACCAAAUCAAGUAUCCGCUCUUUUUACUCCCAUUUCGUUGAAAAACAGGGCAAAGCCUAUAUGUUCAAUUCUGGUGGUUUUUCAAAGUAAUUGGUGAUUUAGUCUUCAUAAUCAACAAUCUACAAGUCAAGAUGGUGAUUGACAAAUAGACCCCAACCCACCCACCCCAUUUUAAUUCACAUCUUAUAUUCCUUCCAGAUUUUCAAGCAAUCUGCAAACAUGAAUCAAAAAGUAAUUUGCAUUCAAACCACAAGUUCUUAGAAGGUACCUUUCGUUCGCACAAUCAUGUAAAUUACAUCAACUUUGUGGUGAUUGAAUGGUCCAAAUAAACUUGAUUAGCAGUGAUUGAAUGGGCAGCUAACCGAUAAGGGUCCCAUCAACUUUGAUUAAUUAUUUCCAAUUUGUCUUAUGCAGCAUGUAAUUAGGUAGAAUUCCAUGAUGAAAAUUUUCCUCUUAGGCAGUCAAUGUUAGCCUUUGAAGUUCGCAUAAUUGCUUUUUGAAUGCUGGUUAUGAUAGUAAUUGCCUUUUUAAUACUGAUAUUAUAGUAAUUGUCUACCUGUUUAUUUGUUUGUUUUCAAUUGGGGAGUUUGUGGUUGUUUAAUUAUUAACAAGACAUGGAGAUUAUCGUAUUUUCAAUUCAUGGACAAUGUACAAGAUAUGCUCCUCUAUGCGAUGAUAACAAUCCCCCUCAAUAGGAUGGAAAGAAAGCUUAGAGGCUAGAUAUAUAUUAUUAAUAUUGUACUUUUUAUUUUGCAUUUUCAAUUUGCUUUUCCCUUUUUUUUUCUUUAUUUCUGGUCAUGACAUAUUCACGUGAUAAAUUUUUCACAUAAAAACGCUGCAUUGUCGUCGGAUGGACUUCUUCCAUGAAGUGACAGGACCGUCACCCACACUACAUCACCCUGCACUUUCUAUCCUUUCUAUUUCAUUGCAAUAGCUUAGAUUCUAUUUCCCGAAAAGCUAAGAAAUGGUUAUCCUUUUCUCUCGGUAUGCUUGCCAUGUGGCAUCCCAGAAUCAUGUAUAAGCACCUAAAACCUAAUAGCUGGUGCGGGUCAUGAAUGCCUUUCCUUUAAUUUGCUCUCUGUUUUCCUUUUCUGAAUCUGCGAACCUAUCAUGAAGCCCCGAAAGAAAACAAAUGCAAAUAACUACCCGGAAUUUAAAAUGAGCCAAACAUUGUUAAGUUAGCAAAAUAGAUGCAUUUGAAUAACUCUAGGGGCAUGUCAGUAUCAAGUAUCCGCUCUUUUUACUCCCAUUUCGUUUAAAAACAGGGCAAAGCCCGUCAUGAAGCAGCCUAUAUGUUCAAUUCUGGUGGUUUUUCAAAGUAAUUGGAGUCAAAUAUUCUAGGUAAUUGGAGUCAAAUAUUAUAUGUUUAUUUAGUCAAUUAUCUACUAUUUUAUCACAAAAAAUUGGAAGGAAAUACAUUGCAUGGUAAGUUUAAGUGAUUUAAAUAGUGAACUAAAUACUAUGACUUCAGCAAAUUUAUAGUAAUUAAUGAAAGAAUAUUAAAAACACCAUAAUUUUUUUAUAUAUAAUAAUUUACUACACCUUUUUUACCUUUUGUUUUAUAUAUAGAUAGAUAAUAGAUAAUACACUCCAUAAUAAUAUAAUAAAUAAUAUUAAAUAGAUUAAAUAUAUCAUAGGAAAUAUUAAAAUAUUAAAAUAAUAUUAAGACUCGUUGGUUUCAGUAGUGGAAAUAUAUCUUCGACGUAUAGAGGGGUUUCAUUAGUCCCGCAUUUGAACGGUUUAUUUCUAUUUCUUCUCUUUUCCCUCUCAUCUCUCUUGCCUUUCCUUCUCUCCCCCAGUUUUCUUCUUCCUCUUGUCAUGGGGUGACUUUUUCUUCUCUCUUCUGAUUAGUUUCUUCAGUCAGGUCAUGGUUAUUAGUUUCUUCAUAUGGCCGAAUGUCAAAUUCAUGUUGAAGACAAAACUUGGGGCCCAAGGCAAAAUUCAAAAUCAUGGUAUGAUCGACCGAAGGCUAAACUCAAACUCGUGAUCUCAGACUAUACUCAUGGCUGAAGGCCGAAUUCAUGAUCGAAGAUCAUACUUAUGGUUGAAAAUCAUACCCAAGAAACUCCACAUGCUUGUAAUCAAAGAUCAUAUGCAAGUCACACAUAAAAUUUCACACGCAAUGACCUCCCACAUAUAAAUUAGCUUUGUUGUGCUAGAAAGUUGACUUUUAUUCGAGCAGAGUUCUUUAAAGAGAGUAGUUAGCUGAUUAGAUUAGUUUGUUAUUAGUUACUAUUGUAAGUAAUUAGUUAGAGCUGUUGUAACAGCCUGUACAGAUGGCUUUAUCUAUUGUAUAGAGUAGACAGGUGUUAUAUACUCUUCUGUAAUCUUUUCUCAAUUAAUUAAUGAGAAUCAUAAAUUCCUUUAUGGUAUCAUACGCCUAUUCGAUCCUCUCUCCCUUUUCUUCCAACCUGUGAUUUUCUCACCAACCAAACAGUGCUUUUCUCAUCAACCAAACAGUUUCUUCCGCUCUGAUUCUCUUAUUUCCAUGGCUUCUGAGACCAAUUCUUCUUCUUCUGUGCCUUCUGUCUCUCUCACAUCGUCUUCAAUCCCUGCUUUUGCGACUGUUACUGUUCAAAACAUCACAGGCAUGGUUCCGAUCAAGCUUCAAGCUGGCAAUUAUUUGCUGUGGAAGAAUCUUUUUCUUCCUGUUCUUCGCAAAUACAAGCUCCUUGGCCUUCUCAUCGGUGCUGAUCUACGGCCGUCGAAGACAAUUGUUAACAAUGCUGAUUGCAUUGUUGAUAAUCCCACCUUCGAUCUGUGGUAUGAUAAGGAUCAAUCACUCAUGAUCUGGAUCAUCUCCACUCUCUUGACGGAUUUGCUAUCUCAUACGGUUGGCAUUGAGUAUUCUCGUGAUCUCUGGGAGAUGUUGGAAAAACGUUUUGCUGAAGUCUCUCGUGCAAAUGUUCAUCAUCUUCGUCAGCGUCUUCAGAAUCUUGUCAAAGGGGAUCUGUCUAUGGUUUCCUAUCUGCAACAGAUGAAGGAAAUUGCUGAUGGCUUGGGCGAUGCUGGUCAUCCUCUAACUGAUGAUGAUUUGGUGGCUUACAUUCUUGUCGGUCUAUCUGAAGAGUACGAUUCCUUCGUCACUUCUAUUGAAACUCGUCGGGAAAAAGUUUCCUCUGAUGAACUUCACAGUUACCUUCUCGGUCGUGAAGCUGCUCUUCUGAAGCGCAAACUCCAAUCCAAUUCCUCUGGACCUACGGAACCGUUUCAUGCUUAUGUCGCCACUCCUCGUUCUUCACAGCACUUUUCUCUGUCACGUGGUUACAACAACUUUAACUCUCAACAUCGAGGUUUUCCUCCCACACGUGGUCUGCUUCCGUCACCGCCCUCCAAUUUUGCCCCAAAUUUUUCUUCUCCUCCACAAUUUGGUGCGCAAGGGUUUCACAGCCCCAAUUUUUCUUGAAAUUCAAGCCCUGGGGGUGGUAAUUCCAAUUUAGGAGGUUCUUCUUCAUUCAAUUCUGCUGGUUUUUCUUCUGGCCCUAUUCUUGUGUGUCAGUUUUGCAACAAGAAAGGUCAUGCCGCUAACACUUGUCGCAAAUUGGGCCGUCUGCUCAAUGCUUCUGGCAGUUCUUCAUCUUCUGGACCAUUUACUGGCUACUAUGCUAAUCCACAGUCUGCUGCUUCCUCUCCUUCUUGGAUUGUUGACUCUGGCGCUACUGCUCAUGUGACUGCUACCAAUCAGCACCUGCAGAAUUCUUCUCCAUGCACUGGCUCUGACUCUUUGCAAGUUGGUAAUGUUCAUUGCUUACCCAUGUCUCACACUAGUUUUACCCACAUACACACUCCUUCUACUGUUUUUACUUUAAAGGAUGUGUUACAUGUUCCUUCUAUUAAACACAAUUUGUUAUCGGCAAAUAAGUUUCUUCGUGACAACUCUUGUUCACUAACGCUCUAUCCUGAUUCCUUCACAAUUAAGGACUUAGCUACGAAGAGGAUGCUCUUCCAAGGUCUCAGUGAGGAUGGUGUCUAUCGACUUCCUGCUGGUCCUGCAGCUCCUUUUUCAUCAAGCCCUUCAAUUGCUUUUCUGGCUAAUAAAUGUGAUAUCCUCACUUGGCACAAGAGGUUGGGUCAUCCUUAAUUUUCUUUAUUUCGCAAGAUUGUUAGUGGCAAUCAUCUACCUGUUAGUGGUGACUUGUCUGAGUCCUUAAUAUGUUCUGAUUGUAUGGUUGGGAAAGCUCAUAAGCUUCCUUUUGUUGGUUCUGCACAUAAGUCCACCAAGCCUUUAGAGCUUGUGCAUUCAGAUGUCUGGGGUCCUAGUCCCACUGUUUCAGCUCUUGGUUAUAAGUACUAUGUUUUGUUUCUGGAUGAUUACACUAAAUACGACUGGUUGUAUCCUUUGAAAUAUAAAUCAGAUGUGCUUGCAACUUUUAAAGUGUUUAAGGCCAAGUUAGAAAACUUGUUGAACUCUAGGAUCAAGAUCUUGAUGAGUGAUUCAGGUGGUGAAUACUUAAGUACUGCUUUCCAAGAUUUUUUAAACACAGAAGGUAUUGUGCAUCAAUUGAGUGUCCACACACCCCUGAACAGAAUGGCAGUGCCGAACGCAAGCACAGGCAUAUUGUUGAGCUUGCUGGGACACUGUUUGCUUCUUCUUUCGUUCCACAUCGCUUUUGGGUAGAUGCUUUUCAAACUGCCUUGUAUCUCAUCAAUUGGUUGCCCUUUACUUCUUCUACACAGUCUCCUUGGGAAUUGUUGUUUAAACACACUCCAAAUUAUACUACUUUGAAAGUGUUUGGUUGUCUCUGUUUUCCUUGGUUACAACCAUGUAGUUCCUCAAAGUUGGAUCCUAAAAGCAGGCCUUGUGUCUUUCCUGGAUAUAGCUUAAAUCAUUCCGGUUAUAGAUGUCUGGAUAUUUCUACUGGCAAGCUUUUUAUUUCCAGGCAUGUUCUUUUUAAUGAAACAUCUUUUCCUUUUGCAACCCAAGCUCCCCCUAUUUCAUCUUCUCCUAUCUCUGCUUCUUCAGUUCCUAUUUCUCUUACUUUUUCUUUCCCGAUUUCUCCUACUUCUCCUUCCUCUUCACAAUCCCCUAGUUCCAUUUCUCCUUCUUCUGAAUCUGUUCAUUCUUUACCUUCUCAAGAACAAAUACUUCCUUUUCUCCCUUCUCAGGAAUCUGUAGUUCCUUCUUCUCCUAAUUGUCAUCCUAUGGUUACUCGAUCAAAAAGUGGAAUUUUUAGGCCCAAGGCUCUCUCUGCAACUAAGCACCCUAUUCCUACUUCUGUUCAGUCUACUGCUUUAAUUCCUCCUACUCCUCAGACUUAUAAGCAAGCAGCAACCCACAAAGUUUGGAUUGCUGCCAUGGCCUCUGAAAUUGCUGCUCUUCAAAAGACUUAGACAUGGACCCUGAUACCUCCCAAUCCCUCUUAUAAUUUAGUGGGUUGUAAGUGGGUUUUUCGGACCAAGUUUAAAUCUGAUGGGUCUGUUGACAAGUUCAAAGCUCGUUUGGUUGCUAAAUGGUACAAUCAACAGGAAGGUAUUGAUUUUCAUGAAACUUUUAGCCCCGUGGCAAAACCUGUUACUAUUCGUCUUUUGUUAUCCUUAGCUGUGCAAUAUGAUUGGUUCCUCAAUCAACUUGAUGUCAGUAGUGCUUUUCUGCAUGGGUUCUUAAAGGAAUCUGUGUAUAUGAGCCAACCACCAGGUUUUCAUGAUCCCUCCAACCCUGAUUUUGUUUGCAAGUUGAAUAGGAGUUUAUAUGGUCUUAAGCAGGCGCCUCGGGCUUGGUAUGAGGAGCUCUUUAAAGCACUUAUUUCUCUGGGUUUCAGAUCAUCACAAGCUGAUUCCUCAUUGUUUGUUAAGGGUGGCUCUUCUUUAAUCCUAGUUUUGGUUUAUGUCGAUGACAUUAUUGUGACUGGGAACAAUAAUGCAGCCUGUCAAGCUCUUAUUCAGCAACUUAGUGAAAAAUUUCCUGUCAAAGACUUGGGCCCUUUGCAUUUUUUCCUUGGGUUAGAGGUUAAACGCACUGCUUCUGGUUUAUUCUUGUCUCAGACUAAAUAUGCUUGUGAUCUUCUCCAGCGAACUGAUUUUCUUGGUACCAAACCAUGUGCCACUCCCUUGGGGUCCUACAAAUUAGACAAUUCUGGAAUGUUGCUUUCUGAUCCUACUUUCUAUAGAUCUACCGUUGGUGCUCUUCAAUACUUGACAUGGGCACGGCCUGAUUUGUCCUUUGCUGUAAAUUUGGUAUGUCAGCAUCUUCACCAACCUCGCACUAAUCAUUUGGGUGCUGUAAAGAGAAUCCUUAGAUAUCUUAAAGGUUCUCUUGAUAUGGGAAUCUGUUUUCGCAAAGGCCCCCUUGUUAUGCAGGCCUAUUCUGAUGCAGAUUGGGCAGGAUGCCCCUUGGAUCGUCGGUCUACUAGUGGUUGAUGUGUUUUUCUCGGUUCAAAUUUAAUUUCUUGGUCUGCCAAGAAGCAACCUACAGUUUCUCGCAGUUCUACUGAAUCUGAGUACAGUGGUAUUGCCAUGACUGUUGCUGAACUUGUUUACAUUGCUAAGCUGUUUAAAGAUAUUAGUUUUCAGCUUCUUUCUGCUCCGUUACUUUGGUGUGAUAAUCAAUCUGCCCUUCAUUUGGCUUCUAAUCCUGUUUUUAGUGCUCGCACAAAACAUGUUGAGGUUGAUUAUCAUUUCAUCAGGGAGUUGGUUCAGCAUGGUAUUCUUCAUUUACGGUUUGUUGCCACUACUAAUCAGCUCGCAGAUAUCUUUACAAAGUCUCUUCCUUCUGCCCGACAUGCUUAUCUUCGUUCCAAGCUUACAGUGUGCAAUCCCUACUUCAGCUUGCGGGGGGCUAAAGAGAGUAAUUAGCUGAUUAGAUUAGUUUGUUAUUAGUUACUCUUGUAAGUAAUUAGUUAGAGCUGUUGUAACAGCCUGUACAGGUGGCUUUAUCUAUUGUAUAGAGUAGACAGGUGUUAUAUACUCCUGUAAUCUUUUCUCAAUUAAUUAAUGAGAAUCAUAAAUUCCUUUAUUCUUGACUUAAUUUCUUCCUAUAGCAUGCGUAUGUUUCACUAAGGCUAUAUUAUUCGUCUAUAUUAGCCGCCAAGUAUGGGAUUACAAAUCUUGGUGAUUCCUAUAGCAUGGUUUUGAUCACUUUUACAUACUAAAUUUUAGAUAGAUUGAUAUCUUCGACGUUUCAACAAGUACCUGCAAUUGUAUCAUAUACAUCAAUUAUUAGUGUUGCCUGAAAUUUAUAUUUGAUGAUGAAAAUUUAAUUCUGUGUAUUUGCUUCUGGGGUGCAUUGCCCUCCCCACCCCAGUUCACAAAGAAAAAAAUGACACUGUUUGUCUCUAGAAUUCGAUGAUGAAAAUUUUCCUCUUAGGCAGUCAAUAUUAGCCUUGGAAGUUCGCAUAAUUGCUUUUUGAAUGCUGGGUAUACCCAUAACUAAUCCUACGUUGAAGUCCAAUUCUAUACUUUAUAAGACUCAACAAACCCUAACCUAGGCUGAUUUCGAUUGAAUUCAAUCAAAAUCAAAUUAGAAAUACACAUAAAAUCUAGAUUCAAUUAAUACAAUUAAAUCAGACAUGCAAAUGGAAACCAAAUUCAAUCAAAUAUAAUCAAACAACAUAGAAUCUACAAAAAUAACCCCAAUAAAAUCAAGAUAAGCAAAUCUAGAAUCCAAAUCAACUCUAAAGCUAUAAGAAAACUCAUAAUCAAGCAUUGGGGGUUAGGGCUUUAGAGAAUCGCACCUUUGGAAUGUCACUGAGAAUUCAGCUUUGAAGCAAUAGGGCUCCAGCAAUAGUCUUCUCCCGAAAGAGGAAUUGGAGCUCUUGAUUAACGACACGCAGAGAGAGAAUCCAGAAAUUGUGAGAGAGAGAUGGAGAGAGAAGUGAAGAGAACAUUCAUGUAUGAAUGAAAAAUAAAACGAGGGAAAUUAUGUUUUUAGCGGAUUGCAAUUAUAUCGGAGGUUUUCGGCAAAAAAAAAAAAAUAUUUGAAUUACAAAUUACUACAUACUCAGUCGCACGCUGUAAUAUAUAUAUAUAUAUAUAACACGGCUUAUAUUCAAUCACGUCGUUAAAAGACACAAAAAUUACCUUUUUUAAGGCGCGUGUUUCAUAUGCUGUAAAUAUUAAUUAUUAACGGCACGCUUUACUAUCUUUGUAAGGCGUGCUUUGUCAUAUGCCGUAAAUGUCAAUUAUUAACGACUCACACAAAAAAUGUGCUGUAAAUAUCAAGUUGUAAAAGCUUCAAUUUCGUAGUGGUAUGAUAAUAAUUGCCUUUUUAAUACUGAUAUUAUAGUACUCUUAAACUGCUAUUCUGUUGUACAUUGUCUACCUGUUUAUUUGUUUGUUUUCAAUUAGUUUUUCGGCAAUCAAGUAUUCAUUUAUACAUGAUUGUCUACUUUCUUGUUAUUUUUUGUUUUGGCAGGAGAACCUUUUAUUACUGGUGAAACAGUACCAUAAGAUCCCAAGUACCAUGAGGAAUGGAUAAGAAAGAAUAGCCGAGCAAACGAGAGAAACAGACGCAAUGACAGACCUUGAAAUUAUGACAGAUCAAGGAACUUUGAUAGGAGGAGGGAAAAUAUGCAGAACCGAGAUUUUCAGAACAGGGGUCAGCCUCCUGUGCCUAAUCAAGCUGGGCAAAAUCCUGGGCCUAACAUGCCUGGACCUGCCAACUGUAACACCCCGACCCCGAAUUUUCCCAAAUUUUACCCUUAUUUAAUUAUUUAAUUAUUUAAGGGUAUUUUAGUCAUAUUUUUAACCGGAGAGAGUUUGGGACCGCGACUUAUAUUUUUGGAUAGGUCGUACUGAGACGAGUUCAUGGACACUGAGUGGGCUCGAAUCGGAGUUGUAACGAGAGAGAUAUGGUCAAAAGAAGCCCAGUGGCAUAAUCGUAAAUAUUUCGAAAUGGGAUUUUUUUAUAAAAUCAGAUUUUUUUCUCUCUCUCUCUCUCUCUCCCGCGCGACCUCUCUCUCUCCCGUUUGCUGCCGUCGCCUUCCAAGAGGCGCCGGCGCCGCCACAGGGCACCACCGGCCACGGGACUGGUGGCGUUCGAACCGCCGCCGUCCCUCCUUCCUUCCCCGACCGUUCCCCACCGGCGACGCGGCCUGUGCUGGCCGGAAAAUGCAGAAAAAACGCCGGGAAGUCGUCGAAACUUCAACGCCGUCGAUCUCCCUCCUCCGGCCACCAAUUCCGUCGAUCCAGGUAUGGAUUUUGAACCUCUCGAGCUGUUCUAGCUGCCUGUUGGUUGGGUUUUGAUCGAUUCGAUCUCUAGAUCACUCGAUUUUCGAAUUGAAAAUCGGCCGAAACUUCGGCCGCCGUGAUCGGCCAUUUUCGGCCACUUUUUGGGGUAGGUUCAAGAACAAAAGUGGCUCCAAAUAGGGUGUUAUACCUAGGGUCGGAGUUUGGAGCCGUGGUUUUGAGAUUUUCCAGCGAAGCGUUAUCGCUUUGGGCACCCACGCGCUGUCGGCGCGUGCGGUGGCGCGUGGGCACUGUAUAAAAAGUAGCGAUGUGUUCCGAUGAGAUCCUUAGGUUGUCACGAGUGCGUAGGAUUUUGCGGAUCUCAAUUCGGACGUCGUUUGACUAUCGAACGGAUAUUCGCAUAUUGCGCGUUAUCCGGGUUCGAUAGGUUGGGACCGUUGGAUGGUCCCAAAUUUAAUAUAUAUUGAUUUAGGUAUUUCUAGGAUCGUGUAGGAAUUCACGGAUCUUGAAUCGGAGCCCGGAUGUUCCGAAUAAUAAUUUUAAGUUUAUAUUUUAUAUUAACCGUCAGAUCGUGCGAUCGUGAGCAAUCCGACCGUCCGAUCUGAACCAAACUUGCAGGACAAGUGUCCUAUACCUGGUAGAACCCAUAGGGACUUCCGGAUCGGAAAUUGGAGGUCGUGGGUUUUGCAGGUCCGGUUGACCAGGGUUAGAGUAGUUUGACCCUUGGUUGACCGUGAGUCUCCCGGAGUAAUCUCACCUUUCUAGGGGGGAUUAUCGGGUGCUAGACCAUUGUGGAGGGUUACACAAUAUAAGAAUUAAUUUAUAUAAUUGUGGAGGGUCACAUAAUCUCUCCCGUUUAGAAUGUCAGUUUGGAGUGCUAUACGCACUACUUUAGGUACCUCCCCGGAUGUUGGAUUCACUACAUGCACCACCAAGUGAAAGUUAGGUCCCACGUGGCGUAGGUUAUCCGGCGUUGGGACAGACCCCAUACGUGGCGUUGGUUGUACCGGCGUAUGGGGAGAUUCGUAAUAUGAUGUUCAGGUCUCACGUGGCGUAGGUUAUCCGGCGUUGAGACAGGCCCCGUACGUGGCGUUGGUUGUACCGGCGUACGGGGAGAUUAUGUGAUAUUGUGUAAGGUCGCACGUGGCGUAGGUUAUCCGGCGUGUCGACAGACCCCAUACGUGGCGUUGGUUGUACCGGCGUAUGGGGAGAUUUGUGAUAUGAUAUUGAGGUCCCGCGUGGUGUAGGUUAUCCGGCGUUGGGACAGGCCCCAUACGUGGCGUUGGUUGUACCGGCAUAUGGGGAGGUAUUAUGAUAGUAUGGCAUGGUCGCACGUGGCGUAGGUUAUCCGGCGUGUUGACAGGCCCCAUACGUGGCGUUGGUUGUACCGGCGUAUGGGGAGAAUAUGCGAAAUACAGAAAAAUGAAAUAAGGUAUCGCCCAAGUGUGGGAUUGGGUUUUAGGGAAGAACUACGUGUGGCUUGAUCCCUCAAGGAGGGUACGUAGGCAGCCUAAGGUUAUUAGGUGCAGCCGCAGACUAAAUGUGAGUCAUACUUGGUAUUUGAAUGGUCUGGUAGUUGAAUAGGAAUUAUUGAAAGGCCGAAGGCCAUUUGUGUGAAUUGCAUGAAAUUAUAUUGUGCAUGCUGCCAUUUGGGAAUAUUAAAUGCGUUUUUAUGCAGGUUGAAAUUUUGGGAAAUGUCCAAAUUAUAGGGGAGACUCCGUCGAAAUUUCGGCAGGAAGUCUCGGUUUUUAGUGAGUGGGCCUGACAUCGGGGUGAUGUCAGGAGUUCCAAAGGGUUCGUCUCAGAUUUUGAGAAAAUUCGGGGCGGGUCCUUAAACCAACAACAUGAGGACUCCCAACAAUAUGGGCCCCUUGCCCCCCAACGCGGGUCCAAUGCCUCCCCACAACACGAGGGGGCUAGAAUGCAGAGGUUAUUAUGAGGAGGUUAUGUGCGGAAUGAUAACAACCAUCAGUUUUAAAUGAACGGUUCAGAUUUAAGUAGGAAGUUUUUUUACAAUCGGGUUAAAAUUACCCAUCACAAAAUGAGCAACCCGGAACUUCUCUCUCAUAUCUCCUAUUUUCUUUGAAACAGAGGUCCAAAGUCCUACGUCUGAAACUUCCUCUGGAGACAAACAAGAGCUGCCCCUUUCCAACUUCCAGAAGCCGAAUUUGCUGCUCCAAAAAGAAAAAAAAACGAAGACACUCAGCUGUGGAGGACGUUGCUGAAGAAGAAGGAACAAGGGUUGAAACCCACAACUCAAUUCUUUCACUGGUAUGUGAUUUUUCAGCCCUAUUGCAAACCCUUUUAUUCAAAAAAUAUUCUGUUUUGUUAAACCUCUGUGAUUAAUGUUGCAGAAAAUGGUUCAUCAUUACCCAUUACAUCAACUAUAACCUAAGAUCUCUCUUAUUCUGUAACCUCUUCCUCUUCUCCCUAGUCUCUUUCUCUUCCUUCUUCAAACCUCACAGAAAAUCCAUUUCCAUCGUAGAAUCUCGCUUAAUUCAAUUUUCACUUAGUUAUAUCUUCAAACUAAGAGCUAAUUUGAAUCUUAAGGUUGAACCCCAAAUUCAUAAUCGAACCCUAGCCAAGGUGCGACUCGCCACCUCCGUCGUCGGCCUCCAAAACGAAGCCAUAAUCGUGACUCUCCACCUUCGUCGUCGACUUCCACCACAAACCUCAUCUUCGAUCUUCACUGUGGUGAGUCCUAAUAUUGGUUUUACUUUUCUUUUUUUUUUUUGUUUGGGUUUCUGUUAUUGAUUGAGAUUAUUGGGUGAUUACUUUCACUAUUUUGAAUGAGACAUUAACGGGUUUCUGUUGUGGUUUGUUUGUUGUUUCUGUGAUUGAAUGAAAUUUACCAACUAUUUCCUGUGGUUGUCAAGCUCUUGGACUUGGAUACACUGUUUUGUGCUUAUGAUUUGUCUAUGAAAUCAUGCAUACAUUGUUUUGUGAUUAAGGCUUGGACUUGCAGACCUCCUUGAAAGUGGUGUAUUCACUCUUUUGUGAUUGUGAUUUGUUUGUGAAAUCACUUAGGUGAUAUAUCAAAUUAGGACUUCUGGCUUUUCUGAGCAACCUGUAAGAAUACAUAUAAAACUCAUAGAUGCUCUCUGAAAUAACAGUAAUGUAUGUUCUAACCUUUGAAACCAGUAGCACCAGCAACAAAUGCAAGAUUCUCAUUGUUUACUUCUUUUGAAUGUGAUUGGAGAGUUUGUAAGUUUUAUGAGAAUGCCAAUAUUUUAACAUAUUUUUGAUACUGUAAAGUUGGCAUAUGUUGGAUCUUUAUUUUCUCUAUUGUUUUGGUGCAGUCUACAAUCCUCAAGGUUGGUAUCGUGCCAAGGUUGUGUUGGUGCCGUGAAACGGGUUCUUGGAAAGCUUGAAGGUUUGUUGAUAACUCUUGCAUUUAUCUAGUUCCAUUGUCUUGCUCUUCUUUUUCUCUGAGACUAUGCUUCUUUAACUGUUUGAACAAUGCCAAAUGCACUAUUGAUGAUUUCCUAAUUUGUAUUUUUGUUCGUCUGCCAAGACACACAUUCACUUCACCCAUGUUUAUUACUUUUGAAUUGCAAUUGAGUGUAUGAAAUUGUGUGCAUGAAUAUGAACUUUAAUUUUACAAUGGUACUGUCUUGUGAAAGUUUGCCAUAUGAAGAAUUGGGUCAUUUAGAAAAGCCAACAAUCUAUAUGAAUUUCAGCAUUGGUUUUUGUUUUGAAAUUGGUUUUAGUUGUGAUUGAAUGUUAUGUUUUUGUUUCCACUGUGAUUGAAUGAUUUGCUUCUAAUAUGCAUUUUUGAUCCAUUUUAUACAGAUGGAAGAUUGUCUUGUUUCAAUUGGCGGCGUUCUUUUGGGUAGGAAAUUGCUAACUUUCAGCUUAAAUUCGGGUCUAAGAGGACAUGUCUUGGAAUUUUUCUUAUACAUAUGAAUUGUGUUAAAAUUCUAGACCAAGAGGAGACGAAAUUUUUUUGGAAUUUUUUGGAAUUUUUCUUAUACAUAUGUAUAUAAUGUGCUCUCUUCAAUUAAUAAUAUAAAUAAAAGUAUUUUUCCAUUGCAUACACUUGCAAAUAUAUACAAACAACAUAUUCAAGACAGAAAUUUCUCAAGUAAAUUAAACUCAAUUUCAUUCCAUGAGGACUAAAUAAUUACAUGGUCUGUCUGACACACAAAUAGUUCCUUAAUUACAUGUUUUUUUUCCUUAUAACUAUAGUACACUUCCCGUAUAUCUAUUUUUAAAAGUAUGUUGGAAUAAAUUUAUAGAGGGAGUAUGAAGUUUGUGUAUUGCCAUUGUAUAGCCUUUUAUUGCUUGUGUAUUGCUACUGUAUUGCCAUCGUAUAGCCUUUUAUUGCCUGUGUAUUGCCCCCGUAUAUCNNNNNNNNNNNNNNNNNNNNNNNNNNNNNNNNNNNNNNNNNNNNNNNNNNNNNNNNNNNNNNNNNNNNNNNNNNNNNNNNNNNNNNNNNNNNNNNNNNNNNNNNNNNNNNNNNNNNNNNNNNNNNNNUUGCUAUCAAUCUAUAUGAAUUUCAGCAUUGGUUUUUGUUUUGAAAUUGGUUUUAGUUGUGAUUGAAUGUUAUGUUUUUGUUUCCACUGUGAUUGAAUGAUUUGCUUCUAAUAUGCAUUUUUGAUCCAUUUUAUACAGAUGGAAGAUUGUCUUGUUUCAAUUGGCGGCGUUCUUUUGGGUAGGAAAUUGCUAACUUUCAGCUUAAAUUCGGGUCUAAGAGGACAUGUCUUGGAAUUUUUCUUAUACAUAUGAAUUGUGUUAAAAUUCUAGACCAAGAGGAGACGAAAUUUUUUUGGAAUUUUUUGGAAUUUUUCUUAUACAUAUGUAUAUAAUGUGCUCUCUUCAAUUAAUAAUAUAAAUAAAAGUAUUUUUCCAUUGCAUACACUUGCAAAUAUAUACAAACAACAUAUUCAAGACAGAAAUUUCUCAAGUAAAUUAAACUCAAUUUCAUUCCAUGAGGACUAAAUAAUUACAUGGUCUGUCUGACACACAAAUAGUUCCUUAAUUACAUGUUUUUUUUCCUUAUAACUAUAGUACACUUCUUGCAACAGAAUGGAAUGUUGUCCCACCCCAAAUUGAUGAAGAUUCUCAAUGACAACAAUCUUCUAGAAGCCAACAAUAAUCUUGCUCCAACUGUUAUGAAAAAAAAAAUGUCAAUUAUCUCAAGACUUAAGAGUUAGGGUUUUAAAUCGCUAGAGACCAAGCUUGUGGGAUAUGGGCCGUGACAUGAUCACGUACUCUACCAAUUGUUGCUUCACCUUCCCAAAUUCAUCCAUCAUCUUCCUCUACAACAGAAACAAAAUAAAGCAAAAUCAAUAUGUACAUAUAUAAAUAUGUAUAUACAGAGUAAUACAAAAGACAAAUUGGUACUAAUGAGGUAGAUCUUUGAUAUGCUCUAUUGGAACAAUCACUUUCCUUUUAUUGCUAUAUAUGCAGAUGCGCAAAAGCACAAACAAGCCCAAUUUAAAAUCUCCUACUUACGUAUCAAGAAAAGACUCAAAGCAGACUAAGUUUCUUAUAAAAAUAGAGUUCAUUAUUUUUCGUCUGUGCUUCAUUCGUAACUUAUAACUCACAUGGUAUCCAAAAUUUCACGCAGUGCAUCAAAACUCAAUCAAGUUAACUCUGGAACAAUGAGAGAACAACAAUAUUAAUCAAUGAAAGAAUUAUGAAAGAGGCUAUCAUUGAUCAACAACAUUAACUCCAGAACAUAGACACCACAGAGGUAUGCAGUACAAUUUACUUUCAUUCAAUUUCUACACAAAAAUAAUCUUUUAGAUUGAUAUAGUCAUUCAUUGCAAACUGAAAUUUCACAACCAUGAGAAUAAUGCCAAGAGGAAGAGUAUCAUAUCACCUCAAAAUUGGAAAACAUCUAAUGGACGAGGAAAAGCAAACCUACCAAGCACAAGACGAAAAGCCUUACUGCUCAAGCUUGAUCAGUGCAUAUCUACAUGGGCGUUAACCCCCGUAUGAUCAUAUUGCUUAUUUUUUCUAUUCUUGGCAUUGGCUUUGCACCAUUUAUGUUUUCACAGUACAUGAAUUGUUCCAAAUUAAAAACUUCAAACCGCAGGUCCUAAUUAUAGGCAGUAAAUUAUGACUUAAUAAAAAAUAGUCAUUGGAGUUGGAUCUGGGAAGCUGAAAGCAUCACAUGGCUCAAAGAAACCAAAUCAGGGGACCACGUACAACAGGGGCUGUUGUGCUAGCUAGUACUGCAGGGCAGGGUAGGGCAGGGCAAGGCAGGGCAGGGCAUGGCAAGGGACAUUUGGAUGCAAAGGCUAGAGAUAUAGACCCUUUCUUUUAGGUAAAUGAGGAAGACGAAGCAGCAGCAAAACCUGGCCAUGUGAAGUAGCAGCAUCAGACCCUUUCUAUGUUUCUUUUGUUUGUUCACAUACUUUUUUGCCAUAUCAUGGCCCUUAGAAUUCCUGCAAAAUAAUAACAUGAACUUUAUUUCUCAAUUUCACAAUGACACAAAACAGUGUAGUAUUAACUUGUUCACAGCACAAGUUAAAUGGCGAUGUCGAAAUGAAAGAAACUCAAGGCAUGACACAAAAGUUGAAAAAUAAGAAAAUAAAUCUAAUAGAAUUCCAAAUAUCAAAUGACACAACCAAGUAUCCAUUCACUAUAAACUGACAUAAUAUGGCACUUGUGUAAGUCUUCAUGUAAAAACAGGGACAUUUCUCAAGCAUUGUUAAAAGGUAAUUAAACUAAUGUCAAUGGCGAUCUAACAAAACCAUUAUGCACUGUAAAGACAUCUUCGUAAACAAAUUAUAAUAAAACUCACAUGUGCUUCCUUCCAUUUAGAUGGGUUUAUUGGGUCCUCCUAGAAGUUCACCUUUAAGUAUAUACCAUGAGAAUUGUCCCAAUUGGUUUGUAUCUCAAAGAAAACCAUAGUGCGCCUCAUUAAGGUGAUUCAUCGAACACCUACAGGCCAUUUUUUCAUGCACUCAUCAACUCAGCCUAACCAAACAAAUAGAACCAUAUAUUCAGAACAAGCAAAUAAGCAUGAUAAAUAAAACGAUGUAGCAAGAAUUUGGAUUUUGAGCAACUUUCUAGACCACUAUAUGAAAUUGAAACAAUCAGAAGAAAACCCAAAUAACAUAUGGGUAUGAAAAUAAAGGCGAAAAGUUGAACUGGGUACCUGGGACGUCAUCUCUAGGUAUAUGGAUUUCAGGAAUGCUGAAGAAAUUGAGAAAUUUAUUGAACCGGAGGGGAAGAACGGCGGUUGAAAUAGGUGACAGAGAGUGAGAGAUGGAGGUGUUGAACAGCGGCCGAAAGAGAGAGAGAGUGAGGUUGUCGUUGCUGAUGUGGGUUCUGAGGAGGUGACAGUUGCCGUCGCCGAUGUGGGUGAAAGGGAGAGAGAAAACAGACGAGAGAAGAGGUGAGUGAGGCAACAGAGAGAAGAAUAAUAAAAGAGAGAAGAAAAAUAAAAGAAAGAGGGAGACAACCGAGAGAAAAGAGAAAAACUAAUUAAAAUAAGAGAGAAAGAGAGAGAGAAGAAGGUAGACAUUGAGUACUUCGAUUGUGAAUAGCAUUGCUCAACGGGUAAUGCCAACCCGGUUGUAGCAUAAAGCGGAUACUAAUGUUAGCCAUUUGAUCAAUCUAAUGGCCUAGUUAUCAUUCCGCACAUAACCUCCUCACAAUAACCUCUGCAUUCUAGCAGCUCCCCUCACGACAUGGGUCCAAACUACAGUAAUGUGCAGCAGCCAAACAACUGGAGUGGUGGGCAGCCCAACAACAAUAACAAUCAAAGUUGGCCUCUUACAUGCUUGCCCGACAACAAUAGUAUUUGUACAUCUUUUUCACCGAGAAAGUGAAAUACGUUUCAUAUUUGGAAGUUAGAAAAUCUUGUGUUUAUAAGGAGUUGGACUAUUUCUC
rnacentral:lncRNA from 1 species